rnacentral:lncRNA from 1 species
GUUGAAAAAAUAGCAUAUCAAUAUGCUAUUUUGAGGGGACAUUUUGAGUGGGUCCCACUUAGCGAAAGUGGGAAAUCUUGUGAAGUUCGGGUUCUACUCCGUGAAUACUUCAAAAGUAUAUAUUUAUUUACUCAAAAUGGUGCUUGGGUGAAUGAGAAAUUGUCUCUCAAAGUGCACCCUUGAAGUUGAAAAUUUGAAAGGAAUUAUAAGGAUAGAGGGAUUUGUGUUUAUCUAUAGACACUUACCCAUGCAUGAGCAAGAAUUAUAAGGAUAGAGGGAUUUGUGUUUAUCUAUAGACACUUACCCAUGCAUGAGCAAGAAUUAUAAGGAUAGAGGCUCUCUCCACACGCGCGUGCACAGGGGGGGUGCGAAUCCAAGACCGAUUUGGUUGAACUCGUGUGCGCCCGCGCAUCCUACGCAUGAGAAUGUCAGCCCAAAAUCACCCAAGCUUGCAUGGUACGUUUUUAAUUUCCUUUUAAAUUUUUGUAACAGUUUUUCAAUUUUUGAAUUCAAAGGAUUUGUAACAGCUUUGCAAUUAUUUUUGGGUUGUUAUGCAAAUUCAAUUUUUGAAUUCAAUAGGCUGUAUUGAAUUGUUUAAAUUCAAUUGGCCAUUACAACAAUUAAAUGGCAUAUAUUGAAUUUGGAAAUUCAAUAUUAUACUAUUGUUACAUCCUCACAUGUGUAUAAAAAGGCAACUUCCUCUUCUGUUUUUACACACAAGAACAACCAACACACAUAGCACUUCAAAAUUUCUUUCCUCCUUCUGACGUUCUAUUUUUUAUCGAGUUUGUACGCUAUUGUGGUUCGCCGGAAUUAUCAGUCUGUGCUUGAUGGAUAAUUAGUACCCGUUGUAUCCUGGGAAACAGUUACCAGCAAACCUAAAGCACUACAAUAGGUGAUAAAUCUGUUUUAAGGAAACUAUGUUGCAGGCCUCGGGUUUAUUUUCUGUUUCCGUUUUCUUUUCCCUGUUAUUUUUCAUUUGUUCAUUCGUGAUUUCCAGUUGCUGUUUUACAUUGUUGUUUAAAUUAGCUACAGUAUUAAAUUGUUAUCUCACUAUUAAUUUUCUUACAAUUCUCCUGGUGAUCUAUUUAAUUUAAUUAGAUGUUGAUGGUAGAGAUAGAUCACUCAUGUGGAGGCAUUUUAUAAAGUAGUGUGAUAGCUGUUCGUCCACUAAUUAUAUAUGAAACAAUACAAGUGGCCUAUUUUAGCAUGAUUUUGGGAGUUACUUUCUUAGUCAAGGGUUACUUUCUUUACUCAAGGGCUAUAGGUCGUUUUCUAUGGUCCAUUCAUCUUUGCUUUGUGGUUGCUCCGCUAUAUAAUUUCUAACAAAUUCUGUUAACGGCUACGAGUUAUUAAUAAAUAAACUCUUUUGUGUUGCAUGUGGUUAGGUAAGUAAGAAGUUUAACUCAUUCAUAGCAUUUUUUAAUUAACCUGUUUAAACUUCAUGAAUCAAAUGUGAUUUGAUCCAAUAUUUAAUUAAAAAGGGAUAAGUUGUCAAGUAAAAAUGCGAUUUACUAAAUUUUUUAAUUGUAUGCACUGUCGAAAUUAGGGCAAAUAUUCGUUUAAUCCCUAUUUUUAAUUUAGAGUUAGAUGUGUAUUUAGUCAUUGUAUUUUAAAAAGUUUCUCAAAGCCGUUAAAUAUGUGACACUACUGACCUUAUUGUUUCUUUACUUUUACAAUUAUACCCUUACUACAAUUUUGAGCACAUUAAUUAGUUUAUCUAUAAUAAAAAGUUAUCUAAUAACAAUAAUUAUUUAUUAGUGAAUUAACUAAUAAAUAUUAUUAUGAAAGAAUUGGUACUUUUUGUACAUUGCAAUAUUCUUCCUAAUAAUUAUUUUUAAAGAAGUUAAUACUAGCCAACCUAAAGCAAUAUUUGGAACCUUGCAAUAAUACAUAAAUAAUUUACAAAAUUAACCAUAAAAGUAAAUCAAUAACAAAGAUUUACAUUUAUUUUUAUUUUUUAGCAUUAAUUCUUUAAUAAUCUUUUUAUAAAUAAAUUAAUUAAUGUCCCUAUAAAUGUUGUUGCAAGGGCAUCAUCAUAAAAACAAAAAAAUAAUAAGGGCAUGAGUGUAACAUAUUUAACAGUAUAGAUAUUUUGAGGUAUUUUGAAAAAUACAAGAAAUAAAUGCAUAACUAAUCAAAAUAUAAGGAUUAAACAAGUAUUUACUUAUCGAAACUAAGUAGAAAUACAAUAGAAUCCUGAACAUUAUUACAUUACCCUUAUAUUGUAAUAUGAAAUUAGUAGAUCAUUUAUUCAUUUUGUCUUGCCUUGCCUUUUUAAGAUCCUGACACGUGUUUGUUGUUAGUUAUUUAUAGUUUAUGAAUAACUUUUCAUUGUUUUUGAUUCCAUGAACCACUGAUGAUCAAUAGAUUCAAAAAAGAUAAGCCGAAGACAAGAUGAAUAGAACGUAUAAAUCAGAGCGGGCCCAUGAUCAAAUUUAGGCUGUGCUAAAUUAUAAAUUUAUAGUAUAUAUUAGAGUUAAUGUCAGUGCACAUAAACAAUUAAAAAUUUUACUCUAAACAAAAUGAAAACUUUUAAUAAAAUAAGUCUCUAACUCUAACUAGUGACAUGGUAGAUUACUCUUUUUAUAUGAAUUUUAAAGGUCCCAAUUCAAAAUUAACUUAACUAGAAGAUAUAUUUAAUUUAUUUUAAAAGAAAUUGAUUUCGGGAUACAGUUGAGAAAAAAGUGAUAAUUAUAUUCUUAUGGAGAAGAUCAUAAAUCUAUACGGAUUUUAAGUACUAAGCUGGGCAGUUUAGCCCAGAUUAUCGAUCGCGCCUAACCCAGUUGGGUUUAACUCUUAGCUUUCCUCCAAUACACUCUUUUUUUUUUUUUUUUUGAAUAGCCUCCAAUACACUCUUAAAACUCCAUUUUUAAGGAAAAAAAAAACCAUUAUCGUUAUUAAUACUCACUUUAAUUCGAAAAACUACUUAUAAACAUCGUAAUCUUUCAGUUCAAAACCCAGAAAACACAGUUUUCUUGAUUUUCCAUUAUCCAUCAUGCGUCUAUACUUUUCUUGCUUAAAUAAAUAUUAUAAUACCUUCAAUGAAAGAUUAAAUGUAAGCUUCAAUUCUAUGAUUUUUAAGUUGAAUUGCCCUGUCACAUUAUCCUCUCCAUCAUAUUUUUUGUGCUUUCACAUUAAGAGUAAAAGAAUUCCUGUUGGAUGAAAAUUCAUUAAUCAUUUUAAUCAUUCAUUUGUGAUCAGAAACAAAACAAUAAAAUGAGAGUAAUGAUGAAUAAAAAAAUAAAAAUAAAUCGUGGGUUUAGCGGUGAGUAACGGACGGUGUGGAGGUGACAGUGUGAGAUAGUUUUGAGAGAGAGGAAACGAGGUGAGAUUUAGAAAGAUUGUUUUGUUCUUUAUCGUAAUUACAUAAAUGAGGGCUUUUAUAAGGUUAAUGGUGGGGGUGGGGCUAUUUUAACGCAUAAAUUCCUUUUUUCACCCUAUUUGUUCUCUCUCUACAUCACUUGCAAAUUAAAAGCUUACCAUUUCACUCUCUAUGGCCAUGGAUUCUUUAUCUUCAUUAAUUCCACUACAUUUUAUUUGUGGCAUUUGAAUUGCGACUUUUUUAUUCUAUUUUAUUUCAAAUGAAACAAAGAUUUAUAAUUUUAAACAGAUUUAGGAAAAAUAAAAAAUUUAUAGCUUUCACGAUUACUUAAAAUUCUUGAUACUUAUUUUUGUAUGGGGGGUUUGUUCAUAUAAAUUGAAGACAGGGUAGUUAUUAUUAUUACGUUCUUGGUCGAAGAGCUUUUGAAUAAAAUCAGUAAGCCAACUUAGGGUCUAAAAUUUCCAAGCAAAGCAUGCAAACCCCUUUGGCCUCGAGAGCCCUAGUCUUGAAAAGCCACUAAACCUUGAUCUGAUAUUGCUUGUAGCUUAUAGGAAAAAUUAAUUUCGAUUAUUCGUAAGAUUUAACAUUCAUUUGGGGAUGAGAAAAUCAAAGGAAUUGGUUAGAGAUGAUCAAGAAUUGUGAGAGAGAGAGAAUAGGGUUAAUUGGGUAAUUUUAUCAAAAUUAAUUCGAUAAUAAAUAUUUUAAUUAAAAAAUAGGUGUAGAGAGAAAAUCGGUGGACGUAAAUGUCCCCAUCCUAAUGGUUGGGGGCUAAUAUAUAUUCGUAAAUAUCCUUAACUUAAAUUACUAUUAUAACUUAAUAUUAAAAAAAAAUAUUUCUCUUCCUAAAAGUUUUUAAGCUGUGAUAAGAAGUCUAAUUACUAAGCAUAUGGGUUUAUUAAGUAUUAUAGUGGGUUAGCCCUACCCUUUGAUUUAUUGGAUAUAAUAAAGGGAGAAUGAUCAUUUAGUUUCUCUUACAAUUUGAUUUUACCGCUUGGUCCUUAAUUUAAUAUCUUAUUAAAGCAAUAUUAAAAGAUAAAUAUAACCUUUUAAUUAACAAACAAAUUAAUUAGAAAAAGAAAAUUGAUUCUUCAUUAUUAAGGUAACCCAUAAACUCUAAUAUAAGUUACAUUACAAAUUUUUAUUUAUUUGUUGUCAAUUAGACUUAUUGGAGAGAGUUAAUUUAUAAAAAAAUAUAAUAUUUAUGAAAACAUAAAGAAAUGUCAGUCAGCAUACUCUAUGGUAAAUUCUACAUUCAUUUCAUAUAUAAAAGUUCUAUCUACAAGCGCAAUCAAUUAGAAACAAACAGAUGAGCCUUAGUCAAUAUGUCAUGUAGGUUAAUUAUUGUACAUGUCACAAUCAGAGACCAAAAUUUGCAUACGGUUGACUAGUAAGAAGACUUCCUGAGACAUCAAGUUUCAAGUUUCAAGUUUCAAGUUAAAAGUUUUAAGUCUUUCUUCAGAUUUUAUGCCCAAACGCCAAAUCCCAAGCUCCCUCUCAAACUUUUAAGGCUUCAUGUUUUCUUGAUCUGAAAACGCCACCCAAAGGUACAUCAUUCUUUCCUUCGUUUCUUUUUCUUCGAGAGCAUCUGCAAGUAAAUUUACUUUCACUCCAUGCUUCCAAUGAUUUGUUUCUUGUUUUAGAUUAUAUAUUUAGCAAAAUAUUCUUUUUCCUCAAAACUACCUAAAAAUUUAUAAUUUAUAUAACUAGUUUUAUCUUAGUCAAUGUAGUGAAGCCAUUUCUUUAUGUUUCUGUUUUGGUUAGAUGAAUUGUUUACUGAGAAAGAUCAAGCGUUCGGAGAGGGAAAAAACGAAAAUAUAUGUGAUGAGAAACGGAGAAAUGUUUCUGGAGAAAUUGAUCAAAUCUUGUAAUAACAAACGCAACCCCCUUCAUUGUUAUUGUGCUGAAGAGCUCAUGUCAGCAACAAACAAUUAUGACAAACACAAAGUUAUAAAAACUGGAAUGAGCUAUGAAUUAUACAAGGGUUUUCUGCAAGACCAUCCCGUUUCUGUCAUGAAGUUCUUUGAAGACUUUGAUUAUGCAAAGGCAUACUGUUUUAAUAACAUUGUAUACGCAUCACAAAUGAUUCACAAAAAUUUUUUGAGGUUGGUUGGAUGCUGUUUGGAGACUCAAAAUCCUAUUUUGGUUUUCGAAAGUGCCGAGUAUGGAACUCUUGCUGAUCGUAUUUAUCAUCCUCGUCAUUUUGAGCCCUUACCAUGGACACUGAGGCUAAAGAUUGCAAUGGAGAUAGCUUAUGCAAUUGCUUAUCUUCAUGUUGGAUUCUCCAGGCCAAACGUUUUCAGAAAGCUUGAACCUUCCAAUAUUUUAUUGGAUGAGCAAAAUGUUGCAAAAGUGUUUGAUUUUUCAUUUUCCGUGUCUAUUCCGGAGGGUGAAACCCACAUAACCGAUUGGUUGUUGGGAACAUUUGGAUAUAUUGCUCCUGAAUAUGUUACUAAUGGUGAUUGCAAUGAGAAGUGUGAUGUUUAUAGUUUUGGCAUGUUGCUGCUUGAGCUUUUAACUGGACAUAGGGCUGUUGAUCGAUCCAGACGUCAAGAAAUUGAAGAUGAAUAUUUUUUGGGUGAUCACGUGAGGUUAUACAUUGAAAGGAGUAGGUUCAAUGAGAUAAUAGAUGCCGUAAUUGUUGGAGACGGAUUAUGCUCCGCAACAGAGCAGAAAGUGCAAGCUUUUACCAAGCUGGCCUUCAGUUGUCUAUCUGUAUCAGCAGAAGAUAGACCAACAAUGGUUGAUGUGGCGAGAAAACUUAGACUAAUGCAUCGUUCUGAAACGUAAUUUGUUGAAGCAUUCAUAUGUUUAUGAAUCUUUUCUUUACUUAUGUUGCUGCUACUUCAUGACUUUCUAUCAUAUUCCAUAUUACUGCAAGAUAAGUAUACCUUCAUUAAGUUCUGAAGAGUUUAAUGAAUCCCAUUUUAAAUCUUUUCUUUUUCCCUCACUCAACGGGGGCUAUCAGUAGUUUUCUUGAUCUGGUCUAUCAAUUUUUACUUUGUUGUUACUUCUGCCAUACAAUCUCUAACAAAUUGAAGGCUACCAAUUAUUCGGAAAAAAAAAAAAAAAAAAAAAACCUUGUGUUUGUGGGGAGAAAAGUAAAAAUUUUAACUCAUUCACAUAGCCUUUUUCAAUUAACCUAUAACCUAUAUAUAAACUUCAUGAAUCAAAUGUGAAUUGAUCCAAUAUUUUAAUUAGAAAGUAAUAAGUUGUCGAGUAAAAGUGGAUGUUAAUACAACACAGUCUCGAACAAUAGUACAUUACCCUUCCAAUUGGGAAAGGAAGAUGAGUGAGAUUAAUUACGAAGAGAAAAGGCAAAAUUUUAUUGAAAAAAUUGAUUGCAUCUUGUAAUGGUAAGCACAAUCCUAUUCGUUGCCUCACGAAAAUGAGCUCAAGGCAGCAACUGUUGAAAAUUCAAAAGUAAAUGGGGCUCACAUGUUGGAUUCAAUUUGAAUGCACCGAAAUCCACAUGCAUUUCUUGAAAAAAUCAAGAAGAGUUGGAGCCGCAUGUUGAUAAUUUGGAAAAGUUGGAGGCUUGGACAUUUGUCAAAAAAAGAGGAAAUUGGUUGCCGAUUUCUUAAACUUUUGUUGUGAUAAUUAAAUGCAUUUAUGGUAAGGCCGGAUUAUAAAUAGAGAAGUAAUUUUCAUUUGUAAAUUAUCCUAAAAAUAUAGAGUGUGAGAACUUAGGUAAAGAGCUCUCUCAGAGAAUGUAGAGAAAUUCUCUGUGACAGAGUCUAGAAAAAAAGAACAUUUAUAAGUGAGCUCUUAGAAAGUUUAUGAGAGUGUUUCCUUAGGCGCUCAGUUGGGUUCUGCACUAUUUCUAUAUGUAUAAAAGAAUGUCUAUCUUGCGAAAAUUGUUUUGUUCAAAAGUAUAUGCAAGUACUGGGUGUAUUUAAGUAUUUGGAAUGUGAGAUUUCAUUACUCAAAUUUUUAUUAUAUUAAUUGUUAGUAAAAUAAUCAUUCUUUUUUUCAUCCGUGGGCGUAGGCUUUAUUGUCGAGUCAUAUAAAAUUCUUUUGUCCUUUAUUUUUUUGUGAAUAUUUGGUGCAUAUUGAUUCUGCAUUUGCACACAAGUGAUAUCAUACCAUAAGAAAUGACACUUCCGCAGCACAAGAAGUGGUAUCGAGUUGAUGGUUCGUACUUGGGGUAUACAAUGUUGUUCAUGUAUUUAGUAAUAUUUAUAUGAUAUUGUUCAUGAAUACGAUGAGGCUGAUUGACACUAAAAGGUUUACAUUUAAUAAGGUUAAAAAUUAUCAGUUUCUCACUAACAAUGUUAAUUAAUGGGCUAAUAACUUACAAAUUAUCUCAAUGCUCUCCUAAUAAACUUUUAUGUUAAAUUUAUUUACAAUAUGUUAGUUUUAUGUUCAUUUUUAUUUCAAGAAUAAAGAGGGAAUUGGAACCAAAAGCAGAAAACAAAGAAGAUUGAUGGAGCCAUUUGGAAUACAUUUUUGAGGAGAUGUAAUUAAUAAAAAUAAUAAAAAAUAAAAAAGGAAGUGAGCUAUAUCGUGAUAGUCAAGUGGGCAUUUUAUCACUUGACUAUCACACAUUUCUAUGUAAAUAUAUAAUUGAAAAAAAAAAUAAUAAAAUAAAAGAAGAUGAUAUAUUUGUUGCCUAUAAAAGGUAAGGGGAGGAAGAAUGAGGGGACGGGCGAGAGAAGACGAGAAAGGAGCUGAGACUGAGACUUAGAAAUUUUUUUCUUUUGUGUAGUUAACCCUCUUUUAAUAUAUUUCAGAAGUUUUUUAAAUAAAAUGAGUGUUCUAUUUAUCAACAUGAGUGGCUAAAUUUUCUAAGUUGAGAUGAAAGGUGAAGCUCAAGGAUUUAAAUUAUUGAAUUAAUUACUCUCUCAAGUGAGUCCUAAAGUUUAUUUUAUUUGUUUGUAUUUUUUUUCUUUACCAGUUUCUUUUUAUGUCAUGUUAAUUUAUAAAUCUAGAUCUCCUUAGAUCUAUAUAGUAUUUUGGCAUAAUGUCGUCACUCUAAUAUAAUUAUGGCACAUUAGGUACUUGAUUUCAUAUUUAUCCAUACAAACGGUUAGUUAAAGAUUAAAUAACAUAAUAAUUAACUAGAAAAAUGAAUGAUGAAUGUAAAAUAUAAAUAUGAGAGAGUAUUAGGACAACAAUUUGACAACUGAGAGUAGAUCCCGUAAUCUUAACAUUUUUUGUCAGAUUGAUCCAUAUUAAUUUUUUUCUUUAAUUAACUUUUAUUUAAUAAUUGACUACUAGAUUUUUAUAUUCUAUGUGGUUCGACUCCAGACUCAAUAGAUUAUAUUAUAACUAGACACUGUUAUACUUGAGAGUAAAUAACACUUUUGCAUCACAUCAUAUUUUUGGCGUCAUUCCUGAGAAUUUUCUAAAUUUGGUGUCAGUUUAUCCUUAACUUUGUCGUUCGUUUAUGUGUUCGUCACUUUAUUUUAUUUUAUUUCUUUGUAAAACUUCAGUUAACCCCCCACUUCUCUUGAAAUUUUAGUAUUAUCUAUAAAAUUUGUGAAAACUUCAUUUUGACCUAAAAACUUUGCAAAUCAGUCCUUAAAUCGAAUUGGAACUUAGAUCUUAGGAGUAUGACUUAUUCUUUGGACUUUUGGACUUAAAAGACUAAAUGAACUUGGACCUUUGGACUUUGUGCACAUAAUGGAGGUGGACUUUUUUAAAAUUAUCAUUAAGGCCCAUAAAUCAAAUUAAUUAUCUAAUUGGUCAUUAAUUCUUAAAAGUUGUUAAAAAGGGGGGAAGAAUUCAUGCCUUGUGGUAAGUAUUCAUUUCCUUCCUUCUUUUAAUUUCUACAAUUUAAUUUUUGUAAUUUUUUUGUGUUAUUUUAUAUGGCUGGUUUAACCAUCUAUUAUUUCAACUUCAACUGGUCAAUUUUUAAUUUAUUUAUUUUUAUUUCACAUUUAUUUAUUUUUAAUUUUUUUACAUUUAUUUUAUUUGCUUAUUUAAUGUUUAGUUUAUUUUUAUUUGUGCAAUAUUCAUUUAAUGUUUUAUGCAUUAUUCAUUUGUUUGUGUAUCAUUUUCAUAAUUUAAUUUGACACACUUACAAAUCAUCAGCAUUGUAUGCGACAUUGGUCUCAUAUAGAAAGUGGCAAAUUGAUUAGGAGAUCGCCUUCAUCAUCUUUAAACAUAGCCAAUAUCAAAAGUGAUAACAUUUUAAAGUAUGGAAAUAACCAAACCUUGCAAAAUCGUCAUGAACAGCCUAUGACACUUGGAGAUUUCAUGCAUUCUACUAGAACAAGGUCAUCAUUAUGCAUAGAUUUUCCUCUUGAUGCAUCUCAUAUUAAUUUCAAAUCUAGUAUCAUUCAACUUCUACCUAUUUUUCAUGAUUUUGAGUCUGAAAAAUCAAUACUUGUGUUUAAGAGAAUUUGAGGACGUUUGUAACACCAAUACUGAUCGGAAUUGUAGCAUAAACAUAAUUAGACUCAAGUUUUUCUAUUAUCAUUAAAGGAAAAAGUUAAAACUUGGCUACAAAUUCUUUCAAAAGAGAAAUCACCACAUUCACUCAAAAGUUAGGAGAAACCCUUUAUCAAUGUUGGGAUAGGUACAAGGAGAUACUUGACAUUUGCCCACACCAUGGUUUUAAAACAUAGAGGUUAAUGUCUUAUUUCUGUGAAGGACUAACAUCUCAAGUAAACAGGUUGUCAAAAUGAUGUGUAAUGGUGAAUUUAGGAACAAAAGUCUUGAAGCUGCAUUAAAUUACCUUGACUAUAUAGUAGAUAAUGCACAAUACUGAGACAUAGUUGGUUUUUUUUUUUUUUUUACGAGUCACCAAAUAAACUUUAGUCAUCUCUAUCUGGUGGAGGCAUGUACAACUUUAGGGGAGACCAUGAACUUCAAGCCAAAUUUGCAUCCAUACGUAGAAAAGUCAAAGCACUAGAGUCCAAAAAAAUGAUCAUGUCGUGUUUGCAACUCUACUGACCAUUCUAUGCAGGACUAUCCAACAUUGCCAAUUCUGAGAGAAAGUUUGCAUGAACAAGUAAAUGUCAUGAACAAUUUUAAAAAACCACCCAAUCCAUACUCCCAAACUUACAACUCUGGUUAGAGAAAUCGCCUAAAUUUUAGUUGAAGAAAUGAUAAUAAUGCACAACCUUCACAAAUAGCUCCUCUACAUUAGAAAAAGGUAUUUUUACUUCUUAUAGUACUUAUUCUAGUAAAUAUGGUAUCAAGCACUCAUUGGGUCAGGGGAAAUAAUUUUCUACUAAAUGUGGUGUUUAAGUACAUGUUGUGCUAGGUGAUAAUAAUCCUACUAUCAACAAUGUGGCAAGCCCGUCCACUAAAAAACUUAGAUGCAUUCUCUGUCAACACUGAGUCAAGACGAGCCACUAAUACUAAAGUGGAGUUUCUCGCUAACAAAUAUAGUGUAAAGUGCUUUGUAACAUAUACACCCUAAUUUUUCCUAAUUAAGUGUAUUGUGUAUUUUACAUUACGGUAUUAAUUUUUAAAGUCGUCAGAUUGGUUAUAAAUUAUUACGGGAAAACUUGACGUGACUCGAUUUCUUAUCAUGAAUUAAUGGAUUUGGGUCGAGUUAAUAAAUGGAUCAUGUUUUGAAUAAAUUUAAAAUUUGUCAUGACAUAAAUUGAGACAAAUCGAACGUGAUAAAGGGUCUUGUAGUCGGAUUUUAUUUUCAUCACGGGUCUGGUAUUAGCUUAAUUUGUAUUAAGCUAAAAAAAAAAAAGAGGGAACCGUUACUAUAAAUGGAAAGAGAGAGGAGUUGGUUUCCAAAAAUAGAAAGAGAGACAUGUUUGACCCGACCGCGACUUGCGACUUUGACUCGGCUCCAGCCGUUGAUUCCGGCCACCACUCCGGCCGAUCUAGGUACCGAUUUGAAGCUUGAAAGAUGAGCAACAUAUCCCUGCCAUCUUCGUCGCUGGAUAAUGGCCAGAUUACCGGCGAUUUAGCUCGAAAAGAUCACGUCUCCACCCGUUUUAGUUGCCAUCGAUUUCACUGGAAUUAGGCUGCAUCACCACUUGGAUCUUGAUCCUCAACUCACCCUCAUCGUUUUUCGACCAACCCCACCACCUAAAACCUUCGUUUUGGCCAUGAACAAUUGUCGGAAAGCUCACAGCUUUGGGAGCAUAAUCCGCCGCCAUCGCUGCGCGUGGGAGGUCACUGCGGGCACCAUUGGACUCAUCGAGGUCAGAACUGUCAGGUCUGAGCUUCCUGUCGUCGUUGAUUGAAUUCCCGUCACCGUUGACCGGUAGGGGCAAUUCAGAGGACCCGCGAAUGAGAAUCACCCGCGAACAUUGUUGAUACCGAGUCUGGACAUCGUCACUAUGAGUGGAAUAUUCAAAACAUAUUUUCAUAGUUUAUUAUGAUAGUAAAGCAUAUUUAUGAAAUGAGUAUUUUAAUUAUUCUGAUUUCAUGAUUUUCUCGAAAUGGAUUUUAUUCACACAUUGAUAUUUUAUUAAAAUGUUAGUUAAUGGUUUUCCGAAUUGAUUUUGAAUAAAUCAUGCUAGUAAUUUUAAGACUAGAAAAAAUGUGUUAGUGAAAAGAAUAAUAUGAUUGAUAGUAUGAUUAAAAGGUAUAUGGUUAUGAGUAUAAAGAUUGUUUUGAAGUCAUUAGACAGUACCCUUCCCCUCCAGAUACAGUGAUACAUAUGAUAUGAGAUGAGAGGCCUUUGCGGCCCGUCUGAGUACACACAGAGGCUUUGGGCCGUGUACUUGGGCGCAUUGUCGUUUGGGGACCAGAUCGUGCAUGCACAAAUAUGAUGAGACAUGAUGAGAUAUAUGAGAUGAUACUUACCGGUCUAUCCGUGUAGCUCCAGCGCAUGAUGGUACUUAGAUAGUACGUUAUUGGCUAUCCGUUGAGGUCCGGAAAUGAGACAUGAUGAGAUCUAUGAGAUGAUACUUACUGGUCUAUCCUUGUAGCUCCGGGGCAUGAUGGUACUUAGAUAGUACGUCAUUGCCUGUCCGUUGAGGUCCAGAUAUGAGAUAUGAGACAUAUGAGAUGACAUUUCGUUGUCUACCUGUUGUAGCUCCAGGGCAUGAUGGUUCCCUGAUUGCCCGUCCGUCGAGGUCCGAGUAUGACGAGAUUAUUCCCGUGGGUACUUGUUUGGUGAUAGUUUUCAGUAUUCAAUGUUCGAUAUUAUAAGUGUUAUGAUUUAUGAAAUAUUGUUAUUCCAGUGUAUGAUUUAAAUUAAAUAAGUUUAUUUAACGUCUCAUGAAAUUUUGAUGGGAUUGUUUAGAGAAGAAUUAAAUUAUUUUUAAGUAAAUUUAUUUUUCAAAAACUAUUAUCCACCCACUGAGUUCACUGAGUUUUAUACUCACCCUGUUUUUAUUAUAUUUUUCCCCCCCAUAAGAGACUUGCAGGUACAUCAGUCGACCCAGCAACGAUAGUUAGAUUUGAAAUUAUGGCCACAUUAUGGUGUUAGGAAUCAUAGAUAUUAUGUUGGGAUAUUGUGAAUUGUAUAAUUUAUUACUUAUUUGUGAUUAAGGAUAAAUUAUUGUAUUCUUGACAUUAUAUGUUUGAAGAAUACUGGUAUUUGAUUGAGGAAGUUGGUUGUGGAGGUUGAUUGAAUAUUGUAUCACUUUUGGGAGUGUUAAUUUUAUAAAUUGCAGGUUUGGGGAUGUCACAAUUAUAUAUGAGACUUCACUAGAUUUUUUGUAGAAUUAUUAGAUAUUAGAAUUAUUAUUAAUUCAUUUAGGCGAGAUUAGAUAGAGUCAUCCUGGGAGUUCGAGGGGGGGUCGUUUCAAGCUCAUUAUGCCAAACAGUAAUGAUCUUACACUAAGGAGCCAAUAUAUCAUACAAAAUCUAGAGAAGAUUAUUACUGUCUAUCAAUGAUAAGCCAAAACAAUCCAUAUAAAUGAGAGAGAGUUAAUAAACUUAUCAUAUUAAGUCCAUGGAUCAUGUUGAGGCUUCACUCUCCACUCAAGCUUGAAGUUAAAUUAGUCACUUAAAUCGAACUAGCUAUAUAAAAUGGUAAUUGAACUAGCUAUAUAAAAUGGUAUUUUUAUACUAAAAUACGUAGAAAAUACAAGAUGGAGAGAGAAUUUUAGAAAAUAGAAUUUUCAAAUUAGGGAGAAGUCCUCUAUCUACAGAUACAAUGGGUAAAUCAUGGCCAUCAAAUGAAAAUAACUCAAAUGCUCAAGAUUGCACCAUGUGACAAGCUCUUAUUGAACGAAACAUGUUACCAAAGCUAUGAUUCGAUGAAUUACAUGUAACGCACUCUUAGUUUUUUGGUUUAAUAAUAUGUUGCCACAUCAUCUAUCAACAUAAAAGUCAACUAGCAUUGAUUCAGUGUAUUGCAUGUAUCGUAAGCUCAAUUUUUGGUCCAAUAGGAUGCUACUAUGUCAUCAGUCAACAUAAUAGGAUGAAGUCAUAUCAUCGGUCAAUGCCACAUCAAUUGGGUCCCACUAAAAUCGUAAAAUUAUGAUUUUACCCUUUAUAUUUUUCCUAAGAUUUUUAGUUAUUCUAAGCUCCAAAAUACUAUCUAUUAUGCUGUCCAAUUUCUCAUUAACUGUAAAAUAACCAAAAUACCACUAAAAUACAUAAAAUAUUCAAUUAUACAAAAACACGCGCAAUCAAAGUUUAAAAAACUUAAAUACAUAAAAGUAUAAAUGUUAAUGAGACUUGGAGUGCAAAAUGAUGAUUCUAACCUUUUUAAAUAGAUAGCAUUUUUUACCUUAGAAUCUUUAUAAGGCAAGUCUCAUAGCAAAAGAAUUUAUUUAGGAGAAAGGUAUUUUCUCUCUAGUUGUGAAAUAUACUUUUGUUUCUAUCCGACUUUCUUACAUAGGGAUAUGGAGGAGGAGAUCUAAAUGACUCAAUUUUCUAGUUUCAAAGUUGCUGAAAGGAGAAUUAUACGUGUAGGAUGGUUAAAUGAGAUUUUAUCAAGGGCAUAAUUCACAAGAAAUUAACACAAUUACUAUGUUUACUUUAGAAUACUACAAUAUGAAGCUUUCAUCCAUUUAUUACUCUAAUUAAAUGAAAGGCUUAUAGCUUUCAAGGAAUAUAGAUGAAAUUGAAAAAGCAGAUGGCUUUUGAGAUUGAGAUGAAAGACUUGAUAAUGCACAGAGAAUACUUGCGAUGGAGAUUUCGUAAAGACAAGAAGAAUGAAAGCAUAUAGUUUACUUAAGGGUCUAUUUUUAGAAAAGGCGCUAGAAAGGUUCGGUAUAAAUGACAAAGAUUAAACUAAUUUGUACUUCUUCAGCUCCUAAGCUUCAUGUCAUUCUCCUCAAGUGGAACAUGAGUACAUGGUUCACAUUCAUAAACCUGUGCUAUAGGUAGUCUUAUAGAUGUGAUGAUGUGUAGAAAGUCUGAUAUAUCUGAAGCAGUGAGCAUAGUUAGUAGAUUCGGAUAAAAUUCUCUAGCUUGCUAUGAUGUGGAUUCUCUUAUAUGAGUAUGGGAUAAUUUGUGAAAGCAUUUCUUUUAGGAGUCGUGAACUACUAUCGACUUGAUCCCAGUAGUUAAGUAUGUAAGCAGUCGAAGCGACACAACCAUUUUGGAUCCUUAAUGGAGGAUCACUUUAAGGAUGUUGAUUCAUUGAUAGUCCGCUCAAAUUUAGAUAAAUAUUUUUUAGGUAGAGAAUUGUUGAAAAGUCAAAAGUAAAAGGGGGCUCACAUGUUGGAUUCAUUUUGAAUACACCGAAAUCCACGUGCCUUUCUUGAAAAAAUCAAGAAGAGUUGGAGCCACAUGUUGGCAAUUUGGAAAAGUUGGAGCCAUUUGUCAAAAAAAAAAAAAGAAAUUGGUUGCCAAUUUCUUAAAAAUUUGUUGUGAAAAUUAAAUGCAUUCAUGGUAAGGCUUAGCUAUAAAUAGAGAAGUUAUUCUCAUUUGUAAAUCAUUCAAAAAAUGUAGAAUGUGAGAGCUUAGGUGAAGAGCUCUCUUAGAAAAUGUAGAGAGAGUUCAUUAUGAGAGAGUCUAGAGAAAUGGAGCAUCUACAAUUGAGCUCUUAGAAAGUUUGGAAGAGUGUUUCGUUGGGUGCUCAGUUUUGCACUAUUUGUAAAAAUGUGAGAGAAUGUGUCUUGCGAAAAUUGUUUCCUUCAAGAGUGUAUGAGAGUACUGGGUGUAUUUAAGUAUUUGGGAAGUGAGAUUUCGUUAUCAAAUUUGUACUAUAUUAAUUAUUAGUAAAAUAAUUUUUCUCUCUUGCUUCUGUGGACGUAGGCCUUAUUGCUAAACCACAUGAAGUUCUUGUGUCCUUUAUUUUUUAUGAAUAUUUGGUGUGUAUUGAUUCUCCAUUUGCGCACUAGUGGUAUCAAACCAUAACACAACAGCAAGAAACUACUAUGAUGCAAAGAAUGUUAUAAGAGAUGCAUUUGUCUAUUAAUUGUACAAUCGUUUUCUUGAUGAUUGUCCAGUUCUAUGAUGCAAUUUGCAGAUUGUGAAGACAAAUGUACUUUUAGUUACAUUAAAUUUGCAACAAAAAUAUGUCACUAAAAUGUUUUGAAAUUGAUUGGAUGGUACUAAGAGACUCAAGUUCUCAUUCCAGUGUUCAAAUCUUUAGAGUAGGAGUUGGCAAACCGAACUGGACCCGAAGUAUUAUCAGUUCGAUUCGAGUUUUUUCUAGUUCAGUUGGGUAUUAUUCUCAGAAAAAACUGAAUAUUUUGGUUCAAAAUAAAACUCAAUACUCCAGUUGAGUUUUUAGUUCAAAAUUUCAAAUCUAAAAAUUGAACUAAAAAACCAAACAAAUAAAUGAAAGAAAUGUCGUGUGGGGUUUAGAGAGGAUAUAAUUAAAUCGGUUCAAUUAAGUUUUUUCAAUUUUGGUUCGUCUUUUUCCAUUUCGAUUCGAUUUUUUAUAACUCAAAAAUUGAAUGGAUUAAUACCGAAACCAAACCAGUUUUUUAAAAUUCCCAAACUAAACCAAAGUAGUGCCCAUCCCUGCUUUAGAGUAUAGGACUCUUGAAGAUUGUCUUCAUGGUUAGCCAUAAUAUUUGGAACUUUCAUAAAUGAAAUAUAAGCUGAAAAUUACAAUAGAGACAGUAAAUUAUAUUGCUUAUCUUGAUAUUGGAUUCCUUUGGCCAAUUAUAUUUAGAGAUAUCAAACCAUCAAGUAUCUUAGAGAAGACCACAUUGCAAAACUAUUUGAUUUUUCCCUAUUUGUAUAUAUUCGAGAGGGUGAAACUCAUGUGAAAGAUACAGUAAAAGUGACAUAUGGACUCGUAACACUACAAUACUUUAUUACGGGUGAUAUCAAUGAAAAAUGCGAUGCUUUUACCUUUAAUAUAUAGCUACUUAAUCUUUUGGCUGGAAGAAUUGCUGAACUUCCUCAUUUUAAUGCUAGUGGAGAUGAAUGGCUUUCAGUAAAUUAUGUGAAAGAAAUAUCAAACAUAAUAAAUUUAAUAGCAAGGUAGAUCUCAUAAUUCUUGGAACUCUGAAGGAACAGAUUUUCCAAGCUUUUACAAAGCUUGCCCUUAACUGUGUCUCUAAAUCAGCAGAAGAUAGGCCAACAAUUAAUGGUUCAUAUGGCAAAACCACUUAUAAAAUUGUAUCACUCUAGUUCUCCGCACCCUAGUUAUUCUCAUUAUUAAUACUUGUGAAGUUGACAAAUGAAUCUAAGUUGAAUUCAGAAAUACGGCAACGUUUUAAGGCUUCUUAUUGCUUAAGAGACUCACGUGCAGCUCAGCUGCUCUCAGCAUAAAACAAAUGCAUCUAAACGACUUGACUAAGGCGCGUUUAGAUGAGCCACUUAAGUGACCACGUGAGGAAGCACAUGCAGGAGUCUGAAAUAAGUUCGUUAAGUUUGUUAUCCACGUGUUAACAAACAAAACAAUCUGGUAAUUCCUUCUUGGCCUAUAUAAAGGCUGAGAAUGAGGAUCAGUAAAGCAUGGUACGGAGUGAGUCUUGUAGAGAGAGUUCUAAAGAGAGAAAGAGUGCAUCUUGUUCUCGAAUAGGAUCUUGUAAAGGCUCUGUGUAAAAUCUCCAUUGUAGAAUCAAUAAAAAGCUCAUCAAAGACUUCUCCCGUGGAUGUAAACAUAGUACUUUGUGCUAUGUUGAACCACGUAAUCUUUCUGGUUCUUGGUUGGUUUUUCUUUUGAUUCUUGGUUCUUUCUGGUGCUUGGUUAAAUCCAAUUUAAUUACUUAAGCUGUGACAGAUUCUCUUCGAUCUUAAGCUUUGUGCAACUUGUGUUUGAUCUGAUCUAAAGAAUCCUGGGCAGUAACUAGUUUGUUUAAGGUUAUAAAACUGACGAGUUACUACAAUACUUUUUAAGCUUUGAUUGUUUAGUUUUAUACAAAGUGAGUGAAUUGUGGGACCUUUAUUUUGACUAUGGAUCUUUCCUUCUACGUAUCUUGUUGAUACUUUAUGUUUCUCUAAUUGCACCAACUUUAGUUAAGGCAAUUAAAGAGCUAAUAGUGAUUUGUUUGAAGAAAAAAAAAUAUUCUUUUUUUACUUUUACAUUAUCUGAUAAAGAAUUGUUAUGAAAUGAUUGGCUUAAUUUCAAGUGAUUAUUUGGGACAAAUGUUAUGCUUCAGUUUACUUUAACUUCUUGAUAGUUCAAUGGAACACAAUUAAAAGCUUUACACCAUCGGAGUAAAUGUGAUGAAUCAAUGAUUGUAUGAGUCUUGUGUUAAGUCAAAAUCAAUUAUUUAGGACCAUAAUUGAUAGCCCCGAGGACAGAAUGCAUAGUAAUGUAUGGCUUCGUUUAUGUCACAAAUGUCACACUAAUCAUUGAACACAUGGUGAUGAGGAUUACUCUUAAACUUUCAAUGGCAAAGUUUCAAUUUAUAGACUGUUAUAUCAAAGCUCUCUCUCAAGCUUUUAAAGGCAUUGGGUUUUCCUUAGCUGAACACACUUGAAUUGGCAAGCUAGAGAUACAAGUUUUAAUACUCUAUUUCUUUUUCUUCAGGUACUUUGCGUGUAAUUUACCUUUAUAUUUUUUUUUCCAAUGAUUUCAUUCUAGAAUUACAAGUUGUACUCCUUGUUUUAUCUUGCUUUAACUCAAUAAAAGCAUUUUAUUGGCUUAUGAAUAGGUGUUAGAUGAGUUCUUUUUUUAGAAAUAAAAUCAAGCCACUACUAGAAAAAUGAUCUUUAUUAACACUUGGUUUAUGACAAUUUUUAAAAAAAUAUCAGUAUGUUCAUACAUAUGGACCAUUUUCCGUGUUUAACAUAAAAAUAUCACAAAUUACUGAUACUAGAAUGUCUGUAACUUAGACAUCAAAAAUUUCUGACAUUAAGGUAUCAAUAAUAAAAAUAAAGUAAUUCUAAUUAAGUUCCAAAUAAAACUCCAACCGAGAACCUCUAGUACUCAAGCGUUUAAGUUUCCAAAAAAAGACCAGGACGUCCAAAUCUCAAAUUUUCUAAUUUAGAAAACUAACUACUAAACCAAACAUUAAUUUUUUUUUAACUUUUAAUUUAGAGAAAAUUUUUAAUCUAUCUCGUCCCUCCUAAACUCCCCAAAUCUAAAAAACCCUAACUUCACCAAAUUCACAAAACUCUAAUCUAACUGCGUCGUCUUAUCAACCCCGACUCUUCUCUCAACCACUUUUCUUUUAUCUUUCUCUUACAAUCCAACGCAAUCUCUUACUAUCUAACUCAAUUUUUCCCUCUCAAUCUUGCCUCUCUUCAACUACCCGAAGGAGAAAGGAAAAUGAAGAAGACUCGCCCAUUUGAGUCGUUACGAGCCAGAAAGCGUACCGACGAGCGCGUUUGGAUCCGCGAAGGCAAUUGCUCGAAUGUUCCCCUAACCCAACCCGGGAACGGAACAGACUGGAGGGAACCGCAGUGAAUCAUCGCUUUUGGGCACAGGCAGCCCUCUACCAUCCAUCCCAUUGCAUUCCAUCGUCUUGCUGGCUCAGCUCAACAAUACAGGUUUCGCUUCCUCUCCCUUGCGGUUGAGCCUGCUCUCGAUCCAACUUAAUUUUUCCCUCUCAAUCUCACCUCUUUUUAAUCCCUAACCUUAAAAUCUUUCUAUUACAAUCCAACAGAAUCUCACACGGUCGUGAAAUUCUAGCCACUUUUUUGCCUAAUGCCAAUCUUCGUUAUCGAGAAAAAUGAUUUGAGGGUUUAAUUUAGCUCCAAGAUCGUGGACGGAUGCCUUGGUCAAAGUUAAAGAGUGUUGUUAGAGGCUGUUUAAAGAAGAAGAAGCAGAAGCACCACUUAGGUGAAGCAGUUGUAGAUCUGGGCAUGGUAAAUAAAUAAGGUGAGCAUUAGCUAAAUAAUUAAUAAUUAUUAAAUAUUCUCUACUUAUAUGUGAAUUUAGUAAGAAAUUAAUUUAGUUCUUUUUGUUGAAUUUUAAGUAGGUUUACUAAUUCUUUUAUUUUUAUUAAGCUAAUACACGGUUUUGGAAUUUUUUUUUUUUCCACGUUUUGAUUUAUUGAUAUUUGAAUGGUAAAAGUUGUGUUAGUCAUUCAUAGUUUUUGGAGACUGGUAUGGGGUCUGCAAAGUGUUUGAUGAGAUGCUUGUGAGAAUUGUUGGGUGCGUUUCAAUUAGUUGACAUGGUUAGCAAAUUAUAUGCUAACAGGGUACCCAAAUCUCCCCCUUCUCUUCAGGGUAAUUCCAUGCAUUUCUUCUUCCUCUGUUUACACUCUCCUCAUUAUUUUUGGUAGAUAUGUCAUUGUUCUAUAUUAAUGUGUACAAGAUUUCUAUUUUUGUGGGUUUUGUGUUUCUUUUAUGAUCAUGCUUAUCUACUCUUUCGAAUGGAUGAACAAAAUGUUAUUGGAGGAGAUAAGCAGCUGGUUCACUAGGGGGGAAAAAGUUGUUAGCUUUUGAUUGACUCAUUGUUUUGAGAAUGAAGUACCUCUGUUUUUAUUAUAUACAUUAAACGGAAAAAGGCUUAAGCUUUUAUGAAUAAAAAUUCUUACUUUUGCUGUGUACUUACUCUUUGUGAUGAGAUUCUUCUGCUUUGAUUUUGUUUUGGAAGAAAACCUGAGAUCAAUGAUGUCAAUUAGCACAAGUAGAAAAUGAUAAUCUAAUGUUUUACGUGUCUUUCUUUCAUAGUACAUGGAAACUAUGUAUGAGUGCGUAAGAGAGAAAUCAUGAAAUAAAUAACUUGACGAUGACCGUGUCGUCGUCGACGGUCUUGUCAUCAUUGGCAGUGGUACUGUUGAGAGAAGAAAGAAAAUGGUGAGGACGAGGGGACUGAAGUGAGAGUGGAUAAGCUGAUAAAAUUUUUAAUUUCUCAGCAUUUCUUUUAGUCUUUCUUUCUAUUUGCCUGCAGCAAUAACAAGAUCAUAAUUGAACUUUUGUAACCAUGGUUGCUGCUAGUGCUUUGACACUUUUUGUUGUGAUCUUGAACACUACUGCUGCUGAUUAGUCUAACAGAAUGUUAAGCAUGCUGAAUGUUGAUCAUCAAUGGGCCGCAGGUUGUUACUCUUGACUUCAGUUUAAUUUGAUAAUUUCAACCAUAUUGUAUGAUUGUUUCCUUAUUUGUUUAUGUUGUACAGUGUUGAAGUCCAAAGAUGAAUAUGUUCAGCUUUCUUAUCACUGGUGCUGGUAGUGAGAUAUAUCCACUCUUAGGUUUCAACCAUUUAAAUAAGCCUCUCUAGCGUAUUUUUGAAUAUGGAACCCCUUGGACGUGUUCUGCCCUGGCCAUCUUUGCGCACUUUUUUCUUGCAUUUUAUACUUCUUGGCUGCAUUAAAUGUAUCGGUAUGUGCCAUUCCAAAUCCUAUAAGAUUUGAUUCCUCGAGGAUUUCAGUGCAGGGCCUAGAAGGUUUUUGUUUCGUCAUACCUUUGGUCGACUUCAAAGUGAGGAGGCAUGUACCUCUUUUAAUUUAUAGAUGCUAUUUUUACCCUAUCAACCUACUAAUAGAAGUAACAGUUGCAUAAAAUUCUUUUUUAACAUGUUCAUUUCAACUGAGGUAAACUCUCAGGUUCAAAAUUUUGUGUGAUUCAGUAAUCGUUCGAAUAUAUACACAGGCAAUGUUUGUAAGAGUUGAGAAAAAUGUAAAUGAGCUGAACCUUUCUGGUGAGCUAAUGAAGAAAGAGAGCAAAAAACUACUUGAAAGGGAAGCCCUUGCUGAAAAGGAUAUGAUACGUGGAGAAACUGAGCUCAAGUAAAGUGAUCCCGAAAUGCUUCAAGAUGUUUGUGUGGCAGACCUCAGUUCCCGUAUUCCUCUAUCUCCCUUACUUCUUUGCAUUUCUUUUUCUUUCUUUUUUUUUUAUGUUUAAUAGAAAUAAAAGAAUUGUUAAUCUGGCAAUUGAAACUGUUGUCUUUGAAUUAUUCUUUUAAACCAUAAUCUUAAAUGCAUCAUCACCAAAUUUGUAAAAUUAGUCAAGUUAGCGUGGCAUUUAUAUUUUAUGCAAUAAAUGGCAUUGUGGUUGUGUUCAUAUCUUGGCGGUCCAAAGCUCCACAGAAGCAAUUAUAUGAGCAUUUUUAUAGCAGUGCAGGCAUGCAGGCGGGCUCGUCUCAAGUUCAAUAUUAUGGGCACACAAAAUCACUAGGCAGGAGCACUUUCCAGGGCAGCAGAUACUCUUUGCAGGUCCCCUUCCCAAGUCUCCUAAUCAAGAAGACAAGAAUUUCCUAUUUCACGAGCUUUCAGCUGAAGCAACAUUACAGAGAAACUGCUAGUGUGAUAACACAAAUGCACUACUUAUGUUUAAAGAGUGAAAUGCAGUCAUCCUUAUCAAUUUAGCUUUUAAAUUUGUUAAAUGUAGCCGCAAUUAGUAGGCAUUUGAUUGGAUGGUAGAAAUUCUUAUGUAUUUAAGAUUAUUUAGUUACGAGAAUAUGAUAUCUUGUUUUUUGAAGUAUUUGGGAUUUGUAAUAUAUACUAAUAAUAUUUAAAUAAGAAAUUAAAGAUUUUGUAAUAUAUAUCAAGUUUUUUUUGUGGUUAUUUUGUGGUGUUUUUUAAUUUCACCAAUAAAUCAACAGCCAAUUCAAAUUUUUAUUUUUUUAAAAUAAAUUAAACAGUGAUGCAAUAGUAACAGUAAUCACAAACACUAAUAAAAUAUCAAUAACUACUAAUACCAUAGUGUCAUAAAUAUAGUAAUAUUGUAGUAAUAGUAAUUACUGACACCACUUAUAAGUGUCACUAUUUUUCUGACUGUCAGAUUACUGACACAAUUAGCAAGUGUCAGUAAAAGUAAUUACUGACACUAUUUUAACAUCAGUAAAAAUCAUUUUUCUAGUAGUGAGCGUUCAGAAAAGGUAGAUAAGCAAACAUUUAUGAUAAGGAAUGAAAAAAAUUUACAAGAAAAAUUCAUUAUCACAUGUAAUAAUAAAGGUGAUAUGAAGAUGGUUGGUGAAUCAAACCAAUUCUCUAGAAAAUGACAAUGUUUGAGACUUGAGAAGCUUUAUAAAGUCACGUGCUACUCAUAUUACAUAUAACAGAAAAAUGUCUUCACGAAACGACAUGCCAAUUGUGUGUUUUGGUCAAUAGUUUAAGUAACCGCGUGAGGAAACAUGUGUUGGAGCUUGAUUUCAUGUUAGUUAAGUUUGUUAACCACGUGUUAACAAACUGUACAAUCUGGAAAUAAGUCUGUUAUUGAAAUAAGGUAUAUAAGCUGGUUUUGAUAGUUAUCUUCAGGUGUGAUUCUAAAGUCUUGGAGAAAGAGAUUUAAGAAAGAGAAAGCAUUAUCUUGUUCUGGUGUAAGGCUCUAUAACCGACUCUAUUAUUGAAUCAAUAAAAGCUUAUCUAAAAGCUUAUUAAUCGAUUCUUGUUGAUGUAUUGAUAAUGAUUUGAUAUGUUUAAUCUUGUAUUUGUGCAACUUGAAUUUAUUUGAUCAAAGAGAUCUUGGGCAGUGAUCAGUUUUGUUUACUUUAAAAACAAGUUUGUUACUACAAUUAGUUUCAGAGCUUAGUGUCUUUUGAUCAGAUCCAAGUACGGCAUCAUCCAAGGUUGAUAUAGAGAAAUUUACAGGUAAUAAUGAUUUUAAUAUAUCGAAUAUUAAAAUGGAAACUUUGUCGAUUACUCAAGGUUUGGUAAAUGCAAUUGAGCCUGAGACCAAGAAGGGGCGAAUAGAAGCUUCUUCAUCCAAGACUCCAGAAUAAGCUACUAAAAUUGAUAAGAAAUCCAUAAGCACUAUAAUCCUUAGUCUUGGUGAUUUAGUCAUUAGGGAAGUGGAAAAAGAAAAAACAAUGGUUGGUUUAUGGACUAAGCUUGAAUGCCUCUAUAUGACCAAGUCUCGUGCAAACAAGCUCUAUAUUAAAAAUUGGAUGUUUACCUUGAGAAUAGUGGAGCGAUCUUCACUGGAAGAUCACACUGAUAAGUUCAAUAAGGUGUGUGAUAUUUUAAAAUCCAUUGAUGUUGAAGGGAAGGCUCUCUUAUUGAUUAGUUCAUUACCAAAAUCCUUUGAGAAUUUAGUUGAUGCCCUGGUGUAUGUAGAUAAUGAAAUGAAAUCUGCUCUCAAUACAAGGGAGCUCCAAGAAAAGUAAGUUCACAUAGAGAAUGGUACGAGUGAACGAUUAACAGCAAAGGGGAAGAUUGGCAAAAAAAAGAAGUACACGAAAUAAAAGAACAAAACUAAAAAUCUGAAGUAUUUUUCAGUGCCACAAAAAAGGCCACUUUAAAAGGGAUUGCCUUGAAAGAAAAAAAAAAAAAAAACAAGGCCAAAGAUUCAAGAAACUAAGGUGGAGAUGCAGCUGUAGUGGAAGAGGAAAGUUAUGAGUCUACUAGUGUAUGUGUGGCAAUAGAACAUAGCUAAAAAGGUAAAUGGGCUCUAGACUUUGGAUGCACCUUUCACAUAUGUCCCUUUUAAGAGUGACUUUACUGAAUAACAAGAAUUUGAUAAUGGUAGAAUGAUGAUGGGUAACAAUUCAAUUUGUAAACUCAUUAGAAUUGGUAAUCUUAGUCUUAAGCUACAUGAUGAUUCAAUAAGAGUUGUUAAGCAAGUCAGGCAUGUACCAAACUUAAAAAGGAACUUAAUUUCCCUUGGAAUGUUAGAUCAAAUGGGGUGUAGCGUUAUGCUUGAAUCAAGACAGUUAUAUAUCUUAAAUGGUUCUAAUCUGGUCAUGAAGGGGACUAGGAAGAACAGGUUUUAAAUCUUGGAUGAUGAAGUGAUAUUUGGAGAGGCAUGUGUAUCAAUAAAGCGUACUGAAGAUAAAACUAGGUUAUGGCAUAUGAGAUUAUAACACAUGAGUGGGAAAGGCUUAAAAAAGUUAGAAAAACAGGGUAUGUUUUGUUCUGGCAAGAUUAUAAAUCUGGAUGUGAGGUACAAUUUCUUAAAUAUAGUAGAAUUUAUUUUUUUAAGCUAACAAGCCCCUUAAGUUUAUAAUAUUUAAUUAAUGAUGACAUAAGCAAUGACAUAAGAAAAGAUUAUGUAAGCGACGACAUAAGCGAUGAUGUAAGAAGUGUAGAGAAAGUUAAGAAUUCUAGAAUUUAGUAAGUUAUUUAUGAAGGUUAAUCUCAACCAUUGAUCAAGAGUUAUGGUGGCAAAAUCCUAGCCAUCCAUUAGCCUUAAGAAAUCCUAUAAAUACCCCCACCACCUUUCAUUUUCAAUCCAACCUAUAAAUUUCAUUCUCUUCUAUUCUAAGUCAUAAUAUCAAGAGUAGAGAAAUCCUCAAUUUAGAAAGGUCUAGAGAAGUCAAUGUCAAGAGGUAAGUAACACUUCAACUGCAAUGUAGGGACAAAAUUCAUUUCAUACUUAAGUUCGGUUUUAACAAUUCCUUUAUAUUAUGAUGGCUAUUAUAACAUGAUUAGUUAUAUUCUAAAUCUUUAAAUGGUCAGCUCUGCCGCCUAAUAUGUGAUACUUAUAUUUAAUUAUGCUAUGAUCGGUUAUGCCGCCUAUAUUGAAGAAUGUUGUUCUUAGAUAGUGUUGUGUGUUGAUUUUGUUAUGCAUUUAGGAGCUCAAAUGUUAGGACAUAAGUUGCGUUGAAUGCAUGCAUAUCAUGGAUUACAUUAUGAAAAAGAUGUUUCAGAAAAAUGAAUUUAUGAAAAAUAAGUAGUUGUACUAUCAGGUGGCAAAGUUCUAAAGAGGACAACCCCUCAAAGGUAAGUUAAAAGAAAUCUUUUGGGGACGACGAUACAUAACACCCAAAAGAUCAAUUAAUGAGACCUAAGGGCAUAUUGUUUAAAGAAUAAAAGUGUCAGCCUUGUAGUGUAACAUACCUAGGGCCCUAAUAAAUUUGUUUUGUAUUUUCUAAGUUUAUUUUAAGAGCUUACUAUGGUCAUCCAUAUACAUCAUAAUUUAUACAUGCAUCAAAGUGUUAUCUUACUGGGCCUUAGCACACUAAGUCCUUACAUUGCAGGUAACGAUGAGUAGGGCAAGAUGGCGCCAAGUCCUAAUAAAGACGAAGUGCAUAUGGGCAUGAUAGACCUUGGGAUUUUAUAAUGGGCUCAGCUUUGUUUCAAUAAAAAUAAACAUCUUAGUUUUGUGUAAAAUAAAGUUUUUAUACUAAGGAGUUUCUGUAUGACUCUUACUUCUUGUAAGAAAGGUUUGUUUGUUGUAAACUCUUAGAAUUCGUAUUUAUAUUAAAAGUAACCGUGUUUUUAAUUAUUUUAAGUAAAUAAUAUAGUGGAGUGUUACACUGGAACUUUGUAAGGACUAUGUUCUAGGGAAGUCUUCAAGGGACAGUUUCAAAAGAUCAACUCAGAAAUCAAAUGAGAGGCUGGACUAUAUGCACACUGAUUUAUAAAGGCCUACUCAAAAUGUAUCUCUAGGAGGGAACACAUAUUUCUUGUCCAUUAUUGAUGAUUUGUCUGGGAAAGUCUACGUGUAUGAUUUAAAGGACAAAGACUAGGUAUUUGAAAAGUUGAAAGAGUGAAAGCAAUUGGUUGAAAACCAAAUAGGAAAUAGAUUAUAAAGUUAAGAACAGAUAAUGGUUUGGAAUUUUAUAAUCAGCUAUUUGACAGUUUUUGUGCAAAUUAGGGUAUUUCAAGGCACAGAACAGUAAGAAUGACCCCACAAUAAAAGGCUGGCUGAAAGGAUGAAUAGGACUCUUAUGGAUAAAGUAAGGUGCAUGUUAGUUCAGUCCAAGCUUCUUAAGGCUCUGUGGGUAGAAAUCUUACUAACAACAUGCAAUCUUAAGCCACUCAACUGCCAUUGAUUAUAAAACAACAUUUGAAAUAUAGUCAGGGAAACCUGUUGACUAUGGAAUCCUUAGAGCUUUUGGUUGUCCAGCCUAUGUUCAUAUCAGUCAAGGUAAACUUGCUCCAAAGGCUUUGAGAGGUGUGUUCAUAAAAUAUCUAGAAGACGUAAAAGAAUAUAAGAUUUAGUGUACUAACCUUAAUCCACCCAAAUGCAUAAUAAGCAGAGAUGUAAUGUUUAAUGAAGGUGUUUUGGUUAAAGACAGUCAAGCAUUUGUAGAAACAAAUGAAAUUCCAAAUCAAUUGAUAAAUUAGAGUUUAAAGUUGAGCCUUCUGAAUGAGGAAACACAAGUGAAACUACAGAUUCAGAUAGUGUUACAGAAAAUGAAGAAGACAAAUAACCACCUCAAGAUCAAUAAGGUUCUCAGGGAAAAUCCAAAAUUGUCAGCUUAUCAGAGAUAAAGAGAAAAUGCAGAUCAAACCACCAAAAAGGUUUGGAUAUGUAGAUCUUAUUGCCCAUGCUCUAGCAGCUGCAAAAGACAUCGAUGAUGAGGAACCUAAGAGUUUUACAGAAGCAACUCAGAGCCUAUUCAAGGAAGAAUAACGAAGGGUUAUAAAUGACAAAAUGGCUUCUUUUUAUAAGAACAACACAUGGGAGUUUGUUAAGAAGCCUGAAAAUAGGAGAGUGGUUGAAUGCAAAUUGAUCUUCAAGAUCAAAGAGGGCUUAAGUGGAUCUGAACCAAAGAGAUUCAAAGCUAGACUUUUGGCUAAAGGUUAUACUUUAAGGAAUUUUUUCCUCUAGUUUUCAAAAAUGCCUCUAUAAAAGUUAUCUUAGUUAUAACUACUGUCCAAGACAUAGAGCUUGAUCAACUUGAUGUCAAGACAACAUUUCUACAUGGUAGACUUGAGGAAGAAAUACUAAUAUCUCAACCUCAAAGUUAUAUUUUCCUUAGAAAAAAAGAUCAUGUAUGCCAACUAAAGAAGUCUCUUUAUGGGCUCAAACAGUCUCCUAGGCAAUGGUACUUUAAAUUUGAUGAAUUCAUGCAAUUGCAUGAGUUUUUUAGAUGUAAUUAUGACUGUUGUGCUUACUAUAAGCUAAUCAAGGAUAGUUUAUACAAAUAUCUCCUUUUAUAUGUAGAUAACGUGUCAAUUGCUUAUAAGGAUAAGAGAGAGAUAGAUAAGCUAAAGAUGCUACUGAAUUCUGAAUUUGACAUAAGAAAUUUAGGGUAUACAAAGAAGAUACUGGGAAUGAAGAUCAAAAGGGAUUAAAGUAAAGUACAAAGUUUCCGUCACAAGAAAAAUACUUGAGAAAGAUGCUAAAAGUGUUUGAGAUGAGUAAUGUUAAACCUGUACAGUUACCUUUGGCACCACAUUUUAUGUUAUGCAAUUUGCAGUGUGCUCAAACAAAAGCUAAAAAGCAAGACAUGGCCAAUGUAACUUAUGCUAAGGCAGUAGGUUACCUCAUGUAUGCAAUGGUACUGACAAGACCUGACAUAGAAAGAGAUAUCUUAAUAGCACUGUGAGUUGUGGCUUGAUGUAUGGCAAAAUAAAAGUUAAUAGUGAUGGCCUGAGAGGAUAUGUAGAUUCAAAGUAUACAGUGAUAGCCUGAGAGGGUAUAUAGACGAUCACUCACAGAUUUUGUAUUCAUGCUCAAUGGUUCUGCUGUGAAUUGGAAGGCAACUUUACAAAUUGUAGUGGCUCUUUACAAAUUGUAGCUCAUGUUGUCAGUGCUACAGAAGUUGUAAAAGAAGCACUUUGGCUUAAGGAGUUGGUGAUCGAAUUAGGGUUGAAUCAAAAGUCAAUGCCUGUUUUCUGUGACAGUUCAAGUGAAUACACUUAUGCAAAAGCCCUGCACAUCAUGAGAAGUAAAAGGUUGUUGUGAAAAUAUAGUUGGCUUAUGUGAUUUACAAGAUAAAUAUGGCUUUAGAAAAGGAGCAAGAUUGAGAAGAACCUUUGAUUCAAGGUGGGGAAUUAUAAAGAUGGCUAGUGAAUCAAACUAGUUCUCCAGAAACAACAAUGUUUGAGACCUGAGAAGCAUUAUAAAGUUAUGUGCUACUCAUAUUACAUAUAACAUAAAACUGGUGUUUUGGUCAAUAACUUAAGUAACCACAUAAGAAAGCAAGUUAGUUAAGUUUGUUGACCAUGUGUCAACAAACUGUACAAUCUAAAAAUAAGCUUUCUAGGUAUCCAACCCAAAAAAUUAGACUAUUAGGUGGAGUGACCUAUCCUAUAUAUAAAUCAAGUAUCUCCCCUUUACUAGUUAAUGUGGGACACAACUCAAUAAUUUCCCCCAAAAAAAACCACUAUAAAACUUUGAUCCUUUCAUCUGACACAUUUGAGUUGUUCUACCACUACAUUCUAGUAAUAGGGUCUAGCUCUAAUACCAAUUGUUAGGAGAACGUGGCCUAGAAUUUCUAAGUAUCUAACCUAAAAGACUAGCCUAUUGGGUGGAGUAACCCAUCCUACUUAUAAAUUCAAGUAUCUCCUCUUUACUAACCCAUAUAGAAUACAACUAAUAAUCCCCCCUCGGACGAAACCACUAUUGCACUCUGGUCUUUUCAUUCGACAUACUUGAGUUGUUCCACUAUUACAUUCUGGUUAUUAGGGUCUAGCUUUGAUAGCAGAUGUUGAAAGGUCAACUUAAAAUGGCUUGCUAAUGGUGCUUAAACAAGUUUGGAAUCAUUAAUACCAAACCUUAGUAAAACUUUCUUGAUAUAGUACUGCUAAGUUAAAAAUAUAACUUUCUUUCUCCUAUCUCUGAUUAUUUCUAUCCCUAGAACCUUGUUUGCAGCUCUAAGAUCUUUCAUUUCAAACUCACUACUCAAAGACCCACAGACUAUUGCAUAGCAAUAGAAAACGACAAGAUUUCCUUACUCUAGCUCUAUUGGGAGUCUUAUGUGAUUGUAGUAAGCAAAUUUAUGAUUAAUCCAAGCUAUGAACAUUUGAGAGUAGUAUAGUGGUUAAUGAGGCACUUGAGGGCAUUGUAGAGUAUGAUUUCAUGUAUGGUGGAUCGAAAGAUGAAGAAUGCAUUUGGAUUAGUUGUGUUGAUUCCAACUUUGCAGGGCACCUUGAUAAAAGAAGAGGUUGUGUUGUAAACUAAAAGGCUACAUUACAGAGUGUGGUUGCAUUAUAUAAAUUGGAGGCUAAGUACACAACUAUUGCAGAAGCUUUCAAGGAGGCUAUUUAAUUUAAUGGAAUGGUCAUUAAACUUGGAGCAAAGUAAGAGUUAGUUAAUGUGUAUUAUCAUAGUCAAAGUGCAAUGCAUCUCAACAAAAAUCAGACUACUCAAGAAAGAACAAAGCAUAUUGAUGUGAAGUUGUAUUUUAUAAGAUUAGAAGUAUUAACAAGAAGUGUGAAGCUUAUGAAGAUACAUACAUAAGAAAAUCAAGCUGAUAUGCUUACCAAAGUUGUACCAUCUGCUAAGUUUAAUCUUCGCAUGAACUUAACAACGAUUUGUAGGUUUUAAUGGCUACAAGUGUUGAGGAAGAUAGCUGAUGAGAGUAGUUAAAGUUAUGAGUUCAAAGUGGAGAUUGAUAAGUAUGAACUCAAAACUCAAAUGACCGAUAUGUAAUUUUGAGGAUUCAUGCUUGUAUGACAUAUCAUUGUUAGAGUUGUAGCGUAGAACCAAUGUGGUUGAGUGUUAUUGUGAAUUCAAAUGCUAUUGGUGUCAAUGUACAAGUGUACACAAUAAGUAAUAUAAUAAUAAGUAUUCAAGAUCGUCUACACGUGGAUUGAUGUUACCAGAUUUAAUACAUCAAUCUGUAACAGUGCAAUGGUUGUUCUAAAUUUAAAUAAGAAAAUUGAUAAAAUUAAAUAACUAACUAAAAUAUAAAAUGCAAUAAUUAAAAAUUCAAUAAAUUAAAUUCUCAUGUCAAACACAAAAGUAACCAAUGGGAAUGAAGUAAUUGAGUGAUUAAACUUUCUUAAUGGUUUUGACUAUUGCUUGUAAUUUCCGGUUCAGUUGCUAUAGCAUCUGCUACAGCAUUGGGCAGAAUCCUUAUAUAUCCUUAGCUAUGGCAUGUUGGAUGUCUUAUAUCUGUAUGCAACCGAACAGUGACCAAUUGUUAUGCCAACAUAAGAUAUAGCAUUACACACUUAGAAUCUAUAUUACCCUAAAAGGUGAAUCCCUAUGUCUAGUUCAUCACUAAUUUUAGAUUAAGCAUGACCAUUUUGGAAUCAAGUGAAACUCAACUCAGGAAACCAAAUCUUAAAUCAAGUAUUGCUCUGAUAUGUUCCAUUAAGAUAGGCCAUUUUGUGGCUCUUUCUUAGCUUGUAUCAUUAAAUGGGUGGUCAACCGAAAUAAUGAAUAGAAUAAACUUUACCAAAACAAAAUGCUAUAGCAAACAUGCAGCAACAUAUAAACUUAGUCAAAAAACCAUUAAGAUUAUCUAUCACUCAACCACAAUUAAAUUAGUUCAUGGUUUGCGAAAGAACAAUAAAUAAAUGAGUUUCAGUCAUUAAACACAUCCCAAUGAAUAAAUAGAAAACAAGAGAAGAAUAAAAAGGGUUGAAUUCCUGAUUGAUUUUUGCAAAUUCUCCUUGUUGUAGCCCUUAGUUUAAAUCUUUAAUUCUCUUUUUGUUGGUUAUUUAUACUCAAUUGCUAUUAAUGUCAAUGUGCAAGUGUACACAAGAAGUAAUAAAGUGAUGAAUAUUCAAGAUCGUCUCCACAGGGACUGAUGUUACUAGAAAUGUUACAGCAAUCACGAUAGUGCAAACUUCCUUUAGUUCAAGAGGAAUCUAUUUAAAGUUGAUUACUACCGAAAUUAACAAUUGUAAGAAAAUAAAACAAAUAAAUGCAGUAAUGAAGUAAACUAGAUGAAUUGCGUAAAAAGAAUUUAAUGAGAAUGAAGUAGUUGAAUGAUCAAACUCUCUUCAUGGGUUGACUAUUUUUGUUCAAAUUAACACUAGUUGCUACAGCAAUUCCUACAGCACUGGGCAGAAUUAUUUUGGACUUCUCAUACCCUUAAGCACCCUAACAAUGAGUAGUUGUUAUUCUACCUAAGGUAUGGCAUUAUGAACGUACACUCUCUCUAUCCUACAAGGUGAAUUCCUAUAUCUAGUUCUUCACAAAUCUUAACUAAAGUGUGGCCCUUUUGGGACUCAAGUCAAACUCAAUCCAGGAAACUUAAAUUAAGAUCAAGUAUUACUCUAAUAAUUUCCACUAAGACAGACUCUUUUGCGGCUCUCUCUUAACUUGAACUAUUAAAUGUGUGCUCAACCAAAAUAAUGAUUGUAAUAAAAGCUAUCAAAGUAAAAUGUUACAGCAAUCUUGCAACAACUCAAAAGAACAGUCAAAACUCAUUGAGAUUGUUUGUCACUCAACUAUAAUCAAAUUUAGUUCAUACUUUGAAAAAGAAAAACAAACAGCAAAGUAGCAGCCAUGAAAUAUAUCAGUUCAAUCAAAGAAUAAGAAAAUGAACAAGUAAAGAAUGAUGAAAAUUGAAUCCAAAAAUAGUUCUGCUAAUUUCUUCACUGGUGCAGACUUGUUUUCCCUUGAACUUUGAUUUUUCCUCUUGAUUCCUUCGAUGUUAAUUCCCCGCCGCUUUUUCAUAUGAUGCGUGCUCUUUUUAUAUCUAAAAACUAGGGUAAACAUAAUCCUAGGGUGCGCAUAAGUCAUAUUAGGAAACUGCAGAUCGCGAUUUUGCAUAUAUCCUGCGCUAAAUUUUCUCUGUCGUUGUUCCAGGAUUGCUACAGCAAUGGUUGCUCCAGCAAUGACUACAGCACUACAUUGUUCCAGAUUUUGUUUCAAUUCUUUUGUAGCCAUGUUCUUCUUCUUUUUCGCAAGCCUAUUGCAUCAGCAUUCCUUCCAUGAAAUAUAAGCUUUUGGAUACCUACACUUAUGCACACAAUUUAAGACGAAUUACUUAAGUCAAGUAAAAUUUAGUAAGAUUAAACUAAAAUGAAUGUUUAUGCAAAAUGUAACAAAAAUGCAAUAGAAACACAUAAUUUACUCUCUAAGUAAUCUUGAUUUGAGUCUAGAAUUGCUAUAAUAACUCUCAUUUCAUAGAGUUAUCACUUUCAUAUUGGGCACAUAGUAAACAUUCGAAAUUAUUUGAUGGCUAUCAUCUUUUGCACGAAAAAGAAUGUUACCUCUACCCUUCACUGGUACUUUUGAAUCAUCACCUAAAGCAGCAAUGCCAUUCACAUAUUCAUUUAGUUCCAUGAACAUGCUUCUGUUUUUGCUCAUAUGAUUGCUAGCACCUGUGUUAAGAUACUAUGUAUUUUCUUGACCUCCACUUGUGUCAUUGCGUGCUAGUAAAAAAGUGUCAUCUUUACCAUUUUUCUCUUCAACAUAAUUCACUCUCUCAUCAACUCUGGUACUUGGAGCUCUACAUUCUAAAGCAUAAUGCCCAAACUUUUGACAAUUAUAGAAUUGUACUUGGGAUUUGUCAUACCUCGAUCUUGCAUUGCCUCUGCCUCGUCCUCUGGCUGAGCUUUCUCCUUUGGCAUAAUUGGAGUUGCUGUUGUUGAAAUUCCAACCUCGUCCAUGACCACGACCUCUACCUCAUCCUCAACCUCUACCUCGAACAUAGUGCCUUCUCUCAUUGUCGGAGCUUUCUUCUCUUUUUUUUUUUUAUUGACUUCCAUCUUGAGAAGUUGUUCUUCAAUUCUUUGCUUCUUUUUUAGUUUUCUCUUCAUAUGCUUGCAACCUUCCUUGAAGUUGCUUGAUCGUCAUAUCUUUCAGAUCUCCUGUUUCCUCAAUUGUCACAACAAUAUGGUCAAACUUCGAGUCUACUGAUCGAAGUCUUUUUUCAAUGAUCCUUACCUCUUUUAACUCCUCGCUAUUUCUUUUUAAUUCAUUGGAAACGGUCACAACCCGAGUAAAGUAGUCAAAAAUUGACUCUGACGCCUUCAUGUGUAAGGACUCAAAUUCUCUUCGUAAUGUUUGGAGACGAACUUUCUUAACUUGCUCCGCUCCUUUGUAAGAGGUCUCUAGUUUCUCCCAUACUUCUUGUGAGGAGGUUGUACCAGCAAUCUUUUCAAAAGCAUCUUCAUCUAAUGAUUGAAAGAUGAGAUACUUUGCUUUAUUCUCUUUCUUCUUAAAGUCUUUUAAAUUCGCCUUCUGCGCCGCAGUUAAAGUGGCUUCAUUUUCUGGCACAAUAAAACCUUUUUUCCACGACAUUCCAUAUGCCAUGUGCACCUAAUAGAAGUAUAGAACCUUCAUUUUAAUACUCUAGUUGUCAAACUUCCCUUUAAUUGUGGAACUCGAAAUGACAUCAUACCAGUAUUUGCCAUAACUCACAAAUUGAUUGAGAAUUUGGAGAUUCUGAAUGCACAGAUGGAUCCGGCACGUCGAAAAAUCUUGGGAGGGACUCGAGUCAACUUUCGGUCAACAGUCAACGUCGGUCAACGGUCAACAUCGAUUUGGUUGACUUUGUUCUGUCCGGCUUGGUUCGGCUCAGGUUGGCUCGGUUCGACUUGAUUAUGUUCAGCUCCACUCGGCUUGAUUUAGUUCGGUUCAGCUUGGCUCGGUUCAGUUCAGCUUGGUUCAACUCGGUUCAGUUCGAUUCAGCUUGGUUCAACUCGGUGAGUCGACUUAGUUUCAGGACAGAAAAAUUCCAGCGGCGAGUGUGGGCGUGUCCGGUCUCCAAUCGGGAUGAUCUUUACAGUAUCGCGUACCUCUCGUCGAGAGCUUCGAUUUAAUAUGCUAUAUGACUAUAUAUAGCUUUGAACACUAGCUCUGAUACCACUUUGUUGGAGAAUUAACAAAUAAAACACACAAAAAAUACUAUUUUAUUUCUUCAACAACACUCCUCACCAAAUACAACUCUUAUUUUUCACUCUCUACAACUUAGAGAUUUUUUUUACUUCACUUGAUGCAUAAACCAAAGGGGAGAGGGGGUAUUUAUAUAUGAAACAAACUAAUCACAACCAUUUAAAUAAGAAAUUACAAAAAAUUAAUAACCAUUCAUCUUCACCUACCAAAUCUACCACACCUAACACAAAUAAUUCAAAUCUCACCAACCAUACCUACUCAUGGAACCUUCCAUGAGUUGGGCUUGAAUUUAUUCAUCUUGGAUCAAGUUUAUGAUCCAACAGAUACUACGUUUCAUUAGUUGCAUCGGUAAUCUUUACGUUGGUGAAUUGUUUUUUUUUUUUUUUUGGCCGUUGUAUUUACUUCAUAGUCAUCUUCAGGGUUAACUCACUAUGUCUUCUUGACUAGGUUCUUGGCUUUUACUUAAUAAAUGUCUAGUAUUGUCGAGGUUAUUCCAAAAAAAAAAGAGUGACUGUUUCAUCCCUCAUAGAUGUUUUUGUCAGAAUCUAUAGCAUUCUCCAUGAAUUCAGAAACAAUUACCCGAAUCCAUACCUGUAGCACGCGAAAGUGGAAGUGGAAGAACCAAGGUUGAAUCACCAUUCAAUUUGGUCGGAAAGCAAUCACAAAAUUGGAAGUCUUCUUAAAUCACAGCAUAAGAAAUUUAUAUGCAAUGGGGCUCGAAUUAUAGAGUUCUCAAAAGUCUAAAGUGAGUUCUCUGCACUUUUCAAAUCUCAACAAUAUUUUGUUCUUCGUGCUGUUAUAUCUACACAUAAAACUAAAUUCUGUGCAAUUCUUAUUUUAUGUGCGUAGAGAGAGAGGAAAAAAAAAUGGAGGUAGAGAGGUUAGUGAUAACCACCAUGAUUCAGCUUCCUUUCAGCUUUUCUUUAUUUAUACGCUACCGCUAGUAAUUACUCAAGUGGUAAUUACUUCUAUAUGGGUUGGGUCCGAUCGGUUCAUCUUGUGCAAACCAUCUGGCAACUCCCCUAAGUCUAUCAAGUUGAUUUACUACUUACAUUCCCACUAGAAUUUUAAUUAUUUGCUUCAUCCCUACCAUUAGAAAUUAACGGAAGUAAUUGUGAAAGUAAGCAUAAAAGAAUCAUUCAAAGUGUGAUAUUUUUAAAAAUUCAAAAUUAAAAUCUGAAAUAAGUUGUUAGGAUUAGAAAAAAAUUGAAAAAUGAAUGGUUUUUUUUUUUUUUUUUGGAGCUAAACAGACCAAUCUUUUCCAUUUUCUCUUGGGUUACAUUUCUGCACAAACAAAACUCUUCUCUUACCCGUGAAAUACUGUGUCACUCAUGAAAUCCUUUCUCUUGUAGACAACAUCAAACCCAAAAAUCACUCACGACCGUUAACCAUCCAUACAUUCUGUUGCUCGAGACGUUUGUUUGAUGUGUGGCACAGCAUUUUGAUCGAAUCAGAUCGGUGAAAAUCAGUGGAGAUGGCUCCAAAAUCCUUCGAGGUUAGUUGUUCUAAGUAAAGCUACCUUCAUUAUAUAGAAAAAAAUUAUUGUUGAUUUAUCUUUAUAAAUUGUAUAUGCUCGUAUAAAUAAGAAAUAAAGUUGAAAGCUUUACCUGUUUAAAACUACGAAGAUUUUGAAAAAUGAAAUGGGUAUUGAUCUGUAAUGGGUUUGAAAUAUAGAAGUACUAGAACCCCUUUACUUGAAAUGUCAUGAAAUCCUAUAAUGAGGGAUAGAAUUGUAAACGGACAAAAACUAUUGACUUUAUCUGUUAUCUUUUGACACAGAUUUAAUAGGUAAUUAAAAAUUUAGUGGAGAUGUAAGAGGUAAAUAAGACAUAUCUAUCAAGGAUGAAACAUUUAUUUUCCCCCUCAAAAAAAACAGAUGUUGGAGUUUCCUUAGCUUUCCAAAUUGUUGGUACAACAUGGAGUAGCUUCUGGACUUUUAUUUCAUAAACAUCUUGCAUUGUCGAGGUUAUUAAAAAUAAAUAAAAUAAAAAUCCAGUGGUCGGAGCUUCCUUAGGCUCUCCAAAAUCACUAAUACAACAUGAUAUGUGUUUUAAGCGGAUUUUGGUUGCCAGGAAGAUGGAUAAAAAUCUCACCAAAAUAAUGAAUUUAUUUUUAGGAGUUCAGGGUACCUCAGUAAAUCGUGGCAUAGGGGGCUGUUUUAGGCUUUAAGGGAGGUGAAGAAGAAGGGUGCCCAAGGUGGAUAAUGGCGAGAAGUCUAAAACGGAGUGAGUUGGUUUGAGAUAGUGUCAGCACACCUGCAAAAUAGCCCAGGGAGGUUAGAGGUGGAGUCGACAGUGGCUGGUGACCACACUCCGAUGCUCAAGUCAGCUACUUCAAUUUUUAUGGAGGUGAGAGCUUGCAAGCUCUCUAAAAUGAAGGCUGAAGGUUGAAGAAGUACAAGGUUCUACGUUCAGAGAAUGUUAUCAUCCUGUCAUCCUCAUUCUCAAUCUUGGCAUUCCCUCCAUGACUUCACUUUGUCGGAUUCUUUACAGAAGAUGCUAAUGGAUUCUCUAAUUAUUUGUUUCAUUGAUAUUUUUCUUUCUUAUAGUUAGAUUCUUUCAAGCAUUUUAAUAAUUUGCCUGCAGAACUUUGGCUACGUUUUGUUGUGGCACCAUGCACUGUUUGAGAGGCAAAGCGAAAUACAACCUUCUGAUUGUUAUCAUUUUCUUUGUCUUAGACCGUUGAGGUUUCUUAAAAAUAAAUAAAUACGAUAGUAUUUAAAAACUUAAAGGACAUAUUACAUAUAAGCUCAAACACUAAUUUUUCAGAUAUUUUAAUUAGUUUUAGAAAAACAAACAAUGUAACAUUUAUAAUCAGAUAUUAAACAAUGAAAAACGAACAUAUCAUUUAAACUUAUGCAUUCAGUCAUAUUCCGAAUUCAAAAAUUCCGAAACCAUUUGCAACAACUUUAAUGGAGAAGUGACCAACUAAGAAAGGCUUGCUAGUGAGAUCACUGCAAUGCCAAUCUCAGCGCCAGUGAGAAUAACAAGCUUGCUUGCCUUUUUAUAGAUCCCGGAUCUACGUUUGGAGAAUGUACUCAUCUCCUGUCACCUCAUUUUCAAUCCUCCUCUUCUCAAUCUUUUGAAGAAGUUAAAGGUUGAGAUAAAGAAGAUUGAGAAUGAGGAUGACAGGAUGAUAACAUUCUCUGAACGUAGAUCUGGGAUCUACAAGAAAGCGAGUAAGCUUGUCACUCUCACAGGCGCCUAGAUUUGCCAUUAUGGUGGUCUCACCAUCUGGCGAGCCUUACUCCUUUGGUCACCCCUCCAUUGAAGCUGUUGCAAACCGUUUCCUGGGAUUGAACCAGCAGCCUAAUGACAACAAUCACCCUCUUGCUGAGGCUCGACGCCAAUUACCCUCUUUCCAAUACAACAAAAAAGUAUUUUUUCCUUCUAUUUUUCAAUUAGUAAUGUUAAAGCUUGAACAAGGUUUAAGGAAAAUAUCAAGAUAUUUAUAGGGAAUAGCGCGUAAAAUACACCUACGCUCGUGAGCGCAUGCAUGUGUUUAUGCAUAUGUAAAUGUAAACUUAGUUAUGUUCUUUUAAAAUUUACCAACUCAAGCUCUCCAAAUUACUAAUUCAAGCAUCUUACAGAUUAUUUUACCAAAUUAUUGAGAACUAGAAAACAACAACAUUAAUUAUAAAAAAUCUAAGCGUAUCUGACUAAUUCUACCUACUAUACAAGUUACCAAUUGCUUUCUAAGGACUUGGUCGAGUGGUUUUCAAAUAGUUUUAUUUAGUUGGUCAUCAAAGUUCAAAUUUUGGGCAUGUAAAAGGUUAAAAAAUUGAUUGAGGUAUUGCCCACCUCUCUAUCUUCGAAAAAAAAAAGCAAAAAAAAAUGUGCCCAAUGGGCAUGGCCAAGUAAUUUUCUAAUAGUUUUAUUUGAUUGGCUGCCCAAGUUUGAAUCUUGGAAGGUAGGGUUAAAAAAAUUAAUUUAGAUUUACCCAUUACCCUUAAAAAAAAAAAAGCAAAGAAAAUUUUGAUUUUGAUUUUGACUAAAUAUAAACUGAUUUUAAGGGUAUAUUUUUCUUGAGUCCUCGUUUGCAGAAAGAAAUUCACACCAAAAUUUUUAAAAAUACAUUACUUAAGUCCUUGUCAAUACAAAUUUGUCUCCUUCAAGUUCUUGAAUGAAUUUCAUAAUUAAAAAAAAAAAUAGCAUUAUGUCAUUUUACUCAGAUUUAAGCGUUCAGUCUUCUUAUUUUUAAUUUUAUGCAUGACAGUGCCAACGUUUCAAGCUGACUAAGGUUAGAAAACCUCAGCUUUUUAUAUUACUUGUUCUUUCCUAUUUUAACAGUUUCUUGUUGCUCAACCCUACUUCAUAAUUUUACAGGGUCCUUUGCUAUUAUAACCCCUCGUUCAACUUUAAUUUGCUGAUAAAGGAUCUUGAAAGCCAAUAUAUAGACUUGUAUAAAGACAAAGAUAUUGCGCUGAAAGUGAGAGAAAAAAAAAUACUCCUGAAGUUAAAAAAAUCUAAAGUAUUUAGUUGAAAGUGGGGACUUAUAUGUAUAGGGAAGAAAAAUAUGUGAUGAUAAAUAAUGUGAAAAACCUUCAAGUAUUUUGGUGUUAAAUCUAUUGUAAUUAUUGAGCAAUUGGAUUAAUUUUUUAAACUGUGAAAAAAUAACAAUUAAUAAACUCAGAUAAAAUAAGCUUUAAACCAUUAAUGCGAAAUAUAAGGUUAUAACUAGCCAGUUGAAGACAUGAAUCAAAUCAAUUUCAAUUUAGAAAAAUUAAAGUGACAUUUUAACAAACUAUGGUCAUGAGUUUCCUUCUUUUCUUUUUUUUUUUCUAUUUUCUCCGUUUUCUCAAAACACAUAAUUAAUAAGCAAGAGCAAACACUUUGUACGCUUUAAUAUACUUGAAUGUAAUUAUGUGACUUCAUGUGUGGUGAAGGAAAUAAAAUCUAUAAUUUUCAAGAAUUAGCACUUAAAGGUCUCAACUAAAUACCCUUAUUUUGUUCCUUCAUUACUUCCACUCACGGAUUAUUAUUUUGACAAUAUUGGAAGGCUUCAUUACUUCCAUAUAUGGACUAUCAUUGUACUACUAUUAGAAGGCUUUUUUAAUUUGUUACCCAAUUAGUCUCACACGUAUAAUUAUGGUACUUCAAUUCUUCUUUUUUUUCAUAUCAAUUAAUCAUUCUUAAAUUUUUUUCCAAAAAUAAUUUUUUUGCUAGAUUUUUUAAGUGAUAAUAUCAUCACUAUAGAUGAUAUAUUAUAAUAUUAACAAUAGUUGGUGUGGCAGACAACCGGGACAAACUCUAUUUAUUUUUUAUUUUUUAAUUGCACGUACCUUAAUGAAGCUCAAACUCAAGACCUGAGUCCUAAGGAAGCAGCUCCUUACCACACCUUGGCCUCAACUCAAGCGAACUCAUCUCUUCAAACUGGAAUACAACUUUAUCAAAGCCUAAUCAUUUCAUUAAGGUCCAACUGUGUCACCCCAAAGACACCGUAAAAUAAUUUAUUAAUUUUUAAUAAUUUUCUAAUUAUUUAAUAGUCAUUAUUCUUUUCGUUAGCCUUUUGUUUUCAAUUUCCACUGCUUUCAAUUUCCGCUGCGGUAGUCAUAUUCUGUUGAAUAAACAGAAUGAGAGAAUUCUCAUUUCAUAUACCUAUUUUUGGCACGCUCACGAAAAAGAGUCAUUUUUUCACAAAGUACUCACCGAGUAAUUUUCAAAUAAUUUUAUUAUACUACCACCAAAAUUUAAAUUCCAGAAGUAAUAGUUGGUGUUGUAAGUCAGGUUUGCGAAGUGCUGGAUGUUCAAGCCACUUCUGACCAUGGGAUGUAUUUAGGUCUUACCUCUUCUAUUGGCAGGAAGAAAAAAGUUGUGUUCCAAAGUAUUCGGGACAGAGUUUGGCAGAGAAUUCAAGGAUGGAGUACGAUGAUGCUAUCUAGAGCUGGCAAAGAGAUUUUGCUGAAAACGGCGGUGCAAGCAAUGCCUAACUAUGCCAUGAAUGUCUAUCUCCUCCUUCUUGAUCUUUGUAAAGAGCUUGAGAUCAUGAUGAAUUCGUUUUGGUGGGGUAGUAAACGCAGUGGCGGCAGUGGGGGGAUUAAUUGGAUGAAGUGGGAGCGGUUGUGUAAGCCGAAGAAUUUUGGAGGAAUAGGUUUCAAACAACUACAUAUCUUCAAUGUAGCAAUGUUAGGAACUCCAAUGAUGUUUAGGGAUUUAUGCGGUUAUGACUCACCAUCUAUUAUCAAGUAUCUUUAGCAUAUUACCAAUGACUUGUUUACGUAUGCAAUAUGAAUUUCCAUUUUAAUGAGAUAAAAUUUGCCUUGUUAUGAGAGAAAAAGCCGCCAUAUGAUGAUUGAUGCAAGCUUUUAUGGCAUGUGACAAAAUUGUCUCAUCUAGAUUAUCGCACUACUCAAAGUGAAAAUAAAGUGUGGAGGAUAAUUCACUUACAACAAUUUUGCAAAUCACUUGUCAAAUGCAUUUAUAGAUGGAUCUAAAGUAACCAAGUCAUGUAUACCACAUGUAAAUGUAUCUCACCAAGUAGUUGUUUCUAUUGAAAAUUUUGAUAAAAAUAGCUAAUUGAUUAAUCUAAGGCACACCUAAGGUAUGGUAGACCACUUGGUUUAAAAGAUAAUAUUCAACUAAAAUAAAAAAAUAAAAGGUUAGGAUUUUGUUAAUCAGUUGUAAGUAAAAGUGCUACUUCAGAAGAAUAGGUCCUCUCCUAUGUGCCUACAGCGACACUACCUUCUGAAGAGACAAAUACCUCAGAUGUAAGCCAACCUCUUAAUGUAGCUAAGAAUGAAGAAAAGUUUGCAAAUUUUACUCACAAAAUGGUAAGUGUAUAAUCAUAACAAAAAAGCUAUUGACAAUGCUUAUUCAUUUACAAUAGCUACUGAUUUGAUAAAUGAUGAUAUUGACUAAUAGUCCAUUGAUGAAUUUAGACUAAGACAUGAUUGGCCCAAAUAGGAAGAAGCAAUCCAUGUGAAAUUGAUUUCCUUAGCAAAACAUGAUGUUUUUAGACUUAUAAUCCAAAUACCUAUUAUUGUUAAACCAUUGGGUAUAAAUAAAUAUUUUUUUUCAAAAACUUAAUGAAAAGAAUGAGGUGGCUAGAUAUAAAGGAUGACUUAUUGCACAAGGUUUCUCACAAAAAUUAGUUAUUGAUUAUGAGGAGGUGUAUUUACUAGUAAUUUGUGUAGUUUUGUUAUGAUUCUUGAUUAGUUUGACUAUAUCUGAGAGGUUUAAUAUUUGUUUUAUAGAUGUAGUGACAGUUUAUUUGUAUGAAUCAUUAUUUAUAAAACACACACACACACAUAUGUAGUGGCGGCGCCACUUGAGAGCCCCUGCUAGAUUUAAAAAAAAAAAACUCAUCUUAUUUUUUAGUGGAUUUACAAUAAAGCCCCUAGUAAAUUUUAAAAAUAACUAAAAGAUCAGUAUUUUAAAUAGUGAUUAGAAUCCAAAAAAAAAAAUUCAAAAUCACCAUAACCACCACCAUCAAUCCUUUGCCAAAGAAAACCUCCAUCGGCUACCACCAGUGAUCAGCUUGUCGUCUAUCUCAGUCCAAUUCCCAUGUCAUCACACCUCUUUGUUUUCAUGUCAUUGCCAUAGACGCUACAACUUGUAGCUCGUAGUCGCAGUCGCAGUCGCAGUCUUGCAUCACCGUAUGGUCCUCGCACUAGCAACCUUGCAUCACCACAUGGUCCGCAUCUUUGCAUUUUUUCUAGUACUACCAUUGCACCGUUGCAGCUUUUAUAUUAAUUAUCAAGAAUUGAUUAAAUUAUUUUGAUAAUUAAGCACCUCUGUCACUUUAUGAUUUAAUAUUCUAAUUCUUGAAUUAGUUUAUACCUUUUUGAAUUGAAUUGGUUUAUGCCUUUUUUAAUAGAAUAAUAUUAUUAACUUUCAAUUAUUGUGGCGAUGCUUUGUGGAUUGAUAAAGUGGCAAUGCUUUUAACUUUACUGAUUAUAACUAAUAAAAUAAAAAUUCCAUGGCCCAUGGGUGACGCCGUGACGAGUUAGUAACCUAGUGGUUGAGGAUUUAGUCAGGUAGUCGGUUUAUUAAAUUAAUAAUUUGUAAUUUUUUCUUUUUUUUUUUAUUUUGACAUGGAAAUUGUCUUCGGUUUCUCUUUAAAUAAACACAAUUAAUUGUGUUUAUUUGUCACAGUUAUGGAGAAAUAUUACUCAAGAAUGGCUGCCACAUGGUUCUCUGCUUGUCUUGUCUAAUGGGCAACGCCAAUGCGUCGGUGCUUUGCCUUUGUGCCCCAUCUAAUAAUAUAUUAUUAUUAUGAUUAUUAUCUAAUUCAUACAUAAUUCAUGCAAAUCCUUUCUAAGUGAUUGGGUUGCCACUAUUUUACAUUACUUUUUUACAUCCUUUUUAAUGCAUGUAUUGCUUUAUGCAAGUCUAAAAGAGGUUCUAUGAUAUCAUACAAACUCAAAAAAGUAAGCACCUCUUUCUUUUUAUAUGCAUUUAAUUUUUUACCUACUUGGUGUGCUAGUGUUAUGGUGUAAAGACAAGAUUGAUCUGUAAUCUCAAAACAAAAUUUAGUGGGUGAUGUCAUUGUGCAAUAUUGUCAUGAGCCUUCUGGUUGAUUCAAAAUGUCGGCAUUAUUUAUCGAACAUUAUAGAAUAUAAAAUAAAUUACUAAAUUAUAUUUGAUAGUGAACUGUUUUAUUGAUCUUUGUGCAUGAGACUCAGUUUUCUUAACAGCAAGAGAUUCCAUUUGUCGGCUCAAUAAUUUAUGAAGGUGAGUUUGUAUUUAUAGAUCAUGCGAAUUGCGACUGUCUCUUUAAAGGUGGCAUUUGUUGGAUUCCUUGUACAUUUUAGGUGUUUUUGGUAUGCUGUAUUUUAUUAUAAUGUAUUAUAAUAUAACGUUUUAUAAUGUUUGGUAUUAUAUCGUACAUUAUUAUAUAUAAUAAUUUUUGUAUUAUUAUUUAUAUUAAAUUAAUUUUUUAUAAUUAUAAAUAUCUUAAAAGUUUUAUAGUUUAUAUUUAUUAUUUAAAUUUAUAAAUAUAAAUAAAAUUAUUCACCAACAAUCACCGUGAACCACUGCAAAUUGCUUUGGGCAUUCAUAUAUUGAUAUUUUUUUAACUUCAAUUCUAGUGCUAUUAGAAUCUUUAUCAGCGGACCUAUACAACGAGUGAGCAAAAGCUUUGAUUCUGAUAUUACAUAUGCUAUCGAGUAGUUCCAAUGAUAAAACUCCAUUGGUACCAAAAUUGAUGUCAAAGAAUGCUAAAAUAAUAUUAUUGGUGGUGGAUUGUGGUGGUCAGCGGCGGACAAUAUUUUUAGCAUUCGAAUUUAUUGUUUUAUAAACUAAUAAUAAAUAAAUUAAAUGUGUUGUAAUUGAUUAAAUAAUUCUAUGUUUUAAAAGUCAGCAAUAUAGCUUAUUCACGGUGGGAUUGUAUAGCAUUACGUUAUGGGCCCAGCAUUACUUUGAUAUUGCGGCAAAAGAUGCAUUAAGGCCUUCGGUUAAUGUUGCUCAAUGCAAAUUUAAUAUAGAAAGCAGAGUCAUAUGAAUCUUUCAUUAAACACAACAUAGCGAGCUAAAAAAAAAAGAUUCAAUGGAUGUACUUGGAGAUUCUCACAUUCAUCAAAAGAAAGGAAGAAGACUGAUACUCUUCCCACUGCCUUUACAAGGCCACAUAAACCCAAUGCUUCAGCUUGCAAACAUUCUCUAUUCAAAAGGCUUUUCAAUCACCAUAAUUCACACCAACUUCAACUCCCCGAAUACCUCAAACUACCUUCAGUUCAGCUUCUGUUCAAUCGAAGACAGCUCUUCAGAAACUGAAGCCUCUACCGCAGAUUUAGUGGCUCUUCUUUCACUACUUAAUGUUCAGUGUGUUGUGCCAUUUCGGAAUUGCUUGGCUAAGUUGUUGUCAAAUGUUGAGGAGGAGGAAAAGGAGCCUAUUGCUUGCUUAAUCACGGAUGCUACUUGGUACUUCACUCAGGCUGUUGCUGAAAGCCUAAAGCUCUCCAGGAUUGUGUUAAGGACUAAUAGCGUCUCUUCAUUUCUUGUUUUUGCCGCCUUUCCAGUUCUAAGCCAAAAGGGUUACUUCCCAAUACGAGGUGCAAUCAAAUUAGUUCUUGCUUCUAGUAUCAAUGAUAAUUUUAUUUGUAGGUAUUAUUUUUAUUUGUAGGUACUGUCUGAUUAUCGAAUCUUGCCCUGGAGAAAUCUCCCCUUAGGAUGAUUGGAAUUCUUAGUACAUCUCAUAAUUUAGUUAUUAUGACAGUAAUUCAUUAUAGUAAUGAGUAAUGAUCAGUGCAAAUGGUACUUGAUAUUAAAAUUAUCUUCUUUUACUAUUUUUGUUCUUCAAUGUUCAGAUUCUCAAUCGGGAGCACCAGUGCCAGAACUUCCACCUUUAAGAGUGAAAGACAUUCCUGUAGUUGAAACCUGUUACCGAGAGACACUACAUCGAUUGGUAACAGAAGCAACCAAUCAGAUGAAGGUCUCCUCGGGAUGCAUAUGGAACUCACUUCAGGAUCUUGAACUUGCUUCUCUAACCAAAUUUCAGCAGGACUUCCCCAUUCCAAUGUUCCCGAUAGGCCCAUUUCACAAGUUCUUUUCAGCUUCUUCAAGUAGCUUACUUGCACAUGACCAAACCUCAAUUUCCUGGUUAGAUAAACAAACACCAAAAUCUGUAAUUUAUGUAAGUUUUGGAAGCAUUGCUGCAAUUAACAAGACCGAAUUUUUAGAAGUAGCUUGGGGCCUAGCCAACAGCAAGGUGCCAUUCCUGUGGGUGGUACGGCCAGGAUUAGUCCGUGGAGCAGAAUGGAUUGAACCAUUGCCACAAGGGUUCCUAGAAACGCUAGAUGGAAGAGGGCAUACAGUGAAAUGGGUCCCCCAGCAAGAAGUGCUAGCUCAUCCUGCCACUGGAGGAUUUUGGACACAUUGUGGCUGGAAUUCGACAUUGGAAAGUAUAUGUGAAGGUGUCCCCAUGAUAUGCCAGGCUGCCAGCCUUGUUUUGGUGACCAAAUGGUGAAUGCAAGAUAUGUUAGUGAUGUUUGGAAAGUUGGUUUGCAUUUGGAAAGGAAGCUGGAGAGAGGGGAGGUUGAAAGGACAAUCAGAAGAGUAAUGAAGGAGGCUGAGGGGCAGGAAAUAAGAGUCAGAAUUAUGAUUUUGAAGGAAAAACUCAACCUUUGUCUAAAUCAAGGUGGUUCUUCAUAUCAAUCUCUGGAAAGCUUGAUUAGUUACAUUUUGUCAUUCUAGAUUUUCCAAUAUUUUCAUCACUCUAUCUAAAGGCUGAUUUAGAUAGUGAGUUGUACUCUUUGGCCUUUUCUUGCAUAAACAGUGUCCGAAUUCCGAAUUUUAUAUCUUUGUUGGAGUUUGUGAGCCUUGGUUGUCUUAACUGUACUUCAAAAGUUGGACUUCUAAGCUGAUUUACUAUCUGGGUUCGUUUGUAAUGCUGUUGUUGUUUAAUUCCCCGUUCUUCAUAGAGGAAUUUAGUUGAUUAUAAAUGCCUUGCUCAUUGAAAUAAAGUUUUCAUUCACCAAUAAAAAAUUUAAAGCAGAAGCAUCACAAUGUUGCAUUCACAGUUGAUGAUUAACUCAUGGUGAGAAAUUAACAACAAAAGAAGUGAGAAAUUAAACAGAAAGCACGAAGCAGAAAGAUUCAAUGGAGAACUAAAGAGAGUUGCAUAUACAACAAAAGAAGCAAAGACGGCUGAUACUCUUCCCACUGCCAUUGCAGGGUCACAUAGAGACCCGUGCUUCAGCUUGCAAGCAUUCUCUAUUCCAGAGACUUUUCAAUCAUUAUAUUUCAAAGCAACUUCAGUGUGAAGCGCGUGGUACAAUUCGGGAUUGGUUGGCUAAGUUGUUGUCAAAUCUUGAGGAAGGAACUACGGCCAAUUUCACAAAUUCUUCCCAGAUAAUUCAUUGUCUUGAGACGAAUCCAUUUCCUGGUUAGCCAAACUGCCACAUGUGCAUAAAUUGGUAAUUUAUGUAAGUUUGGAAAGCAUUGGUGCAGUGCCAUUCUUAGAGAGAGCUUAAGGGCUAGCCAAUAGCGAAGUACCAUUCCUAUGGGUGGUUCGACCAGAUUUAGUCCGUGGAGCAGAAUGGAUUGACCAACUUUCAUUGCUUUUGUGGCUAACCAUUGAUGAUAUAUUGUCACAAGCAGAGUGUUAAUCGUGACAUCCUCAAUUUCCAUCUCUCAUCCUGAAACUCUCAGAUUUUACAGCAGCAGCAUCAUUGAGAAUCUACCAAUUGAUUAUUGGUGACGAUUGGACUUAAUUUCUUUGAUUUAUUUUUACUAUUUAUUUUUUGGUGGUGCAAGUCAUUUCAUUUCCCUGUUGGGGCAUUUUAGGGAAAGGUGUGCAACUUUUAACGAACACUAAUCCCUCUCUCAAACCAACUUCAAUUCUUCCGUAACCAGCACUGCUCUUCAUGAAACUCGCAAGAUCCAUUACCCGCCAUUUGACUACCUCUUCAACGACCCAAAAACCAAAGCGAGUAAGCACGAAACCAUUAAAGAGCUUCACGCAAAUCUUAUCAGAACCCACCUCCACACGGACCCAUCUUCAAUAUCGAAUGUAAUCAAGUCACACACUUUAUCUCCCUCUUAUUUGGACAAAGCCCAUCUUGUUUUCAACCAACUUGAACGACCCACAUUGUUGGUGUUUAACCAUAUGAUCCAAGGUUUGUCACAAAGUGACCAACCAAAUGAAGCCAUUGACAUGUACAAUAAUAUGUAUCAUCAAGGAUUUACUGGUGACAAUUUGACCUUUAUUUUUGUAUUCAAGGCUUGUGCUCGUGUUAAGGAUGUUUUUCAUGGCCAAAAGGUUCAUGCUCAUAUUUUGAAACUUGGAUUUGGAUCGUAUCUCUUUGUUUCAAAUGCUUUGAUUCACUUGUAUGCCUCUUGUGGUCGUUUGGGGUUGGCGCGGAAACUGUUUGAUAUAAUGACUAAUAGAGAUUUGGUUUCUUGGAAUUCUCUAAAUUGUGGUUAUAGUCAGUGCAAAAGGUUUGAAGAGGUAUUGGCUUUGUUUAAUUCUAUGCAAGAAGUUAAUGUAAAGGCUGAUGCGGUGACAAUGGUGAAAGUUAUUUUAGCUUGUAGUAAUUUGGGCAGGUGGGAUAUUGCGGAUUCUAUGGUUAAAUAUAUUGAAGAAAACAAUAUUGAAUUUGAUGUUUACUUGGGGAACACUUUGAUAGAUGUGUAUGGACGGCGUGGUUUGGUGGAUUUGGCACAAGAGGCUUUUAAUCAAAUGCUUGACAAAAAUAUAGUUUCCUGGAAUGCUUUGAUCAUUGGGUAUGCAAAAGUUGGGCGUUUGAUUGAGGCGCAGAAGCUUUUUGAUGAGAUGCCCAGAAGGGAUGUGAUUUCUUGGACUUCUUUGAUCACAGGAUACUCUCGAGGUAACCAAUUUGUUGAGGCGGUGAAGCUUUUUCGCGAAAUGAUGUUAGCUAAGGUGAAACCAGAUGAAAUCACUUUGGCAACUGUGCUUUCAGCAUGUGCCCAUAUUGGGUCACUGGACAUGGGAGAAGCAAUUCACGACUAUAUAAAAAGGCAUGGUACAAAAUGUGAUCUUUAUUUGGGGAAUUCGCUUAUCGACAUGUACGGCAAGUGCAGGGUGGUUGAGAAUGCACUAGUUGUGUUUCAUGAGAUGGAAAAGAAGGAUUCUGUUUCCUGGACUUCAAUUAUCUCAGGCCUUGCAGUGAAUGGUUUUGCUGAUUAUGCACUUGAGCUAUUUAUGCAGAUGUUGAGAGAAGGUGUUCGGCCAACUCAUGGAAGCUUUGUUGGCAUUUUACUAGCUUGUACUCAUGCCGGAGUGAUAGAUGAGGGAUUGCAAUAUUUUGAAAGUAUGGAAAAAGUUUAUGGACUAACACCAGAGAUGAAACACUACGGUUGUGUUGUUGAUCUUUUGAGCCGCUCUGGCAAUGUAGAGAAAGCUUAUGAGUUCAUGAAGGCAAUGCCAAUAGCCCCAGAUGUUGUAGUAUGGAGAAUACUGCUGAGUGCUUGUAAACUUCAUGGGAACUUGGUCCUAGCUGAGAUUGCUACCGGCAAGCUUCUCGAAUUGGAUCCUUCUAACAGUGGGAAUUAUAUUCUCUUAUCUAAUACUUAUGCAUGUUCAGAUAAAUGGGAUGAUGCUAAUAGAGUUAGAGAAUUAAUGGUGGAGAGUGAUGUGUAUAAGCCAUCUGGUUGGAGUUCCAUUAAUUCUAUGGAACCACAUGUAAUCUAAAGUAAAGAGGAAUCAAUUGAGAGCUGCAACUAAUUACAAUGGACUACUGUAGAUCAGUGUAGUUAGUGCCUGGGUAAUAUCCGUGGAGAAAGAGAAAUGAGCUGUACCUUCACCUCAACCAAUUUGAUAUUGGCUCAAAGAUAAUUGAGAUAAUUUUAAUUGUAGCUCUGAUCCAAAGUUGUACUCAGAAUUUCCUUUUUUUAAUGACAAUUUGAACGUUUAGUAUCAGAGUCCUUGAGACAAUAAAUUAUGUUUGAGGUGCUCAUCUAAGCCUGAAGCUAGAGUGGUUUCAGUAUUGAUUAGAGCUCUAGUGAUGUGGUAAAUCAACUCUAGAAUUGUAUCAGGAGAAAAUUCCAUUGCUUGGAGUGCUAUGAAAAAAAAGUUCAUUACGUUUUCUCUGGGGAUUAUAUAGCUAUGAUGAGCAGGAGAACUGGCCAACGGCAAGACACUGCCUUAUAAGUUCGGAGGAUGUGAGCUGUUCUUCAAGUAAGAAUUAAGCAAAAGUAUUCCAAUUGCAUACUUUCUUCAAAGGAUACUUUUGCAUGAGACAUAAUUGGGUGUAAUUUUUGUGCAUGGAUGACAAAGUUCAUUACAUUUUCUCUGGGGCUUAUAUAGCUAUGAUGAGCAGGAGAACUGGCCAACGGCAAGACACUGUCUUAUAAGUUCGGAGGAUCUGAGCUGUUCUUCAAGUAAUAAUGAAGCAAAGUAUUCCAAUGGCAUGCUUUCUUUAAAGGAUACUUUUGCAUGAGACAUAAUUGGGUGUAAGUUUUGUGCAUGGAUGACAAAUAGAACAGUUGAGUGACAUGAAGUUUGAGGCAACUGUCCAUUGCUAGGUCCUGCUUUGGAGGAGAAUAACUAUCUUAAUUAGGUCUAGUUCAGAUCCGUUUGAAUGUAAAUGCGGGUGAAGCUGUAGAACAUCUUUGCAAGUGUAUAGAGGGAGCCUUUCCUAUAAGAUAUGCAUACCGCAGCAAGUAUAUGAUAUCAUAAUGCUCUUGGCAGAGACCUUCGAAUGUACAAUUGUUUCAUAUGAACUGCAGAGUGAAAACUUUUACUUGGUUAGGCAUCUUAAAUUUAUACUAUUCUGCUCUUGGAUGUGCGAGCCUUCUCUGUCUGUCAAAAUAUUUUUUUCAGAAGAUCUUACAGAGAGGCUAAUGAUAAUGUAUUUAUUUAUUUUUUAUUGGAAUCAAGUUAUUAAAAGUAAAUAGGCAGCAUAUUGAUGCAUUCUGGAAGAAAAAAUUGUUAGCAGAGUGAUAUGGCUAGGGAUGGCAAUGGGGUGGGGUGGGGGUGGGGAGGUCUACUCCAUUCCCCACCCCAUUAAAAUUUUUUGCCUCCAUCCCCACCCCAUAUUCCCCAAUAAAUUUAGUGGGGUGGGGAUGGGGAAUCCCCACGUGGGGAAUGAUUUUUUCAUCCCCACCCCAUUCUCCAUUUACCUAUUUUAUAACAGGUAUAGAUACAUGAUUUCAGUAAAUUAAAAAUUAGAGACUUAAAAUAAAAUCAUCACCAUAUUAUAAAGUAUUUAAAUUAUUUUAAAAAAAUCUUUAAAAGUUUGAAACAAUAUCUUAAAAUGAUAUUAAAAGUGAAAAAUAUUUAAAAAAAAAAAGCAGUACCUUAAAAGAGAAAAGAAAACAUAACAAUAUUUUAGAGUUGAAAAAAAAUUAUAUUGUAGGGUUUUCUUUUAUUCAUAUCAUGUUUAUAUUACAUAAAAAUUAAAAAAAUUAUUUAUUGACAUUAUAGUUGAUAAAAUAAAAAUUAAUAAAUAAGAAUUAAAAACAUAUUUAUAUAUAAUGGGGAUUGAGCCAUUGGGGUGGGGGUGGGGUGGGGACUGUAAAAUCAAACCCUACCCCGUUAAGAAUUUAGGGAUUAUUUUCUCCCACUCCCCACUCCAUUCCCCAAAAAUUAUUCAAAAUUUUUCCCAUUUGGGGUGAGGCUCCAUGGGACCCUAAACUCGUAGAGGAUUUUGCCAUCCCUAGAUAUGGCAUAUACUUUGUGCGUCUUGUAUGCUUUAUCUUCAGCACUUUGCUAUGUGUUUUUCUCCCUAGUGCCUAGAGACUGUCAAUUUUUUUUUUUCCUUUUUUUUGACGAAACUGAGGAGCUCAAGUUGGGACAGAAUUGUUUCUUAAUUUCUUGCAGACACGGAUUCUCGUUAAUCAAGAUGGUAUAUCAACAUAUAUACUUUGACACAACACAUAAUAUCAGUUUUCCCCCUUAACUUUUCACAGAUUAAACAUAACCUUGAUGGCAUUUCCACCUUGAGCACUAAUUUCAAAAGCAUCUUCUAUUUCUUUCUGUGUGAAGCCAAACCUGUGGGUUAUCAGUGACUUAACAUCAAUCUUGCCGCUUCUCAGAAACUCAAUGCAGAGUGGCCAUGUGCUCCUAUACCGAAAUGUGCCAAUUACAUCCACUUCCCUGUCAACCAACAAAACCCUUUAUCAGAAAUUUCCCAAAUUUAUAUUUCAAACGUCGAAAAAUGAGGGUGAAUUAUAUAUCUCAUCACCUUGCAGCUGCCGGCGUCAGAGCAACAGUCAUCUCGGUCUUGGCUAAUCCUAUCAGGCAAACUUUGCUUCCUGGACGAGUGGCAUUCAAAGCCGUUGACAUGGUUUUGUCAAACCCAACACAAUCAAAGCUCACAUCAAUGCCUGAACCCAUUGCAUUUUGUAUCUUCCCCACAUCUGUAUUAACAUCCUGCCAAUGUUUUUGCACAGCUUCAAAGUCUAGAAAAACUUGGGAAAGUGAAAACAGAGUGAUAAUCAUCUACAUCUAACAAUUAACCUCGAUAUCUGUUGAGACUUUAACUGUUUCAUCCGCGCCAAGAUUCCUUGCAAUAGAUAGACGCUGAACAUCAACAUCAGUGAUGAUAAUUCUGGGGGCACCAAAUGCUCGAGCAGCUAACAGGGUAACAAGGCCUAUCGGUCCUGAUCCCAUGAUCAUUACAUUGGUUUCAGGUCCAACGUUUGCACGGCGACAGGCAUGGACACCAACACUUAAGGGUUCACACAUUGCUCCUUCCUCCAAGCUCACAUUGUCAGGUAACUUGUAACAUAACUUUGCUGGAUGCACAACCUAGUUGCAGGAAAAAAAAAAAUGUCUCCGUUAUUUACAAUUCUUAUGUACAUAGACCGCAUGUGAAAUUAAAAAAUUUCUAGUUUGGGAAGCUGAAGACAUCUGAUCAUUGACCUUAUGGGCAAGAGAGCCUUUGGUUGGAGGAGAUCCAAAGAAUCUCAUUUCAGGACAAAGAUUAUAGCUACCAGCUUUGCAGAGACUGCAGUGUCCGCAACUAAUACCAGGUUCUAGAGCCACACGAUCACCCACCUCGAGGGACUUAACUUCACUGCCAACUUCUUCUAUGAUCCCAGCACACUCAUGUCCAAUUACCAUAGGUUUUUUCACAAUAAAAUUGGCACAUCUCAUAGUCUGAUCAUAAACAACAUUUUGCAUACAAUAAGCAGUGACAGCCUUUGGCAUAUUAUACAGUCAUCAAGAUUUUGCAUAGAGACAGACAGAAAGCUUUUUCACCUUGAAGUGAUGAACAUCACUUCCACAUAUUCCAAGAGCCUUAAUUCGUACUUUCACAUCUUGAGGACCUAAAAAUUACACAAUUUAUUUAUUUAAUUUUUUUGGCCAUGGCAUGGCAGUGAUCUGAUUAAAUUCAUAGUUGUGCGUAUAGAAUAACAAGAAGAAGAUAAAAAUAUAAUACCUAGGGUAGGCAAAUGAUAUGGCUGAAUUUUCAGAGUUUUGAUUCCAAGCAGCCAGGCAGCAUGUUCUGAUUCUUGUCUCCUUCGUCAUCUCUGAUUGCUUCAGCCAUUUCAAUGUUUCCCUUUUUUCUUCUCCUCUUGUCUUCUUUUUACAGUGUUAUUGUGUCUCGUAUUAUCCUAGUUAAAAUUGCCUCUUUUUUUUUUUUCCUAUCUCAUUUCCCUCGUGCUUGCCUUAACGUACUUCUUAAUUAUUAUAGUUACCUUUUUGAACAGGUAUUCCCUUCCCUUCCAUUAUUAAUUUAUUUAAAUUAUAUGAAUUUUAAAAUAUUAUUUCAUAUGACCAUAUCCAUUAAAAAAAGUCAUGAAAAUCAAAUUAUUGGUUUUCUUUUAAUUCAUAGUAUUAUGGAAUUAUUCUAAAAUAAAACACAAUUAUAAUCGUACAUAUAAAAUGAUAAAUAAUAAAAAUAUAUUAUAAUUUUUUAAUCAUAUAAUUAUAAAAAAUACUCAAUCGCAAAAUAAUUUCAUCAUAACCAAACUCUUUCUUUUAACCUUUUUUAAAAGAUAAAACCAUUCUUUCAUACCAUUUUACAAAAUUAGCCACCACCCACGUACAUUAAGUUGAUUUUGAUUCCUUUGUAAAGAUACAAUUAUUGCACAGUUUGGAUUUCGGGGUCCAUAAAUUCUGAAAAAAAAAAAAAACAAACAACAAACGGUUCUGAAACCGAUUAAUUCUCUCCACGUAAGCACGUUAUCCUGUUGAAAAAAGAAACCAUAAUCUCUGUCACAAAUUAUUUAAAACUAUCAUUAGUAAUUGGAUUUUUACUUAAAUAAAAAUUAGUCCGAUGAAAACAGAAAUCAAUCAUCUACGCGGAUAAAUACAAAGAACACUUGAUGUUAUGCCUCACUUGUCAUUAAAUAUUCCUGCGGCCGAAUCAAAUCAUAUCCCAUAUCCAGAAUCAGAAUAAAUGGUAGCUUAAAAUAUAGCGUACAGAGUAACGUCUCUGCUGUACACUUGUGUUUUUGAAGGGUAAAAAGCAAAUAUGGGCAAGGGAGGGAUGUCACAAGGAGAAAAGGAAGAUGGAGAAGAAGUUAACAUGACAGCUUGGCUUCUGGGUGUCAACACCCUCAAGAUUCAGCCUUUUGAGCUUCCUUCUCUGGGUAUUUUGAUCUUUCUUUCAUCUCUGUCUUGUAUCUUAGAAGUGUUAUGGAAUUUGUUUAUUGGUUGAAGAUAUGAACUUUUGAUAGAUUGAUAGAUAUCUAAAGAGAGAUCUUUGGUUGAAAAACAAUAAAAACACAUCUUCCAAUACAGCUUAUCUCAUACCUCUUACAAUUGAAUUAACUAUCACUCACAAUUAAUGUAAUUCAAACUGAUUGUUUUAACAUCUUUGUUUGUUAUUUGUAAACUGCAGGACCAUAUGAUGUUUUAGUCAGGAUGAAAUCCGUUGGUAUUUGUGGAAGUGAUGUGCAUUUUCUCAAGGUAUAUUUGUUAAUCCCUCUUCAACUUCCCUUAAAUUAUUAUUAUUAUUAUGGCAAUUACUCUGUCAAAUUGCUGAGAAAUGUUAAUAAUGGAAUAUUUUCACUUUAUGUUAUUCAAAAUAAUACUUGAAUGUUGAAUGUUUGUGUAUUUUUGCAGACCAUGAGGCUUUGCCGAUUUUGUAGUGAAAGAGCCUAUGGUGAUCGGGCAUGAGUGUGCUGGGGUCAUAGAGAAGGUGGGAAGCGAGGUGAAGACUUUGGUGCCCGGUGACCGUGUGGCCCUGGAACCAGGGAUCAGCUGCUGGCGAUGUGAUCACUGCAAAGGAGGUCGAUACAAUUUGUGUCCAGAGAUGAAAUUUUUUGCAACUCCGCCAGUUCAUGGUUUUCUGGCUAAUCAGGUUGAUUGAAAAUUUACAUUUUGAACUAAGUUCUAUAGGACUAUGAGAUGAGAAGUAUGGUAGACUGACUUUAACACAGUUUAUGCCCUUAUAAAUUUCAGUAAUGAUAUACUUACUAUGGUAAGUAUACCAUCACUACAGAACAAAAAAAUUUGAUUACAAGAUAAAAGAAAAUUCCAUUGUAAGACAAUUUUUUUUUUUGUUUUCUCUUACAGAUUUUGCACUAAUAAUUAUACAUACAUUAUUAUUCUAUAAAUUUUACUGUUUGAGAUUUUUUAGUGUCUUAGAUUAUUACUACAAUACGAUCUAUGCCCUUGUGAAUUCUGUUGCAUAAAUAGUGGUGUCACUUUACUUGUUCUUCUAAAGACAUACUGGUUACUGUCAGUUGUGUAGUUCCCAUUUGAUCUUCUGUCCCUCUUGUCAUAUAUUUUUUUAUCUGGCAAUGAUUGUUGAUUCCUUUUAUUUGAAAUGAAAUUGGCUGCUAUCAAAAUUGAUCGGCUACUUGACACAAUGACUAAGAUGCAUUCUCUUGUGUAUAAUAGGUGGUGCAUCCUGCAGACCUAUGUUUUAAGCCGCCCGACAAUGUUAGCCUGGAGGAAGGGGCUAUGUGUGAGCCCUUGAGUGUUGGUGUUCAUGCCUACCGGCGUGCCAAUAUCGGUCCUGAGACAAAUGUGUUUAUCAUGGGAGCAGGGCCCAUAGGACUUGUCACAAUGCUAGGAGCUCGUGCUUUUGGAGCUCCUAGAAUUGUCAUUGUGGAUGUGGAUGACUAUCGUUUAUCUGUUGCAAAGGAACUUGGUGCAGAUAAUAUUGUUAAAGUUUCAACAAAUUUGCAGGUAUGUUACUGUCCAUUGCCCAGCAGAAGAGUUUAGAAAAGUAAAAGACAUUUCAAAAUCUUCAUGCUCACAAUCCUUCCCUUUCGGCUUUCUCUUAAUCAUCAUAACAACAUGUUUUGUUCAACCAACUCUGUUGCAUUAAGACCUUGUUCUAACUUCCUCAGUUCAUUUUUGUUCUCAGUGCCUUUUGUUUUCUAUUUGAAAGUUGACAACUCUAAUAUGCAUUAUUCUUGUUAUCAGAGUAGAGGUGAGCUUGAUGUCACGGGAUGAGUAUUUUGCGCAGCUAACCUGUGCGGUGCUUAGACAACUUUGCCGAAUGUUGCUAAGUAAGCCUAGAGCUUCUCGAACUAGAGAAGAGAGCAAUGGAGCCGAAUAAGAAAGCUUGUAUUGCACAAAGGAGAGAUUACAAUGCUUGAGUGCUCAAUGCUUGUUGUUGUGUACAAAUGCUUAAUGUCAUCCCAUAUUUAUAGGGGAGGCUUGCCAAGCUCUAGAGAUUCUAGAGAAAUCUUCCAACUAUCUAGAAUUUACAUGUGCUGGAAAUGCAUAGAGAAUUCUAGAGUAUUUACAAGCUCAAUGUGCUAGAGUUGCCUAGAACUUGCUGGAGUUGGGCAAAGCUAGCACUCUUGGCCUUGUGUUGGGCUCUUGAUGAGCAAAUUGGGCUAGCGAAUUGGGCGGUCUGCAACAUCCUCCCCCACCUAAGGUUGCGGCGUCCUCGUUGUGCUCUCGUGCUUGAAAUUCUGGAUGUGUUCAGCGAAUUGCCACAAAUCCUCUUCAUGUUCCCAAGUGGCUUCGCUUUCGGGGAGGUUUUUCCACUUCACAAAGUACUCGCUAUGUGCUGGCACGCCCCUCCUCGAAACCACAUGGUCCGCAAUGAUGUAGUCCACAUCUUUGUCGAACGCGGUGACAACGGCGGUUGGCACGCGCCUCGAUUCUCCGCGACUUGGGUCUCCCAUGUCUUUGUGAUAUGGCUUGAGAAGGCUCGCAUGGAAGAUCGGAUGGAUCUUGAGUCUUGGCAUAAGUUGUAGUUGAUACGAGAUGUUGCCCACACGUCGAACAACUCGGAAGGGCCCCUCGUAGCGCCUCACUAACCCCUUGUGGACUUUGCGCAACGUCUUGAAUUGUUGGGGUAGGAGCUUGAUCAUGACUUGAUCACCUUCCUUGUACUCAACAUGCCGUCUCCUUGUAUCCACCGAUUUCUUCAUUUUCCUCGCGGCUUUGUCGAGGUAGGCUCGCGUGAUGUCCGCUUCCUCAUGUCAUUCGCGGGCGAGCUUGUGUGCCGCGGGGCUUUUCCCUCCGUAAGUCGAGGCUAUGGCGUUGGGGGUCAUGGGCUGGAAUCCCAUGAUGAUCUCGAACGGACUCCUGCUCGUAGCCUCACUUCGCUGCAAGUUAUAAGAAAAUUGGGCAAUGUCGAGUAGUUUCGCCCAAUCCCGCUGAUGAGCGCUCACAUAAUGCCUCAAGUACAUCUCGAGGAGGCCAUUAAUGCGCUCGGUCUGCCCAUCCAUUUAUGGGUGGAAGCUUGUCGAGAACUUGAGAUCGGUCCCCAACAUCUUGAAGAGCUCCGUCCAAAAACGCCCAGUGAACUGAGGGUCUCGGUCACUCACAAUGCUCCUUGGAACUCCCCAAAGCUUCACAAUGUGCUUGACGAAUAGGCGGGCUGCCUCGUCUGCUUUGCAAUCGACUGGUACGGCAAUGAAUGUGGCGUACUUGCUGUAUCGAUCGACAACAACCAUGCUGCUUCCGCAACCUUCGGACUUAGGCAGCGAUGUGAUGAAGUCCAUGGAAAUACUUUCCCAUGGCCUUGUUGCUAGUGGUAGCGGCUCCAACAAUCCCGCUAGGAGUUGAUGAUCCACCUCGUGUUGUUGACACACAAGACAAGUUCGCACACAUGCCUUGAUGUCGUCCCUCAUGUGCGGCCAAAAGUACGAGGCUUGAACUAGUACGGUGGUGCGCUUGAUUCCUGGGUGACCAGCCCACUUGGAGUCAUGGCACUCCUUGAUUACUUCCUUCCGUAAAUUUCCCCACCUUGGCACGAACAGCCGAUCUCCCUUGGUGUAGAGGAUGCCUUCCUCUUGCCAAAAACGCCUUGUCUUUCCCUUAAGUACCUUCUCGAGCAAAUCCUUUGCUAGCGGAUCUUGUUGGAGGCCUUCCUUGAUACGUGAGACAAGGUCAGACUUCGGUUGACUCAUGCUAAGUGUUUCCAAUUCGGCCUUGCGGCUUAGAGCAUCCGCAACGACAUUGGCUUUCCCUGGUUUGUACUCGAGCCGAUUGUCGAACUCCGCUAGAAAGUCUUGCCACCGUGCUUGCUUUGGCCUCAACUUCUUUUGUGUUUGAAAGUAGCUCGUCGCUACGUUGUCCGUCAUGAUCGUGAAGUGAGAGCCUAGCAAGUAAUGUCGCCACACUCUUAGACAAUGGAUGAUGGCUGUCAUCUCCUUUUCUUGCACCGUGUAGCGGUGUUCUGUAUCAUUUAGCUUUCGACUUUCGAACGCUAUGGGGUGGCCUUCUUGCAUGAGGACUCCUCCUAUGGAAAAAUCUGAGGCAUCCUUUUGGACUUCGAAGGGCUUUGUGUGGUCCGGAAGGGCAAGGACGGGUUCCUCCGAAAUUGCUCUUUUCAACUCCUCGAAUGCGCGUUGGCACUCUUCGGACCAAUGCCACGUUAUGUUUUUCUUGAGCAUAUCCGUCAAGGGUGCCGUCUUGGCUGAGUAGCCCUUGAUAAAGCGGUGGUAGUAGUUCACCAACCCAAGGAAUGAGCGAAGCUCGGGCACUUUCGAGGGAGGCUCCCAUUCAAGGAUGGCCUUCACUUUGGCAUUCUCCAUCAUGAGCUUCCCGCCCGCAAUCUUGUGGCCAAGGAACUCCACCUCUUGUUGGGCAAACGAGCACUUCUCCAAUUUGAGAAAGAGUUCAUUGUCUCGAAGUACUUGGAGGACUUGUCGCAAAUGUUGGGCAUGCUCCUCGAGUGUGGUGCUAUACACCACGAUGUCAUCCAAGUACACGACCACGAAGCGGUUGAGGAAUGGUUGGAGUACCUUGUUCAUGAGUGUACAAAAUGUAGCGGGUGCAUUAGUAAGGCCAAAAGGCAUCACAAGGAAUUCGAAAGAUCCGUACCUUGUAGUGCACGUUGUCUUCGGUUCGUCUCCCUUGGCGAUGCGCACUUGGUAGUACCCGGAGCGCAAGUCAAGUUUGGUGAAGUACCGCGCUUUGCCAAGCUGGUCGAACAGGUUCGCAAUCAAGGGAAUCAGAUACUUGUUCUUGAUGGUGAUCUUGUUGAACGCUCUAUAAUCGAUGCAGAUCUGCAGCGAUCCAUCCUUUUCUUUUAGAAGAGGACUGGUGCACCGAAUGGGGCCUUAGAUGGGCGGAUGUAGCCUGCGUCCAGCAAGUCUUUGAGUUGUCUCCGCAACUCCUCUAGUUCGGGUGGCGCCAUGCGGUAGGGCGCCAAGGCUGGUGGCUUUGCACCUUGUUCCAGCUCAAUUGCAUGAUCUACCUCUCGUCGAGGCGGGAGCUUCUUCGGAAGUUCUGGAGGCAUCACGUCCUUGUACUCAUUGAGGACGGCUUGAAUUCGCAGAAGGACUUGGCUUGGCGAGGUUCCGUUAUUUCCUUCCUCGUUUAGUUCCCGAAUGGAGAUCAAGAAGCUUGGGUCCUUCUUGAAAGCCCUUUUGAAUUGCAUGGCGGAGAGUGUCUUCUCCUCGGACUUGCCUCGUUCCGUGGGAACCAUGCAUGCCUUACUCCCGUCGAGGAUGCUUAGGGAGUUCGUAGUGGGCAGCGGGAAGGCAUGGACUUGGUCGAAGAAUUUCAUGCCGAGGACCAUCUUACAGUCAUCCAUGGGGACGAUGGAGAAAUCAAGCUUUCCGCUCCACGUACCGAGUGUUAAGUGCACGCCUUGUGCAAUUCCCGUAAUUGGCUUGGCGAGUGAGUUUACUGCCUUCAUUGUGCCUCCUUCCUUUGUGGCCUUGAGACCUAAGCGUUUGGCCUCGUCUACGGACACGAAAUUGUACGUUGCUCCCGUGUCUAGCAACAUGCGAACGGACUAACCGUUUAUCUUUGCGCUGACAUACAUGAGCCCUUUCUUGACGAGUGUGGACUGUUGGUGAUUGAGUGCGCCGAGGCGUUGGAGAGAACCCAUGCUGAGUUGGGGUUCUUCCGAGGACAUUGUGGGGUUACUCUUUAGUUGGGCAGCAAGAGCGUUGAGCGACUUUUUCUCCGGACAGUCGCGUACCCAAUGAGGACCGUUGCAUAUGAAGCAUGGGCUUCACGGCUUUGGCGCCUCCUUCUUGCCCUCCGAUUUUCCUUGCCCGCUCUUGUUGCUAGGCGGCUUUUUCUGCCCCCAAUCUUUGCGGUUGUUGCCCUUGUCCUUGCGACUCUCUCCCCCACUUUUGCCUUGGCUAGACUUCUUGUCUUUGGAUUGGGUAGAGUAUUCAGUGAGCGAUUCCGCAACGGCGAUGGCAUCAUCAAGUGUUUAAACACCACGCCUAUCAAACUCGGUCUUGGCCCAAUCCUUGAGGCCAUCUUGGAAGUAGAAGAGCGAAUCCUUGUCGGACAUGUCGCUUAUCUCCAACAUAAGGGUAGUGAACUCAUUGAUGUAGUCUCGAAUGCUACCCGAUUGCUUGAGGCGACGUAAGCGCGCUCGCGCUUCCUUCUCCGAAUUGCUUGGGGCGAAUUGCUUUCGGAGUUCUUGCUUGCAGUCGGCCCAAGUGUCGAUGGUGCAAAUGCCCUUGCCCAUCUCGCCAUGCUUGCGACGCCACCAUAGUUGUGCAGCGCCUCUAAGAUAGGUGGGUGCAGUGCCCACUUUUGAUGCCUCAUCUUGGACACCCAUGGCGUCGAAGUAUUGAUCCAGCCCAAAUAGAAAGUUUUCCACGACUGUGGCAUUGCGUGUGCCAUCGUAAGUGUCGGGCUUUGGCACAUCAAUGGGGCGCACAUCACUCGUGCUUGCGGAAGCUGGACUAGCGGAGAGUGUGCGCUUGUGCCAUGCCCAAUCCGAGCGGACUUCAUCCACUUCUGCACGGACUGCUCGUAGUUCAUCCUGAACAAAGCUACGAAGUUUGAGCAACUCAUCAUGCGAUCGCUUCCUAAUAAUUGGGAAUAUAUAAGAGUUAACAUGGCUCAUAAUUAUAGCAUUAAGACAUUUAAUGAUAUCAAGUGUCAUUUGGAACUAGAUGAUGACCGCCUAGAGGCUGUUAAAAUUUCUAGCCAACUCUAUAUGGUUAACUCUAAGCUGUAGAAAGCUUUGGGCUUCAAGCGCAAAAAAAGAAAGAAUACUUUUCAAAGGAAAAAGAGAAUUGUGACAGCUCAAGGGAACCCUAAUAAUAGAAAGCGCAUGAAAGGAAAGCGCGUUGGAUAUAAGAAAGACAAGACUAAAAUGAAUUGUUAUAAUUGUGGCAAAUUAGGCCACUUUGCUCGUGAAUGCACUGAACCAAAAAGGUACAAUUCAUCUCCACAAAUUUAUGUUCUAACUAUGUGAUAAAUUUUAUUUUUUUAAUUGAAUCUCGUCCUUCAAGGACUGUAGACUCAGAACCAACAGACCACAUAGCUGGAGAGCGUGGAGCAUUUAUAGAGUAUCGUCGAAUUAAUCAAGGAACAAAAUGGUAUACGUGGGUAACAACUCAAGGGUUGAGGCAAAAGGAAUUGGCACUUGCAAGUUAGAGUUGUGUGGUGGCCAAAUAUUUUAUCUCCAUGAUGUUCUUUAUACUCUAAACAUCCAAUAAAACUUAGUCUCUGUUACUGUUCUUCUUAGGAUGGGAUAUCAAUUACAAUUUUAUGGUGCUAGUUUAAAGAUUGUUCUUAAUUCAACUCUAGUUAUUGGUGAUUAUUUAUUAGAUGGUUUUCCUCUUUUGGAUACUAAUUAUUAUGAUUCCAAUAAUAAUUGUUUUUUGGUAAAUGCAUUUUCCAAUGUGGAUGUAAAUAUUUGGCAUGCUAUACUAGGACAUGUAGGGCAAGAAAGAAUGAAUAGAUUAGUUAGAGAAAGCUUAUUAGGCUCACUCGCCAAUAUUGACUUGCCUAUUUGUAAAAGUUGUCUAGCUGGAAAAGCAACUAGAAAACCAUUUGGCAAAGCUACUAGAGCUGAAAGUCCAUUGUAAAUAGUCCAUUUUGACAUUCGUGGACCAAUGAGUGUGAGGGCUAAAUAUGGAACCAUGUAUUUUAUCACAUUUAUUAAUGACUACUUACGCUUUGGUCAUGUUUAUUUGAUUUCUCAUAAAUCUGAAGCAUUGGAUUGCUUUAGAUCAUACUUGAAUUUAGUAGAGAAUCAAUUAGACAAAAUAUCAAAGUCUUAAGAACAGAUCGUGGGUGUGAAUACCUUUUAAAGUAGUUCAAGGAAUUGUGCAAUAAUAAAGGUAUUGAGAAACAGCUAACUAUUCUAAGGACUCCACAACAAAAUGGUGUUGCAGAAAUGAGGAAUAGAACAUUACUCGAGAUGGUUAGGUCUAUGAUGGCAUUAUUGACUGCCAUUUAUGUACUUAAUUGAGUUCCAAGUAAGUCAGUAAGUUUUACUCCAUAUGAGUUGUGGAUAGUUAGAAAACUUGAUCUUACUCAUUUGCGUCCCUGGGGGUCUGCAACGUAUGUUCACAACUCAUCUCAUAAACAUGGGAAAUUGGGUCCAAGAGGAAAGAAAAGUUUCUUUAUAAGAUACCUAAAACACUCCAAAAGAUAUGUAUUCAUAGGUGAACAUGAUGAUGGAAAUAUAACUGAGACAAAGUCAGGAGAUGCUUCAUUUUUUGAAAAUGAAUUAUUAGCAUUUCAGAAGUUGACAAAGACAUUCAUCUAUAUGAGUUGAAUGAUUCAGAGGUUAAUGACACUUCUGAUUUACAAAUUGAGAGAAACUUAGAUAUAACUGGGAAUACUAAUCCUAGUAGGAGUUACCCACAAGAUGAGCCUACUCCACAAGACAACUCAAUUCGUAAAAGCAAUUGCAUACCCAUCCCACGUCGUCGUUUUGAGAUUGAGAAUGAGGCAUUUAUAGUUGCUUUACAUGAUGGUGAUGAGCCAAGAACUUAUAGAGACGCCAUCACAUUAUCAACUAAGGAUUUAUGGAUUGAGGUAAUGAAUGGAUGAAAAAAUAGAGUCUAUGAAAUCAAACCAUAUCUAGGACUUGGGUGAUCUACUACUUAACUGAAAGGCCAUUGGAAACAAAUGGUUUUUACGUGUUAAACAAAAGGCGGAUGGCAUAAUUGAAUGAUACAAGGUACGCCUGGUAGCGAAAGGAUAUACCCAAUAAAAGGGUAUAAAUUAUGAGGAAACGUUUUCUUCAGUAGUAAAGUUUGCUUUUAUAAGAUUAAUUUUAGUAAUUGUUGCAACAUGGACCUUGAAUUACAUCAAAUGGAUGUUAAAACAAUUUUUCUCAAUGGAGAACUAGAGGAAGAAAUUUAUAUGAAACAGCUAGAGGGUUAUAUAACCAGUUACCAAGAGUGCAAAAUUUGCAAGCUAAAAAGGUCUAUAUAUGGGCUAAAAUAAUCCUCUAGACAAUGGUAUCUUAGGUUUCAUUAAUCUAUAAUGUCUUAUGGGUUCUCGAUGACUGAAGAAGACCAUUGUGUGUAGAGCUGGCAAAAUUUGACACGACCCGAUUACCCGACACGAACACGACAUAAAUAAAUGGGUAUGGGUCAUCAAAUUUAACACGAUUAUUAAAUGGGUCGGGUCCGGGUCAACACGAUUUUUUUCCGUGUCGGGUUUGGGUUAAAAUUCUUGACCCAUUUACCCGAUCAAUGACCCGAUUAUAUUUUCUAUUUUAAAAUAAUUUACAUAUUCUUAUAAUUAAAACUCAAAUAUUAGAGAUGAUUUUCUUUUUUUAAUUCUUUAAAAGGGUGAAUAUAAACAAUGUUUUAUUUAUAAAAUUUUACAUACAUUUAGAGCUUCAAUAGUGUAAAUGUGUAAAAAUUGAUAGACAUGUAUAUUUUAUAAUAUUGAUAUAUAAUAUUAUAUAUAUAUAUAAUUAAAACCUCAAUAGUGUAAAUGUGUAAUAUAUUGGUAGAUAUAUAUAUUUUAUAAUAUCGAUAAAUUAUGUAUGUAUGUAUGUAUGUAUUUAUGUACAUACGUAUGUAUGAUAGUGUGUAAAUAUUUUAUGUAACUUUUGUUCAAUAUAUAGAUAUUAAACGGGUUAUUGGGUAACCCGAUUAUUUUUUCGUGUCGGGUUUGGGUCUCAAUAUUUUGACACAAUUAUUAAAUGGGUCGGGUUUGGGUCGACCUAAAUUUGACACGACACGAAGCUGACACGACACGAACACGACCUGAUGACCCGUUUUGCCAGCUCUAAUUGUGUGUAUGUUAAAAGGUUUGAAGGUAACUUUGUUAUCUUAUCUCUAUUUGUAGAAGAUAUAUUGUUGGCUGAAAAUAAUAAGGAGUUUGUCCAAAUCAUCAAGGAAUGGUUAUUUUCAAACUUUAAAAUGAAAGAUAUGGGUAAAGCAUUUUAUAUCUUGAGAGUUAAAAUCCGUAAGGAUCGUUCCAAAAAACUUCUAAUUUUGUCACAAGAGUCUUACAUUAGAAGAAUUCUUAAAAAAUUUAAAAUAGAUAAGCGUAAACCUAUAGAUACUCCCAUCUCCAAAAAAACAAACUCUUAGCCUUGAAACGUGUCCAAUGAAUCUAAAAGAACAUAGUGAAAUGACGCGAGUUCCAUACUCGAAUGCUAUUGGAAGUCUCAUGUACGCUAUGAUGUGUACAAGGCCAAAUAUUUACUAUGCUAUGGGGUUGGUAAGCAGAUACCAAUCAAAUCCUGGGCGCAAACAUUGGAAUGCUGUCAAAAGGAUUUUAGCAUAUUUGAAAGGCACUGACUAUUCUUUAUGUUAUCAAGGAGUUGUUUUAUGCUUAAUUACAUACACAGACGACGAUUAAGGAGGCGAUCAUGAUGAGCACAAAUCAAUCUCAUGACAUGUAUUGCUAUUGAGUCGCGAUGCGAUCUCAUAGAAUAGCAAAAAGCAAACAUGCAUGGCUCUGUCGACUAUAGAAGCAGAAUAUGUGGCAUGUUUAGUUGUAGUAUAAGAGGUUGUUUGGCUUAAGCGUUUCUUAGAUGAUCUUGAGAUUGUUACUGUGAUAGCCAAGGAGCCAUAUCCUUUACAAAGGAUAUAAAAUACCACAGCAAGUCCAAACACAUAGAGACCAAGUACAACUUUGUAAGAGAUAUUGUGGUGAAAAAAGAAGUGUUGAUGUAACACAUAUCAACACGCGUCAUGAUUGCAGACCCAUUUACUAAUGCCAUGACAUGAAAUGUUUAUCUCAUACAUACGCGAUCUUUGGGGUUACGUAGAUUGUAAAGUUGUACUUGAUGAGAUUUUGUUUUUUGGAUGAUUUUAAUAACAUUUUUUUUUUAAUUUUCAACUGAUAUUAGCAUGAUUACACACUUAUAUGAUUACUAAAAGAUGUCUUUAGGUUUCGAUCGGCUUUCUUACACAAGUAGUCGCCUCAGUUGUUAAGAAAAGCAAACUGAGAUGAGACACAAGAUUAAGAAAAAGUACGGGGUACGUUCUCAUUGAGAUUAUAUCUUGAAAAUGUCGCCUUGACUAGAUCAAGAUGAGAACAUGAUUGAGCUAGAUACGAGUUCAUUUGGCGCCUUAUAAAGGCGAGCUUAUUGAGACUCAAUUUGGGCUCUUGAAUAGCGACUAAUUUCAUAUAUGUACAAUGAAUUGUUAAACAUAUGCUCUUAUACAAAGAGAAUUCAAGGUAACGCGUGAUUCAUAACAUGCGUGCUUUUGUGACCAAAAAGAAAAAUAAGUGAAUGAAUCCCUGCUUCCUCAUUGUGUAAGUUCCUUUGAGGUAUAAGAAGGACCUCGACAGUUAUCUUUAGUUACCAUCGACUAUAUCUUAAAGGAAAAGACUGGUGAUAACUACUCUAGCAUGUUUUUCUAUGACCAUGAGGUUAUUCAACCUAUGAAACAUGUCUAAGAAAACAACGAGCCUAGAACUAAAAGAUAUAAGUAGGAUGGGAAGAUUUAUUCUCUUUACAUCUGACUUAUGCAUUCACCGGUUGAUUGUAUAAUCUACUUAGGGAUGAAUAUAAUUGUGAAUACAUAAAGUGCAUAGUGUCAAACAUAAUUUUUGUUAAGGGAUUAAAUAUGCUUGUACCAAUGUAAUGGAAAAUGAAAUCUAGGAUACAUGAUGAACAAGUUAUUUGAAUCUUUUGCAAAUGGUGCAAUUGAGAUUUCUUAUCUCUAGUAGAUAUAUUGUGUUCAUGGGUCACACGUUGCAUUUACCUGUAUGAAACUGCUGUAGUGGCUUUGUGCCCAAAUACCCUACUCUCGUUGCUUUGGUUACUCAAUCAUCCCAUCACAUGUGAGUGGGAGAUGUUAUAUUUAGGCACCCAUGAUGGGCUGACUUUAUCCAACUUGAGAGAUAAGUUAAACUUAUAAUUUAUCUAGGAUUCUUAUAAGAUAAACUUAGUGUUUUACCUGAAUCCUAGUCACAUAAGAUGCGGCUUAUUCAAAUAACUAUAGGAAGUUUAUUUGAAUUAAACUACAUUUAUUGUACUAUAUAAGCACUAAAUGGGUGGGUGCAAAUGCGUACAAUAAUAAUAAUAAUAAGAAUCAAAGUAACAUCAUAAAGAGAGUGAUAGAAAAGGUAAAAGGUAGUGGGUUAUUGCUUUGUGAAUUGAGCGGAUUUCCAGCCACGUGAUUGUCCUUCGACCAUCAUUGACAUAAGCUCAUUAUGAUGCAUUCGUGAAGGUUCUAGUAAUCAGUUCCUCUUUGUUGCGAUAUGUUCAUGAAGGUUCUUGGAAAUCCGUUCUUGGAGAUUGGAAGGAAUCUAUUAUUUGUUUCUGCAGAUUUGUGACGAUUUGUUUCUGCAUCAACCAACAAGGUAUGAAUUUGGUUGAUAAAAUAAAAUUGCAUUAUUGAUUAAGAAAAUCAACAAACCCAUUAUUUGAAAUGAGCCACUCUAUUAGUUAACAUUGAAUUGUUUUAUGGUUGCUAUAAUAAUUUUAAAAUAAUUUUAAUUUUUAUCUACAAUUUCAUUUCUUAAAUUAGGAGGUGUAAAAUAAGACAUUAAUUUUGGCAAUUAAAAGCAAAAGAAUUGCAGGGAAUAAAUUCGGCAACUAAAGUGGUAGUAAAAUAAUUUUUGAAUUUUUUUGUGGGCAAUUAGUACGGCCAAGUUCCUUGCAAAAAUCAGGGCUUACAUUGGCUGCUAAAAAGGACUUUUUGUGAGGCCACUUAUUGCAACCAUUAAUAUUUUUGUUAAUACAUAAAUUUUGGCUGCAAAACGUUUUUGCCACCAAAAUUGUUCUUAUAUUUGUGAGGAAAACUUUUGGUGGCAAAAACUAAUUUUUCUUGUAGUGCUUUUGCUCGAAAACCCUUGUUUCUUAUAAUUUGUAGUCUUGAUUCGCACUCUCAUCACAAAAAAUCAGGGGAUUGAUGUUUGGGGAUAAAAUAUGGUGACCACAAUCCAAUGUUUGCUUGAAACCUAAACAUGCUUGACUCCAAUAAAAUAAAGGUUAAUUGCUAAUGAGCUGAGGAGAGAAAAACUAUCAAGAGCAGAUAUCGUGGGAGGAGAAAAGUUAAGAUUAGUCAAAGUGCAAUAGUACUACUUAAGUAGUACUUUCUUUUUCUAUCUGAAACCGAAUAAGUUUAAAUUUUGUUGAAAUCUGAAUGACAUUUCAUUUUUCUUUUUUAAACAUAUAAGUGGAAUCUCAUUUGUUCUUAUAAAUUAAAAAAAAAUUAACAUAGUUAUUUGAUAUUUUAUGUCCCUACAAGUCAAAUAAAAAGAAAAAGAAAAAAAGGAUUGGGUUUUACAUUUUAGGAAAAAAAUAUUUAAUAAAUAUACUUUUGGAAUAUUAUGUUUACUUCCUAUCAAAACAUUUUUUCAUUUAGAUAAAAGUUACAAAGUUUAUAUUUUCUAUUUAGAUGUAAAUAUUUAAAUAUCAGACAUAUGUUAUGAAAACAAACAAGUAAAUUUAAAAAAUAAUAAUAAUAAUAAUAAAAUUUUAGACUUCAGAAAUUUAGCAAACAGACCUUCAACAAAAAUUCCCCGCCUAUUUCCUCUAAAAAAUUAGGGAUAAUGUUUAUCUUCAAACAUUUCACUUUGAGAGUCCAAGGGGAAGAGAAUUCUAACCACAAUAAAGACCUGGAAAUUCAAAAUAAGUAAGUUAAACUUUUCUCUCUUUAGACUUCCUUUUACUUUUUACUGUGUUUACAUUGAGAUUUUUUCUUUCCUUUUCUAUUACACUAAAAAUCGAAAACUAUUUUUUUUUAGUAAACCCAAAAAAUUGACUUGAGUGCUGGAAAUUAAGGUCAGAAAAACUUAUAUCACCUCUUAUUGCUUUUUAUGGUUGCAAGUAUUUGCGGAGAAUCUGCUUGAGUUCAUGGAUUCGUCCAGAAUUUAAGAGAUUGGCAAACUGCCCUCACACAUAAAAAUUUAAAUGUUGGCUUUGAGGUUUAGUUGCUAGCUAACAAAUCGACUAAACGAGAUUUUAAUGUCAACAACAUGUAUUAAUUAAGAGUUUGAAAACCUUUCAUCUCUUAUGACAUAUUAAUUUCAGCUUAAAUAAACUAUUAUUAAUUAAUUUCCUACUUUUCCAAUUCUCAGAUAAACUCGAAACCGAGCAAUCUUUUGACUCUGGCCAUCUUCAUUCCAAGCAGCCUUAAACUUCUCCAUCACAUUUUCUGUCAAAAGCUCAACACCUUUGUCGUUAGCCUUCUGAUAUGCUGAACAUGACCUUAUGAACUUGAAGUAAUCAUCUAAAUCCAUCAGCUUCUCUACAACAAACUGAUCGAACGGCCCCGUAUUCUCAUAUCCAUCAACAGGCUCAAAUGGAAAAUCAAUGCUCAUGUACUUGUUGUGCACCAAUUUACGUUGUGGUGCCCAAAAUGGCUUACAAUCAAUGGUAUCGAAUGGUUUGAAAACUGCACCGACGGAUUCAUUGAUUUCGGGCAUGGUGUAAGUCCAUGCAGCUAUUACUCCACUAGGUUUUUUGAGUACCCAUUUUACUUGUUUGUAAAAUUGACGUAAGUCAAACCAAUGUAGUGCUGAAGCAAUUGUCACUAGAUCUACACUUGAUUGUGUUGCCACAUUUUGCUCAAGCUCAGUUAUGGACAUGGUUGGAGGAGUAAGUUGAUACCGAAUGUUGGGGAGCCUUAUUGCGAAUUUUAGUUGUUUUGGGCUUGUAUCUGUAGCAAUGACGUGUUGAUAAAUCUGUGCUAGCUGAAAACAUAAAAUUGUGAGAAAUCAUAAAAUAUAGUAGGCUAUAACAAAAGUACUCAGAAUUGAGAGGGCCAAAUAUUAAAAUUACAUAGGUAUCGUAAAAUUUCAACUGGUACUUCAUUUUUUGGGUAAUUUAACUUUUUUCAUCCCCAAAGUGUUGGGAAAAUAUGCUCUUUAAAAGCAUAUGUGUUUAUUUAAUUGUAAUAAAUAUUUUUUCUGAUUAAUAAAAUAGAUGAGGUAUUUUAUUCAAAUAUCUUAAUUGCAUUAAUAUUUUUAUUAAAGUCCAUUUAAUCAUAUUAUAUGUAUUUAUGUGAUCACUAUGUGGAUUCACAGAAGACAUAAAUACAAGUUAUCUUAUGAUUAAAUAAAUUUUGUUCACAGUUGAUAAAUAAAAUUGAGCACUUUAUUUAGGUAUAGACUGUAAUAAAUUCAUUGAAUGAUUUGUCUUAAUCAUGUAUGAAUUUAUUGAUGUAGUACGACUACAUUGAACAGGAUCACAUAUGAGAUUUAAUUAACUUUGUAAUAACUAUCAGACUUAUUAAAUCUCAUAGGCAUUGAUUUUACUGUAAUCUUAAUCUUGAGUUAAUUAUGAUUUCAUGAUUGUAAUUAUUAUUCCAUUUGAGUUACCAAUGGGCAUGACAUAUACUUGUAGUCUAGAUUACCCGGUAUCUUGGUGUGAGCAUUUAUGAGUAUUGGAGUUAUAGAUUAACAAUAUAGAAUUUGUACAGCACAUCUCUUGAUGGGUUUUCGGCACUUGAUCAUAGAAUUCUUUGGCCAGAGUGUGUCAACAUAUUUAGUAUGUUGAAAAUGAUCAUUAGAGAAAACUAGUAAGUAUCAAGGAAUAAGAUGUUAUUAAAUUGAUUAGACAGUUAAGAUAUCAAUUUAAUUAACGAUGUGGUACAAAGGAUUGUGCAGUAAAGAAAUUAAUGUGGCUUGGGACGAAUUAUUAUUUGAGCAUACAAUUAUGGAAGUCAGUUCCAAUCUUUUAGUGGAGUAGAUUUGGAAUUAAAUAAUUGGGCUAGUUUAAUUACAAGCCUAAUUAUUGUAGCCACUAUUGUAUGUUCCCAAAUGAUCCCCGGGUUAGCUCAUUUAAUUGACUGCACCACUACUGGAUUAAUAAGCAAGAUAAUUAGCUAUUUUGGUCAAAAGCCUAAAUAUAUCAUUUAGUGGGGGGCUCCAUUUAAUUAGCUUGUGUGUAAAGAGCCUUAUGUUAUUUUACAAGGUGGGUCCCCUAUAGAAAAAGCAAGAUAACUAGCUAACGUGAGUUUUGUUUUUCAUUAUUUGGAGCCUAGGGUUUUCACUAAAAGGAGAUAUAAAAGGCUUAUUUUCUCUAAAGAAAAAGUGUGCAACCAUUUUAUACAGAUCAGAGAAAAAGAUUUUUCUCUCUAUUGUUGAGAGAAAAAUUUUCUCGUGCUAGUCGCUUUGGUAGUGAUAAAGGCGCCCACACGUCAAGUGCAGAUCAAACCUGAGUCAUAACCUGGAAGAUCAUUGGUGACAGUUCGUGAUCUAACAAGCGUGGUUGUGACAGUUCGUGAUCUAAUAAGCGUGGUGGUGACGGAUCGUGAUCUAACAAGCGUGGUGGUGACGGAUCGUGAUCUGGGAGCCUAAAUCACUUCAGCGGAAAAAUCUAAAUCGGAUUUUCAAGGUACGAUUUCUAGAUUACAAAUUCUUAUAUAUUAUAUGAGAGCGAUCUUAAAAAGGUUUUAUAAAAAAUUUAAAAACUUGAUCUUUCCCCAACACAAAGUGGCUAGGCUACCCUAGGCUUCACCUAGUUCCGCCGUUGGGAGAUAGAUAAGAUUUUUCAUUACUAGUAUUACAAUUAAAUUUUCAAAUAAUUUAGGUACUAAUUUGAAAAUAGUACAUCACUUAAUUGCCCAAUAAAAAUAAUUGUAAUUUAACUGGGGAUGGCAAGGAGGAGGAAAGGGGAUCAAUAACUCUAUACUCAUUUUCGAUCCUUUGCUUAUAUCUCUAUACUGUCCCUCUCCCCUCCAAAAUUGUUUGAGGGUAGGAGACAAGAUUCCCAAUGGUACCUAAUCUCCAAAUAACUGAUACUUUUAUUUUCUAAACUUAAUUUAAUCGUAUUAAAGUAAAAGUAUAAAAUUAUUUUACAACACAAAAACAUCAAAGUAAACUAAAGUAUUUAAAAUCAUUUCCUUAUUAAGCAAAAGUAGAGCUUCAAAAUUGAACACACUUAAAAAAUCACAUGGUCUAAAUCAUCAACAAGAUUAUCUUCAUCAAUUUUCAAGCGCUCAAAUUAGCUGUUAUUUAUAUUUUCUAUAAAUACUAUGAUAAGGAAAUUAUAUGGUAUUUGUUAUAAUAUUUGUUAUUUGUACUAUGAUAUUUGUUAUUUAUAUUCUUACCACUAUAAAUUAAAUUUUAAAUAUAUUUAUUAAAAAAUUUUAAAAAAUUAAAAUUAUAAAUAGAAAUGGGGAAAUGGGGGAUGGAGAUUUCGUCAAACCCCCGUCCCUUCCUCCAAUGAGAUAUUAGGUAUUUAAUUAUACCCUUAUAUAUUUUCCCCGAUCUUUAAACAGAGGAUGUAAAAUUAUUCCUACACCCUCUCCAAAUGGAGAAAACCUUUCAAGACCCGUCCUUGUGGAAAUUUCUACCAUCCGUAAAUUUAGCAGUUAUGUAAUUCAAUAGUCUUAUAACUUGGGACCAUAAUUCUGAAAUAUUCAUUGGGAACUUUAGUAUUAUUCAAUAAUAAAAACUAAAGAUGUGAAAUGUAGACUUACGGAUGCAGCGGCCUGGCCGCUUCCGGUGCCGACGUCCCAUGCAAGGUUGCGUUUGGGUGUUUUAGAGGCAAUUAAUUUGAACAAUUCUUUUGGAUAAUUUGGUCGUGCUACCGCGUAUAGGUUUGCCUGCUUAAUGAACAAUUCUGCCAUCUUUUCUGUUUUUUUCCUAAGUGUUGAGAAUGUAGAAUUAAGAUAAAUCUACUCAUUUCGUUUCGUUUCGUUUCUUUUCUUCUUUAUAUAGGUUUUAGAAUUUGAUGAAGUGGACAAAUAGACAGAUUUUAGUUCGAAAUUAAUUUGGUAAUGUUUAUCACGGGAAGCCGCAAUAGAACUAGGACAAUCUCAUAAAGUCUUAAAUUUCGACCGAAUUUUUCUUUCUUCCCUUAAUUUUCAAAAAUUAAAUACUUAUGGACUUGCCUUUUCGGUCGCAAAAAUGAUUUACCCAUCUCAUCAAUGAGCCCCACUUCAAUUAUACUUUGGCAAAUUUUUUGGGACAAUUUUAUUUUUGAUUCAAGCGUUAAAGGUAUCUACUAGAAUAUUCAACUCUCACUUUAUUCUUUUAUGAGGUUAAGAUGGUGGAGCUACAAGUGAAUCAACCUCAUGACGAGCGGGAGUUCAUGCCCUGUUAGAGAAAAUAAUUAAAAAAAAAAAUUAAAGAGGUGACUAUUUGAGUUACUAAUUAGACCCCAUUAAGUUUUCUAAAAUAACCUGUUAAAUUUAUUAAAAAUUGUCCUAUAAAUUCACAAACGCAUAACAAUUAAAUUUUGAUUUUUGAGAAUGAAAGGAAUUUAGAUCUAUUAUAAAUAGAUGUAGGCAAUUAAAACCCUAAAAUUAACAACAUAAUUAAUUUUCAAAAAAAUUGUUCACCGUUACUGUUUAGUGUUUACUACUAUUGUUUAUUGUUCACAGCUACUGUUCAUCUCCAUAAAAAAUAUUAAUUUUCCAAAAACACAAUAAAUUGCAGAAAUUAAAUGACACGGAGAUUUUUACAUGGUUUGGAUUAAUGAAUCCUACAUCCACGAGGCUACGCCUAAAUAAAAAAUAAUUCACUAAGUUGAGAUGUUACAACUUAUGAAUUUACCGAACUUAAGACCCUCACUUACAGUUUAUCACAAUACAGUUUACUCAACCUUAGACUGAAUCUGUUUCUCUUGAAUAAUUGCUACCCCUCUUGAUCCACGAUACUCAAGGCACUUUGCAAAGUGAUAAAUAGCAAUUCUUCAAUGUCUAGUGAUCCAAGAUCCACCACAGAGAUGAAAAGAAGAUAAGAAAAUAAAUCAACACAAAAUUGUGCGCCAAAUCUGGAUUCUCUAGGGAGGAUUCUCUAGGGAGGAUUCUCUAGGGAGGAUCGAGGCUGAAUUUCGCUUCUCUGCUUUAUUCUUUGUAUUGCGUACUUUCAAUUGUGAAAUUCUCUCUUUAUAUAGGCACUAGGGUUUCACAAAAAUAGCAAGUCUUAAAAGACUAGAAUUCUUUCCAAAUAAGAGUUUUUUUCCUCUUAUAAUUCUUAUGAAUCUGAAUAGGAAUGAAUAUGAUAUUUUUGCCUUGCUCGUCUCCCAAGAAAUAUCUAGAGCAUUUAAUAAACUUCUUAUUUGAACCAACUUCUUGCCCUAAUUAAAUCUAAUGUGUCAAUCUCAUCAUUAAUUGACUUGCUAAAUUAGACUUCUAAUUAAAUUAUGAAUCAAAUAUUCCUAAUAAAUUGGAAUCUCACUAAAUUAAGAAAUUAAGAAAUUAAUCCCUAUUACAAGAUAUGCAAUAAAUAAAAUUCUAAUGUAACUAAAAUUGCUAUAAAAUGCCAAUUCUAUAAAUAAUGGACUUACCAGAGAAUUAUAAAAACUCUCACUUUAAUUGAAAAGAGGAAAAUUUUUACUAUUAUUUAAUUUAGUCUCAUUUUAUCUAUUAAAAUAAUAUCUGCAAACUCAUUAACCCAUAAAAUUUUAAUUUUUACAUUUCAUCAUUAUGUAAUUUAGUCCUUAGUAAUUAUUUUUCAAAAUUCGCUACUGAUUGGAGUUAGAUCCCUAUCAUUCCUCGUUCUCAUUUAGGUUCUAUCAAAGAUAUCAAAGCAAAGAUUAUUUGGUAUUCAAUUACAUUGCUUCGAUUCAAUGUAAAUGCAUGUAGGGCCGGGUUGCCUUACUUUGUGGCCCAUUGGCGUAAUGAAUUUCAAUGGGAAUUGCAGACAUCUUCAUGUACAGUUUUUCUGAUAUUGCACUCCGCAUGAUUUUUUUUUAUCUUGCGGUGUACUUUUUUUAUCCGGUAGUUAUAUAUAUUUUGUCUUCUAAUAAUGUGUGCUUUUAUAUAAUUUUUUGUAGAUUUAUCAUCCAUGGUUGCAUUACUAUUAGCAUGCUCCGAAAGAUCUUGUUUUUUUCUUUUCGAAGAUGCCGCAUUUCUUAAUUUCAAAAUCAGCAUGCUCUCCGUCCUUGCGCAUUUGUCUUCUGUAAUCAACAUAGUCAUUAACGAAAUUUCAACAAGGUAGAGCAGCAUUCAACAAGGUUAGGCUUCUUUUUGAAUUAGGAGUAGACUUUUAAUUAAUUUUUUAUGGAAGUUGGUGGCUAUCCACUUCAACUUAGACCUAUUUAACUAGUCGUGGUCAAUUAGCAAAGCUAUUUGGGUGAUCACCAAAGAAAAAUUGCAACAGGAACAUAGUACACGCCGUUUGCAUUAAUUGGCCAUUUGACAAAAUAGCUCAAGGGAUCGGAUGGCUAAAGAGCUAAGUAAGUCAAUCAAGCAGGGGUGUUGUGAUCAUGACGUGUCCUAAGGUGAUGCACAACAAUAAAUUGAAGAAAUCCUAAUUAAAGUAAAAUUUACAACAUCCAGAAUUAUUUUAAUUAACUUGUAUUCUACUUAAUUUGAUUUUCUAUUUAAAGUUUCAUUGUUUAAGUAUAACUUAUUUAAGUUGUAUUCUUAAUUUAGAUUUAAGUCAUAUGAAAAUAGAUUUACUAGUCAAAUUAGGAUAAAUCAUAAGUAGUAUAAAUAAGUGUUUUUUGUAGUAUUUACAAAAGGUCUUGAUUAUUUGUUAUUGAUUGUUUCUUGGGAUAUACUCAGUUUGAGUUUUACACCUGUUGUCGACAUUAUGUGGAAUCAACAAAUUUUUAACACCUUAGAUUUGCGCGUAUUCUUAGAAUCAACGUGAAUUUAACUUACUUCUUUAUUAUGAUAUUCUUAAGAAUCAACAAAGUACUAAAAAUAUCACUAUCGAUCCGUCACAAUAUAGCUCUUAUCUUUUCGCUGCGUCAGUUUCAUUGCAGACCGUUUUAUUGCAGAGCCAUGUUUCAUUGCAGACCGUUUUAUUGCAGAGCCAUGCUAUACUAGUUUAGUACUAAAGCUAAAAAAAUGGUAUUACAAAUCUGCCCCCCAUCUACCACCAAAACCUUCCCUUUCUCUCUUUUUUUUAGCUUUUUUAUUUUUCCGUUUAGCUUUAUUAAAAAAAUCAAAUUAGAAAAAACUAAAAACAAAAAACACAAAAAAGAGAAAUAAAAAAUCCUAAAUUUUUUAAACCCUGGCCGCCGCUGACCGCCACCACUGCCAUCACUCCACCAGCCUUCACCGUUGUUUAACACCACCACCAAACUUAGCAGCCACACUGGACAAAAUACCAACCAACUUCGUCCUUAAGCCACCAUUAGAGCCCAUGCGAAACACCCAAACCCGCAAGCUUUUUGCCUAAUCGCCACCACUAAGCCACCAAGCUUUUCCAUCAAUUUACUACACCACCAUAAGCCCAAGCAAUAGGCGACCAUAAUGUCACGGGAUGAGAGUUUUGCGUAGCAAACCCGUGCGGCACUUAGACGACUUCUAGCACACAAGUCACUAAGUAAGCCUAGAUCACUUCUCAACCCAGUGAAGCAAGAAUCCUUGCGAACAAUGCUAGAGAGAAGUAGAGCAAUAUGGCCAAUAAUAUAUUUUAUUACACACUAAAGAAUAAAUUACAAGAGACCUAGAGAGCUUGUGUGUGCUUGAGUGUUUGUGUGUGGUGUGGCUGGUGGGCAAAUGAGGGGGCUCACCCCUAUUUAUAAGUGUUGGAGUGUUAGGUAUAGAGAGUUCCAUGCAACUUGCAUAAAUAUCCUAGGGGUCUAAGUGAAGAGUCCUAGAAACUUCUAACUAUUUACAAAUUUUAAAGAAAUCUAGAUCUUGGGCCGGGCUUGGGUGAUUUGCUAAGCGCACCACAGUUGGCUAGUUGUGUUGGUGGCCCAUUUCUGAGCGCAUCCCGCUUCUAAGUGCAUCCCACCUUGUGUGCUAAGUGUGUCCCACUUCUAAGUGCACUCCACUUCGAGGCGGACUUUUGCUAAGCGGACCCAUGUGCGCGGAAUUAACCUCCGGUUGCGGGAGAUUUGAACGGCCCAUGACAAUAAGCCUAGCUAUCCGCUGUUAUAAAGCCGCCAUAAGCCACCACACAAAACUCUCAAAACCCAAGAGUUUCACAACUUCAAUCUGCUUCCAUCACCAUGAAUCUAGCCAAUCCACGGCCACCAUCAUGUUCUUUACCACUAACUCUAUUAGGUCUGGCCAUUAUCACACCAAAUCACAGCCACCAGCUGCCAGCAACACCAAACCUUGAUCAAUUGUAUUUUUAAUUUGAGUGGAUAAAAAAUGAUGAAGACAAAUAAAGGUCCAUAUUGUCUUCUUGAGUUUGAAGAUAUCUUAGAUAUUAUGGUAAUCCUAAUGAUGUUUUUGACUAGAUUUGCAUGAUGUAUAAUUUGGAAGAGGAAUAUGUUUGUUUGCCUAUAAACUCGAAAGUCGAAGAAUUUGUUUAGGAUAUUGGUUGGCCAUUUAUAUCUAUCAUAACCCCUCAACAUCCAACCAUUGAUUUCAAUCAACUCCGAUAUUUGGUGAACCAAUUUUUGAAGAUGAGAAGCCUGAGAUUUUUCAACCUGUGGAAAAUUUUGAGAAAAAUUCAUUUAUCCUCAAUAUUAGCUCUGAAGAUUUAUAUGGUCAAUACGAUAAGAUAUGGUUAGAGAGAUUAUUGCUUGAAGAUUUUAUCUCAUGCUAUUGGAUAAGAUGGAUUAAUAUUGUCUCCAAGGUUGGAAAGUUCAAGUUUGUUCAUCAAUAUCAAGGUUGUAUUUUAAAGAUUAAUCUUAAGGAAAAUAAAGAUUGUCUUGGGGGUUACAAACAAACAAAAUUCGAGGACGAAUUUUCUCCACCUUGACGGGAAUGAUGGAGGGUAAGAAAUUGAAGAAAUCAUAAUUAGAUUGAAAUUUAUAAUAUUUAGGAUUGUUUUAAUUAAUUUAUAUUCUAAUUUAAUAUAGUUUCCUAAUUAGAGUUUCAUUGUUCAGGCAUAACUUAUUUAAGUUGUAUUCCUAAUUUAGGUUUAAUUCUUAUGAAAAUAGGUUUACUAGUCAAAUUAGGAUAAGUUGUAUUCCUAAAUUAGUAUAAAUAAAUAUCUUUUAUAGCUUUUACAAGAGGCCUUUAUUAUUUGUUAUUGAUUUAUUUCUUGGAAUGAAAUCUUUGUUUAAGUUUUAUUCUUGUUACUUCUCGGUGUUCUAUGGAAUCAAUGAGUUUUAACACCCUAGAUCCAUAGGUAUUCUUAUAAUCAAUGCGGAUUUAGCUUAUUUCUUUUUUGGUAUUAUUCCCAAGCUUAAAUAGAGUAUUGAAAAUAUCUCUAUCUAUCCAUCACCUUGCAUUUUCUAUCCAUUUAUUGUGUCAGUUCCAUUGCAGAGCAUUCUAUUGUAGAACAACACUGCAUCAUAAGUUUGUUUUGAUUAGCUGAUAGAUCCUACAAAUAGAGAGCAUUGUUCUUUGUAACUUGUACAGUAAAUUGAAAACCUCAUCAAUAACAAAAAUGCCAUUGUCCUUUAUAUCAUCUAUAUAUUAAUUUAUACUUUCUACUUAUAUUCUCAAUAAUUAUAACAUGUUAUCAGUAUGAUUAUUGCUCUGGUAUAGGAAGUAUCUCUUCCCUUGCUCUUUUAUUUUCUCUAUAUAAUUAAUAAAACUAUUCUUAGAAAUAUAUAUGCUCGGUAGUUGUCAUUAAUUUGGAUCUUUCACAUCAGAAAUAAGACUAGUUAUUGUGUUUCUUCUUGUUUAUUUUAUACCACUAAUGUUAUAUGCAAAGACCAAAGCAUAUAAGAAUAAAGCGUAAAACUGAAGCAUACAUCAAGACGAAAGCAUAUAAAAUCGAGAUUGAAGCAUAUAAAAUUCAGUUUGAAGCCUUAAAGUAUCAAGAUUUAAACCUAUUCAUUUGAAACCACACAUUUAUAUAUUCUAAAUUUGAAGCCCGCAGUAUUUUCUUGAAAAUUAUUUAUCUUCAAUUUUGCCUUAGUAAUUUAUCUAGAAGCCAUAUGCCUCAAUAAAACAACUAAAAGCCAUAGGACUUAGUACACAAUCAAGCUCAUCCAACUAAAACAAAGCCAUUUGUGGAAUUGAUACGAAGCCUUACUUGAAGACAAAUCUCACCAAAGUAGAAUAAGUUUCAGUUACAAUAUUUCAAAUUAGCCCAUGAUCAUAACUCAGUGCUUACAAAAUCACAUCAUAGUCAAAGAUAUGUGGAAACAAAAUUAUUGAAGAAGAAGAUAUGCUCAACAAUUCAUGCUUCCAACAUAAUUCUGCGGCAAUAGUAUCGAGCUCGCUAACUGAUAGGCACAUAGUCGGUUCUAAAUCAAAAUGCUAUCACAUAUAAGCAUGGUGAAAAUCAUUGACAUGACAAGGUUACAGCAUGCCAAAAAUAGUGGUUACAAUUAUGAUUGAAGUUACAGUCUUGAAGAAAUCAUUAUUGAUCUCAUAGUGAUAGCAUACAUUCUUCAAUGCAUGAUGCCUAAAUAGUUGAUUAAAUUGUUAAUUAAGAUAUCUAUACCUAUUAAGAUUAGUAUUAAAUUUUAUGAGCUUUUAUAUUCAUAUGUAUUUUAUUUUAUAUGAUGAUGUCUAACAAAUUUAUCUUUUGAAAGGAUGUGGAUCUUUAAAGGGGAUUGCAUGAUAUAAAAUAUUUAACUAACAGUGCAACUACACAUACAAUCCUUUGAAAUUAGAAAUAUUUUAUGAGUUUAUAAUUAUUUGAAGCUAAGUUGAAUACCGUCUUAGGUCCUAUAGAUCUGAUCGAGGGCUCUGAAAGAGCAUGUUCAUAUUACCAAGUGGUACAUAAUUAUAUAUCCAUGAUGGUCUGUAUUCACCAAAGACUAGAAGAAAUCUUUUGAGUUUUGUCAUAUAAAGACAAUAAAUGAGAAUAGUACAGAAUAUCUCUAUAUUACUUCUACUAUCUCAGAAAAAAAAUAUAUAUAUUAAAAAACCUUCCCACUUUGUCAUCUGGUGGCUUAUAUUAUCUGAUGAUGAAAGUAAUUGAGAGUAUGCAGUCAUAAACCAGACACUUUGCGAUCUAAAAGCUUUUCGUGCUUUGGCAUGAUCGUCUUAGUCACGUUAGGUCAGCUAUGAUGAGUAGAAUUGUUGAAAAUUCUCAUGGACAAACUUUAAAUGAUUUAAAGAUUAUUUUAUCCAAUAAGGAUAAUUGCACUGCUUGUUCUCAAGCAAAUUAGUGGUCAAACUAGCUCGUUCUAAGAUUAGCCUUGAAUCUCCGUCAUUCUUACAAAUAAUUUAGGGAGAUACAUGUUGAUUUAUUAAUCCACUCAAUGGUCCAUUUCUUUAUUUUGUGGUCUUGAUUGAUGCCUUUGUACGAUGGUCACAUGUCUGAUUAUUAUCUACAUAUAAAAUUGCAUUUGCUAGAUUGUUUACCAAGUUAUCAGAUUACGUGCACAAUUUUAAGAUUAUCUAGAUAAUACUGAUGAAUUCACUUUUAAAGAUUUUAAUGAUUACUGCAUGUUAGUUAGUAUUGACGUAGCGCACCCAGUACCAUAUGUUUAUACUUAAAAUGGAUUGGUAUCAAACAUCUUCAAGUAAUUGCAAGAACUUUGUUUUUAUAUAACCUGAUUACCUAGUUUUUGCAUUACGACAUACUAUUCUGCAUGUUGCCGCAUUGAUUCGCUUGAGGCCUACUGUUAUCACUAGUAUUCGCAUUGCAAUUGGUACUAAGGCAUCAACUAAUAUAUCUCAUUUUUGCAGUUUGGCUAUACUGUACAAGUGCCAAUUUGCACCUCGCUGGCAUACUAAAAUAGAACUCCAAUGAUGUUUAAGGAUUUAUGCGGUUAUGACUCACCAUCUAUUAUCAAGUAUCUUUAGCAUAUUACCAAUGACUUGUUUACGUAUGCAAUAUGAAUUUCCAUUUUAAUGAGAUAAAAUUUUCCUUGCUAUGAGAGAAAAAGCCGCCAUAUGAUGAUUGAUGCAAGCUUUUAUGGCAUGUGACAAAAUUGUCUCAUCUAGAUUAUCGCACUACUCAAAGUGAAAAUAAAGUAUGGAGGAUAAUUCACUUACAACAAUUUUGCAAAUCACUUGUCAAAUGCAUUUAUAGAUGGAUCUAAAGUAACCAAGUCAUGUAUACCACAUGUAAAUGCAUCUCACCAAGUAGUUGUUCCUAUUGAAAAUUUUGAUUAAAAUAGCUAAUUGAUUAAUCUAAGGCACACCCAAGGUAUGGUAGACCACUUGGUUUAAAAGAUAAUAUUCAACUAAAAUAAAAUAAAAAAAAGGUUAGGAUUUUGUUAAUUAGUUGUAAGUAAAAGUACUACUUCAGAAGAAUAGGUCCUCUCCUAUGUGCCUAUAGCGACACUACCUUCUGAAGAGACAAAUACCUUAGAUGUAAACCAACCUCUUAAUGUAGCUAAGAAUGAAGAAAAGUUUGCAAAUUUUACUCACAAAAUAGAAAGUGUAUAAUCAUAACAAAAAAGCUAUUGACAAUGCUUAUUCAUUUACAAUAGCUACUGAUUUGAUAAAUGAUGAUAUUGACUAAUAGUCCAUUGACGAAUUUAGACUAAGACAUGAUUGGCCCAAAUAGGAAGAAGCAAUCCAUGUGAAAUUGAUUUCCUUAGCAAAACAUUAUGUUUUUAGACUUAUAAUCCAAAUACCUGUUAUUGUUAAACCAUUGGGUAUAAAUAAAUAUUUUUUUCAAAAACUUAAUGAAAAGAAUGAGGUGGCUAGAUAUAAAGCACGACUUAUUGCACAAGGUUUCUCACAAAAAUUAGUUAUUGAUUAUGAGGAGGUGUAUUUACUAGUAAUUUGUGUAGUUUUGUUCUGAUUCUUGAUUAGUUUGACUAUAUCUUAGAGGUUUAAUAUUUGUUUUAUAGAUGUAGUGACAGUUUAUUUGUAUGAAUCAUUAUUUAUAAAAUAUACACACACACACAUAUGCAGUGGCGGCGCCACUUGAGAGCCCCUGCUAGAUUUAAAAAAAAUAAACUCAUCUUAUUUUUUAGUGGAUUUACAAUAAAGCCCCUAGUAAAUUUUAAAAAUAACUAAAAGAUCAGUAUUUUAAACAGUGAUUAGAAUUCAAAAAAAAAAAAAUUCAAAAUCAAAUCCAUAACCACCACCAUCAAUCCUUUGCCAAAGAAAACCUUCAUCGGCUACCAUCAGUGAUCCGCUUGUCGUCUAUCUCUGUCCAAUUCCCAUGUCAUCACACCUCUUUGUUUUCAUGUCAUUGCCAUAGACGCUACAACUUGUAGCUCCUAGUCCCAGUCGCAGUCUUGCAUCACCGUAUGGUCCUCGCACUCGCAGCCUUGCAUCACCACAUGGUCCGCAUCUUUGCAUUUUUCUAGUACUACCAUUGUACCUUUGCAGCUUUUAUAUUAAUUAUCAAGAAUUGAUUAAAUUAUUUUGAUAAUCAAGCACCUCUGUCACUUUAUGAUUUAAUAUUCUAAUUCUUGAAUUAGUUUAUACCUUUUUUAAUUGAAUUGGUUUAUGCCUUUUUAAUAGAAUAAUAUUAUUAACUUUCAAUUAUUGUGGCGAUGCUUUGUGGAUUGAUAAAGUGGCAAUGCUUUUAACUUUACUGAUUAUAACUAAUAAAAUAAAAAUUCCAUGGCCCAUGGGUGACGCCGUGACGAGUUAGUAACCUAGUGGUUGAGGAUUUAGUCGGGUAGUCGGUUUAUUAAAUUAAUAAUUUGUAAUUUUUUCUUUUUUUUUUAGAUUUUGACAUGGAAAUUGUCUUCUGUUUCUCUUUAAAUAAACACAAUUAAUUUUGUUUAGUUGUCACAGUUAUGGAGAAAUAUUACUCAAGAAAGCCAUUGUCACAACCUUCUCCAAAAAAAAGCAAAAUACAACUCAAAUCAAGAUGUAGAAUUCAAUUUACAAGAUCCUCCUACAGAUCCUGGUUUACGAAUUUCAAUCUCUUGUUAUAGUAUUAAUAUUCAAGAUCAAGUCCGAAGAGCAUACUUAUAGAGAGGUCCUGUUCAACCUAAAAAUCACAACUUCAAACUUUUAGAUUUUGGAAACCAAAAAAGGUAGUUUGGUAGUAAUUGGUUUGGGAAAUUUGGAUCUUGGUUGGAAUAUAGUAUAGAAAAAGAUGCAGCAUUUUGUCUCUUUUGUUAUCUUUUUAAAGAAGAGAUUGGUAAUAAAGGGGGUGGUGAUUCAUUUGUUGGUAAUGGUUUUAGAAAUUGGAGGAAACCUGAAAAAUUUAUUGAACAUAUGGGGAGAUGUUGAUAGUGCCCAUAACAAAGCUAGAGAAAAUGUGAAAUGUUGAUGAAUCAAAAUUAACACAUUCUGACAGCUUACACAAGACAUUCUGAGAAGUAUCUAAGCGAUUAUCGAGCUCACAUGAUGGCUACUAUUGAUUGCAUUCGGUUUUUAUUAAAACUAGGGCUUGCAUUUUGUGGGCAUGAUGAGUCUAGAGAUUCAGGCAAACGAGAGAAUUUUCUUGAGCUUCUAUUUUCUUGUCUAUCAUAAUGAAGACAUUAAUGCUGUUACUUUUGAUAAUGCUCCUGAAAAUCAAUGCUCCUAAAAAUCUUCAAAUGACAUCAAAUGAGAUUAAAAAAGACAUUGUAAGUUGUGCUACAGUUGAAACUACCAACAUUAUUAUUAAAGAGAUGGGCGAUAUUUUGUUUUCUAUCCUUAUUGAUGAAUCUUGUGAUAUUUUUACAAAGGAGCAAAUGGCUGUUGUUUUACGUUAUGUGGAUAAAAAUGGCUAUGUGGUUGAGCAUUUUAUUGGGAUUGAACAUGUUACUAGUACUACAUCUAUUUCACGUAAAGAGGCACUUGACAAACUAUUUUCCAGACAUGGUUUGAGUAUGUCUAGGUUGCACAGACAAGGAUAUGACGAAGCAAGCAAUAUGUAAAGUGAGUUCAAUGAUCUUAAAGCACUGAUUUUGGAGGACAGCAUAUAUGCUUUUUUUAUUCAUUGUUUUGCACAUCAACUUCAAUUGGCUUUAAUUUCUGUGGCAAAAAAACAUGAAUAUGUUAAUUCUCUUUUUCAGUUUAGUUACAAUGUUAGUCAACGUUGUUGGUGCUUCAUCAAAACAUUGUGAUAUUCUUUAAGAGAAACAUGCUCAAGCAGUUAUUAAAGCAUUCAAUGAUGGUGAAAUUUCAAGUGGACGAGGUUUAAAUCAAGAGGUUACUUAAAAGAAAUCUGUUGACACAUGUUAGAGCUCACAUUAUGGUAUGUUUUUGAGCAUAAUCACCAUGUUUCCAUCUAUUAUUGACGUGCUUGAGAUAUUUUCGAAUGAGGGAAAUUCUGAACAAAGAUUUCAAGCUACAAUGUUAUUUAAAUGCAUGCAAUUAUUUGAUUUUGUGUUUAGUUUGUUGUUAAUGAAAAAAAUUCUUGGAUUUGCACGAGUUAUCACAAGCAUUACAAAAAAAGGAUUAGGACAUUGUGAAUGGUAUAAAAUUAAUUGGAGUGUAUAAGAGAAACUUGCAAAAAAUGAGAGAAAAUUGAUAGGACUCUUUACUUGGUGAAACUUCUUCUUAUUGUGUGAAGCAUGAUAUUGAUGUUCCUAAUAUGGAUGAUUUGUUUCAAACUUAAGGGAGAUCACAACGCAAGGCUCAAAAUAUUACAAUUUCAUUUUCGUGUUGAAUUAUUUUAUGCAAUUUUGGACAUGCAACUUCAAAAAUUAAGCAAUCGUUUCAAUGAGACGAAUACUGAGUUGUUUCUUUGUGUGGCAUGUCCAUGACCUAAUGACUCAUUUGCAGCUUUUUAUAGACAAGAAACUACUUUGCCUUGCUGAGUUUUAUCCAAAUGAUUUUUCUCCAGUGGAUCUUGUGGCACUUAAAACUCAACUUGAUAUUUAUAUUAUGGAUGUGGGUGCUGACAACAAAUUUUUAGGAUUGAAAGGGAUUGGUGAGCUAGCAAGAAAAUUGGUUGAGACUAAGAAGGAUCAAUUAUAUUCAUUAGUUUAUUUAUUGGUGACAUUAGUAUUGAUUUUACUAGUUGCCACAUCUACAAUAGAAAGGGCAUUUUCAGCUAUGAAUUUUGUGAAAAAUCAUCUUCGAAAUCGGAUGGGAGGUCAAUGGUUGAAUGAUAGUCUUGUUGUAUACAUAGAAAAUGAUAUAUUUUGUAGUAUUGACAAUGAGGUUAUUCUUCAACGUUUUCAACAUAUGAAACCUCAUUAAGGACAUUUAUAAGUGUAUUGAAUUAAAUACUUUAAUGAACUUUUAUUUUAAUAUAUAUCAUUUAUUGACUACUUUCUUAAAUUAAAUUAUUAUUUAAACUUAGCCUCCGUUAAAAUUAAUUUCUGGCACCACCACUUCACAUAUGCAUAUAUAUAUAUAUAUAAUGCUUAAACAUCCAUGUCACCACAUUAUGGCUUGUAUUCUAUAAAGCUUCAAAAAUCUUUAAACAAAUUGAAACAAUCUAGACACAUUUGGCAUAGUCAACGAAUACUUGAUCGGAUACAUGCACUAUAAGAAAAUAGCUCGUAUGUGACGGUGUAUGUGACUGCAAAAUUGGGGGUCGCAAAAGAUACUAAACUGCUUUGCCGCAUGUCUCAAAGCUAUUUUCUUGGUAACACGUGACCAUUUUGGGACAUCAAAAAACCAGUCACAAAAAAUACUCUAAACAAAAAGAGUGAUGAUACAGCCACAAACUCUUGUACAAACUUAUUUUGUACAAACUGAUGUGACAUUAAUUUAUUGGUUGAAUGAAAAUAUAAAAUAAUAGAAAUAAAUCAUGUGGGCCAAGAAAUAUUUAAUUCAACCAAUGAAUUAACGUCACAUUAGUUUGCACAAAAUAAGUUUGUAUAAGAGUUUGUGACUAUAUCAUUACUCAAUAAAAAAAUAACUUGGCCCUUAACUCCUCGAAACUGUAACCGCCAGAACGCCACACAAUUAAGUCCUUACCAAUGAAGCCAAAAGCAAAAAGCUUGUUGGAAUUUAAAGUUUAAACAUAUUUAAAACAUUUUAUUUUUGUACAACUUAUUCCAUUAUUCAUCAUUUUCACUUGUGCAUUUCAUUUUAUUUCCAAUUCACUAUUUUAGUUACAUUAUCUGUUUGCAUCAUAUUUGACAACUGUGAAAUUAAAUCUCAUAAUUACAUAUUCUCUUUUAAUUAAUUGUGCUUUUGAGUCCUAAUUUGAAUCAUUUGUAUACCUAAAAUUAGAGUUUGAAUCGAUUACAAUAAUUAGGGAUUCGAAAACCUAAAAUGAAUAGGAUUUUGAUUAUCUUUCCUUUUGAAUUUUUAUCCUAAUUUCUAUUUCCAUGACUUAUUUUUAUCCUCAUUCUAUUUCCAUGACUUGUUUAAUUGGCGAAGCUUUUUCAUAGUCCAUUUAUAUUCCGAGGAUUUGAACGAACAAUUGUUUCCUAACAUUUCCUAACGGCUCUUUUUUUCUUUCUCCCAAUUAUAAGUAAAUUUACUAUUUAGCUUUUGAAUUUGUUGAUUAAAUGCAGCAUUGAUAAGAUUUUAGAUAUGUAAAGUGCUUGAUUAAUGUUUAACAGUUCAAUUUAUUGUAUUAAAUAAUUUUUGUUAAUGUCGAAAUCCGAUCGAGUCGGUUAGCGGCUCGAUACUAGACCCCUGCAUCAGCAUUAAAUUUGUUUGGUGGGGAGGCGGCUUGCCAAACACUAAGAACACCCUCCGACCAUUACCAAAUAACCUAAGAAAACCUGAAAUCACAAAGAAUGGUAAGAGGCACCAAAAGUUUUUUCGGCGAUAACCCUCUAACGCUCAAGUAAGUUUAUAGGUUUACCAGAAUAAAAAUAAAUAAUUUCUAUUUUAAACAAAAACAGAGAUCAAAAAAUCAAAAAUAAAACCAAGUACCAAUAUGAAGAAUGGAUUUUUUUUCUUCACCCUCAAAAAAAAAAAAAAAAAAACAAAGAAGUAGGUAGCAAUGUUGGCAUAGGCAACCCCACUCCCGUUUGAAAUUCUCCAUUUUCCCCACUCCCGAGAGCCCAUUCCUCCUUUUGCUCACCAUCCUUUAUAAUUUUUUAUACUCGUCUCCCCAAAAUGGCCUUUGAAUACGUAAGUGAAUGUCUAGGCUUUGGUAAGGGUGGUUCGGUCAUUGCCUUUUACAAGUAAGAUGGGUGGUGUUGAAAAAUGAGGAGUGCACGUCCUCUUCAAUAAAUCCCACUAACAAUUUCAUUUUCUUUAUUAAUUAAUCUUUUUUUUAUCUCCAAACACUAGUCUCCUAGUUUCUAGUGUUGAGAGUGUAACGAAUAAAGACUGAAAACUUUAUAAAAAACUUCUUGACCGAUUGGGUAGAUCAAGAAAACAACAGUCGUUGCUGCAACAUAAUUUUAAAAUGACCUCGAGGUGACUUCUAUGAGUCGACUCAGGGUUGCUGAAAUUAACCUCGCCAUGGGUAAAAGAGUUGAGUGAAUUUUAAGUUUUAUUCCUCACGUCAAGGAGAUUUUGAGCUUACAACCUUUAUAAACUUAAGCUGUUUUAAGCAACUCUUAUCAGUUUAAGGAUGUAUGCUUAUCUUGAGCAAAUUUUAAGGCUUUUUUUUUUUUAACUUUUAACUAACUUAAGCAAUUUUAAGCUACUCUUAUUAAUUUAAGAUCUUAUACCUUACUUGGAAUAAGUUUUAAGGCUUUUAACCUUGUACUGACUUAAGCAACUUUAAACAACUCUUGUCAGUUUAAGGUUUUAUACCUUACUUAGAGCAUGUUUCAAGACUUUUAACCUUUUAUCGACUCUCUUUGCUUUUUAUUGUGCCUUAUAAAUAUUAAUAAAUUUCAUCUAUAAACUUUGUUUGGUUCUCAAUGCUAGCCUACAACUCUCCUUUCAUAAAUUGUUCUCACAUUGAGUAAGUUUCAAGAAAUCAAGUUGAUUAAGUUAUAUCAUUAGCCCUUAUACGAGCUCAAUCAAUUUGAUAAGUAAAAGUUGUCCCUAUUUCGUAAAUUAUUAGUAGGUAAAUACUAUACCCGUAAAUAAAGGCGGCAAAUGCAUGUUUUGAUAUAGACAACAAGACAUAAAUUUGUUAGAAUUUAUGACCCGAUUAGCAUGCAACUUUAGCAUCAAUGUCUCCUUCUAGGUGAGCCUGCCUCAUACGCAAAUGUAUCAAAAAUUGACUUGGCCAUUCAAAUAAGAGUUUGUCAAAUACACGACAGACAUAAAUUAUAGAUGUGAUAUCAUUCACUAGGAAUUAUGUAAUUCGAAAACAUAGGUUAAAUAGCAGCCAGUCUAAUGUCCAAGUGUCUGAAGUCAUCAUUGUUACGAAACAACUCAAACCAAACAGCAACUUAAAAAUUAUCCACAAAGUAGCUCACAAAAUCAAACACAAUGGCGGGGCUUCUAGCCAUUUAUGACUGAUGCUUCUAAUCAUUUAUUUAUGCAUCUAGGUUUUUUUGAUGGAUAAGCAUCCUUUGUGCUCCAUUAAAAGUCCUCUGUUAAAGGUCCAUAUAGUAUUAUUUAUUAUUGCUAUGAAUAUUGAAAUUUAAAUGAAAAAUAAACCAUAGCAUUUUAGUAUAUGUAAUCACAAAAGAGAUGGCAGUUUAAACCAUUAAACAAAGUCAUAUCAUUAUAUAUGAUGCAAUAUAUAAUCGUUGUAUUAAAAAAUAGCUAAUGAUGAUGAGUUAAAAACCCAAUCUUGCAGAUACCUUAAGUCAAUAAACAGAUUUGAAGAAUAAAAUAAAAUCAUGAUUUUAGAACAAGUGACCUUGUUUGAGUUCUAAGAAUUCUGUACUAUCUUGUAGUGAAAUUGCAUAACAGAAUUCCCUGCAUAUUCUUCACAUGAAAACGAGCUACGUGGUCGAAUUAUUGGGUGUAAAACUAGCAGAAAAUACCCUGAAGAAACCAAAGAUCCAUGGGUUUUUUAUGCUUGUCACCAAAUAGGUUUAACUAUAUAUAUGAGUAACCUUUAUUUAAGAACUUGAACAUUGAUAAUGCUGCAAACCAAUUAUUCUUUUGGGCAGACUUUAUGUCUAGAGUCCAAUGCAACGAGAGUACAAAUAUGUAACCAAAAUAAUGAUGGCAACGGCAUUAUGAAUCUAAGAAGCCAGAACAAAGCUAAUUGUUACUUAUUUAAGACAUUAUGCCAAGCAUGUGGUGGGCAAAUUUAAAAUAAAUUUAUUUGUAAGUGUAAUAGAAUGUAAUCUUGCUCAAUCAAUUAUGAAUGAAGCCCGUUCUAGCAAGCUGAUUUUAUAAGAAAAUAUUUUCAAUGAAUUCCAAAAUAUAAUAUUCAGUUCUUUCAUCAAGGAUAUCAUGCAUGUUAGUGAAGAAUUUGCAAACAUCUCAUUUUCGAUAAACUAAUCAUCAUGCCAAUUGUAAUUUAAAUUCUAAUGAACAUUUACUUAGAACACUGCAAAGAUAAAUAAGUGAAAACCUUCAAAGGCGGCAUUCCAUUUAAGCAUUGGCUUCCUCGUUUGAGCAAGUUCAUCCAUUUAGGCACCGCAAUAUUCUACCUUCGCUUUGGCCAGAUGAAAAUUGAUAGAGAUAACAAGUUGGCUUUUUAUACCGUUCCCCUUAGGCGGCACCAAAUGUUGAUGUUUAAAUCUAGUCAAGUCGGUUAGCGGCUUGACACCAGAUCCCUGCAUCAGCAUUAAAUUUGUUUGGUGGGGAAGCGGCUUGCCAAACACUAAGAACAGCCUGCAACCACUAACAAAAACUUCCGGCGAUAACCCUUCGAUGUUCAAGUCAAUUUAUAGGUUUAUCAGAAUGAAAAUACAUAAUUUCUAUUUUGAAACAAAAAUAGAGAUCAAAAUCUCAAAAGUAAAACCGAGUAUCAAUAUGAAGAAUGGAUUUUUUUUUUCUUUUUUUCAGCUUGACCGAAUCCUUCUCCCUUUAAAAAAAAAAAAAAACAUAACAGAGAUGCAGGUAGCGGCGUUGGCAUAGGCAACCCCACUCCCUUUUGAAAUUCUCCAUUUUCCCACUCCCCAGAGCCCAUUCCUCCUUUUGCUAGCUCAACUAUCCUUUAUAAUUUUUUAUAUUAGUCUCCCCAAAAUGGCCUUUGGAUACACAAGUAAAUGUCUAGGCUUUGAUAAGGGUGGUUUGAUCAUUGCUUCUUACAAGUAAGAUGGGAGGUGGAGAAAAAUGAAGAGUGCAUGCCCUCUUUAGUAAAUCCCACUAACAAUUCCAUUUUCUUUAUAUAAUCUCUUUUUUUAUCCCAAACAAUUUUAGCUUUCAAUUUAAUGUUUGAUAGUUACUUGUCUAAAUUUACUUUUAACUGUGUAUUUGAAGCUUCUGCAAUGAUUAUCUAAGCUUGGGUCUUAGUUUCAUUUGCUUGAUUAGCUGAGCUUACGUCUUACUUUCAUUUGCUAAUUAACUGCCUUGUUUCCAUUUAUCUUUUUGUUCACCAAGUGUAUAUUAUAAUGUUUCACAAUUAUUUAAUUAAUUUUUCUAUCUGUUGAAUUUGCAGAAACUUUCAGUUUCUGAGAAAAAAGUGAGGUUGCUAAUGCGUUUUACUCUUGACUUGUAGGUGGCUUGCGUUAUGUGAUUUUAUAUAUAAAUACAACUCACUGUUCACUUGCAGGUUCUUAUAUUAUGAAUAAUUCAUAAUAGUUGUAAAUGAUAUGGUAUUCAAUUGGAAUUGUUGUUUGGAAUAAAUUGCCGAGAUUUAUGAAUGUUUAUGUUCAAGUUUCAUCUUUUAUUUUUAAUUAUUUUAGUAUGUGCAUUGAAAAUUUAGACCCAUUUAAGAAUUAUUAAUAAACACAUUUUAUUAAUGUCAUCUUUGGAUGACAGUGAGGAUCAUAUGUCUAUUAAUAAUUCUUGAAUUAUCCCGUCUUGGACAGUUUGGGAAUGCAGAAUUACCACUAAUGUACUCUACGUACUUACUAGAUGAAUGGCUGUCAUGUGUUAUUUUAACAUAGCACUUAGCAUAUAAACAUUCAUAAAUCUAUGUCGUGUACUUGAAGGAAUAUAGGGAGAUGUUGCUGGAAUUUCCACAGAAAUGGAAGAAAACUUCAGCUACUUGAGAGUGAAGAAAUUUGUGCAAUCUUGAAGGGGAAAUUUUUAGGACCACCUACUUUUUGUAUAUGUGAAGAGAAGGUUAGAUUAGUUGAGGGGGAGUGAAAGAGCUAAGUUAGAGGAAUAUUAUUGGUUAAUUUGUCUUUUUGUGGUGUUUUAUUGUGGUGGCUUUGUGAUCUUUGUCUAUAUGUGGAAGAAAAUGCUAGACAUUUGCAACACUAUUAAAUAAGAAAAUGCUAGCUUUGUGUAAAUAGUUGUCCUCACAGUUUUGAGCUUGUGAUUUUGCUUAUUUAAUAGUGUUCGUGUACAGUAUAAAUGGAAUAUUAUUUCUGAUAUUAGUUUAUCAAUUCUUUUUGCUUGUCCGCUAGCUGUAAAUUAGUAAGCAAUAUAUAUGUUUAUGGACAAUGAGGUUACAGCCUAAAAUGCAUGCUUAUAGCUAAUAAAGUUAAAGCUAAAGCUACUUUAAUUCAUAUGGAAAAUAAAUAAUUUUCAUGUUUAUGUCUGACAAGAAAGCGAAAGAGAGAGUAUAGACCAAAUAAUAUAAGGCUUGAAGUUUCUAGUUAGCAUAUUACUAAAUAUAAUGCUGCAGAAAUUUUAUUUACCUCUAAAGUACUUCUUGACAUGGCCAAUAUCAUAUUUGCCUACAGCUCCAACUGACUCAAUCUCCAUCACACUCUUCUUUUGUGUUGUUAUAUGACGAGUUGCACCCUGAGAACAAGUAAAAGAAGAUAUAGUCCCCUUUGAAGGGCAGACCUUGUUGGUUAAUGGAGAUGUGAGGAUUUGUAUACUGAGCAAGCAACGACCUGGAAAUUACCUUUCAAUAUCUAUAAUAGCAUCAUUUCUCGAAGGUAAAAAGACACUGAUUGUAUCCUUGAAUUCACUCUCAUAGCUUUCAUCUUUCUUCCUAUAAUAGACAGAAACCAAUAAUCACUUGUCGAUGAUUAAGCAAAAUAUAACUACUUCCAUUUAGCAUAGAGAUCAACCCAUUAGUUUAGGGAUAUUGACAGAGGAAGGGAACCACAAUUUAAUGCCUCUUGCACCAACAACAGCACCCGAGUAGAACCUAUUGAAUUUUUUUAAGAUAUAAGAAUAAACUUCAAACUACAAAUAAGGGUCAAAAGGAUGAAAUUGAAGAUUAACAAGAUGAAACAGAGACACAGGCAUAUGGAAAUAACUUACAUGUAAUGACCACAGAUUAAACCUUGGUUGAUUCCACCAAUUACCAAAAAUAUCAUAUUCCACUGAAACUAUAAAAAAUGCUUAAGAGUUAAAAUCUAAAUGUAAAACACAAAUAACAGUAAAUUUUUACUACCCGUAAAGAAAAUGGUCCCUAGAUAGUGCUAAUGACACAUAAUCCAUAAGCGUCCCUAAGUAACAAGAACCAUUAGUAAAGGUUGUAUUACUAUCAUCAAGCAUAACUAUACUGUAUUAGAUUUACACAUCAUAGGGGUAUACAAUACAAGCAUCUCUUACAACUGAUAAAAGUUAAUAAUAAGAAACCAAAAAGAAUAAAAUUCAUCAUUUUCUAAGAAAACUCAUAGCUAUAUUCCUCUUACAGAUUACAGAACCUUACAAGAAUAGUUAACUACUAGAUGCAGCUUAGUUUCUUUAUGCUAAGUCAAAUUCUUAUUGAGUUAACCCAGCAACUCAUAAUCCAACUCUCACCUUCGUGUCUCUUUAGUCAAAUCAGAAAAGACCUGCAAAAAUUAAUCAAUUAAUUAUAGUUGCAUUGAUUCCAAUUUUAAAGCUAAUCAAUUUUAGAAAUCUACUAACUUAUUUUCCUUACAUUUUAGAAUAAAAAUAAAAUAACAAAAACUAAUCAAACAAGCAAAAGCAAACUGUUAGGCUACUGCUUUGAGAUAGCAAUUUAGAAGAGACGAAUUGAUGAGAAGAAUAAUGAGAAGAAGUGGCCAGAGGGGAAAAGAGAGUUUUAGAAGCAAUUCUUAUUAUUUAUUAAAGUAGCAACAGUUCCUUAUAUAAUCCAAAGAGAUCCUACGAAAAUAAUAAUUCCUAAUAACAUAAUAACUUAAUAACUAAUCCUUAACGGAAAAGGAAAUAAUGCAGAUCUAAGACUAGGAUUCUAACAUCCCCUCCCCCUAAGAAGGCAGCUUGUCCGCAAGCUGGAAAAAAGGAAAACGGGCCGCAAACUCAGAACAUUCCUCCCAAGUAGCCUCUUCCUUAGAUUGACCUUGCCACUGAACAAGGAGCUUAGUAACAGGGCGAUUUUUGCAUUUGAAAAUUCCACGAUCCAAAAUGGCAAAGGGCUGCCAUUCCCAAGCAACAACAUAAGGAGAAUCAGAAAGUUGUUGUGAUGGUGUAUGAACCCCAAGUUUCCUCUUUAAGCAUGAAACAUGAAAAACAGGAUGAACCUUGCUUGUAGCUGGAAGAUCCAAUUUGUAAGCCACAGUGCCAAUGCGAGAAAGAAUCCGGAAAGGACCAUAAUAACGCGGAGAUAACUUAUGAGUACUAUUAGGAUGCAAAGUGGACUGCCGAUAAGGUUGAAGACGAAGGUACACCCAAUCCCCUUCAGCAAACACUCGUUCUGUACGUUUUUUGUCAGCAAAAAACUUCAUUCGUGAUUGGGCAGCUUCCAAAUUAUCUUUAAGAAGACAUAAAAUCAAAUCCCUAUCGCGGAGAGCCAAGUCAACAGUAUGAACAUUAGUUGUGCCAGGCAAAUAAGAUUCGAUGCGAGGGGGGGUCGACCAUAGACUGCUUCAAAGGGAGUCAGUUGGAUAGCAUAAUGGAAUGUAGUAUUAUACCACCAUUCAGCCCAAGGUAACCAGUUAGUCCAUGUAGAAGGCUGGUGACCAGCAAAACACCUCAAAUAUCCUUCCAAGGAGCGAUUAACGACUUUAGUUUGGCCAUCCGUUUGAGGAUGAUAAGCAGAGCUGCGGCAUAAAGAACUGCCCUGUAAUUGAAAGAAUUCCUCCUAAAAUUGACUAAGAAAGAUAGGAUCACGGUCGCUGACAAUGGUGCAAGGCAUUCCGUGCAAUUUAGCAACAUCCCGUACAAAAAUUUUAGCGACAAGAGUGGCUGUAUAAGGAUGGGAUAAGGCACUAAAAUGAGCGUACUUGGAAAAAUGAUCUACCACAACAAAAAUAGAUGUUUUGCCCUUAGAAGUUGGAAGACCAUCAAUAAAAUUCAUGGAGAUAUCUUCCCAAAUUUUAUCAGGGAUGGGCAAAGGUUAAAGCAACCCAGAAGGAUGCACAGUUUCAGCCUUGUUUCGUUGAUAGACAUCACAUUGAACAACAAAUAAUUUAGUAGCCCUUUUUAACCCUUUCCAGUAGAAACUAGCUUUGAGUCUUUUGUAAGUACGUAAGAAUCCCGAAUGACCGCCAGUUGGAGAGGCGUGAAAUUCGUGUAAAAUGUGUUGGCACUUAACGGAAGAAGAAGGAAGAACAAUCCGACCCUUGUAUCGUAAAAUGGAGCCAUCAUAGGAAUAAUUAAGAAUGGAUUGGGAUGACUGAAGACGGUCGAUAAGAAGUGACAGGGCUGGGUCGGCUUUGUACUCUUGCAUGAUGUCGGUAAGAUGAGAAAAUAUUGGGGAAGAAAUGGCAUGGAAAUGGGAGUCUUCGAAGCGAUGGGACAAAGCAUCCGCAACUGACUUUUCAGCUCCCUUCCUAUAAAUAAUUUCAUAAUCAAAUCCUAAGAGUUUAGACAACCACAGCUGCUGUUCCGGAGAGGAAAUGCGCUGAUCAUGGAAAUACUUAAGGCUACGAUGGUCCGUAAGAAUUUUGAAAUGUUGUCCCAUAAGAUACGGACGCCAUUUUUGCACGGCAAAGACAAUAGCAAGCAUUUCUUUGUCGUAUGUGGACAUGGCUAAGUUUUUUCCAGAUAAGGCUUUGCUAAUAUAAGCGAGUGGACUGCCCUCUUGCAUAAGGACUGCUCCGAUUCCCCGGCCGGAAGCAUCGCAUUCUAUAGAAAAUGGUUUGGUGAAAUUCGGCAAGGCUAAAACGGGAGUGGAAGCCAUGGUUUGGCGUAGCUCAUCAAAUGCUGCUUCAGCAGUAAGACUCCAAGUAAAAGAAUCUUGUUUAAGCAUGUCAGUUAAAGGAGCAGCAAUUUUUCCAUACCCAACAAUAAAUUUACGGUAGUAUCCUGUCAAGCCAAGGAAGCCUCGUAAGGUUUUGAUAGUGGUAGGUUUAGGCCAUUCAAGCAUGCGCUGAAAUUUUUCAGGAUUGACAGCAACUCUAGUAGCAGACACAAUAUGACCCAAAUAUUCAACAUAUGACUGAGCAAAAGAACAUUUUGUAAGCUUGACAUAAAGUCGAUUUUGUUGCAAACAUUGAAGGACAGCAGAGAGGUGUCGAGCAUGCUCCUGUACAGAAGUGCUGUAGACAAGGAUAUCAUCAAAGAAAACUAAAACAAAUUUGCGAAGGAAGGGUAAAAAAAUCUCAUUCAUCAGGUUCUGAAAUGUAGCUGGCGCAUUUGAAAGGCCAAAGGGCAUCACAAGAAAUUCGUAGUGGCCAUCAUGCGUACGAAAGGUUGUUUUUGCUAUAUCGGAGGGAUGAACUCAAAUCUGGUGAUAGCCCGAGCGAAGGUCCAGCUUACUAAAAACUGAUGCACCAUGUAAUUCAUCUAAUAGCUCGUCAACAACCGGAAUCGGAUAACGGUCUUUGAUGGUUACCUUGUUAAGAGCACGAUAAUCGAUACACAUACGCCAAGAACCAUCUUUCUUUUUAACUAAUAAAACCAGAGAUGAAUAAGGACUAACACUAUGCCGAAUGAGCCCGGCAUCCAAAACCUCACGAAUCAAGUGGUCAAUUUCUUGUUUAUGAAAAUGAGGAUAACGAUAAGGUCGUACAUUGACAGGAGAGCUUCCAAGAAGUAAUGGAAUACGGUGAUCAAUUAAGCGUUCAGGAGGAAGUUCGGUGGGUUCUGCAAAGAUGCCAGAAUAUGUCUCUAGUACUUUAGUAAUAAUUGAAGGUGCUGAUAUAUCAGCUACUGAAGUGGUUAUUGCCAUAAUCUGGAAAAAAAUGCCUUGCUUUUCUUAAAGCAAUAACCUAUUAAUUUCACCAUGAUUUGCCAAAGCCGGUGGCAGGGAAUCAUAUCCAAUGAGUUGAACAAUUUGGCCUUUCCAAGUGAACUGCAUAGUUAGCUUUGAGAAGUCCCACAAUAUAGCACCCAAUGAACGUAACCACUCAGCACCCAACACAAUGUCACAGCCACUUACUGGAAGUAAGAAAAAAUCCAAGUGAAAUUGGAAGCCUUGAAUAUUUACUGGGACGUGAGAACAUUUUCCCGAGCUGCUGAUCACUCCACCAUCAGCGACAGUAACUUGAAACUGAGUUGUAGUAGUGACAGGGCACCCACAUUGCUUAGCCAAAGAUGGAUUCAAAAAAUUGUGAGUAGAACCAGAGUCUAUUAAUAUAGUGACACCAUGUUUUUUUAAAGUCCCUUUCAGUCGCAUGGUGUUUUGUGGGGUUGCUCCAGUGAGAGCCUUUAAAGAGACUUCUACUGUUUCUGGGAAUUCCUCGAAAGCCUUAGGUUGUUCAUCUUUAUCGUCAAUAUCUGCAUCCAGCAAUAAAAGUUGAGGAGCUUUACAAUGAUGCCCAGGUUUAAAUUGUUCAUCACAAUUGAAACACAAUCCUUUGGCUCGUCUUUCAGUUUGUUCGGCAACUGAUAGAUGUCGAAAUGGUGGGGAUCCCAGAGGGGGUGGGCCUGAUAAAGAGGGUUGUGAUGACCCCCCAGUUUUGGUUAUUGUGGGAGAUGAAUUAAGGAGUGGUGGCGAUGGCCUGCUCAUACUAGGCCGAGGUGGAAUCCUUCGAUUAAAAACAGCCGCGUAUUCUUCUUGGAAUCUUUCAAGCUCAAAAGUUUGUAGGAGACUUGCAGGUUUCAACAUCUGCACUCCAAUUUUAAUAUCCUCUCGUAAUCCCGAAAGGAAGCAACUAAUGAAGAAUGAUUUUGGUAGAUUCCGAGUUCUAUCAGCCAAUCGUUCAAAUUGGCGUUGAUAUUCAAUAACAGUCCCAGUCUGUCGUAGUUUGGUAAUGGACCUGACUGCAUCACCGUCUUCGAAUGUUCCAAAUCGAGUAACUAGAGCUCGUUUGAAUUGGGCCCAAGUCAUAUUACCCAUAGUUUGCUCUAACCAGUGAUACCAAGGUACCGCAUCUCCAUCGAGGUGUCCGAUAGCAAGGGACAACACAUCUGUCUCAGGCAAGGCAGCCAAUCGCUGAUACUGUUCAUAGCGAAAAAUCCAGCUUGUCGGAUUUUCCCCGCUGAAAACUGAAAAAUCCAGCUGUAUAUGGCGGGGUUGCACAAGUGCUCCUCCAAUACGUCCUGCAUGUUUGGGUUGUUGAUUAUUGUUUUGUAACGGUUGGUUGUUGUUUCUAUUUUCUUGAAACCGGAUGAAUUGAUCGCGGAGACUUAAGAUUAAUUCUUGGAGGUCGUUGGACUGUUGGGAUAAGACCUCAACCUUCUCAUUGAAUUGAUGAGAUAAUUGCUCCACCCUUUCUUCUAGUUCCUUAACAGUCAUUAUGCCCAAGAAAAAAAAACUGCUCUGAUACCAGAUGUUAGGCUACUGCUUUGAGAUAGCAAUUUAGAAGAGACGAAUUGAUGAGAAGAAUAAUGAGAAGAAGUGGCCAGAGGGGAAAAGAGAGUUUUAGAAGUAAUUCUUAUUAUUUAUUAAAGUAGCAACAGUUCCUUAUAUAAGCCAAAGAGAUCCUACGAAAAUAAUAAUUCCUAAUAACAUAAUAACUUAAUAACUAAUCCUUAACGGAAAAGGAAAUAAUGCAGAUCUAAGACUAGGAUUCUAACUGUUAAAGUGCAAUUUAUGCACUAGUUUUGCAUUGUUUACUUCCCUUAAUAUUGAUGUUCUGCACUUAAUAAUAGUGAUUUACUUGUGUUUUACUUUUGUAGGUGCAAUUCUAUUGAUUGGUGAUAAAAUUAAGCUACAAGAUGAUAUUUAAUGAUGAUUGUUCUCUUGGAGAAAUUAUGAGCAUCAGAAGAACUUUGUUAAUAAGGUGUGGGCGCGUGCUGUCAACUACGGACCUGCAGUUUUUAGUUUAACGUGUUUUGUAUUUUUUGUUAUUUUUGUAAUUACGAAUUUAAUAUUUCAGAUAUUAGUAUUUUAUUUUAAAUAGAAUUCUAGAGGAGAGGAGAAAGAGAAGAAAACCCUAGAUCUAAACUUUUCUCUUCUCUCUAUGAAGAACUAAACCUAUUUUUCUGGUUGAAGGUUAAUGCAGCUUUGAUUCAUCACUACUAUGAGAUCUUUCUUGUGCUUUAAUUGUUUUAUUACUUUUUGGGUAUUUGUUUAUUCUCUGAAUUAUUUUCAUGAUUAUGUUUGUUAAUUAGGUAAUUGGCCACUAUUUAAUUAUCAACUUAAUCUAUUGUCAAUUAAAGGAUUCAUCGUAUCAAGAAUUUAAUGUUUGUGACAAAUAACAUAGCAAAGAGUUGUGUUGUGAGAAUAAACAAUCUAAUUUAAAUGAAUCAUCAUAUGUGUUGAUUAGGAUUUGGGUCUCUCUGGUUUUUCUGGCUGUCAAUUGAUUAAAUCCUAUGAUCGUAUCUAGGGUUGUCUAUUGAUUAGGGAAAUAACCAACGGUCGUACCUUGGUUAUCGACUAGUUAAGGAGAGAUUGACUAUUGGAGGGUCUCAGUAGCUAUAACCGGUCUAUUCAUAAGUAAUAAUAAUCUAUAUUUGAAUCAAUGAUCAGUAGUCGAAUCAAGCUGAGUUAAUUCCUUCAAUCAGAGCUUUCUCCAAUUUGAAUUACAACUUUAAUUUGCAUUCUUGUUAUUUUUAAUUUAUUUUUUAUUAUUGUCAACAAUUCCCCCAUUUUACGUUUUACGUUUCAAAAGGAUUUAAAUAAUUACCGAUCUAUGUGGACACUACCCUGCUCAAUCACUAUACACAAUUUAUUUAGAGUAGGAAUUUAUUUUUGUUGGCUUCGACAACCAUCAAAUUUUGGCGCCGUUGCCGGGGAUUGGUGUCAUUUAUUUAAUCCUUUUUACGUUUUACUUGGUGUAUGGUUCGUUCUUCUCGUACAGGUACACUUUCGUUUGAUCCUGAAUUUGAGAAGACAGCUCGCCAGCUGAGACAGCAGACGAAGCAAGCUAAGCAACGAUCCUCGUCGCCUUUGCUUUCUGAAAUAGAUACGGUGCCUGAUUUAGUUGAAUCAUCUAUCGAUUCGGAAGAACAAGUGAUGGAUAGAGCUGCACCUGUAGAAAGAACUCUUAGAGAGUUAGCUGAACCAGACUUGAAUCAGCAACCACUCUGCAUUCAAUAUGUAGACUUGGAGGUAAAUUUUGAAUUAAAGUCUGGUUUUAUUCAUUUAUUACCCAAGUUUCAUGGUUUUGCAGGUGAAGAUCCUCAUAAAUAUCUUAAGGAGUUUCAUGUUGUGUGUUCAAGUAUGAGACCACAAGGCGUGACUGAAGAGCAGAUUAAGCUGCGUACUUUUCUUUUCUCUUUAGAUGGACUAGCUAAAGACUGGUUGUACUACUUGCCUCCUGGAUCAAUUACAACGUGGAAUGGUUUGAAGAAGCAAUUCCUCGAGAAGUACUUUCCUGCUUCAAGAGCUGCUAACAUCAGAAAAGACAUUUGUGGGAUCAGACAACUUCCUGGGGAGUAUGAUAGAUGCUGCUAGUGGAGGCGUGUUGGUGAACAAGACCCCUACUCAAGCAAGGGAGUUGAUAUCAAAUAUGACUGCCAAUGCACAACAAUUUGGCAGCAGGCAAGAUGCCACUUCAAGAACGGUGAAUGAGGUAAACAUUUCUUCUGUUGAACAACGUUUAGAUAAACUUACUUCUUUUGUGGAAAAGUUUGUUGUAGGUAAUGUGCAACAGGUAAAGACUUGUGGCAUUUGUUCCAAUAUGGGUCAUUCAACUGAUGUGUCUUACACUUCAAGAAGAACCCGUUGAACAAGCCAAUGCAGUUGGAGGAUUUCCAGGCAUGCCUUAGAGGAGGUAUGAUCCUUAUGCACAAACAUAAAAUCCGGGAUGGAAGGAUCACCCUAACUUCAGCUAUGGAGUUAGGCCAUCAGGAUUCCCACAACAGUAUCCACCAAGACAUCCAGCACCUCCACAGUCAAACUCUAAGUCAGGUAUAUCUCUUGAAGAAAUUGUUAAAUCACUUGCGACUAACACUCAACAAUUUCAACAGGCAACUACAGCAAGCAUUCAGAACUUGGAGAACCAAAUGAGUCAAUUGGCGACUACAGUGAGCCGUCUGGAGACUCAAGUAUUAGGGAGAUUGCCUUCACAAUCUGAGGUGAAUCCAAAGCAAAACGUUAGUGCUGUCAUCCUUAGAAGUGGGAAGGAGUUGCAAGAGCCUAGUAAGAAAGUGACAAAGCAUGUAGAAGAUGAGCUUGAGAAGAAUGAAUUGAUGCCUAAAUCUCAAGAUGCGCAACCCACCAGAGCGAAACCCCUACCUAUUGUGAUACCUCCUCCUUUUCCAAGCCGGUUUGCAAAAUCCAAGAAGAAGGAACAAGAGAAAGACAUCCUUGAGACUUUUCGCAAAGUUGAGGUAAAUAUUCCUUUAUUAGAUGCUAUAAAACAAAUACCUCGAUAUGCUAAAGUCCUUAAGGAACUGUGCACCUCUAAGAGAAAAUUAAGAGGAGAUGAAAAAGUUCACAUUGGGGAGAAUGUUUCAGCAGUUCUCCAAAAGAAACUACCUCCUAAGUGUAAGGAUCCAGGUAUGUUUACUAUCCCUUGUAAAAUUGGUAGUGUUAGAAUUGAAAAGGCUUUGUUAGAUCUAGGAGCUUCUAUUAAUGUCAUGCCUCGUUCCAUUUAUUCAUCUUUGAAUAUUGGUCCAUUAAAAGAAACUGGCGUGAUAAUUCAACUAGCUGAUAUGUCUAAUGCAUAUCUUGAUGGGGUAUUAGAAGAUGUCUUAGUACAAGUUAAUGAGUUGGUUUUUCCUGCUGAUUUUUAUGUACUUGAUAUGGAAGAGGAUAACUCCUCUAAUUUUGUCCCAAUUUUGCUAGGAAGACAUUUUCUUAAGACUACUAGGACUAAAAUGGAUGUACAUAAAGGGACUCUCACUAUGGAGUUUGAUGGAGAGGUUAUAGAAUUCAAUAUAAAUGAUGCCAUGAAAUAUCCUAGUGAGGAACAUUCGGUAUUUUCUGUGGAUGUUAUUAACCCUAUAGUGCAGGAAGUUUUUUGCAAGGAAAAAACGAAGACAUUUCAUGAUAUAAUGAUUUUGUGAAAGGAGUUCUCUAUUGGUCAAAAAGUUCUUCUUUUUCAUUCUAAGCUUGAACUUUUUUCGGGUAAAUUACAUUCUUGCUGGGUUGGACCUUUUAUUGUUACUAAUGUUUUUCCUCAUGGUGCAGUUGAGAUUCGGAGUCCGACCUCUGACAAAGUUUUUAAGGUUAAUGGUCAUCGCUUAAAACCUUUUUAUGAAGGUUUUUCGGUGAAUAUUGUGGAGGAUGUGGCUCUCGAGAGUCCCAAUUAUGGAGAUUGAUGCAUAAAUGUGUCUAGCCAAAGACAUAAAAUAAAGGCACUUUUUGGGAGGCAACCCAAAUAAUUUAUUUAUUUUGGUUUUUGUUAUAUCUUCUUUUAAUUUUGAUUCAGAUUUUUUUAAAAAUAAUGUGUUUGCUUAUUUUGGUCAGAAGAAAAUUUUUGAUAAGGCGUGCCCACGUCUUAACUAAUAAGUACUUCUAUGAUUUUUAAAGUAAAAUGGUUUUAAGGCAUGCCCACGUGCUUAUUAGAAAAGUACUUCUGAAAUUUUUAGUGUCUCAAGUGAUUCAUUACUAAAAAAAAAAAAAAAUCGUUUUCUUUCCCAGCAACCAGCCGCUCCAGUCUUCACCAGAGCAACAACUGCAUUCACUGAGCAGCCGUGCACGCCCAGCAACCCACGCAUCUCAGUAUCUCCCGCAGCAGCAGCCCGUGCGCAAUUAUCCCACCAUUUCUGCCAAUCCCAUAGACGUUAUGAGGAUCAAAACUCACAAUUCAGGGAAGUUUUUGCCUUUAAUCUUUUAUCCUUAUGCUUUAAUUUUUAUGUGAGCUUUAAUUAUCUUACAUUGGGAACAAUGUAAGUUCUUGGUGUGGGGGAGGGAGUUUUGCAUUAUUGAUGUCUGGAAUUAUUGUUUUCACUCUACUCAUCUAUUUUCACUCUACUCAUCCUUAAAUGAUUUUGGAGUUAGUAUGCUUCAUAUAUUAUUAAUUUUCUUUUCCAUUCUCUCUCACUACUCUUUUCCCAUCUAUCUCAAAUUAUUUAUAUCUAUUUUUUUUCUAUCAUACUCUUUCAUCACUCACAUUUUAUCUUUCAUUUUUUUUACUACAUACAUCUUUCUCGCUUAUUAUCUUUUUUACCUUUCCUUUUAUAUCUCACUCAUACCUUCUUCUCAUUCUACACCAUUAUUGAUGGUUGGUUCAUUUGAAGAGUGUACAUGAUUUGAUGGCAAAUUUACCAACUUUGUGAGGAUUUGAGCCUAUGAGCAACCACUUUGCUCUAAUUAUUUUUGUUAUGUGAAUAUCAAUCCUAGUUUGUUUAUUCUAGAACUUGCUUUGUUAUGCAUGUUGAAGCCACAUUACCGGAUUUUAUGAAUUAAAAUGAUAAGGGCAAACCAUUUACGAUUUUUCUAUUCUCGCAUUUUCCUUUUUCUCUACCCGAAGACCUUUAUUUGCUACCUUUGUUUGAGUCUUAACCAUUACCCAUCUAAUUGUCUCCAUCUACUUAACCAUUUUUCUUCUUUUUGAGCCUCAAUUUAAGGAGAUUUUUGGACUCAUUGUGUGGAUAUAUUUUGUUGCUUUUUCUACCUUAUAUUAAAGUUUCUCAAUUAGAUCAACAAGCAUUAUGCUGGAAUUAAAUUGUGCAAGCUUCGUUUCUUUUGUUUGAUUAAAAAAAAAACAAUAAACAAAAAAACAAAAAAAAGAAAAAAAAGAAAAAAAAAUCGAAAAAAAAGAAGUUUACAUUCUUAGUGACUUCAGUAGAAAUAAGCAUUUUGAUAUCAUAAGUUCAUUCAAUGAGUUCAUUCUUCUCAUUUUGAUCUCUUUUGGACCUUUCUUUUUCAUUUAACCUAUUUAACCCCAUUACAACCCUUUUAAGACCCUUAGAUUUUUGCAUUUUAUUCAUGUUUUGUGGAUUGAGAUGUGAUAUAUGAGCAAGCUCAUGGUAAUAGCAUUCUUUGAUUUGAUUUGAGUGAAUAAAUGACAACCUAAACACUUUGAGUGCAUGGAGUGAAGUUAUUGAGAGGGCUAUUAAAUCUUGUUGCAUUUGAAUUUUGAAUGGAUCUUCUUGGUGGUUGAAUGUUCUUAUUCUAUCUAAUGAGAUUCUAUGCUUUAAAAUCCUUGUCUUUCGAAUGUUGAUCGACUUAAUUUCUUGAGGCAUACUUGCUUAAAAUUGUUUUUGGAUGAGUUGAGAUGAGAAUUUAGUGGAUAUUUGAGAUUAGUCUUGAGUUAUAUGCUUGAGGAUAAGCAUCAUCUUGGUGUGGGGGAAUUUGUUAGAGUGCAAUUUAUGCACUAGUUUUGCAUUGUUUACUUCCCUUAAUAUUGAUGUUUUGCACUUAAUAAUAGUGAUUUACUUGUGUUUUACUUUUGUAGGUUCAAUUCUAUUGAUUGGUGAUAAAAUUAAGCUACAAGAUGAUAUUUAAUGAUGAUUGUUCUCUUGGAAAAAUUAUGAGCGUUAGAAGAACUUUGUUGAUAAGGCGUGGGCACGUGCUGUCAACUACGGACCUGCAGUUUUUAGUUUAACGUGUUUUGUAUUUUUUAUUAUUUUUGUAAUUACGAAUUUAAUAUUUCAGAUAUUAGUAUUUUAUUUUAAAUAGAAUUCUAGAGGAGAGGAGAAAGAGAAGAAAACCCUAGAUCUAAACUUUUCUCUUCUCUCUAUGAAGAACUAAACCUAUUUUUCUGGUUGAAGGUUAAUGCAACUUUGAUUCAUCACUACUGUGAGAUCUUUCUUGUGCUUUAAUUAUUUUAUUGCUUUUUGGGUAUUUGUUUAUUCUAUGAAUUAUUUUCAUGAUUAUGUUUGUUAAUUAGGUAAUUGGCUACUAUUUAAUUAUCAACUUAAUCUAUUGUCAAUUAAAGGAUUCAUCGUAUGAAGAAUUUAAUGUUUGUGACAAAUAACAUAGCAGAGAGUUGUGUUGUGAGAAUAAACAAUCUAAUUUAAAUGAAUCAUCAUAUGUGUUGAUUAGGAUUUGGGUCUCUCUGAUUUUUCAGGCUGUCAAUUGAUUAAAUCCUAUGAUCGUAUCUAGGGUUGUCUAUUGAUUAGGGAAAUAACCAACGGUCGUACCUUGGUUAUCGACUAGUUAAGGAGAGAUUGGCUAUUAGAGGGUCUCAGUAGCUAUAACCGGUCUAUUCAUAAGUAAUAAUAAUCUAUAUUUGAAUCAAUGAUCAGUAGUCGAAUCAAGCUGAGUUAAUUCAUUCAACCAGAGCUUUCUCCAAUUUGAAUUACAACUUUAAUUUGCAUUCUUUUUAUUUUUAAUUUGUUUUUUUAUUAUUGUCAACAAUUCCCCCAUUUUACGUUUUACGUUUCAAAAAGAUUUAAAUAAUUACCGAUCUCUGUGGACACGACCCUGCUCAAUCACUAUACACAAUUUAUUUAGAGUAGGAAUUUAUUUUUGUUGGCUUCGACAACCAUCACUAACACAAACCAACCUGACGGGAAGCCAAUACAUUGAAGCCACUAGGAUUUCUUUACAAAUCUUUGAUCAAAGGAAAAGCAACCUUCUCAUCUCCCUUGCUUGGCUCCCUUUCUUAAAAAUUAGAAGUCUAUUUGCUAUCAACAACGUUCGUAGGCACAGCAACAACAAGCGUUCUUUGAGAGAGCGAUUUACAGUUAUUGAGGCUACGAUUGUGGUUUUUUGCUGUAACUUCAUUCAUGGUGGCUGUAGAUGUGAGCAUUUACCUAGGUCGAUUGAGAGUGGCUGUGGGCUUAUGUGGAUUAACGGUGGCUGUCAGGACGCUAGGGUUUCAAGUGGUUUUGUGAGAGAAGAGUUCAGUGAGAGUGUGGUGGCCUCAACACUUAGGAAAAAAGAUUGAGGGUAUCUUUUUAAUUUAAACUCUUUAUGUUUAUUUUUAAUAAUUUAUUUUUAAUUUAUAAUAAAAAAUUCAUAAUAUUUAAUAUUUUAAAUUUAUGAGCAAAAAGUCGUCGUUCUAAUUUACGUGAAAACGACGACGUUUCUUGAGUUAUAUAAUAUUUUAUUUUAAAUAAUACCCAAAAUUUUAUUCAAAGAAGCGCCAAAAUCAAGUCAACAUUAAAAUUAUAUCAUGAAUCCUUGACGUAAUAUAUUUUAUUACAAUGUGGUCACAUAUUCUUGACAUAAUUUAUUUCUAUCACGAGUCUAUCACAAGUCUGUCAUGAAUACUUGAUUGACACAAAAUCUAUCACGACUCUAUCAUGCUUUUAUGACCUCUCAUAAUCUGUCACAAAGUGUCUGUCAUCUAAUGUCAGUUUUCUUAUAGUGUUUUAAAAAGUUACUAUGCACCCUAAUAUAUGGAUAGUUUAUUCAAGUCAUUUAUUUAGAUUUUACCGUUUUUAAACAUCCAAACCAACAACCAAUUGUUAUUUUCAGCCAAUUUUUUGCUUAUGGAGAUCUCUAGAGCUAAUAGCCAAUUGUUAUUAACAUACAAGUCACAAACUCUGCACACAUGAAAAUAUCUCAGCAGAAAUAAAGAACUAACAAAACUUAUUUUACUAAUUUUGUGGUGUGUUAAAAGGAGAUAAUCACGGACAAGAGUUAGACUGAUUUCCCAAAUAGGGCAAUCAAGUCAUCUACUGAUGGGGGCGAGGGCAUUUUAGACUUUGCAUUUAAGAAUGUUGUUUGUGAUACAAGAAUUUAUUGUCCUUGUAAGGAGUGUCGCAACCGAUAUCUUGUUAAGGAAGUGGAAAGAGAACAUAUCAUAAUCGAUAACUUUUAAUCAACAAAGUGUUGGCUCCACUGGUAAUGGAGUCCCCUUAAGUAGCUUGACUGGGUUUGUUCCCCAGUUCGAGUCGCAGGGAAGUCGCCUUUGUUGGGAGAACAUGUGCCUCCCGGUUCGAGCGGGGACUUCUAGUCUAGAUUGUGGUACGGGCUUAAAGGUGCCUCCCACAGUUGGGGUUCUCCCCAGAAUACCUCGUGGAUAAGACCAAAAAAAAAUAAUAAUAAACAACUUUUGGUCAAAAUACAAAAACUGGAUAUUGCAUGGUGAACCAUCUUCAUAUUUGGAAUCUAACCAACAAACCGAGGUUAAUUAUGACUCGAAUAUUGAUGAUGAUAUGGUUGGAAUGAUUCACGAUGUAAUGGGCACUCCAAUUAAUGAUCAUCCACUAGCAUGAACAGAAUGAGCGUCUAAAGAAUGAAACUAAAGUAUUCUUCAAAUUGCUCCAAGAGGUAGAGUCUUCUUUAUAUCUGGGAUGUGGGGAAUUUACAGCCUUACCAUUCAUUGUUCGACUCUUACACAUGAAAGUAUACCAUUCAUUGUUCGACUCUUACACAUGAAAGUAUCAUGUGGGUGGACAGACAAGUCAUUGACAGUGUUACUGGAAUUACUAAAAGAAGCCUUUUCUAAAGAAAUAGAACUGCCAAAUUCAUAUUGCAAGGCUAAAAACAUAACUGCUGAUUUAGAUUUUACAUACAAGACUUGAGCCACAUGUCCUAUUCUAUGUUGUUUAGAAAUGAACAUAAAACACUUGAUCGAUGUAAAUAUGCUAUGCAUCUAGAUAUAAAAAAUUGAUGUGAAUUCUGGUGAUCCCUCAAACAAGGGUAAACAAAUACUGAUCAAGCAAGCAUGGUAUUUUUCCAUGAGUAACAAGAUUAUAAAUGUUGUUUAUGUCAUCGAAAACUGCUUCUUUUAUGAGAUGGCAUGCUAAAUCAUGCAUUGAUGAUUGCGUGCUAAGGCAUCCUACUGAUAAUCCUGCAUGGAAAUCAUUUGAUCAAAUAAAUAUUGAUUUCGUUCUAGUUAUUCGUAAUGUUGGGCUUGGAUUGGAAAGUAACAGUUUGAAUCAGUUUAGAACGAUGUCUGCAUCAAAUUGUAAAUGGCCUGUACUUUUAAUUCCAUACAAUUUGCCACCUUGGAUGUGCACAAAACAACCAUUCAUAAUAUUUAUCUGUGCUUAUUGAUACACCUAAAGGGCCGGUAACAAGAUUGAUGUUUAUUUGCAACCAUUGAUUAAUAAGUUGAAAGAAUUAUGGGCUGAAAGGGGUACUUAGCUAUGAUGUUUCGCGCAAUCAAAUGUUAAAAUUACAUGUAGAUUGUUAUGGAUUAUCAGUGAUUUUUCAGAAAAUAUUUUUACUUGGGCCUCUAUUAAUUUUUUACCAAGAUGUCAUUAGUUUCAGAAAGACAAAGUAUUUUUUUUUUGAUAAAAUAAAGAAGUGGGGAUAAGACCUUCUCGGUUAUCUGGAAUUGAAGUGUAAAAGUAGUUGUAUGAUAUACUUUAUGCUCGAUGCGUCCAUACUAAAGAAUUUAGCAUUUGGGGUCUUAAAUGCUAUGGCAGUCAUGUAUUGAUGCAAAUAUUACUUCCUGUGGCUAACGUAGAGCAUUACCUACAAAUAUUGUUGAAACUUUGAUUGAAUUAAGCAAUUAUUUUUGGCAACUAUGCUCAAAGUGAACGCAUCUGAAGACUUACUCAAAAUACAAGAGAGAAUUUCCCUUUCCUUUUGUCAUCUUGAGAAGAUUUUUCCAAUGUUCUUUUUAGAUAUGAUAGAGCAUUUACCUAUUUAUCUAGCUAAAGAGGCAUUAAUUGCUGGUCCUGUUCAAUGCCAAUGGAUGUUUUUCAUUGAAGGGUACUGCAACAAUGUUUUUACUCGUAUUUUUUUACUAUAUUUAUGUCUUACAUUUUUUUGUUAUAUUCUUCAUAUCUUUUGGUUAUAAGGAGCUACUGACUUCGAAAGUAUGUGCAAAAUCAAGCACUUCUUGAGGCUUCAAUUGCUUAAGGGUACCUUAUGGAGGAAAGUAUGAAUUUUUGUUAAAGUUACAUUGGCAAGGUAGAAACCAAAAGUAACCGACCAUUUUGUAAUGAUCUUGGCGGUAACAAAUUUGGGUGUCCUCGCAGUAAAGGGGUUAAAUUAUGUCUUAAUAAUGUUUCAUGGGUUCAGGUACACAAAUAUGUGCUAUUUAACACAGAUACUGUAACCAUUUUUCCCUGAGUAUGUAGUGUAUAUUUUUUGUUCAAAUAUUUUUAUCUCUAGUUUUUAAUUAUCAUUUAUCCAGUGAUUUACUAAGUAAUGAUUGAAUUGACAUAGGGCAACAUCUAGCAAUUCUCAAGCGAGAGAUAUUGCGUGGUGCAAAACAUCACAUUAAAAAAGUUCACAACGAAGUAUUUCACACAGUUUUCGAAUCAUGUAAGUCUCUCAAACAUUGCGAUUGUGAAUUAUUGUUUUAAGUAAUAGCAAUUUUUUAUUUCUAGUAUGUAUUUAUAGGUUAAAACUUUGCAACGAGCGUCAAUUGUAGAAUUCUUUGAAGAAAUUUUAAAUCUAGCCAACGGUCCAAAGAAGUUUGCACAAAGAUCCAAAGGCUACACUGUUUUUUUUUUUUUGAUAUUAAUCACGAGGUAUCUUGGGGAGGGCCCCAACUGUGGGAGGCACCUUUAAGCCCGUACCACAACCCAGACUAGAAGUCCCCGCUCGAACCGGGAGGCACAGGUUCUCCCAACAAAGGCGACUUCCCUGCGACUCGAACUGAGGAGCAAACACAGUCAAGCCACUUAAGGGGACUCCAUUGCCAAUGGAGCCAACACUUUAUUGGUCCAAAGGCUACACUGUUAAUAGCUGCUGAUUCUGCACAAAAGAUAAUGAUAAGAAUAAAACAACAUAAAAUUUUGGUGUUGUAUUAAAGGCUGACACAAUGAGCUAUACUGAUGCAAGGGAUAAAAAUCCUCACUUGGGCAAAGUUACAUUUCAUGGUAUGUUAAAAGACAUUAUAGAAAUUCAUUAUAAUAAUGACAUGAAGUUUGUUCUUUUCACGCGUGAUUUGGUUGAUGAUCGAUUCAGAAAGAUACUUGAUGAGUUUAAUUUUACAAUGGUGAAUUUCAACCAUUUGUUAUAUACAAAUAAUCAAGUUUGGGAUGAACCUUUCAUUCUAGCGGGGCAAGUAGAACAAGUUUGUUAUGUCCAAGACCCUGUAGAUUUAGAUUGGCAUGUUGUUAUGAGUUUAAUUUUACAAUGGUGAGUUUCAACCAUUAAUUCAUAUAAAAAUAAUCAAUUUGGGGGAUGAACCUUUCAUUCUGGGGGGCAAGUAGGACAAGUUUGUUAUGUCCAAGACCCUAUAGAUUUAGAUUGGCAUGUUGUUAUGAAAAUGACAAUUAGGGAAUUGUAUGACAAGUAUUCUUAUAGCCCAUUGAUAAUGCCUCAAGUUGAGUUAUAUCUCAAUAACAGUUGGAUGAGAGUGUGUGUAUGUGUGAUGAAGAUAUUGCUUGGGUUAAGAAGGGGGUUGAUGUGACAACUGUGGAAAUUAAUUCUGUGAAUGAUGAUGAUGAUGAUCUUAGCAUGGAAGAUAUUGAUUAGAUUCAUUAUUUUGACAUCAAUAUUAACAUAUAAUUUGUAAUAAUGUAUGCAUUUUGAGGGGCAAAGUUUAUUAUGUUCCCCCCAUAUAGGUGUCUUUACUUUUUAUCACAUCAAUAAAUCAUGUUACUGCUUUUCAGUAGUAAUUAAUUUUCGCCUAUAUUUAUUGUUAUUGUUGUCGUAUUGACAAGUUUAUUACACAUUAACAAGUUCAUUAUGUAUUUUAGUGUAUUAUUGUAGUUUAUCAUGGUGCCAAAAAGAAAUAGAGGUUUAUCCAUGGAUAGCUUACUUCAGCAGCAAGCAGAAUAACAAAAACAGUUAUGCUCCUCUUCUCGUUCACAUUCACAUGCACACAAGAUGAAGGUGUGUAUUGUCAUGUAUUCUAACAUACAAUCCUUUUUUUUUCCCCUUAUAUUAAUGCAUCAUGUGCUACUUUUUUUUUUAAUGUUUUUGGAUAAUUUUUCUAUUAUUCCUAUUUCUUGAUUGUUUUUUACUAUUUUUAGCCUUUUUUUUUCUUGUUUCUGGGUUAAUUUAGAUAUUUUAUUUUGGUUAAUUUUGUAGUUUGGAGUGAGUCAUCAUUUAUUAGGCAAACUCUUGUCCUGCCCUUGGUCUAGAUAUAUUUGGAAGGAAGUAAAGUUACGUAAUGCGUACACUUUAUCGUUCAAGUCACUGUCGCAAAAAUAUUGGUUUUUUUUUUUAAACUAUCACUAACCUGAUUUGGCUUUCAUGUGUUGCAACAAUAACUAAUUACUCCUUUCUUAGUCUAACCUUUUUAUUUAUUUAUUUUUUUCAAUGUUUUAACGGUUAAAGUUAUAAGACAAUAACUUAUUUUGUAUUGAAUUAUAGGAGAACAUUGAUGCUCCAGAAACCUAUAAACUUCAUUGUUUAAGGCACAUUAGUAAACUAUGGAAGGCUUGGAAGUCUAGAGUGAAGACUGACUAUUAUACUGCUUAGACAAAUGAAGAGUCUCUUGCAUCUAUUCUUGAUAGAGUUAUUGAAGAGCAAUAGAGGACACAUGUAGCAUAUUGGGAUAAUGAGGAAGUUAAGGUAUAUGGUUAAUAACAAUAUAAUGAUAAUACUAUCUUAUUGGGAUAGUAAUUUAAGAAUUUACUUCAGUAGUAAUUACAUAUAUAGUAUUUACAGGCAUGUGCUGAACAUAAUAAGAUUAACCAUUCACAACUAUCUUCCCUUCCUAGAACAGGUCGAACUUCGUUUCCCCCAAAAAAGAAAAGAAGAAGAAAUAAAAACAAUACCUAUUUGCGGCUGAUUUUGGGUUAAUGAAAUAAAAUCACAUAACCAAGCUAAGAACAAUAAAUUUAUUUUUUUGUUGGGGAGCAGGGUGCCUCGCUUGUUCGGCGCAUGCGGGUUGUUUAGGCUUUUUGUGGAGUGAAGGAAGAUUGAGAUGGCGGUGGUUAUGGCGGAGGUCUGACUUCAGGUACGGAGGGCUGGUGAAAAUUGCCUUAAACCUGCAAAACAACCAAAAAAGAGGUCAGAGGUGGAGCCGGGGGUGGCCCACGACCACACUUCGACGCUCAAGUCAGAGUUGGGUUAUCUCAGGUUAGAGAGCUUGCAAACUCUCGGUAAUGAAAGUUUUGAGGUUGAAGAAACCUUAGUUUUUGGUGGUGUGUGUGUGAACUUAAUUGAUAAAAAUUAAACCUGAGUAUUUAUAUGGUGUACCCCGGUCGCUGUGCCACCUGGCGUUAUAUUAUUAGCGCUCCAUGCUGCCUUGUCAGGAAUAUUCUUAUUUUCAUGCGUAUGGCGGCUUAGGCGUUUCAAAAAUAUUUGUGGAGAGCAAGUUUGAGGUGUAUUAACGUGCUAGGCAUAGUGGAGUGGUCCCGCGUACCUCUGCAAUUCCGUUGUAAUUUUGCAGGUGUGGCAGGAAAAGCUGGUGGUCCCAACUAUCAUAAUAUCAAACUUUUGACGGAUUCGUUGGCUGACAGGCAGCGGUCUCUUCUUUUGUAGCAUGAGAUUUCCUCACCGAUUCCUUAUUUUUUGACACUAUUCAAUCGAUCUUUUUGAGAUUCGGGGCCACCUAUCCAUUGACAUUUUUACGAAGACUUUUUACACUUAUAUGGUGUACCCGAGGUACCCCCAGAGCACUUAGGGUAGCCGGGGUACCUAUGGUACCUGGGGUAUCCAAGGUACCCGAAGUUAGCCAAUUUCUUAAAUAUCGACACGUGGCGCUUCAUCAUUGGCCUCAUGUUUCCUUCCCAAACAACAUCCCCCUAGUUUCUUUGUGGUGAAUUUAAUUGAGGCACAAGAAACUCUUGGAGGAACUGUGCGUGACACGUGGCGAUAUUUACUUUAUUUAUUUUUUUUUUUUUUUUACAAACAUUGAACUUAUGCCUGUCUUCACGUCUUUCCAGCUUCUCUUGGGAAGUGGUAACCGUCUGAUACAUAAUUUGAAUUUGAAAACACCCCUCUGUAAAAUUAUUUGACCUCUCGCUUUAUGAAGUACGAUUUGUCAGGUUUAAUUAAAACCUAUUCCGCUCCUUUUAUGUUACCACUUUACUUUGAAAAUCUCAAAAAAUCUCCCAUUAAGUUUAAUUGCUUCCAGUGGCUUCUUCUUGCUCCCUGGCUUUUCAUCUUUUCCUUGGCUUUAUUUCUUAUUAUUUUUGGCUUCUUCUUUUUCUUUAGCUUCUCAUCUUCUCCUGGGCUCCAUGAACAUUCCAUAAACAGGUUAAAAAAAAGUCUUCCUUUGCUUUUUUUUUUUUUUUUCUUUUUCUUUCCUUUCUUUUUCUUUUCCUUCCCUCUCGGCUGCAAUUCUUUUUGCGCGUUUUUGGCGGGCUCUUGGCGGUUGUUGCGGCGGUCUUCGGUGCCUGAUCUGUCCGGCACGCGGCUGCGUCUCGCAGCUUCCGGUGAGAUCUCCUUCCGGCGGGUUUGGCUCGGUGCUUCUCUCCCCCACAUUGUCUUCUUCACUUCUUUUUCUUCUCUCUUUUCUUCCUCUACUGCGUUUUCUUUGGCUUUUUUUUUAUCCAGACUUUUUUUUUGUUUAUCAUCCUAGCUCUUUUUUUUUUUUUUUAUCAUCCAGGCUCACAUUUUUUUUUUUGACUUCUUUUCCUUUUUUUUUAAUCCAUGCUCCCUUUUUUUUUGCUGAAACCUCUAACGGGUUUCAUUGUGCCUAUUACAGCCUCUGCGCAGCUUCAUCUUUUAAGCAAUUUUUGGUGAUCCGCGACUUCUCUUGGCGAUUUACAGUCUAUUCAUCUCCAAACUUGCUUUUUUUUUUUUGCGACUAAAAUUUGCUGCUCUCGGUGAAAUCUAGGUAUGAAUUUUUAUACUUAUUUUUGGCUUCUUUAUUUUGAAAAAUAUUGUGGCUUUGUUUUUGGAUUUCAUGCAAAGUGUUGGUACUUUUUUUUUAAUGCUUUUAUUGGUGGAUGUUGGUGUUUGGCUUAUGAUGGAUGAGGUCUAGAGUUGUGGGGGCAUGUUUUAAUGUGGAGAUUUUCUUUUCAACUUGUGUCUUGUGUUUUUAGGGGAACAAAAUAGGGAGAAAAAGAGUUGGUUUAAAGGGUCGAAAUAUUGUUGAUGAUUCGGGUGGUGAGGAGGCCCCAUGUUCUGGGUCAGCCCCUUUUGUGUCCAUUAGCGAUGAUGAUGGGUCUCCUUCGGGUAGCCCCAAAUUGUCCCAAACUGAUCCUCGUAGUAAAUCUAAACCUAGGGGCAAACAACUGGUUAGGGCUGCCCAUAAGAAAACUCGUGCAAAAAAUUUCAGACCCAAAUCUCCUGCCCCUGUCAGCUUCCCUGAGCCUCCCCUAGUCUCCCCUUCUGUCUUUGUAGCUCGUAGGCUCUAUUCACUAGGGGGUAGGCCAGCUAUUCCAAGAGAUUUAGAAAGGGUUAGAGCUAAAUAUAACAUACCUCCUUCUAUCUGCCUUGGGGUACCUCGCAAGGGCGAGCGCCCCGAGCACCCCCAUUCUGAUGGUGUAGCCAUUCAUAUUGACCUUUUCGACUUAGGUCUCGUUUGCCUCUUCAGCUAUUUUUUAGAAAAAUGUUCACUAAGAUACAGAUUGCUCCCGGACAGUUAUCUUUACCCGGUUAGAGAUUGCUCACGGGGUUUGGAGGUUCUGUGGCUGGAUGUAUUUGGGGAGGAUAUUUCUUAUGGAGAUCUGAGGGGGCUUUAUCAGUUGAAAAAGCCGGCUGGUUUAUCCGUAGCUUAUUUUGCUACUUGGGGGGUUCAUGGUAGCUUGGUGAGACCGGAUCCCUUGCUGAAAAAGGGCUAUAGAUAUGGGUGGUUCGUGGCUGAAGGCGAGUGGGGGAGGAGUAUACCAGCAGGGAAUGAUGUUGUGCAAGUUCAGAACUUCGUCAAUGAAGAUGGUAUGUAUUUUUCUCCUCCUCUCCCUUUUUUUUUUUAUGUAUAUAUACAUUUCUCGCAUGAAUUUUCUUCUUAUUCGUUGUUUCUUAGGACUUUUGCAGACAUCACUUGGACUAAAGGGACAUGCCCAGUUCAUGAAGUGGGGAGAAAAGUGAGUGGUGUCAUAGAGAAGUUCCAGUCUUUGCAGAGUGAGGAUGAUGUUCUGAGCACUACCCUGCUGGCGAGAGCUGGUUUGAUUGAGGAAAGUCUUCCAUCUUUUUCGAGGGGCAAUUCACGUAUGGCUAUGUGGUGUCGCUGGGGUACCCUGCCUUCACUGGUUCUGUAGGGUGCCCCAAUCUUUUGCACAAUUUUUUUUUUUACGGCCAUCUCUUAUUUUUUGUUAAUGUAUCUUUUUGCCAGUGUCGAUUCUGAUGUUUAUUUUUCUGAUCCAUCUCUAUAUUGCAUCUUUUUUUUUUGUUUGCUUGAUGUUGGAUAGGUAUGGACCCUUUCACUGAAGAUUUUGAAGCCUUUUUCAGUCGCAUGAGCGGCAGCUCCUCCGCUACCCUGGGUACCUUAGUAAAAGGUAAUCGACCUCCCAUCGUUCCAGGCGCCAAGGGAAAAUUGCUCGUUUCCUCUUUUGGGGGUUCUCGGGGUACCCCGGCUACCCACAAGAGGAAGUUUGACUCCCUUUUCACGGCUCCUAGAGAUCUUAUGGAGGGUGUGCUGGACCCGGUGGCAAACAAGCAGAUAUCUCACCUAGGCGAUUGCUUCCUCCAUUCCUCUGAGUGUAUUUCUACAGACAUGGCCAUUGAGGCAGAUAAAUUGGACUUAAAUUAGCGCUAUAGCCGAGCGCUCAAGGCUUAUCAUGACGUGAGUGCCUCCCUCUUUCUCUUUUUUGUUUUUUUAUAUAUAUCAUCUUGACUCCCUUUUCUUCUCUUUAUUAUUAUUAUUAUUAUUUUUGUGUAGGCGGCCUUCUACCUCAGCCACAGUUUCCACGACUUUAGUGGCAUCUCGGCUGCACAGGCUGAGCUGGAGAGGCUGCGAGGGGAGGUCAGACUCGGCCAGUCUCGGGAAGAGAAGCUCGGAGAGGAGGUCAGGGCUUUGCAGAGGCAUUUGGACAACUACGCUUGGGAGAACAGCCGAAUGUCCAAGAAGUUAGAAGAGGUGGAGUCUAAGCACGGCGGGCUACUAUCUCGCCAACAGGAGAUUAUGGACAAGGCUUUUAUUCUUAUCAUGACUGAGGUCUGGAACGUCGACCCAGAGCUGGUGGUACCCCGGGUGGAGAAAUGGGUGGACAAGUCGGCCAUCCUGAAAGCGAUAAAGGAUAAGAGGGUAACCCAGGCUCCACUAUCUCACAGCUCACAGCAGUCUUUUGGGGUACCCUAGGUACCCCAGGCGGAUCUCCCUUCUGUUAGCAUUGUUCAUGAGGGUAGCAACUCUUUGACAUUGAGUGUUCCUGUUGAUGCCCCCGUUGAAGGGAACAGUGGAGAGGAUGUCCCCCCUUCUGCGUGAUCUUACUUACUAUUUAGAGUUUUAUCCCGAGAUGUCUCAACAGUUUUCUUUCUUUGCUUUUGUACGUUUUGUAGUAUGGUAUCAUCCUUUUGAUGUGUUGGGAUAGUUUUCUUUUGAAAGGUUGCCUCGGCAAUCUCGCUACUUGUUCGCAUUAAACUUCUGCAAUAGACUUGAUUUGACAUGCCAUUGAAUUCCCUUCUUAUGAUUGAUUUGUGUAGACUUAUGGGGGUUCCUCGGGUACCCCAGGUACCCCCUGAUGUAUUUUUGGCGCUUGCGUGGUGAUUUCCGUAGAUAUGCUCGCUGCUCGUCUUAAUAAAGAUUAUGGCGUAUCUCAAAUAAUUUAAUAAUUCAUGUAUCAUCAUAAUAUAAAAUGAAAUUCAUAAUUGGCGCAACUAGGAUAUAAAUAAAGAUUAUGACGUAUCUCAAAUAGACUCUUGGAGUUUCCUUGGAUACCCCAGGUACCUUUUUUUUUUUUGUUCGGGGACCUUCUUGGCUCCAUUUCUUACAGAAAUGGUAAAAAACAUGCUUGUUUUGCCAUCUGUUUCUAGUCAAUAUUUAAUGAAAUAAUUCGAAUAGAGGAGCAUGCUUGCCUACCUCAUUUCUUUUAGGCAUCCAACUCUUGUGAUUGCUAUUUGUCUAUUCUUUACUUGGCUCAAGUUAAAAAAUGGAGGUGUGGGCAUGUGCAUACCUUAACGGAGUCUCAUGGCACUAGGGUAUGUUGGUUUACCUCGCCCAUGGGUCUUUUCUAACCUUUCCUCUUUAAAUUUGUUGUAUUCUUUCUUAUUGGCUUUGACCUCGAACAGAUCUUCACGAUCAAAUCGGGUCAGAUACCCCAGGUUCCUCAGACUAUCUUGAAAUGGAGUAAUUAUAGCUGAAAGGUGCAUACAAAACACGAUGUAAUAAGAUUGAGUCACAUUAAUGGCGAAAGUUUAACCAUAAUCACAUUUGGCAAUCAAAAGAAGAACAUUACAUAAGACUGACUCAUUAUCCCAAUGAGAAUAGAAAACUGUAUAGAUAUCCACUCUCUGGGACUUAGGGAACUAAAAAUUUCACUUGCACAUGUAGGGUACCCUAAGUACCUUUCAUGGCUUUACCACAUUACACACAUAGUAAAGAAAAUAGGAGAUAGAUAAAGUGAACGAUAGGGUUUAAGACAUUGUCCUCAUGUUAGUAGUACUUCCUUAGCAUUGCGGCGUUCCAGGGAUGCUUGACGAUUGUUCCAUCUAUGUGGAGUAGCCUGUACACCCCCGAUCCUACCGGCUUGUCUAUGCGAUAUGGGCCUUGCCAAUUUGCUUUGAAAGAGCCCUCCAAGGGUAUCCGGGUGUUCUGAGUUACCCAUCGUAGGACUAAAUACCCUUUCUUGAAUGAUCUGGGGCGUACCCCCUUGUCAUAUAAAUCUGAAACGCGAUGCUGGUAUAUUGCAACCUUCAAUUCUACUUUAGCCAUUUUUUCUUCAACAAGAUCAAGACUGGAUGCAAUGAAAGAGGCAUUCUCGGCUUCAUCAAAGUAUGUGGUUCUGUGAGAGCGUAUCCCGAUUUCUGCUAGAAUGACUGCAUCAGUCCCGAAUGCCAAAGAAAAUGGGGUUUCCCCAGUCGAAGUAUUCUGAGUUGUCCGAUAAGCCCAAAGAACGCCGGGUAGCUCGUCUACCCAAGCUCAUUUCCUUUCCUCUAGCAUCUUCUUUAGGAUACCCUUGAUGAUUUUGUUGAUGGCUUCCACCUGUCCAUUAGAUUGCGGGUGAGCCGGAGAAGCAAAUCGGUUGGCUAUCCCAAGCUCCGAGCAGAAACUCUGAAAUUUUUCGUUAUCGAAUUACUUCCUAUUGCCGCUAACAAUUGCAUUAGGGAUACCAUAUCUGCAUAUGAGGUUCCUUCAAACAAAAUCAAUGGUUUUUCUCUCGGUAAUACUUGCCAACGGCUCCGCUUCUCCCCACUUUGUAAAAUAGUCAACGACUACAAUUGCAUAUUUAGCUUGCCCUCUCCCAGUUGGCAAUGGGCCAAUGAGAUCUAUACCCUAAACAGAAAAUGGCCACAGAGAAGACAUGACAGUUAACUUUUCUGGUGGAAGGUGGGGUACCUUGGUAAAUCUCUGGCACUUGUCACAACUCUUGACCAUGUUUUUAGUAUCCUCCCGCAUCGUAGGCCAAUAAAAUCCUUGACGAAGGGCCUUUUGUGCUAAUGAUUAUGCUCCAUAGUGGUUACCACAAAUUCCUUUGUGUAUCUCUCUCAUGACAUAUUCAGCAUGUUCAUCUCCCAAACACUUUAAGUAAGGGAGGGUAAACCCUCUUCUGUAUAAGGUCUCCUCGAUGAGACAGUAUCGUGCAUCUUUAUACUUUAGCCUUCUUACUUCACUUUUAUCUGAGGGAAGAUCCCCACUUCUGAGGUACCUUAUGAUUGGUUGCAUCUAGGGUACCCCAUCAGUUAUCGACCCUACUUCUUCUGGCACAGGUAGAUUAACACUGGGUGUAGGUAUAUACUCAGUAGUGAUUGGACCAACCGACAGAGUUGCACCGAAGGAAGCCAUUUUGGCGAGGUUGUCAGCUUCACAACUUUCUAAUCGUGGAACUCUUUCCACAUUGACCUCAGCAAAUUGGGACAUUAAUUCUCUGGUUGUCCUGAGGUAUCCUUUCAUAUUUUAUUCCUUAGCCUAAUAUUUUGAGUUGAUCUGACCGACCACCAAUUGAGAGUCACUCUUGAUCUUUUUGCACCCAAGGCCUUCGACAUCCUUAGCCCCACUAUUAUAGCUUCGUACUCAGACUCAUUGUUUGAGGCCUUGAACCUGAGUUACAAGGCAUAACAUAACUUUACUUUAUCUAGAUCGAUGAUUAUUACUCCCGCGCCACUUCCGUGCGAGUUGGAGGAACCAUCCACAUAAAUUUUCCAAACAUACUCUUCUUCAAUAGCUGGUGUAGUUUCGCUCGGGUACCCCAGAAUCUCCUCACCCCCAGAGUCAUUGGCGAAUUCUACGAUGAAAUCGGUAAUGGCUUGGACUUUAAUAGCUGAGCGUCGCUUGAAGAUGAUGUCAAACUCACUCAAUUCAAGAGACCAGUGAAGAAAUCUUUCAGACAUGUCCAACUUCUGGAGAAUUUUUUGAAGGGGAAGGUUUGUUACAAUGCCAAUGGAGUGGGCCUGAAAAUACGGUCGGAGUUUCCUUAUAGAGAUUAUCAAAGCCAAAACCAGCUUCUCUGUGGCGGGGUACCUAUUUUCCACAUCCACCAUUGCCCUACUAGUGUAGUAUAUAGGCCGUUGCACCCUAUCUUCAUUUUCUCUAAGCAACACCGAGCUAGUGGCGUGAUCGGAAACGGCUAGGUACAAUAGAAGCACUUCUCCGGGCUUAGGCUUGGCGAGCAACGGCGAAUUAACGAGGUACUCCUUUAACUUCUAAAAAGCCUCUUCGCACUCGGCAGUCCAUUGGAGCUUCUUUCUCGUUUUCAAAGCUUUAAAAAAUGGCUUGCACCGGUCGGUGGCCUUGGAGAUGAAACGACUCAAGGCGGCUAUCCGACCAGCUAAGCUCUGAACUUCUUUGAUAGUACUUGGCGACUUCAUCCCAGGAACCGCCUGGAUUUUAUCGGGGUUAGCCUCAAUCCCCGCUGUUGCACUAUAAAUCUAAGGAAUUUACCCGAAGUCACCUUGAAUGCACAUUUCUCAGGAUUUAGGCGCAUCUGAUGCUUUCUCAAAAUAUUAAAGGUGUCUCUGAGGUGCCAAGCGUGAUCACUGGCGUAUACCGACUUUGUUAUCAUAUCAUCGAUAUACACCUCCAUGGUAUGACCGAUUUGCUGUUUGAAGACCUUGUUUACCAAACGCUGAUAGGUGGCGCCUGCAUUCUUCAAACCAAAAGGCAUAACCUUGUAGUAGUACAACCCACGGUUGGUGAUGAAGGUCGUUUUAUCUUGAUCCGGUUCAUACAUUGGAAUUUGGUUGUACCUGGAGAAAGCAUCCAUGAAACUAAGCAUCUCAUGUCCCGCCGUAGUAUCGACCAGCUAGUCUACCCGGGGAAGUGGGAAGCUAUCCUUAAGGCAGGACUUGUUUAAAUCCGUAAAAUCUACACACAUGCGCCAUUUCCCGUUGGACUUCUUAACCAAGAUAACAUUUGACACCCAGUCGGGAUACACCACCUCCCUAAUAAACCACGUUGCUAGUAAUCGGUCCAUUUCUUGUUCAAUGGCGUCAUAGCAUUCCUGGUUGAAAGUUUGACGUUUCUGCUUGACAGGCCUAUGAUGUGGAUCGACAUUGAGCUUGUGACAGGUGAUAGAAGGCGGGAUACCUGGCAUGUUCGCGUGAGACCAAGCGAACACAUCAAAAUUUUCCUUUAAAAACUCAAUAAGUUGCUCUUAGUGUUGGUCAGGGAGGUUGGAGCCUACCUUGACCAUCUUGGUUGGGUCAUUAUUGCAGAUCAAAAUAGACACAAGAUCCUCAACUGGUGCUCAUCGCUUUUCAUCUUUCGGUAUUCAGGGAUCCAAGAGUACCUCGACCUCUCCUAUUGGUGCUGAACUGGGACUUUGGGGUACAUGUGGUGCCCCAGGAGCUACUACAUCCACUUCCAUUGCCCAAACUUCUUGAGGCGCUUGGGAUAUUUGAGAAUUCAUGGACCGUUGAGCUUUCUUACGUGCAGCUCUCCGGCGUCUAGCGAGUGCCCGCUUGGAUAUACUGGCAAGUGGCCUUGUUCUGACGCGGUACCCCUCCAAGAGCAUAUUGGUGGCAAUUUGAUAACUCAUCUUCGAGGCGACGGAGUAACAUCCUCGAGCCGAUUGUUGAUCCCCUUUGAUUGUGAUAAUUUCUCGGCGGUUGGAAUCUUCAUGGCGAGGUAAUGCAUGGAGAUUGUUGCUUUAGUUGUUGCUAAAAAUGGUCUUCCCAAGAUGAUAUUAUAGGCACCGGGAUGAUCAACAAUAAGGAAGUCGAUCAUAUGGACCACUCGGUGGGGUACCUUGCCGAUUGUAAAUGGGCAAAGUGAUGAUACCCUUGGGAAUAGCCAUGUCUCCUACAAAACCGACGAGUGGCGUAUCAUAUGGAGUGAUCCUUGGCGAUUCGAUUAGCAGUAGAUCUAGGGCGCUUUUAAAGAUGAUGUCCAAAGUCCUCGCGGCCUUACCGGUGGCGACUUUUAAUGUUUUAACCAGAGCAUCAUCAUAGGGGUAUGAGACACUUUCUGCAUCUUUCUCUGUAAGGAGAAUUGGGACGGGAUGGUCGGGUACUCGGGGUACCCCAAAGUGAUUUUGACAAGUGAAGUUCACUUCUUUUCCAAUGCGAUCCAAAAUUGGCGACUUGCUGUAACGUUUGAUGGCCCGUCUAGAUUCCUCCGCGACGGUAAGACCUCCUACUAUCAUUCGAACAUAAACAAUAGGACCUCCUACUAUGACCGCCAUAACUUCCCCAAAUGUAAAUUCUUUUCAAAAUGAGUGAGAGUAUAUUGGUGACCAAACGUACCGGUACGCAACACCUCUUGGUGGAAGCGGUUACGUACUCGGCUAAAGACUCUGAUUCUCCUUGCUUGAUGAAAGCAAGCUUGGAAGAUACUAUAUCUUGGGAGGAUGCAUAACCAAACUCAUAAACAAAAUUUUUUAGGAGUUGGUCUAAGGAGGAUACACUACCUGCCUUCAACGAUCGGAAUAAUAAUUUGGCAGGUCCGAUGAAGGUAUGCGGGAACAUCCGGUACAUAGCAUUUUCGCCCACUCCUUUAAUCAUCAUCUGGUCACGAUACAACUCAGCAUACUCCACGGGAUCCGAGGUAUCAGAGUAUUGCUGUAUUUGAGGCAUGGUGAACGCUUUCGGGAGAACCGCUGAACGCUUUCGGGAGAAGGGAUGUCCGAAUCUCCAUGGUGAACGGCGAGUUACAUGCUGCUGGCGCUAGAGUAUUGGUGUGGUUUUGUUUUUCAGAAAGGAGCUUCACUUGAGCUUCGAGGUACUCCAUUUUUUCCAGGAACUCACAGGGUACCCCAGGUGCACCUGAGGAUGCCGCAGUUGUUUGGGAAGCUCUUUUGGCAUUCAACUUGUGCCGGAGAUCUUUAUGGACUUUUUGUUUACGUUUGGUACCCUGGCUACUACGGGAAUAACAAGAGGCAGUGGAGCAUUCUUCUCGAGAGCCGCAGGUUUGAAACUUUAAACGGGUGCCCGAUGGCCCGUGCUUUGGUAUACUUCCCUUCGGUAUUUCAGAUCUUUGUAUGAUCUGUUUCUCACCACAUGGAGGCAGGACAUCUUGAAUUAUUGAGGAAGUGGCUGCCUCGGGUACCCGAGAUCCUACUGCUCUGAGAAUCGCGUGAGCUAAAUCCUCAAAGUGUUUAUGAGUAACGGGCUCCUCGUCGGGUUGAAUACCAAUUAAUUGCUUAACUGAUUUUCCUUUCUCUAGGCGGGAUGCCCUCCUUGUUGAGUCAUCCCUCUCAUCACUGUUGUGGUCUUCCGCUCCAUCAUGACCUAGCAUUUGGUUAUCAGCGGGUACGUCGGGUGCCAUAGUGGCGCAAGCACAUGUACUGACAAGCUCAGCAUAGUGUGGAGGCUUUUUGUGCGCUCCCCACAGACGGCGCCAAUUAUUUGCGGUUGAUUUUGGGUUAACGAAAUAAAAUCACAAAACCAAGCCAAGAAUAAUAAAUUUAUUUUUUGUUGGGGAGUGGGAUGCCUCGUUUGUUCGGCGCAUGCGGGUUGUUUAGGCUUUUUGUGGAGUGAAGGGGGAUUGAGAUGGCGGUGGAUAUGGCGGAGGUCUGACUUCAGAUACAGAGGGCUGAUGAAAAUUGCCUUAAACCUCUAAAACAACCAAAAAAUAGGUCAGAGGUAGAGCCGGGGGGUGCCGGCGACCACACUCCGAUGCUCAAGUCAGAGUUGGGUUAUCUCAGGUUAGAGAACUUGCAAGCUCUCGGUAAUGGAGGUUUUGAGGUUGAAGAAAUUUUAGUUUUUAGUGGUGUGUGUAUGAACUUAAUUGAUAAAAAUUAAACCUGAGUAUUUAUAUGGUGUACCCCGAUCGUCGUGCCACCUGGCGUUAUAUUAUUGGCAUUCCCUACUGUCAUGUCAGGAAUAUUCUUAUUUUUAUGCGUAUGGCAGCUUAGGCGUUUCAAAAAUAUUCGUGGAGAGCAAGUUUGAGGUGUAUUCACUGCUAGGCGUAGUGGAGUGGUCCGACGUACCUCUUCAAUUUCGUUGUAAUUUUACAGGUGUGGCAGGAAAAGCUGGUGGUCCCAACUGUCAUAAUAUCAAACUUUUGGCGGAUUCGCUGGCGUGAUAGGCGGUUGUCUCCUCUUUUGUAGCACGAGAUUUCCUCACUGAUUCCUUAUUUUUUUACACGUAUUCAACCGAUCUUUUUGAGAUUCGGGGCCUACCUAUCCCUUGACAUUUUUCCGAAGACUUUUUACACCCUUAUAUGGUGUACCCGAGGUACCCCUAGAGCACUUAGGGUAGCCGGGGUACCUAGGGUACCUACAAUAUCCAAGGUACCCGAAGUAAGCCAAUUUCUUAAAUAUCGACACGUGGCGCUUCAUCAUUGGCCUCAUGUUUCCUUCCCAAACAAUACCCAUUUUCUUAAUAUAAUGCUAGACUGUGUUCUCCUUUUUCAUUUUAUCUUUAAGCAAUAACUUACUUAAUAUAAUGCCAAAUUGAGGUUGUCGAUAACUUGUAGGAAUCUGCACUUAUACUUAUUUUAUAAUCUAGAUUUAAAUUCAUGUGUAUGGUGGAGCUGAAUCAUUUUUGUUUCUUUAGAAUAGUAAAUGAGACAUUGUUUUCACUAAAAUUAAUGUCAAGAAUUUCUUGCCCUAACUAUUUCUAUCUUAUUGCAUAUUUAGGUAAUUUUCUAUAAUAAAAAAAAAAAAGAAAGAAAAAAACAACAACUGAGAUAUGAAUCUUAUGUCUAUUAUGAAGAGAUAUAAGCUUAUUUUUCACUCUUAUGUCUAAAAGUUUUAGAUGAAGAAAAAUGGAAAAAAGACAGAUCAGAUAAGUGCAUUUGUAGAGGCUCGAACAAGAUCUUAUGGUAGCAUAAAUGAUGUGGAGAGUGAACAAAUAAUUGCAAGUGAUUUUUUUUUUUACAAUAUUAUAAUUCCUUACUUUUGUAAAUGCUAUAAUUAAUAUUAUCAAUUUACAAGGUCAAUUCAAUGAAAAUCUGUCUAAAAUACCCAUUAAGCAACAAACAAAAUUUGUUAGAGAGCAAGUAUUCACUCAAAUGAUGGGAACUGAUGGUCAUAGAUGUGCUUGAACUUAUGGUCAAAGUCCAUCAAUUUCAUAUGUCUCACGUCAGAAUGUGACUCACGGUUAUAAAAUGUUACAAAAUGAGUUAAUUCUUCUCCUGUCGAAUCACAGAGAAUUAAAAUCCAAAUACAAGGACUUGCAAUCCAAAUAUAGUGACUUGCAAUCUAAAUAUCUUGAUUUGCAAUCUAGUUAUGGUAAGUUCCAAUUAGUGACAUGCAGGUCAAGUAUGAUCGACUAUGUUCAUUUUUACAGCAGUAUUUCAACUAUUGUGAUGAUAAGAUGAGUCAAUUCAUAAGUGAUCAGGUAUAACUAUUUUAACUAACAUAAUUUUUAGCUAAAAAUUUACACUGCAAUCUAUUUAGUAUGUGUUCUUUGUUAAUAGGUUCCAUACACAUCCAAUGCGCAUCAUCAUAAUACAGCUGCUAGUUCUAAUUACGACCUCGAGUUAUAGGUAACUUUGUAUUUUUAAUAUUUCCUUUUUUAUAUUUUGUCUAAUUCUAAAUAUUUUAUUGGUUGAUUUCUUGAUAUAUAUUUGCUCUCAAUUACUUGUUUGCUAGACAUUUGUUAAAGAAACGUGAUGAUAUGCGAACUUAGAGCAUGAAAUGAAUCUCAUUAUGCAUUUACUUGAUUAGAUUUUGUUGAGUUACACUAUUGCUUUAACUUUAGAUAUCUAAACUGCAUUGAUUAAGGUUAAAGAAGAGUAUAAAAUCAUUGUACUGAACUGCAUGGAUAUCACAGUCUAAAGAUUUAUUCUUAAUCCUUCCCAAAGUCAUUUUUGUUAUUCAUGGACAUUGGUUGUAUUUAAUAUUACUUAUAUUUUUUUAACUUAUUAUUUUCUACAGAUUCUUGAGAGAGAGCAGGCAUUGGGUUCUCUUUAGACUUGCUGUAGGCAUUAGAUUCUAGAGAGAUAGAUUCCAUUGUCUAUGUGUCAAUUCCUAUUUUGUAUUGACUAAUAAACAAACUUAUGAUUAAUGCUUUGUUUUAGAGGACUUAAUAUCAUAAAGUUGAAUCUGUUUGUAACAAAUGAUGAUGUUUUCAUAUAAUUUUGUAUUGAAUUUUUUUCAUUUUAAUUGAAAGUAUUGCAUUAUCAUUUUAAUUGAAAAAAAUUAGAUUUGUCAAAUAUUUUAAAUUUGAAACUGCUUGAACCAGUCACCAAGGUUUUAACCUAAUGAUAUGUGUGAUUACUUAAAGCUUUCUGACAUGCUUCAAUUUUAAUUGUUUAUGUGACUACUUAAAGCUCUAUUUGUAGGUUUCAAUUUUAGUUAUUUAUGUGAUUGCUUAAAGUCAUCAUAAAAUAUGGUGACCCAGUCUAUCGUUUGUGGUGGUAGGUUCACAGUCACAAAAGACACUUUGUGAUCCGUGGCGGACCUAGAAACUAAAAUGAGGGGGGGCUUAGCUCAAAAAAUUUUAUUUAACUUAGAUUUUUUUACUGUUCACUUGAACACAUAUUAAGUAUUAUAAACUCAAAUUUUGUUACUUUUUUAAAUUUUAAAUAAUAAUAGUAAUAAAUUAUUAUUUUUAAAUGCGUGAAAAUAUCAUUUUUCAAAGUAGUAUUUUAAAUGCGUGAAAAUAUCAUUUUCCGAAGUAGUUUCCACAAAAUAUUUAAAAAAAUAAAAUAAUGUGGCUAAUGGGAUUUGAACUAAGAUUUUGAAACCAUUAAAUAACACGCUUACCAUUGAACUACAAGUCUUUUAAUAUAUAAAAAAUGUGUCCAAACUUUUUUAUCCAAUUUUUUCAGAAGGGACUUGGGGUACAUUUAAAAGAAAACUUAAUGGCCCAGGGGGGGCUGAAGCCCCUCCUGGGCCUUAAUUGGGUCCGCCCAUGUUUGUGAUGCCAUGUCACCAGUAAUAUAAACUCUAGGAGGCUCAUAUAUGUCAGUGCUACCUGCCAUCUCAAAGAGGUCACAAGAGGUCAUAUGUGAUGGCAAAACAACGGACAUAUAAACUACUUUUUUUUGUAGUGGUAAAUGAUCUUAUUUGUCCUUCAAUAUUUAUAAAUAAGCUAAAAUUUUGAUUUGCUAUCAUAGCAGUCUAUGUUGAAGAUAUGAAUUUGAUUGCAAUUCUCAAAGAUCUCCAAAAGACUACUGAUUAUUUGAAAAAAAGAGUUUAAAAUGAAAGAUUUUGAGAAACGACCAGAUACUAUUUAGAUAUAUAGACGGAGCACAUGUCUAAUCGUAUCCUUUUCCAUCAGUCAAUUAUACUAAAAAGAUUUUGAAAUGUUUCAAUAUGAAUAAAGCUUACUCAUUAAGUACCCCAAUGAGAGUCUAAUUCUUGUCCAAAGAGAGACCUAUUUUGUCCUAAAAAGGAUGAUGAAUAGGUACUUAGUCCUAAAUUACCAUAGUUGAAUGUCGCUCCGAUGUAUUCAGCCCAAUGUACUAGACUAGACAUAUUUAGUUUUAAACUAACUAGACAACAUUAGGAUGGUGUUAAACAUCUAUUUCCGUAUCUUUGUGGAACUAUUUAUUUGGGUUUAUUUUAUUCUAAUCUACUAACUGUUGACUUUCAUUCAUAUUCAACAUAAAAUUAGUGGGAGAUCCAGAAGUGUAAAUUUUGAUAUCUAAUUACAAAAGCGGAUCACAGUGAGGUUAUGUCACUGUAGAGAUAGAAGAUAAUCUCAUGGAAAAUCUUCAUGCCACUGUAUGCUUAUGGUUGAAGGAUAAUCAUAAUUAAAGAAAAUCCUCUUAGAUCAUAUUGCAAGAGCUCACUGCCUUUUCUCUCAUUUUCAAUCUCUAUACUCUUUAAUAUGUUAUUAUCCAUACUUAUUUUAGACACAAUAGGUAUGUUGAUAUAGAAGCUAAAAAGGGUGAUUGAUGUUAACUGAAAGACUUCAUAAGACUUAAAAUCCAAUUAGAUUUACAAUAGUCAUAUGAAACUCUAUUUAAAAUAAGCUUUUAGAUGUGUCUUUUUGUUGGGCCAGUCUAGCCUAUUAUGGGGCGCCAAUUCCAACAUCUCUCUCGCACGUGAUAGGUGACACUAUAAACAAAGUAACGAGAGUAAUAAGGCUUGAAGCCUUAAAUACAAUAUCAUAUAGGCAAAUGCAACAUGUGACCUAUGAACAAGUUGGAGCUAAAAUAUCAAGAAAUAUUAAUUGUAAACAAAUGCAAAAGAUUAGAAAUUUUGUUCUUUAUGUAUCCUAGAUUUUAUUUUUACUACAAUCUAAGCAUAUUUUAUCCUUUAGUAAAAUAUAUGCUUGACUCAAUAAGCUCUAUAUAUCCACAAUUGUAACUAUCUUUAUAUGGAUUACAACUGGGCAACUGGUGAAUAAACUAGUCAGAUGGAAGAAAAAUAAUCUUUUGAUUCUACUCAUAUUUUGAAAAUUCUAGACCAAUUGGUUUCUUAGACAUUAAUCUUUUACCCCAAAAUAUAGUUGACGUUGACUAAGGAUACCAACCAAGGUUCAUUUUUACCUUGAAGGAACUUACAUAAUGAGGAAGUAAGGAUUCAUUAAGUUUUUUCUUCACUCAUUUUCCCUAUUGACCAUAAUAAGCGCGCACGAUAUGAAUCACAGUUAUAAUGAAUUCUAUUCUAAUAAACAGCAUAUGUCUAAUUAUUCACUGUACAUAUCGUUGUUCAGUCGGCACUAAAAGUGCCUGGCUUGAAUUUUAAUAAGCUUGCCUUCAUAAGGUGUUAAAUGCAUAUCUAGUUUAAAUCAAGUUUCCAUGACAAUGGAGUGUAUUGUAGUUGGUCUAAUAACUUACUUAAUGUGACCUCAUCUUGACCUAGUUGAGGCGACACAUUAUUUAGAAUUACAUAACUCCAAGACAAUAUACCACAUAUCUAAUUGUUUUGUAAUUCUAUAUGUCUCAUCCCAGCUUGCUACUAUAGCAACUGAGGCGACCUCUCGUGUAAGAUAGCUAGUCUUAACCUGACGACAUAUCUUUUUACAACCUUAUAUAUGUGGUUAUGCUAGCUACACAUUUUAAGUACUAAUUGGGUACUUCAUUGUUAACAAUUUGGUGUUAUAAGAAUAUCUAGCAAUGACAUUCUUAAUCUAUGACAAUAAGCCAGCAAAUCUGAAAUGCAAGUUAUGCAACGCAAGAGGGGGGUGAAUUGGGAUUUUAAAACUUACGUUAAACAAUUCGCACAACAAUUUAAUCUAUUGCCUUAAUCAAAUAAAAAUAAAUAAAUUCAAUAAAGCACAAUAAUAAAAGAGUAAGGGAAGAGAGAGCAAACACAAUAAUUUUUACGUGGUUCGGCAAUCCCCACCUACGUCCACGCCUCUAAGCCAACCAAGCUUGAAGAUUUCACUAUCCAAGCCUCCCAAGGCUUCAAGUUCUUUACAAUUGACUUCCAAAAUGUUAAUAAACCUUUACAACCAAGAGAUUAUCUUCCAAUCUCUUCACUCAAGUGUUUCUCACACUUAAACACUAACAAAUUUGAUGAUGAAAUAAAGAUUACAACAAUGAACUCUCUUUUAGAGUAAAUGUACAAAUGAUAGCACAAUAAAGAGUUAAUUUAUGAUGAUUUUCGAAUUUGGAAGCUCAAAAUAUGUUGUUUGCCCUUUUUUAUGCUUACAAGAGUCUCAAAAUUGAAGUUGGAGUUGAGUUUUUAUAGUUAAAGCCCGAAAACUAGCCGUUAUGGGCAAAUUCCAGCGAGCAAGCAGUUAGCCGCUUAAUUUAUCUGGCUCGCCGCUUCAAAACAGUAAAGUUACCUUAAAUUUUCAAUUUUACUACAAUAACAUUGUUCAUGAAAUUAUAUUUGUGCCCAAAACUUUUUGUAAUUAUACUAUGGCCCAAUGCGUCAUAAAAUUUUACUAACAUGUCCAACUUUAGAAUUUCUAAAUAAUACUUGCUAUUCCCAAAAUUUUAUGGAAUUAUGAUAUGGUUCAAUACAUGAUAAUAUUUUUUAAAAUAUUCCUAUUCAAAAUUUAACAUAGAGUAAUGAUACAGCCACAAACUCUUGUACAAACUUAUUUUGUACAAACUGAUGUGGCAUGAUAAGAUUGGUUGAAUUAAAUAUCACUUGGCCCACAUGAUUUGUUUUUAUUAAUUUAUAUUUUCAUUCAACCAAUCUUAUAAUGUCACGUCAGUUUGUACAAAAUAAGUUUGUACACGAGUUUGUGGCUGUAUCAUUACUCUUUAACAUAAUACUUAUAAAUUUCAAAGUUUUCAAAACAAUUUCAAUUUAGUCCAAAAUUUGAAAGUGCGAAGUUUUCCUCAGGCGGCUAGCCGCUAGCCCUCAGGCGGUUAAUCGCUAACUCUCUGUCCACUUAUGAUAUUUACACUCAGGCCCUUAAACUUUCAUAAAUUAUAAUAUAGCUAAAAAGUUUCAAAUAUUUGCAAAUAAGUUCAACUUCAGAAUUCAAAAUAAUACUUAUUAAAAUCAAAGGUUGCAAAACUUUUUUAUUUACUCUACAUCUUGAAAAAUAACUAACUUCAUAAAAUACUUAGCUUAUACUUGUAAAACUUUUUAUAUGUGAAAAAAUAAUGAUUUAUUAAACAAAAUCUUGAGCUUCUCAAAUACUAAACCAUUCAUAUAUUAAAUCAUACUGGCUUUACAAGAAUUGUCACAAUAAUGAGUCCGUUGAGCUCUAAACUUUAUUCGUGAUCGCGCCGUUGUCCGUUGAGUGUCUUGAGCUUGAUUUCACGUGAUUCACUUCAUCGUAAAUAUUAUCCUUCAAGAACUAGUGAAAAUGUGAAAUACAAUAUUUUUCAAAUUACUUAAGACACAUGUUUGUUAUUAUCAAAAUUACAAUACAUAUAGCCCUUUAGGCUAACAAAAUCUACAAUAGGUCAAGCUUGUACCACUAAACAUCUCUACUCACCUCUUUGUACUGAUCUAUACCAUAUUGUGUAUUAUAAAAUUGCAAUAUUUUGUUUAUCAAUAUGGUACAUAAAUGUCCUCUAUAUGUAAAACCUUUUUGUUUGGUUUAUCAUUUUCAAUCAUUAGUCUUUAAUUACUUAUGACAAUCUCAAGAUAUUAUAAAGAUUACUAAACAAAAUAUGCGUAUAGAAAUAUCCUCGUUAUGGACAAAGCUGUGCAUGUUUAUUAUCUUAAUAUCGUAUGUAAUAGCACUAAUGUUUUGCUAAGAUAUGUGCAUUUUUCUUGAGGUCAAUUUUCACUUAUCUAGAUUGCCAUACUUGUUGGUAUUCAAGUGCAAAUUUUCCCAUUGGUACAAAGUGUAGUUCACAGUGCCAUAAAAGUAUGCUAAAUACCUCUUUAAGAAACUCAAUGCUUUAUUCAGGAUUCGAUUAGUAUUUCUUACCCAUCUCAUAGCAUAUAUCAAGUGUUGUACAUGUCAGUGUACCUGAGACCAUUAUUGGCAUUGAAAUAAAGAACACUAGCCAUUUUAUUUUUUUGUAGAGGACUCUUCAAGGCCAUACAUUUUUCAUAUCUACAGGAGUAUCCAUUUAGCUUUCAAUUUGUCAUUUUGAAUCUUUUAAGAAUGUUUCUAAUCUAAAUAUAACUCUUAGAUAGUGUUAAAAAUUUCUGAAAGGAUUCUAUUUAGAUUUAAAUUCCUGAAAUAUAAGCAGCUUUGCCCAUAUUUCAUUAGAUAAUCAAUACCAAUGGUUUUGACAAGAUCCCUUUUUUUUUUUAAUUUCUAGUCAUCUAAAAAUAUCAUCUACAUGUAUAAAUGCAUUGGCUAUCUUAAAUCAUCCAAUAUUUGUAAUUAAAUAAGGCUUGAUGAAAAUUAAGAUUCCAUUAUUAAGAGAAUGUUGUAGAUAAUAUAGAUAUAUAGACUUUUUAGAGCAAGCCGACUAUGCACUUAAGGUCUUUAGCAAAAGCCUUCUGAGCAUGCAAUCUACGUACUCAAAAUCUUUAAUAAAAUUCUUUUGAGCAAGUAAACUAUGAGCUUAAAAGUUUUGGCAACAUUAUUUCGAGCGUGCAACUAUGCGCUUAAAAGCUUUAGCAACGACACCUAGUAUUUGUUCCAUAUAUAUAUAUAUAUAUAUAUUUCUUCCUCUGAUUUUUUACUGAGAUGCAUUUAUUACAUCUAUUGAUAUGACGAUGAAUGCAUGUGCAAGUUGACCAGAAAUAAUUGCCUUAGAGAAACCUCUAAGCCAAAAGUUUUUUUCUAAUUUAAACUCCUUAGAUAUAACUUUUAACAGUCCAUAUUGUACUUAUGCCUAUCGCUUUACACAUGCACAACCUUAUUGUUUGCAAUGGUUUAUUUAGCAAUUGACCAACUGUGACUCGGACAUAAUUGUUAUUUAAUGACUUUAUCUAUUAAUCAUUGCUUUUCUCUAUAGUUCCUUAGAAUUUAGAGUGACAGCUCUAUACAAAUAAUCCUAGCUUAUGACCAUAGUAUGAAACAAUUGUUAAGAAAUUCCUUUCAAUCUCUAAAAGACGAUAUAGGAUUCAUUUUCAAUUAUUCCAUUGAAUUGAGUUAUCUGGUUGAGCUAUCUCAUUAGGUGUUUGUUCAUACUUGAAUCAAGAUUUCUUAGUAAAUCUAACUUAUACUCAAUUCUUAACUCAAAAGUGAUAUCAUAAAAAUGAUAAUCCAAAUCAUAAUUUAGGAUAUAUAUUUAUCAACUUCUAUGAUGCUUAGGAAUUCAAAAUUUUCAAGUUUGUGGUUUCUUAUCUAGCCACUAUCUUAGCCAUUCAUUGAACAUUAAAUACAUGUUUUAUUUGCUUAUUUGAAUUUUGAAGUAAGGUUAGAUACUUUACCUAUAGUUGGAGUACUUAAGUGACUCAUUAUAUGAGAAAUUAUUUAAGUAUUUAAGGUGCAAUUAAAUAGAGUAUCUCCAAAUAACAUAUUGGAAAAACUUAUGUGCUACUAUUACUUUAUCAAUUGUCAUAAUGCCUUAUCCCUUAAUUUCCACUACUCCAAGUAGUGCGUUACUAUAAGAAUCAUCAAUUAUCUAUAUAUAUUUUUCUUAUAUAUAGUGCUGAUACAACUUUGCCCGAGAUUAAUGACAAGUCAGUACUUGAAACAAAGGAAGAAGCCCAGCUGGUCGACGAGCCCAUAAAAGGUCCAGCUCGUAUGCGCAGGGCACCAACAUACCUCAAGGAUUACAUUACCUAAGGAAUAUGCGAGAAGGAACAAAAAGAGUGAGAAAGAUGGCAGCUGUGAUUUUGGUUAUUUUGUUGUGACUGUUUUUUUUUGUCAAUCAUUACAUAGUUGGUUAGUUACUCGUGUAUUGUUGAGGGGUAAAAGAUAUAUGUAGAGAGAAACACGUCAUAAAAGGGAAUGAAAUGGAAAACAUUCUUCUUCUCUCUCUGUCUCUCCUGCUAUCUCUGUUUCUCAUCUAAUUUCAAUUCUUUUUUGCUACUUUUUGCUGGAGUCAGCACUUACUCGAAAAGUGUAAAUCUACGAUAUAAGCUCUGAGUUGCAGAGUUGUACAAUUGGUACUUUCACUGACUUCUUCUUCUUAAAAAAAAAUCAACCAUGACUAAGAAAACAAAGACGAUUGAUUCUGAGGUUCUUUCCGCCAUAAAGGAGCUCCUUGAGAAGCAAACGCUCUCUGUUCAUCAGACCUUGCAACAGUACAUGUCCACUGUAGAUUCCCGUUUUGAGGAAUUCCAAGCUCAAAUCCGUGGUUCUGUUGGCGUUUUGAGUGGCCCUUUACGACCAUCAGAGCCGAUGUCAGCGUUUACAGAGGGUUCUGCUAGGGGCACAAACUUUUCACCGCUUUUACGUUCCAUGAAAAUGGAUGUUGUGCAAAUUUUAAUGUACUCGCAAGCGCACGAAUCUAUUGUAGUAUAGAUCAAUGGUGACGAGUGUCGAUCCCACGAGGAGGUGGAUUUUAAUUGUGUAUAGAAUUAAUUUUGUAAAUGGGUGGUUGGAAUUGUGGUGGAAGUGAUUUGGAAUAUGCUAAAACUUAAAUUAAAAUGGAGAGAAUAAAUUCUAAAAUUGGAAUUGCAAUGGCGAGAAUAAAUUGUAGAGAAAAUCGAUUAAAUUGACGUACUUGGGUAUCUGGAUCCGUAUCAACAUGCAUCAUGGGCUAAAUAAUCCGUAUUAAUGCCAAUUAAAUCAUGAGGGGGAAAUCCACACCUCAUGAACCACGCUCUAAUCAAUAUGGUGGUAAGGGCUUAUCGUGCCAAAUAAUAAUAACCUUAUACUAGAGAGCCGGUGUAACCAAGGCGGUAUCUAGACAAGAUCAGUAUUAUUUGUCGAUGAUAAGUCAAAUCAUCCACAAAAACUAGAGGGGAAAAGAAAAUAAAUUUACCAAAUAAAGCCCAUGACACAUGUUGAGACCUCACCUUCAACCCAAGCUUGAAAGGAAAUUAGCUACUCAUAAUUGAACUAGGGGCAAAAUGGGAAUUUAUUAAAAUAAAAAGAAAAUACAAGAUGGAGAAGGAAUUAUAGAAAAUGGAUCCCAAAAAUGGAUUCAGAGAUAUCAAAUUAGGGGGGGGAGGCCCCCUUUUUAUAGAUACAUGGAGUAAAUCAUGGCCAUCGGAUUAAAAACAGUUUGGACGCUCAGGAUUGCGCCACGUCAUCAGUCAACAGUCCACGGUUUGACCACGUGGAUGAACAGUAACACGGUUUGACCCGGAUGAACAGUAACAUGGUUUGGUUGAAAAUAAUCCUGUGUGAUGCAUGCACCGUACGCGAGAUUUUUCAUCCACUGAUAUGCUGCCAUGUCACCAUCAACAGUACAUAAGAAUUUUAGUCCAACAGGAUCGUGACACCUCAUCAGUCAAUGCCACAUCAUCGGUCAAUGUCACGUCAUCGAUCCGUCUAUGUGAACAGUGUCGUGAACAGUACGUAGACAGUACCGUAUACGUGAAUAGUACCGUACAUGUGAAUAGUGCCAUUUUUCCUUUUAUGCUCCUCCUAAGGUUUUCGACCGUCCUGAGUUCAAAAGUGAUGUCCGUUUUGCCGUCUGAUCUCUCCUUUAUUGUGAAAUGACUAUAAUGCCCCUAAAAUACAUAAAAUACUUAAUUAAAAUAACACACACGUAAUUACAUCACAAGAAGGUUAAAUACAUAAAAGUAAGAGUUGUUAGUAAGACUUGAAAUGUAAAAUGAUGGUUUUCUCCUUUAUAAAUAUGCAUUUUCUAAUACUCAACAAUGGACAUCCCCAAGUUUGAUGGCUCAGAUUCGACCGGGUGGGAUUUUCGCAUCAACGAGUUUUUUGACCUCCAUGGUACCCCAAAUAAUUUGCGUCUUUGCAUUGUAUCGUUUCACAUGGAAGGGAGAGUCGCUACUUGGUAUCAAUGGAUGAAAGCUAACAAUCUAUUAACCACAUGGCGAAGUUGUUUUGUCAGUCUUAAGAGUCGCUUUGGAGCUUCCAUGUAUGAAGACCAUCAAGGGAAUCUUUCAAAGUUAAUGCAGACCUCCACAGCUGCUGACUUUCAUUCUGCUUUUGAAGACCUAAUGAACAAAGUUACUAGUAUAUCUAAGCCUUUGUUAAUUAGUUUCUUUAUCAUGGGUUUAAAACUCGAUAUCCGUCGUGAGUUGUUGUUUACUCGACCGACUUCUCUGAUGGAAGCCUUUGCUCUUGCUAGAGCUUAUGAGGCUAGAUCUGAUGAAGUUAAAACAACCAGUCGUUCUUGGUCAAAAUGGCCUCCUACUACACCUCUAGCUCCACAAAAUUUCCCCCCUAUUUUACCAAACACUUCUACUUUAAAAAUACCAAUACUCUGGCUGCCUUUGUUAUUACUACACCAAAACCACCAUCUCAACCUCCAUUAUUACCAACCCCAAAUUUACCAAUCCGUCGCCUUACUCCAGCUGAGUUACGGGAUAAAAGAGAAAAAUGGUUAUGUUAUAAUUGUGAUAAAAAAUAUAGUGCAAACCAUCGCUGCCGCAGUAAAUUCUUGUUGUUGAUGGGUACUGAUGAUGAGGAGUGUGACCCGGGGGAGGAUAUGAAUGUCAUUGAGCAAACUGAGGAAGUGGUUACUGCAGACAUUUCAAGCUUGAAUGCCUUGGCUGGACAGUCCAAUCCGCGGUCUCUGCGUGUCUUGGGUGAAAUUAACGGACAUCAAUUCCAUGUUCUUAUAGACAGCGGCAGUACUCAUAAUUAAAUCAAACCGCAGCUAGCUGAACGGGUUGGUCUUUCGAUUCAAUCCACCUCAACUUUUUGAGUUUAUAUCGGCAACGGGGAUUUUCUGGUUUGUCGAUUUCACUGCCCGGAUGUGCCAAUUGUUAUUCAAGGCCAUGAGUUUCGCUUGCAUUUCUUUGUUUUACCAAUUGAGGGACCGAAGGUAGUUUUGGGCAUCCAGUGGCUUCAAUGCCUUGGGCGUGUCUCCACAGAUUAUUCAGAGAUGACUAUGGAAUUUUUUUGGGAGGGUAAGCAAGUCCUUUUACGAGGUGAUCUUAUUCAACUCCCUAAUUUGAUCUCUUUUAAUCAAUUUCAAGCGUUGUUACACAGCGAAAAAGUUGACACUUUAUUCGAGCUACAUUCCCUCUCCAGUAACACAUCCGAGUCCCAUAUUCCUAACUCCACAUCCUCAACUUUUGAAAUCGACUUACCCACUUCCUUGUCAGAAUCUAUUUAUCUUCUCCUCCAUAAAUAUAAGGCAGUCUUUGCUCUGCCAACUGGCCUCCCUCCCCAAAAUAUAGACCACAAAAUUCACUUCACUCCUAAUUGCAAACCCGUCAAUGUCAGGCUAUACCGUUAUCCUCAGUUUAAAAAAAAUGAGAUGGAGAAAUUAGUUCAUGAAAUGCUUGAGCAGGGAAUUAUUAAACCAAGUCAUAGCCUUUUCUCCUCACCAGUGUUGUUAGUAAGGAAGAAAGACGGUACAUAUCGCUUCUAUGUUGACUACCGUGCUUUGAAUGCGGUAACAGUGAAGGACAAAUUCUCAAUCCCUACCAUCGAUGAAUUAUUUGAUGAACUUGGUGGCGCAAGGGUAUUUAGCAAACUGGAUUUGAGAGCAGGAUAUCACCAGAUCCGAGUCCAUAAACGUGACACUUACAAGACAGCGUUUUGCACGCACGAAGGGCACUACGAAUUUCUUGUUAUGCCAUUUGGAUUGACCAACAAGCCGUCCACCUUCCAAGCGACAAUGAACCAAUUAUUUGCUUCUUUUUUGAGCAAAUUUGUUAUAGUCUUUUUUGAUGAUAUUUUGGUAUAUAGUUCUUCUUUGGCUAAUCAUGUGUGGCACUUGGAGCAGGUUUUGUUGCGUUUACAAUCACAUCAAUUUUCUGCCAAACUCUCUAAAUGUUUAUUUUUUCAAGAGACCAUUGCUUACUUGGGACAUAUAGUCUCUGCUCAUGGUGUUCAAGCCGAUCUUCAAAAGAUUACCGCCAUGGUGGAUUGGCCCUUGCCCAAAACAGUAAAGCAACUGAGGGGAUUUUUGGGGCUUACUGGGUAUUAUCGGCGGUUUAUAUAGGGUUAUGUAACUAUUGCAGCUCCACUUAAUUAUGCAAGGAUGUCUUCCGUUGGAAUGCGGCAGCCACUGAAGCCUUUAAUAAAUUGAAAGAUGUCAUGGUAAAAGCUCCUGUAUUGCUCCUACCUAACUUUGAAUUGGAAUUUUUCAUUGAAACUUAUGCAACAAAUGUGGGAAUUGGGGCAGUAUUAAUGCAAGUGGGUCACCCCAUAGCUUAUUUCAGUCAAAAAUUGGGACCUUGGUUGCGGGCAUCGUCGACGUACAUAAAAAAACUACAUGUCAUUGUGUGUGCCGUCCUAAAAUGGCGACAAUAUCUCCUCGGUAAAUUUUUCAUCAUCCGUACAGAUCACAAAAGCAUUAAAGAAUUAUUUCAACAAGUAAUCCAAACUCCUGAUCAGUAAGCAUACGUCCAAAAGUUAUUAGGAUUCCAUUUCAAAAUUGACUAUAAGGCUGGAAGCUCGAAUCAAGCUGCGGAUGCACUGUCACGUAUACAUAAAGAUACACCUCCUGAAUAACAAAUGGUUCCAGCACUCUGUUUAGCAAUGGUUAGUCAACCCUCUACUAAUUUAUUACAAGCCUUGCUAAAGGAAAAUCCAACCUUAGAUGACAUGUUACUCUCCACAAGAAGUUGGCGGCGGGAACCCUUUCCCCUAAUUUUUUUGUUCACAAUAGGUUCUUAUUAUUCCGCCACCGCUACUAUAUCAGUCCACAUUCAUCUUUGAAACCAGUAUUGCUCAAAUAAUUCCAUGACACUCCAAUGGCGGGUCACGCGGGCAUCAAAAGAAUUUUGAUUCGACUGUCAUCUAAUUUUUAUUGGCCCAAAAUGCGAGCUGAUGUGGAACAGUAUAUUGUUGCUUGUCCCACCUGUCAACAAAUCAAAUAUUCCACCCAAGCCCCUGCAGGACUACUCCAGCCUCUUCCCAUCCCUUCACUUGUUUUGGAUGAAUUGACUAUGGAUUUUAUUACGGGGUUACCCAAUUAUAAAGGAUUUGAAGUUAUUUUGGUUGUGGUCGAUCGUUUGAUGAAAUCAGCCCAUUUCGGAGCAUUGCCAUCUCAGUUCACUGCCCAAAAGACAGCCAUGUUAUUCAUUGAAUUAGUAGUGAAAUUAAAUGGUGAGAAAGAUGGCAGCUGUGAUUUUGGUUAUUUUGUUGUGACUGUUUUUUUUGCCAAUCAUUACAUAGUUGGUUAGUUAUGUGUGUAUUGUUAAGGGGUAAAAGAUAUAUGUAGAGAGAAACACGUCAUAAAAGGGAAUGAAAUGGAAAAUAUUCUUCUUCUCUCUCUGUCUCUCAUGUUAUCUCUGUUUCUCAUCUAAUUUCAAUUCUUUUUUGCUUCUUUUUGUUGGAGUCAACACUUACUCGAAAAGUGUAAAUCUACGAUAUAAGCUCUGAGUUUCAGAGUUGUAUCAAGUGCUCGGAAUUACUUGGAAAGAUAUGUAUAUUUCGGUUCGUCUUUAUUCCUUACGAUAUUCAAGAAAAUCCUAAAGUAACGUAAUAUAACUGAUUUAUAGGAGAUCAUAAAGAUUAGAUCAAACUUGAUAUAUGCAUAAAUGUAGUCGUUAUAGGCUUCAUUCUUAGCCUUUACAUUCUUUUUACUAUAAGUGUCAAAAUGGACAUUUACUAUUUUCCAAGUUAUUAUUCUACAUUAAACAACUAUUCAAUAUAUGCUUUAUCAUUGUAGCGAGUGAGCCCAAUGUUCUCUGCCUAGCGAAUUUAGCCAUUUGUCUCAGUCCAAUAUGCAAAUUUUAACAUGUACAUUAUCACCACAAAAUGAUGCAUAAUGAUCAACUUUUCAUAAAACCUCUUUUCAAAAGUGGUUAGAAAACAGUCAAUUGUAAAAAUCUUAGAUGGUUAAUGAUAAAGACUAAGUUUUUGUUGUAUAUUUGUCAUUGGAAAAAUAAGGACCACGCAAUACCAACUUGCAGGUGCUUAUACUUUUAACUUCUACAGUGAGUAUAUUCCCAUAUGUACUUUCAUUUCCUUUGACAAUUACAAAAGAAAAAAAAUUCAAAAACUUUUUGUUAUCUCUAGUCCCAAGGCAUGGCUACCUAGUCUAUUUAUGUUUGAUGCAAUCACGAGUGAAUAACUGAAAUACAUGGUGAGUAAGCAUCUUUGUAUUGUCCUUCUAUUUUCUAUUUUCUAAGCAUGCUUGCCUCAUUUGGCAAUUUCUAGCAUUUGAUUGCUGAGAUUAGGAUUAAGUCCUAAACUCCCACUAGAAAAGAUUACCCUUUCUCGUAUGCUCAAAGCUUGAAGCUUUCCACAAGCUAAACUCUUUCUUGUUAAGUUGAUUUAGAAAGCAUUACUGGUUCUAUGCACUUAUUUUCUCAAACUAGUAUCAAUCACAUGAUGUUUGCUAAAAGUAUUAGCUGUCUCUAGGUGCCCAUUUUCUAUAUAUAUUUGAUUAGAAGUUCUAGUAGUCUAUUGGCACCAUUCUUCAAAUCCUUAAGGUUAUGCAUUAUAUAAACUCUCAUAUUGUCCCAACUAUUAGGGUUGGACAUUUUAUUGCCUGGACCUAACAUUGACAUUUACAAUGUGUCUAGCAUAUUUGAACUCUAUUAUAUGAGCAACCUAAUACAUCUUGGACUUAUCAAUAAGCUCAUAAAAUAUGUUACUCGGCAACGAGAUACGAGAAUGCUCUUAUCUUCUAAAGAGAAGAUUUAAAGUCUCAUGAUUUAAUUCCAAAUCAUAAAAUAAAGUCAAUCAAUGUUAUAUAGUAUUCAUUUGAUACACAUUUAAUAUAUUUUGCCACAACCAUAUACCAAAUUAAUGAAAAUUUCAUAUAAGGAUUGGAAUCAAAAAGUCAUUGAGGUUUCAAUCAUCAUCUUUUCCAAACAUUAAAUCAAUUUAAUUAUAUUUUAUUGCUCAAAACAUUUAGUUCAAUUAUUUUUUUUUCCUAGAAUCUUAAUAUUAGAACUCUCACUAUGAAUUUAUAAAUAUAAUGGGAAUAAAGUAGUCUUCAUACAUUUGUUCAUGUGAAUAAUACACCAGAAAUUUUCCUAGAAAAUCGAUGGGGUCUAAUAGUCCCACUUAAAUACCCAAUUUUCUUAGAUUAUUAUCAUCUUUUUGACAAAAUUUUUCUAGAUAUAUCAUACAUUCACAAUACUACCCUAUGCUUUAGAUUUAUUAAUCCCAAUACAUUUUAAUCUUCUUGUGUUCUCAUUAAAAUGAUUACAUUUGACAAAAAAAUAUAAUUCAUAAAUCAGUUCAUCAUGAUCAUCAUAUGGAUUAAUAAAAACAUUCAUGCUUAUCUUAAAACAAACAGUAUAAAUUAUCUCAACAAGUAUUAGAUAAUUUACCAAUAUGCAUUAUUAGGAGAGCACAUAUAUUAAUGUGUUGAAACAGCUCUCAUAGAAGCAUAAUACUGUCAAUCGCAUCUCAAAAUAUUUAAAAAAUUAUUUUUCUCAAAUUUUAUCUCACUUUUAAAUUAUUAUUUUAUUUAAACAUCUUCAAAAGAAUUUAAUUCAAAAAAAUUUAUUAUAAGUAGUAAAUUAUUUUUAGAUCACAAAAUAAAAGAGGAUAAAAUUACAAGUCAGUUACCGUAAAUAGCGCCAAAAUAGAAAGUAAGAUAAUCUCUUGUUGUAAAAGUCCACUUUUAAAACCUUGGGAGGCUUGGAUAAUGAAAAACUCAAGCUUGGUUUGCUUGGAGGCAUGGACGUAAGUGGGGAUUGCCAAACCACGUAAAAAUCUUUGUGUUUGCUCUCUCUUCCUUUACUCUUUUAUUUUUGAAUUUUGUUAAAUUUAUUGUUUUUGAUUUAUUAAGGCAUUAGAUUAAAUGGUUGUGUAGUUUCAUAGCUUAAAUUUUAGAAACCCAAUUCACCCUCUCUUGGGUUGCAUAACUAGUAUUUCAUUUGGUAUCAGAGCUUGGUUCUUUUAUUAGGACUUAACCGUCUAGAGUAAAAGAUCCAUGGCAACGUAAAAUGACUCAAUCUUUAGGGAAGGACAGUCCAUAACUAGACCACAUUUCUUUGAAGGUAAUGACUACCCAUAUUGAAAAACUAGGAUGAGAAUUUAUUUGUAAGCUUUAGGUUAUGAAAUUUGGCAAGUUGUUUGUGAUGGUUCAUCCAUGCCUAUGACUAAAAAUGAAGUACGAGAUGAUAUUCCAAAACCUUCAAGUCAAUAAAUUGAGUUAGAAAAGAAAAAGAUAUUUUUGAACUCUAAGGUAAUGAAUGCUUUGUUUUAUGCUCUUGAUAAGAGAUUUUCGUAGAGUGUCUAGUUGUGAGAGUGCUCAAGAAAUAUGAAACAAACUUGAAGUUGUCUAUGAAGGGGAAAAUCAAGUUAAAGAGUCUAAGAUUAGUAAAUAUACUCGACAAAAUGAAUUGCUCCAAAUGGAACAAAAUGAGAGCAUGUAUUGUAUGUAUACUAGGUUUACGGAUAUUGUGAACACAUUAGGAGCUUUAGGAAAAACGUUUUCGAAUAGCAAAAAAGUUAAGAAAAUUAUUAGGUCUUUACCAAUUGAAUAGAGACCUAAAAGAACUGUCAUAGAGGAAGCUAAAUAUUUAAACGCUUUGCCUAUUGAUGAUUUAAUUGGUUCUUUUAUUUCAUAUGAGAAAGAUUUGACAGCAGAAAAUGGCAAUGAGGAAAAGAAGAAGAAAAGCAUUACACUUAAAGCAUCAAAACAUGAGAGUGAUGAGGAAAGCGAGCUUGAUGAUGAAGACAUGGCUAUGAUGUCCAAAAGGUUAAAAAAAUUCUUCAAGAAAGCUAGUGCGCGGAAAAGAUUCAGAAACUACAAGAACUAAAAGGAGAAGAAGGAGCCAAUUACUUGUUAUGAGUGCAAGAAUCUUAUAAACAUACGAUCGGAAUGUCCUCUUCUCAACAAACUUAAGAAGAAGGCAAUGGUAGCCAUAUAAGAUGACAGGGAUAAGAAAACAAGUGAUGAUAAAGAGCAACAAGAGAUGUAAAAUCUAGCUCUCAUGGAAAUUGGGGAUGAAUUGUUUGACGAACUUGAUGAAGUAAGCGAUCUUACCUAUGAUUAAUUAUAUGAUGCUUUUAAGGAAUUGCAUGAUGAUUGGAUAAAAAUUAGCAAAAAAAUACAUGCCGUAAAAAGAAAAUGCUAGAACUUUCAAAUGAAAACGAUGCCUUGCAAAAUAUAAUGAUUCAUUGAAUGAAAAGAUCAAGGGAUUAGAACUAGAUAAUGAAAUGUUGUAUGAUAGGAUUACAUCAUUUAAAUGUAAACAAAGUACUUCAUAUGAGUAUGAAAAAUCACAUGUUGAUGAAUUGAUAAAAGAAAAUGAAGUGCUUAAGAAAAAAAGUAAUGAACUCAACGAAAUUAUGUUAAAAUUCACAAGUGGUCAAAAGAAUUUAGAAAAAUUGCUGAACUCUCAAAAAUGUAUAUUUUAUAAAGGAGGACUUGGGUAUAAGCCUAGCUUGAAGCAAAAGUAUUAUAGGAAUUACUUUGUUAAAGUUACCUCCACUAGUGACCAUCAAAUUAUUUGUCAUUAUUGCAAUCAAAAUGGUCAUAUAAAAUACAAAUGUCCAAUGAAAAGAAAUGCAUAUAAUGGAGUCAAAUGUGUUUGGGCUCCAAAAGGAACCAUUGCUAACACUCAAAGACCCAAAAAGAUUUGGGUACCUAAGACUUGAAAUUUCCUCUGCAUGGUUUUAAGAAAAAGAAGAAUAAAUGCACUUGGACAGUGGUUGCUCAAGGCAUAUGACUGAAAAUUAUUCAUGGUUUUCAAGUUUUACCAAGAUUGAAAAUGGUGGAGAUGUGUCAUUUGGAGAUAAUUCAAAAGGAAAGAUUAUCGAUAUCAGUAAUGUUAGUAAAGAAUACUCUACUCUUAUUGAAAAUGUGUGUUUGGUUGAAAACUUGAAACACAACUUACUUAGCAUUAGUCAAUUGUGUGAUAAAGGCUAUAGAGUUAUCUUUGAUAAAUCGAAAUGUGUUAUUGAGAAUGCAUAUGAUGGCAAGAUUUUGUUUGUAGGAAAUAGAUGUGUUAAUGUUUACACCAUUAAUAUAGAUUGUGCAUCUACUAAUGAUAAAUGUUUCUCUGCAUUGCAUGAUGAUGACUGGUUAUGGCAUAGAAGACUAGGUCAUGCAAGUAUGAAUUUAAUUUCAAAGAUUUCAAAAAAUGAUUUGGUUAAUGGUCUUCCAAAAAUUAGUUUUCAAAAAGAUAGAAUUUGUGAAGCUUGCCAAUUUGAAAAAUAAAUCAAAACUUCUUUAAAAAACAAGAACCAUGUCUUAACUUCAAAAUCACUUCAACUACUUCACAUGGAUUUGUUUGGACCUUCUAGAUAUGCUAGUUUAAGUGGCAAAUAUUAUGCAUUUUUUAUUGUGGAUGAUUAUUCUAGAUACACAUGGAUAUUGUUCUUUGCUAAUAAGGAUGAUGUUUUUAAUGCAUUUAGAAUUUUCUAUAAAAAGGUUUAAAGUAAAAGGGAUAUGUAAUUUCUUGUAUUAGAAGUGAUCAUGGUGGAGAAUUUGAAAAUCAUGCAUUUGAGAAUUUUUGUAAUGAUUUUAGCAUUGAGCAUCAAUUUUCAUCACCUAAGACUCCAUAACAAAAUAGAGUUGUUGAGAGAAAGAAUAGGUCUAUCCAAGAAAUAGUUAGGACUAUGUUGAAUGAAAAUAUUUUAUCUAAGUAUCUAUGGGCCGAAACCGUCAACACCGUUUGUUAUGGCUUAAAUCGUGUGUUAAUUAGACCUUAUCUCAAUAAGACUCCCUAUGAGCUUUGGAAAGAUAAAAAACACAACAUUGGUUAUUUCAAAAUUUUUGGAUGCAAAUGUUUUAUCUUGAACGCAAAAGAUAAUCUUGGCAAAUUUGAUCCAAAAUCUUAUAUUGGUAUUUUUCUUGGUUAUUCAAAUACAAGCAAAGCUUAUAGAGUGUAUAAUAAAAGAACUUUGGUUUUGAAAGAAUCUAUGCAUCCGAUAUUUGAUGAGUCUAAUCCUUACUCUACAGAGAAAGUUGUUGUCGAUAAUUAUGUAGAUGAAGAGUCACAACAAGGAUUAUCAAAAGAUAAAAAAGAUGAUGCAUCACAUGAAAAUCAAGAGGAUAGACAAUGAGAACAAAUAAAUGUGGAGCAAUAAGAAGGUAUGUCUCAAACACUCCCCAAGGAGUGGAGGUAUAUUUCCCCUCAUCCUAAGGAUUUAAUUUUAGGUGAUCCUUCAAGAGAUGUUACCACUAAAUUAUUAUUUAAAAAUACUUGUGAGCAUGCUGCUUUUAUAUCUCAAAUUGAACCAAACUUCAUUGCGGAUGCGGAAAAUGAUGAAUCUUGGAUCAUGGCAAUGUAAGAGGAGUUGAAUCAAUUUGAGAGAAACAAUGUGUGGAAAUUAGUUUCUAAACCGGAAUAUCAAUCUAUUAUAGGCACUAAAUGGGUAUUUAGAAAUAAAAUGAAUGAAUCUGGUGUGGUUGUAAGGAAUAAAGCUAGAUUAGUGGCUCAAGGAUACAACCAAGAAGAAGGAAUCGAUUUUAAUGAAACAUUUGCACCUGUAGCUAGAUUAGAAUCCAUUAGGAUAUUGUUAGUAUUUUCAUGUCAUAAAGAUUUUAUUUUAUAUCAAAUGGAUGUCAAAAGUGCUUUCUUAAAUGGUUAUAUUAUGGAGGAAGUUUAUAAGUUGUCUAAAGCAUUGAAUGGAUUUAAAACAUGCACCUAGAGCAUGGUAUGACAAGCUUAAAAAUUUCUUGGUGGAUAACGAGUUUUCAAUGGGAAAAGUAGAUGCUACUCUCUUUGUGAAGUAUAAGAACCAAGAUAUACUUGUUGUUCAAAUUUAUGUUGAUGAUAUUAUCUUUGGUUCUACUAAUGAGUCUUUAUGCAAGGAGUUUUCAUCUUGUAUGAAUAAGGAAUUUGAAAUGAGCAUGAUGAGAUAAUUGAAGUAUUUCCUUGGACUUCAAAUCAAACAAAACAAUGAGGGAAUCUUCAUCAACCAAGCUAAAUAUGUCAAAGAUCUACUCAAGAGAUUUGACAUUGAUGACUCAGAGUCUAAGAGACCUCCAAUGAGCACAACAAUCAAACUUAACAAAGAUGAAAAAGGUAAUAAGAUUGAUAUCAAAAUGUAUUCAGAUAUGAUCGGCUCUUUACUUUACUUAGCUGCAAGUAGACCCGAUAUCAUGUUUAGUGUAUAUUUGUGUGCAAGAUUUCAAUCAUGUCCCAAGGAAUCUCAUUUGCUUGCUGUGAAAAGAAUUUUUCGUUAUUUGAAUAGAACUAUAGAUCUUGGCGUUUGGUAUCCUAGAGGAACCCAUAUAGAUUUAACUUGUUAUUCGGAUGCCGAUUUUGCCGAUUAUAAAAUCAAUAGGAAAAGCACUAGUGAAAUGUGUCAUUUCUUAGGUCAUUCUCUUGUUUCAUGGUUUAGUAAGAAAUAAAAUUUGGUUUCACUCUCAACCACCGAGACAGAAUAUAUUGCCGCAGGUAGUUGUUGUGCACAAACUCUUUAGAUGAAACAAGCACUUAGAGAUUAUGACAUUAAUCUUGAACAAAUUCCUAUCAUGUAUGAUAAUACUAGUGCUAUAAAUCUAUCAAAGAAUUCCAUUUAGUACUGUAGAACCAAGCAUAUAGAGAUUAGACAUCAUUUCUUGAGAGAUUAUGUUCAAAAGGGAGAUAUUGCAUUAGAAUUUAUCUCUACAGAAAAAAAAAAAUUGCCUAUAUUUUUACAAAACAUCUUUGCGAAGAAUAAUUUUCAAAAAUUCAACAUGAACUUGGGAUAAUGCCAUUUUUACAUUAACAUCUCUAAUCAUAUUAUUGAAUCUAUUAAAAUUGAUCGAUUGGUGAUUUUUUUAUGAUAAUGAAGUUUUUAAGCAUGAUAAAUGAGUGAUGUAUUUGAAUCAUUAAUCUAUGAAUGCUUACAUGUCUCAUGAUUGUGUGAUGUAUAAGCAUGAUAAAUGUGUUAUAUAUUUAAAUUUAUAAUCUUUGAAUAUUUAUAAUUAUGAUUCAUGCAUUAAAAUGACUUUUGAAAGUGUUCGCGAUCACGAAAUGGUCUUGGAAUAUAUCAAAAUUAGUCGGAAAGCAAACAUUUGUGCAAAACGACAGCUACCCGCCUGCCCCAAAUGGCUAGCUGCUUGGGCACUGCCCCAAACCCGAGAGCAAGCGGCUAGCCAUUUGCCUCCAAGCGACUAGCUACUUGGUCACGGUUUUUAUACAUUUCUUCCCCCUUUCUCUUGCUUUCUUCAACCUUUCUCUACUCUCUCUCAUGGCCGUUCAUCUCUUCUCCAUUUCCUCCUAAAUUUUCUUCAUUUCUCACUCAUUUUCAUGGAAAAAUCAAUCUUUCAAACCAUUACCCAUGCAUUUAACCUUCAUUAAACACUUUCCAAUCAUCAUUUUAUCACUUGUUUCUCCAAAUCUAAAACUUAAAACCUAAGUUUACCUAUUUCUCUUUCUUCUAUUUUAAUCUCUUUUUAGCUCAUUUUUUGUCCAAUUAAUACCAUACAUUGCCUUAAAUCAUCUCUAGGAUCAAUUUUAUUGAUUCAAGCACAUCCAUUUCACUUAAAUUCUUGAAAAUCUGAAUUUGGGUAUUUAAACUUGUUCUUGUUUUCAACAAUGGUUGGUAGUGAAAAAUCCAAGGGAAAACAUGUAGCCAAGAAGCACAAAGAAGAUCAUGGAGACCAUCUGGAGUUCAUAUUAACCCAUUUUCCGCAACCACCUUUUCAGAAACAUUUUCACGACAAAUUUAUGUCGAGGUUAGUGCUUGCCCCAUAUUUUGUCAAUCUUCGUCAUUUGGAGAAUUUAGCAAUUUUUCAUAAAUCUCUUAGUGAUUUUCUUAUUGAUAUGGGCUGGGAAAAUGUUUUAGUUCUUAAGGAAUGAUAUUAUGAAAAUUUAGUCAAAGUUUUUUAUUCGAAUAUGGUUAUUUCUUCGCAAACUACAGAUAAAAUUGUUACAAGUGUUGGGGGAAUACAUAUUGAGUUUGAUGUUGUGGAUUUAAAUCAUAUUCUUAGAACUCCAAAUGAAAGGUUGGACCAUUAUACUGGUAGAAGUAAAAUAGAUUAUCCGUGGUAUUCAGUUGAGGAUAUUGUUCGGAAAAUUUGUAGACGUUUCGAUUUGUCUUCUAAGUUUUGUAAAUCUACCUUGAAAUCUCAAGCCUUACCCCUUUAACAUAGGAUCCUUCAUUAUGUUCUUUAACAUGUCAUUAGUCCUAGGUCUAGACAUGGGGAUGAAGUUACCCGAUUAUAUGUGGCCUUAUUGGAUAGCAUUCUAUAGGGUGGGGUGCUAAAUGUCAGUUAUAUUAUUAUUCAUCAUAUGGUUAGCACUCUAUGUAUAGCUAAACAAUCCCUUCCUCAUGGAAGCAUUAUUACCUACAUUCUCAAACAUUUUCGAGUACCCAUAAUCGAACCAACCUUUUUGAAUCCUAAGGAAUUCAGAGAUGAAGCUAUAGCUAAUUUAGGGUUUAUAUGGGUGGAAGAUAAAUGGUGUAAACCAGAAAUGCAAAAACAAGGGUACUGCACUAGCUCCUACAGAUCAUUGUUUCUUUAACGAUGUUCUUCCACCAAACCAACUCCCUUGAUCUCAGAGCUCCACAGCGCUCACAUCCUUCGCCUUCCGAGGGUCCUUCCCAUUCUAUUUCAGCAGACCCUAAGGAUCCAAUGUAGCAGCUAUUGACUGAAGUGCAUUCUCUUUCCGAGCAGCAGAGCCAACUUUAGUCCCAGUUUGAGGCCUUUCAAAUUCAGUCCACUUCGGAGCAACAAUGCCUUUUUAAGCAGUAGCAGCGUUUAUUUGAUCAAUGGCAUCGACUCUUUGCUCAACAAUAGCAGCUUCUUGAUGGCCAGCAAUGACUUUUCGCUGCUCUUAGGUUUCCACCACCAUCCUCCUCAUCACAUCCACCCUCUCCAUAGUGUUCUAUAAUUUUUUAUCUUGAUUUCAGUUCUUCGUUUUAUUUUGCACUACAUUUUCAUAUGCAUUGUUGUUUUACUUAUGGAUUAAAGAUGAUUGUUGUUUGAUAUUUAAAUGUUUUAUAUUUGGAUGAUAUUUUAUGGAUUCUUGGAUAACUCUUUGGUUACUUGCAUGCUUGAUUUUUAUAUGUUUCUUGAUUAACUAUUGAGAUGUUAUUUUUGGUCCGAGCAUGGAGUUAUAGUAAUUGUUAUGAUGAAGAGGUAGAAGUCAUGUAUUUUGAUCUUGAAAUAUUGAUGCAUGAUUUUGAAAUAUUUAGGGGGAGCAUACAUUUGUUAAAGAUCAUGUAUUCAGGGAGAGUUCAUAGUUCAUUUAUAUGUUAAAUUAUGUAUGUCAUAUAUUAAGGGAGAGUAUAAAUGUCAAAAUACAUUAAAUGUUUGUCAUCAUAAAAAAGGAGGAGAUUGUUAGCCUAAAGGGCUAGACAUAUUUUAAUUUUGAUGAUAAAAAAACCUAUGUCUUAAGUAAUAUGAUAAAUAUUGCAUUUCACAUUUUCACUAGUUCUUGAAGGACAAUAUUUAUGCAAAUGAAUCACGUGAAAUCAGGCUCAAGGCACUCAACAGAUAACGGCUUGAUCAAGAACAAAGUUUAGGUCAUUGGAGUCAUUAUUGCAACAAAUUCUUAUAAAGCCGGUAUGAUUUAAUAUAUGUAUGGUUUAGCAUUUGAGAAGCUCAAUAUUUUAUUUAAUAAAUCAUUACAUCAUUGACAUUAAGUGUGAAAUGAUAAAAAAAAUGUGUAAAUCACACGUAAAACUAGUAAAUUGAUGGAAAAUAGAGUAAAUUAAUGUGGAAGUUGUAAAUUACACGAAGAAAUUGUAAACAAAACAAAAACUUAGAAAAAUGACAUAAAACUUGUAAAUUGACAUUAAGUGUGAAAUGAAACAAAAAAUUUGUAAACCACACAUAAAACUAGUAAAUUGAUGAAAAAAUGGGUAAAUUAAUGUUGGAGUUGUAAAUUGCAAGAACUAGUAAACAAAACAAAAACUUAGAAAAAUGACAUAGAAAUUGUAAAUUGACAUUAAGUGUGAAAUGAAACAAAAAAAAUGUGUAAAUACACAUAAAACUAGUAAAUUGAUGGAAAGAGGUAAAUUAAUGAUAAAGUUAUAAAUUAGAAGAAAAAAGUGUAAACAAAACAAAAACUUAGAAAAAUGACAUAAAACUUGUAAAUUGACAUUAAGUGUGAAAUGAAACAAAAAAGUUGUAAACCACACAUAAAACUAGUAAAUUGAUGGAAAAAUUGGUAAAUUAAUGUUGGAGUUGUAAAUUAUAGGAAGAACUUGUAAACAAAACAAAAACUUAGAAAAAUGACAUAAAACUUCUAAAUUGACAUUAUGUGUGAAAUAAAACAAAAAAUUUGUAAACAACAUAUAAAACUAGUAAAUUGAUGGAAAAAAGGAUAAAUUAAUGUUUGAGUUGUAAAUUGUAAGAACUUGGGAACAAAACAAAAACUUGUAACUAUUGCAUAAAACUUGUAAAUCAACAUUAACUUGUAAAUGUUGUGUAAAACUUGUAAAUCACACAUAAAAUGUAACUUGUAAAUGUUCCAUUUUAAAGUGGGAUCAUUCUAUAAUGCCGUAAUCUGCACUCAUUUAAUUAAAAAAGAAUUCAAAGCAAAACUAAAAGACACAAAUUACAUACAUGUCUAGGAGCCAUAUCAAAGGUGUUAUAUAACUUGUCCAAUUAAUAAAUUCUCUUAGGGGUCAUAACAUGCUCACUCAUUUCCAAAGCUAUUAAUGAUAAGAACUUUCAUCAUUAAUUGAUAUGGCCAGUGUAGAAAAAAAAUGAAAAACCCCUCCAAGAUCAAAGCACAAGGAUAAGUUUAGAAUUACACUUUUUAAAUUUUGGUUAAUAUAUAAACGUCUAUAUGAAAAUAGAAAAUCGUUUUGGAAUAACUUUUUUUUUCUUUUUUUAAUGACUGUAGAAAUAAAAUUUUAAAAUCGCCAAACCGAAAAGAAAAACAGGGGAAUGAAAAGAGAGCCCACGUUUCUCCUCUGUUUUGUUUUUAUUGUUAUCAAACAUGGGAAUGAAGAGAUCAGCUCUUGUCGCAAGCGCAAAUUUUUUUUUCUACCUUUUAAAUGCAGUUGAUUGUAAGUAUAUCCUCGAUCCCAAGUACUUAGAAGUAAAUUACGCAGGGGUCGUGGAUUGUGCGCGAAAGUGCUGGAAGCACCCCUUGUUUAUUAGGAAAAGCAGUUGAUUGUAACUAUAUAUAUCCGCGGUCCCAAGUACUUAGAAGUAAAUGCUCUUGGAAUUUCUAUUGCAGUUCAUGAGAUGUUUCCCUUUCAAAUAGCUCGUCUGAUACCAUUAACAUGUUCAUCUUUCUGUAGAUUGAUGUUAACAUAGGUUAUCCUACUGUUGCUAGUGGAGUUUUGGGCCUUGCCGUAAUUGGUGUAAUUACGACAUUGAUAGUUGACAUGGCUUUCCUUGUACAGGUAUGCAUGAUUGUUUUUUUGGCACUUGUAAAUGGACACCACGGAAAAGACAUGAUUUUGAGAUAUUGCACAAUAAUUUGCAUUUUUGCAUGCUGGAAUGUUCUCAGAAUGGUAUAAUGCUUCGCGUGUCUCUUCUUGCUCUUUUGUAUGCAGGCAAAUACUACAGAUGAAUUACCGGAGCGACUGAUUGGUGUUAUACGUGUUUCUCAUAUAGAACUCAAGUCUGCUAUUGUCCCAAAGUUGGAACCAGAAACAUCAUGACUCUGGCUCCUUUUCACCUCAAUUUUUUUUUUUUAAAUUUAAAAAAGCAUUUGUUUUAGGUAUACAUACAUGUAUUUUGAUCCCAUUUUCAUUGUAAUUUCUCAUUUACUUUGAAUGAAAGUCAUUGUAAUUUCCCAUUUUCUGAUUCUUUAGUUACUAUUUUUGGAAUGAGUGUGAUAGCAUUAAAGUUGGCUACUUGGUUUCUUAAUGUUGUACUCACAAACAAGUAAACUGCUCGAUUCCCAACUGCGACUUAACUGGUUUCUAACUUUUUUAUAUACACUAAUUUUUCUUAUUUAAUAAGUACUACUAUUAAAACUCAACAACGAACAAAGAUACUAAUAAAAAAAUGAUUUUCUUAUGAUGUUGUAGAAAUAAUUAUGGGUUUACUUAUUUCCACAAGAUCUAUAACAAGGUCUUGACUUCACGAAAUUCUUUUAAUUUAAAGCGCGCUGGUCUGAGAAGGUCAGUUUGAUGGAUUUAUUCCUUUUAAUAUUGGUCGAGAUAAUUUUAGUAUACUCAUAAAAAAUCUUACUCUGAUAAUGCAUGCCACAAAUGUUAUCAACAUUGUCUUGUGUUGUUUCCUUCAGCUAAAGAUCCUCUAUUAAAACAGGGUAGAAAUCAAAUGCUUAAAAUACCAAUUGAACAUAAAAUACAGAAGUUUAAACAAAAUCUAAUUGAAUAUUGCAUGAAACAUGAAUCAUCAAUUCAAGUUGUUCCUUAAACGGAGAAUCCAUCAAACAAAUCCAAAGUGUCUUGCAAGUCUGUAGCAUGACCAAAAAAUUGUAAAUAAGUUUAUAACCAAAUUAUUCCGGUACAAGAGAACGAGCAAGAUGAAUCAUGUACAAGAGAUUGGCCUGGUUCGAGAUAGCUUCUUCACUGUACCUGAAGGUUUGGCUCAAUCUCUUCUUUAGAAUUCUGUGCAUUUUGUAAUUACUCGUGUAAGCAGGCAUACAUCACCACCAUAACAAUAAUAAAGCAAGAGUAAUGAUACGGCCACAACCUCUUGUGCACAAACAAUAUUGUAUAAAUUAAUGUGACACAAUAUGAUUGCUUAAACAAAAAUAUCACAUGAUCGUCAUAAUUUAUUUAUUAGUAUUAUAUAUUUUCAGUAAACCAAUCAUAUUAUGCCACAUUAGUUGCUAUAAAAAUAAUUUGCUAGAUAGAACCAACACUUAAUUGAUACUCACCAUUUCAUUGAACAAGUUUUUUAUGGUGUCAUUGAGGUUGCCUUCCCAACAUCCUUCAUCAUCAUAAUCUACUUCGUCAUCAUCUUCUUCUUCGGUGAGUUUCACUUUGUUUAGCUUUGGUGUAUCUAUGACUCCUUGAGAGAAAAUCAUCAUCUUUGGGCAUCGCCUUGCAAUUACUUGUUUCAAGGACGGGAACUUGAGAGUGUAAUUACCCGAACAAAAGCUUGUUAGCCUUGGCAAACAAUCAAGUGUCAAGUACUUCAAUUUCUUGAAAACAAUGCAAUCUUUCGUUUCUUCUCCAACCGGCGAUUGUAUGAUUUCUUCUAUCAUUUUGCAAUCAGCUAUCCUCAUUAUUUUAAGAUUCACUCGACUUUUAGAUGUUGUGAUUGUCAACACAUUUAUCAACCCGUGACACUUCGAUACUUACAGAGACAUCAAAUUUUCUAAAUGCCACAAAGAUGGUACUAUUUUUUGCAACUUAUUACAUUCUGAUAUUUCUAGAGUUUCCAAAUUUGCGAAAACCUUGUUGGAUUCGGCAUUUUCCUUCCAGAGAUGCUGCACUUUGUGUAAUCUAGACAGCUUUAAAAAUCUCAAAUUAGGGAAUUCAACCUGAAAAUAAACAAAAUUAAGUUGUAAAUGAAAAUAUAUAUCCAAUCUCCACAGUCUUCCCCUGCAUAUUUUAUGGACAAGAUUAAUCACGGCAUUUUAUAUUUUAUUCCCAAAUUAGUAUGCUUUGCAGUAGGAUCCCAAAUAUAAGCAUCAGAUGAAUUACCCUUUGAAACACAUGAAUGAAAUCUGAUGCUAAUUCCAAUAUGAAUUAACUAGAAAAACAGAGAUGUAACACGCAUAAUUUAUAUAGUUCAUCACCUCAUGUUACCAGGCAUCUAAUUAAUUUGAGACAUUUUUAUAAUUCAUACUAUAAAGUUAGUUAAUAACUGCGGUUUUAUUGUUAAAUCAUAUAUAAAUUAAGACGACAUGCAAAAAGAUGAGUCAUUAAAUUUGAUUUGAUUCUAAUGAAAUUACAUCUAUGCAAAAGAAAGUGAAGCUAAGAAAAUAAUAAUGAUAAUCACCUUUUCAUCGAAGAGAGGUUGUACUUGAUCGACUAGCAAGAAGUUCUCUUCUAAUGUUAAUUUUUGAGGUUCCUUAUUAUCUACUAUCAUGUGCAGUUCAGAUGGAGAAUUAGAUACGAAUGUUUCCAUAUUAGGGCAAUUCUCAACGGUCAGAUACGACAACCAAGGCAGUUCAAGUAUAUUCCCAGUGAAGUUGCAGAAUCUUUUGAGGUUUGGAAGAUCCAUGAUUGUUAGACCCAAAAGUAAAGGAAAUAGUGGACCAAAAUGUUCUUCCUCGGCAUUUAGCUCUUCCAAAUGAAGAACCUCUUCUAAUGAAUCACAAUUCAUCACUUCUAGAGAGUUCAAAUCAUUCAAGCACCGUAGCAGAUUAGCUGGAAUAGCACUCAACAUAUUUGUGCAGUCAUCCACCACCAACUUAUCUAAAUUGUUGAAGAAGCCGACAGGUAGUGCUGGGCCAUGCCACAACUCUCUCAAAUGUGGAAAGUCUGAGAGUUUCAAAUUUUGCAAGUCACGGAAUCCAACCUACACAACCAAAACACUUGAACUAGAUAUAAACAUUUUAAAAAAAAAAAAUUUGAAAGGCACUAGAUAUAUACAUUAAACUUACAUUUUUUUGUUUUAACUUCUAAAAAAUCUAUAUACAAGGCAGAUGUAUAUAUAAAUGUGCAAGUGCAAGGGAGGUGCCUGAGCAAUUUGGAUGAAUCGAUUAACACAUACUAUUUCUUUGUAACACUUUUGUAUUGUGGAAUUAAGGUUGCCUUCCCGAUAGUUCAAUUCACCCUCUUCCUUUUUAGUCACUUACACUUUGUAAAGCCUUGGUGUGGAUGAGAUUCCCUGAGAAAAAAUCUUCAUGUUCGAACAACCUGUCAUAGAAACUCAUUCCAAUGAUGGGAAUUCAAGGGUGUAAUUCUCCAAACAAAAGCUGGUAAGCCUUGGUAAAUCAUCAAGUUUCAACAGUUUUAAUUCACUGAAAGCAAUACGAUUCUCCUUCACUUCUUCUCCAACAUGUCCUACGAUUUCUUCUAUUUUUUCACAGUAUGAUACAUUAAGAUUCACUAGACUACCACGAAUUCCAACCUUAAAAUAAAGAGUAGCAUUCAACUAGAUUCAAAACAUGUAAAAAUCAUAUAAUUGUUUUAUGAAAAUAACAAACCAUGAAUGUCUACUAGAUACUUUUUUCUUAAAGAAAAAAGGAAAAAAUAAAAAAUAGAAGUCCAGAAAAACAAAGAUAAUGAAAAUGCAUUUACACUAUUUAGUAUUAGGAGUGUAGAAACAAUUUCAGGUAAUUUUUAAAUAUUCUAAAUUCAUUUUUCAUCUUGAUGCUAGUUUUUUAAAAUUUUUAAUUUUCAAAUAUACCUAUUUUUAAAAUAACUAAACUAAAACGUUGUAUUUCCCCUUUUUCUCGAUAUUCAUGCUUUUAAAAAUGGAAACAUUUCUUGGAAAACACUUCCCAACGCAAUCAACAUGAGACUGUUACAGAGUGAAUAUUUGUAGAGUAUUCCCAGAUUUGAGGAAAUCUUUUAAUCAAUGGUCGAUUCAAAAUGAUCGUCGUGAAUUUGUGCUUAAUCAAUGGCAUAAUCAAUUCAUAACUAAACUAGAGAUAUUAACUACAUCUGAAUCUUUUCUUUUUUUCCAAUCGAAAUUUGAAGACCCAAGGAAAAGCGAAAUAUAUAUGAAUUUGUGAACUUAUAAGCUGAGUAACUAAGUAUCUUCUCAUUUAUGAAAAUCUUAUUUAUUAGGAUUUAAGGAAAAAAAAACAAUUAAAUUGAAUCAUAUUAUGCUGUUGAAUCGUGUUUAAAACAAUUAUAUUGUUUUAAUGCAGGUGAGCCUAAAAAUUGGAUUGAAAAUGUAGAAUUUAGAAUGGUGGUUUGAAGUACAAUACUUUUUUUCCCCCUUGAAGUUUGAAGUACAAUACUUGCAAUAAAUAAUUUGUGAAUGACUAUUAUUUGUAAACACAAAAAUAAUUAAAAAAACUUGUUGAAUGCUAUUUGAAAUAAAAAUUCAAAAUGAAUAUAGCAACCUUACCAAUGGAGGAAAAAUAUUCCGUAGAUUAUGACACCCAGAUAUCUCCAAAUUCUUCAAUUUGCUAAAAGACUUUGAAGCAAGCUGGUGGUGCCAUAUUUUUCUCAACUUAUCCAUCGAGCUAAUAUGUAAUACCUCCAAACUUGGAAGUUGCACCUGAAGCUAAAAAUUCAAUGCAAUUAGAGAUGGAUAUUAAUUAAAUUUGAAGACUCACCGAAAAGAGAUAUUAACAAUUGAGAAUAAAAUUAAUUUUAAAAAAAAAAACCUUUUCAUCAAAGAGAUGUUGAGGUUGCAUUUCAGUGUGAAUGACGUCUUCUGGUGAGGUGAAGCUACAUAGUUUUGGAAGACAAUGAAGCCGCAGGGAGUGUAGUUUAGGAAAAACCUUUAAUUCAUCUCUUCCUCCUAACCCCGUGCUGUUGACUACGCCUUCCAUUGACCCGCAAGCACCAAUCUCAAGAUGUUGGAGUCAUGGGCGGAUCCAAUUAAGGCCCAGGAGGGGCUUCAGCCCCCCCUGAACCAUUAAGUUUUCUUUUAAAUGUACCCCAAACACUUUCUGAAAAAGUUAAAUAAAAGAAUUUGGACACAUUUUUCAUAUAUUAAAAGACUUGUCGUUCAAUGGUAAGAGUGCUAUUUAAUGAUUUUAAAACCUUGGUUCAAAUCUCAUUAGCUACAUUAUUUUAUUUUUUUAAAUAUUUUGUGGAAGCUACUUCGAAAAAUAAUAUUUCUAUGCAUUUAAAAUACUACUUCAAAAAAUAAUAUUUUCACGCAUUUAAAAAUAAUAAUUUAUUACUAUUAUUAUUUAGAAUUUAAAAAAAUAAUAAAAUUUGAGUUUAUAAGACUUAAAAUGUAUUCAAGUGAACAUUAAAAAAAUCUAAGUUAAAUAAAAUUUUUUGAACUAAGCCCCCCCUCAUUUUAAUUUCUGGGUCCGCCACUAGUUGGAGUUGCUCAAGACUAUUAACCAUAGAAUAUGAAAACAGAUACUUCAGACGAUCACAACUCCACACGUUCACUUUUGUUAAAUUUUGACAACAAUACAUUCCCUGAAAUUGAUCGGGCCAUAAUUUUUCGAUGUUUCUUAAACCGUCGAGUUUCAAUUCCUCCAAGCGUGGAAAAGUAACCUGCAAAGCAAAACCGUACGUUUUUGUUCCUUCAACUACAACUUUUAAUAUAAUAUUCUUUUGAUGAUUGAAGAUCAAUCGUGAUAAUAUAUUAAUUAAUUAAUUAUUAAACAGAAAAUUAUCACCUUGUGAACAGGAUCAUCCUCUGCAAUGAUUCUGUGAAUCCCUGAGUAGUUGUUGGUUUCUCCAUGUUAGGCCCUAUAAAUGAGCAAAAACAAUAUAUAAUUAAUCUCUGUUGUUUUUUUUACAGAAAAAAAAAAAAGAAUGAGCCAAUGUCAAUAAUCCUACCAAUAAUUAAUUUCAACACUUACCAAUAAUCAUUUUCAAUUCCCGGCAAUUUUUCACUUCUACCUUUUGAAGCUGCAAUAGAUUUUUGGCCAUGGAGAAUGAGAAGAGAUACUUCAAUUUUUGACAGAACAAUACAUUUAUAAUCCUCAAGUUGCUGAAAGAUUGAUCUUCUCUGAGUUGGCUGUAGCAUAUGGCCUCCAAAUUGAUCAAUUCAUAGAGAGUCAGUGACUCCAGCAAGGGGAAGACUUUGCAACGAACCCCUCCAACUGAAACGACAAUAUGUAAAAUCUCAGAACAAGAUCUUACAUAAAGAUGCUUCAAUCGUGGAAAACCUUCCCUAUGGUCUAAUUCAUGAACAUCAUUCAGAACACCCUCCAGUUUGUCUAGAUAGAGAUCUUCAGUUCUCUUCAGCAACAAUUUCGUCCCAUAUUUCUCCAAAAGAAUGCUAACUCUUCCUAGCCCCGCGAGCAUCAUCGAUCUUGAUGUUCCAAAUUUGACAGGCCAUAGGCCCAGUCCUUGUCCUAUACGUAUCCUAUAUCUUUGCAAUUCCACAGAGACCAAAUUUCGCGGCAGAAUUUCGGCAUCCGGAACUUUUAUCUCUAAAGUAGUUAGCUUGGUCAACCCCUUUAACUCGACAAGACUGGCAUUACUUCCUCCUUCAACCUUCUCCCACCUUUUGAAACCAUCACCCAUAUACAAUUCUUCUAAUCGAGAUAAUUUUGAUAUGACAUUCGGUGCUAUCACCUUAAGCCUCCGACAAUUGCUCAAAUCUAGCAACCUUAACCGCGUCAAUUGUCCAAUUUCAAGUGGUAACUGGUCGAUAUUGGAACGUGCAAGGCUGAGAAUCUCUAAUUUCUUUAGCUCUCCAACUAUUGCUAUAUCUUUUAGUCUGCAACCAUCUAAACACAAUGUUUGAAGGUUAAUGAGGUGACCAAGUGAUGACGGUAAUGAAGAGAAGUGAAUUCCAGUAAAAUUCAAAACUUUGAGUCCUUCCGUCCCUUUAAAUAAGUGGUCUGAAACUUGCAUAGAGACAUCACCCUCCGUAUGCAACAAAAAUAACUCAAGACGGGGACAUUGCAACCUUUCAAGAAGCACUUGAAUACCUCUAUAAGGUAAAGAAAUAGCAAUUGGAUCUUCCUGUAUUGUCUCUUCCAUCUUUUUCUCCAAGCCGGCAACAUUUGGAAUAUUAAACAUGAGCAGCUCUUCUGCAAUUGAUACAGCAACUACACGGAUGACGUCAUGCAUUUUAACUUCAUCUUCAGCAUCACCGUCCAACAAUAAGCAUGAAAAUUUGAGUUUGUCGAUCAACGUAUGCACUCUGCUCCUUGCUUCUUCCAGUGUGUAAACGUUUUUAAAAUAGCCCAUACCCAUACCAUAUGUCAGUAAGUAAGGAACUGGUAUAGCAUGAUCUUCACUACGUAGACCACAAAGAAGGAACAGAGAUUUUGCCUCCUCACUUCCCAAGGAGUCAUAACUCAAUUUUAUGGAGGUGUACACAUUUGCUUGCAUGCCAUGAAUUUCUCCUAGAUUGGAACUUCUUAGCUGAUUCAAUGCAUCUUUCCAAAAGUCAAGCUCCUUAGUUUUCAGAGCAUUUGCAACUGUACUCAGUGCAACAGGCAAACCUCCGCAUCUUUCAACGAUCUCAUCUGCAAUCAGUUGAAAAGCAGAUAUUUUUGUUGGAUCACCCACUAUCUUCUCAAACAACUGCAAAGCUUCUUUUCUUGAUAAAGAAUCGAUCGAGAAAUUUUUCUGAGAAUUCAUAUCAAUGCACAAUAAAUCUCGACUUCUAGACGUUAGUGUUGAUGCGAGAUUUUGGUUCUCUGCUCGACCAUGACCAAGACCUGUCCUCAACUAACUCGACCACGAUCAGGAUCUCUCCUUGUAAGACUUCUUCUCUACAGACUCCUGCGUACACAGAAACAAAUCAGAGUAUGUCGGGUGUUUUCCGGCGUAAACCCUCCGACGUUCAAGUCAGAAAUGAAGGUUUCGAGUCCCUGGGAAAGUUAGCCACUAAUCUUAUGGCUUAUUUUCAGUAUCAAUUAUUCAGAGCUCUCUUUAUCUCAGUUUCAAUGUCAAAAAAUCUAACCAUUUUACCUUCGUUGGCUACCUUUUUAUAGGCUCCCUCUGAAUCUCGGCCACGACCAUUACCUCCCCCAACUCUCGGACGUGGGCGCUCCGUUAUCGUAGUCGUGGCUGGAUGGACUUCGUGCCAUGAUUCUCGGGUAGAAGGGCACGUCCUGCCAAUCGUCAUUGAUCGGGUCUCCUCACCUCGACCUCUAGCAGGAAUCGUUUUAUGCUCCUGGCAGGAGGCCGACUCCCGCUAUGGCCCCUUGGAGGGUGCAUUCGUGUACGAGCAGAACAAUCAUGCUCGUAUUCCCCUGCUACCAUACCUCUACGGAAUAUACCUGUUCGCGGCAUCCUGCUACCAGAUACCUGCUCAUCAUGGCUGGUCUUGUCGAGGUAUUACCCCCAAACAUCGGUCCCCUAGUUUCUGGUGUUGGGUAAUGCAGUGGACCAACAGUAGAAACUCAACAGUUCUGGCUUGCGCGGGAUAGGAAGAGGCUUUGAGGAGUUGUGUCGCAUUAAAUUACGGGCGAGGUGAUGUGGCAAAGAUCUAUCCUUCCAUUUGAAUUUCAAACUGGUGGCUAUGAGACCUUUGGAACUCGUGCCCUUAAAUGCUGACAGCCCGAGGGUUUAUUCUUCAUUAAUGAACCCAAAAUCCCGAAGAAGGAAUCCAUCUCUCAGCCCCCUUCUACCUCUCCGGUGACUGAAUAAUUGUUAGAGUGCAAUUUAUGCACUAGUUUUGCAUUGUUUACUUCUCUUAAUAUCGAUGUUUUGCACUUAAUAAUAAUGAUUUACUUGUGUUUUACUUUUGUAGGUGCAAUUCUAUUGAUUUGUGAUAAAAUUGAGGUAUACGAUGAUGUUUAAAGAUGAUUGUUCUCUUGGAGAAAUUUAGAGCGUCAGAAGAACUUUAUUGAUAAGGCGUGGGCGCGUGCUGUCAACUACGAACCUGCAGUUUUUAGUUUAACGUGUUUUGUAUUUUUAGUUAUUUUUGUAAUUACGAAUUUAAUAUUUUAGAUAUUAGUAUUUUAUUUUAAAUAGAAUUCUAGAGGAGAAGAGAGAGAGAGUAUUUAAGGGAGGAAUCUAUUGUGAAAAAUGGGGAUUUGGAUGGGAGAAAAAGAAAGAAACCCUAGAUCUAAUUUUUCUCUUCUCUCUAUGAAGAACUAAACCUAUUUUUCUGGUUGAAAGAUAAUGAAGCUUUGAUUCAUCACUACUGUGAAAUCUUUCUUAUGCUUUAAUUGUUUUAUUACUUUUUGGGUAUUUGUUUAUUCUCUGAAUUAGUUUCAUGAUUAUGUUUGUUAAUUAGAUAAUUGGCCACUAUUUAAUUAUCAACUUAAUCUAUUGUCAAUUAAAAGAUUCAUCGUAUGAAGAAUUUAAUGUUUGUGACAAAUAACAUAGCAGAGAGUUGUGUUGUGAGAAUAAAUAAUCUAAUUUAAAUGAAUCAUCAUAUGUGUUGAUUAGGAUUUGGGUCUCUCUAGUUUUUCAGGCUGUCAAUUGAUUAAAUCCUAUGAUCGUAUCUAGGGUUGUCCAUUGAUUAGGGAAAUAUCCAACGGUCGUACCUUGGUUAUCGACUAAUUAAGGAGAGAUUGGCUAUUAGAGGGUCUCAAUAGCUAUAACCGGUCUAUUCAUAAGUAAUAAUAAUCUAUAUUUGAAUUAAUAAUCAGUAGUCGAAUCAAGCUGAGUUAAUUCCUUCAACCAGAGCUUUCUCCAAUUUGAAUUACAACUUUAAUUUGCAUUCUUGUUAUUUUAAUUUGAUUUUUAUUAUUGUCAACAAUUCCCCCAUUUUACGUUUUACGUUUCAAAAGGAUUUAAAUAAUUACCGAUCUCUGUGGACACGACCCUGCUCAAUCACUAUACACAAUUUAUUUAGAGUAGGAAUUUAUUUUUGUUGGCUUCGACACCCACCAAAUUUUGGCGCCGUUGCCGAGGAUUGGUGUCAUUUAUUUAAUCCUUUUUACGUUUUACUUGGUGUAUGGUUCGUUCUUCUCGUACAGGUACACUUUCGUUUGAUCCUGAAAUUGAGAAGACAGCUCGCCAGCUGAGACAGCAGACGAAGCGAGCUAAGCAACGAUCAUCGUCGCCUUUGCUUUCUGAAAUAGAUACAGUACCUGAUUUAGUUGAAUCAUCUAGCGAUUCAGAAGAACAAGUGAUGGAUAGACCUGCACCUGUAGAAAGAACUCUUAGAGAGUUAGCUGAACCAUACUUGAAUCAACAACCACUCUGCAUUCAAUAUGUAGAUUUGGAGGUAAAUUUUGAAUUAAAGUCUGGUCUUAUUCAUUUAUUACCCAAGUUUCAUGGUUUUGCAGGUGAAGAUCCUCAUAAACAUCUUAUGGAGUUUCAUGUUGUAUGCUCAAGUAUGAGGCCACAAGGCAUGACUAAAGAGCAGAUUAAGCUGCUUUUCCGUUCUCUGUAGAUGGGCUAGCUAAAGAUUGGUUAUACUACUUGCCUCCUGGAUCGAUUACAACGUGGAAUGGUUUGAAGAAGCAGUUCCUUGAGAAAUACUUUCCUGCUUCAAGAGCUGCCAACAUCAGAAAAGACAUUUGUGGGAUCAGACAACUACCUGGGGAGACUUUGUAUGAGUAUUGGGAGCGAUUCAAACAAUUGUGUGCCAGCUGUCCUCAACAUCAGAUUUCUGAUCAACUUCUUAUUCAAUAUUUUUACGAAGGACUGUCAUUGAUGGAUAGGAGUAUGAUAGAUGCUGCUAGUGGAGGUGUGUUGGUGAACAAAACCCUUACUCAAGCAAGGGAGUUGAUCUCAAAUAUGGCUGCCAAUGCACAACAAUUUGGCAGCAGACAAGAUGCCACUUCAAGAACGGUGAAUGAGGUAAAUAUUUCUUCUGUUGAGCAACGUUUAGAUAAACUUACUUCUCUUGUGGAAAAGUUUGUUGUAGGUAAUGUGCAACAGGUGAAGACUUGUGGCAUUUGUUACAAUAUGGGUCAUUCAACUGAUAUGUGUCCUACACUUCAAGAAGAACCCGUUGAACAAGCCAAUGCAGUUGGAGGAUUUCCAGGCAUGCCUCAGAGGAGGUAUGAUCCUUAUGCACAAACAUACAAUCCGGGAUGGAAGGAUCAUCCCAACUUCAGCUAUGGAGUUAGGCAAUCAGGAUUCCCACAACAGUAUCCACCAAGACAACCAGCACCUCCACAGUCAAACUCCAAGUCAGGUAUAUCUCUUGAAGAAAUUGUUAAAUCACUUGCGACUAACACUCAACAAUUUCAACAGGCAACUACAACAAGCAUUCAGAACUUGGAGAACCAAAUUAGUCAAUUGGCGACUACAGUGAGCCGUCUGGAGUCUCAAGUAUUAGAGAGAUUGCCUUCACAAUCUGAGGUGAAUCCAAAGCAAAACGUUAGUGCUGUCAUCCUUAGAAGUGGGAAGGAGUUGCAAGAGCCUAGUAAGAAAGUGACAAAGCAUGUAGAAGAUGAGCUUGAGAAGAAUGAAUUGAUGCUUAAAUCUCAAGAUGCGGAACCCACCAGAGCGAAACCCCUACCUAUUGUGAUACCUCCUCCUUUUCCAAGCCGGUUUGCAAAAUCUAAGAAGGAGGAACAAAAGAAAGACAUCCUUGAGACAUUUCGCAAGGUUGAGGUAAAUAUUCCUUUAUUAGAUGCUAUAAAACAAAUACCUCGAUAUGCUAAAGUCCUUAAGGAAUUGUGCACCUCCAAGAGAAAAUUAAGAGGAGAUGAAAAAGUUCACAUGGGGGAGAAUGUUUCAGCAGUUCUCCAAAAGAAACUACUUCCUAAGUGCAAGGAUCCAGGUAUGUUUACUAUCCCUUGUAAAAUUGGUAGUGUUAGAAUUGAAAAGGCUUUGUUAGAUCUAGGAGCUUCUAUUAAUGUCAUGCCUCGUUCCAUUUAUUCAUCUUUGAAUGUUGGUCCAUUAAAAGAAACUGGCGUGAUAAUUCAACUAGCUGAUAGGUCUAAUGCAUAUCCUGAUGGAGUAUUAGAAGAUGUUUUAGUACAAGUUAAUGAGUUGGUUUUUCAUGCUGAUUUUUAUGUACUUGAUAUGGAGAGGAUAACUCCUUUAAUUCUGUCCCAAUUUUGCUAGGAAGACCUUUUCUUAAUACUGCUAGGAUUAAAAUGGAUGUACAUAAAGGGACUCUCAGUAUGGAGUUUGAUGGAGAGGUUAUAGAAUUCAAUAUGAAUGAUGCCAUGAAAUAUCCUAGUGAGGAACAUUCGGUAUUUUCUGUGGAUGUUAUUAACCCUAUAGUGCAAGAAGUUUUUUACAAGGAAAAGACGAAGACAUUUUAUGAUAGAAUGAUUUUGAGAAAGGAGUUCUCUGUUGGUCAAAAAGUUCUUCUUUUUCAUUCUAAGCUUAAACUUUUUCCGGAUAAAUUAUGUUCUUGCUGGGUUGGACCUUUUAUUGUUACUAAUAUUUUUCCUCAUGGUGCAGUAGAGAUUCGGAGUCCGACCUCUGACAAAGUUUUUAAGGUUAAUGGUCAUCGCUUAAAACCUUUUUAUGAAGGUUUUUUGGUGAAUAUUGUGGAGGAUGUGGCUCUCGAGAGUCCCAAUUAUGGAGAUUGAUGCAUAAAUGUGUCUAUCCAAAGACAUAAAACAAAGGCGCUUUUUAGGAGGCAACCCAAAGGAUUUAUUUAUUUUGCUUUUUGUUAUAUCUUUUGUUUUUAAUUUUGAUUUAAAUAUUUUUUUUAAAUAAUGUGUUUGCUUAUUUUGGCCAGAAGAAAAUUAUCGAUAAGGCGUGCCCACAUCUUAACUAAUAAGUACUUCUGUGAUUUUUAAAGUAAAAUAGUUUUAAGGCGUGCCCACGUGCUUAUUAGAAAAGUACUUCUGAAAUUUUUAGUGUCUCAAAGUGAUUCAUCACUAAAAAAAAAAAAACUUUUUAUUUAUUUAUUUAUUUAUUUUUUUCCUUCUUUUCUUUCUUUUAUAUAUAUAUAUAUAUAUAUAUAUAUAUAUAUAUAUAUAUAUUAUUUAUUUAUUUAUUAAAAAAAAAUCACUGUUAACAAAUCCCUAAUUCAAAAAAAAAAAAUUCACUGUUGAUUAUCUUUUUCUCCCGCAGCAACCAGCAGCCGCAGCCUACGCAGCAGCAGCAACCGUACGAAAUCAGUAGCAACCAUACGCACAGCACAUCCCACGCAGCAGCAGCAGCCGCGCGCCCCGCCACCAGCGCGCAACACAGCAGUGCGUAGAUCCAGCCCCGCCACGCAGCACAAACCAACAGCGCGAACUAGCUCUCGCGCGCAACACAGCCACGCAGCACCAGCAGUCGCGCGUAACGCAACGCAGCACCAGCAUCCCACGUCCAGCGAGUAGCAGCCACAGCCACGCAGACAGCAUCCCGCGCGGAACACAGCAGUGCGCAAGCAGCCCCAAGCCGCGCAGCAAGCUCCAACCGAGCAACAACGCAACGCAACCAGCCUACGCACUGUAUUCCAGCCAGGUAAAUCGAAAUCCAUGAGUGCAAUUAUUGUAACAAUGCCGAAGAGGAAAGAAUAUACUUCCAAGUCAUCGAAAAAGAUACCCGUCGCAAAGAAAUCUAAGAUUUCCGCUCCCACUACGGUUCCAUGGAACAAAAUUUCAUAUUCACGCCAAGCCGUGAGACAAAGAUCGAAGCAUGAAAAAGGCAUGAGUAUUUUACCACUUGCGGAAUCCAAUUUCGGAGGGUGCCUCGGAUUUGCGACUCAACAAGAGAAAGAGAGGUGUGGUCGAAUUCAAGGAGGGGAGAUUUCAGUUUACUGAACCAGGACCCACUCAACCUCCAAAGAAGCUUUAUGCUAGGAGUGGUGCUACCUCUGAUGACGAGUUUGACGACGACACUGCUGCCCCACCAACUAUUCCUUCUACAUCCGCACCACCUUUGAGUAUUCAGUUAGAGAAAAUGGAGCACAAGCUGAACAAGAUGGAGCAGAAUUUGGCCGCAUACUUCGAGAGUGUGGGAUUUACCCCACCAUUUCCGCCAAGCCCAUAGACGUUAUGUGGAUCAAAGCUCACAAUUCAGGGAAGUUUCUUUUUGCCUUUAAUCUUUUAUCCUUACGCUUUAAUUUUGUUGCGAGCUUUGAUUAUCUUACAUUGGGGACAAUGUAAGUUCUUCGUGUGGAGGAGGGAUUUUUGCAUUAUUGAUGCCUGAAAUUAUUAUUUUCACUCUACUCAUCCUUAAAUGAUUUUGGAGUUAGUAUGCUUCAUAUAUUAUUAUUUUUCUUUUCUUUUCCUUCUCACUACUUUUUUCCCAUCUAUCUCAAAUUAUUCAUGUCUAUUUUUAUUUUACCAUACUCUUUCAUCACUCACAUUUUAUCUUUCACUUUUCAUAUUACUACAUACAUCUUUCUCACUUCUUAUCAUUUUUACCUUUUCUUUUAUAUAUCACUCAUACCUUCUUCUCAUUCUACACCACUAUUGAUGGUUGAUUCAUUUGAAGAGUGUACAUGAUUUAAUGGCAAAUUUACUAACUUUGUGAGGAUUUGAGCUUAUGAGCAACCACUUUGCUCUAAUAUUUUUGUUAUAUGAAUAUCAAUCUUAGUUUGUUUAUUCUAGAACUUGCUUUGUUAUGCAUGUUGAAGCCGCAUUACGGGAUUUUAUGCAUUAAAAUGAUAAGGGCAAACCCUUUUCCAUUUUUCUAUUCUCGUAUUUUUUUUUCUCUACCCGAAGACCUUUAUUUGCUAUCUUUGUUUGAGCCUUAACCAUUACCCAUCUAAUUUUCUCCGUCUACUUAACCAUUUUUCUUCUUUUUGAGCCUCAAUUUAAGGAGAUUUUUGGACUCAUUGUGUGGAUAUAUUUUGUUACUUUUUCUACCUUGUAAUAAAGUUUCUCAAUUAGAUCAACAAGCAUUAUGCUUGAAUUAAAUUGUGCAAGGUUCGUUUCUUUUGUUUGAUUAAAAAAAAAAACAAACAAACAAAAAAAAAGAAAAAAAACAACAAAAAAAAGAAAAAAGAAUAAUCGAAAAAAAAGAGGAAAAAAAUGUUUACAUUCUUGGUGACUUGAGUAGAAAUAAGCAUUUUGAUAUCAUAAGUUCAUUUAAUGAGUUCAUUCUUCUCAUUUUGAUCUCUUUUUCUUUCGUAAACCUUUCUUUUUCAUUCAACCUAUUUAACCCCAUUACAACCGUUUUAAGACCCUUAGAUUUUUACAUUUUAUUCAUGUUUUGUGGAUUGAGAUGUGAUAUAUGAGCAAGAUGGUAAUAGCAUUCUUUGAUUUGAUUUGAGUGAAUAAAUGACACCCUAAACACUUUGAGUGCAUGGAGUGAAGUUAUUGAGAGGGCUAUUAAAUCUUGUUGCACUUGAAUUUUGAAUGGAUCUUCUUGGUGGUUGAAUGUUCUUAUUCUAUCUUAUGAGAUUUUAUGCUUUAAAAUCCUUGCCUCUCGAAUGUCGAUCAACUUAAUUUCUUGAGGUAUACUUGCUUAAAUUUGUUUUUGGAUGAGUUGAGAUGAGAAUUGAGUGGAGAUUUGGGAUUAAUCUUGAGUUAUAUGCUUGAGGACAAGCAUCAUCUUGGUGUGGGGGAAUUUGUUAGAGUGCAAUUUAUGCACUAGUUUUGCAUUGUUUACUUCUCUUAAUAUCGAUGUUUUGCACUUAAUAAUAAUGAUUUACUUGUGUUUUACUUUUGUAGGUGCAAUUCUAUUGAUUUUUGAUAAAAUUGAGGUAUAAGAUGAUGUUUAAAUAUGAUUGUUCUCUUGGAGAAAUUUAGAGCGUCAUAAGAACUUUAUUGAUAAGGCGUGGGCGCGUGCUGUCAACUACGAACCUGCAGUUUUUAGUUUAACGUGUUUUGUAUUUUUAGUUAUUUUUGUAAUUACGAAUUUAAUAUUUUAGAUAUUAGUAUUUUAUUUUAAAUAGAAUUCUAGAGGAGAAGAGAGAGAGAGUAUUUAAGGGAGGAAUCUAUUGUGAAAAAGGGGGAUUUGGAUGGGAGAAAAAGAAAGAAACCCUAGAUCUAAUUUUUCUUUUCUCUCUAUGAAGAACUAAACCUAUUUUUCUGGUUGAAGGAUAAUGAAGCUUUGAUUCAUCACUACUGUGAGAUCUUUCUUAUGCUUUAAUUGUUUUUUUACUUUUUGGGUAUUUGUUUAUUCUCUGAAUUAGUUUCAUGAUUAUGUUUGUUAAUUAGGUAAUUGGCCACUAUUUAAUUAUCAACUUAAUCUAUUGUCAAUUAAAAGAUUCAUCGUAUGAAGAAUUUAAUGUUUGUGACAAAUAACAUAGCAGAGAGUUGUGUUGUGAGAAUAAACAAUCUAAUUUAAAUGAAUCAUCAUAUGUGUUGAUUAGGAUUUGGGUCUCUCUAGUUUUUCAGGCUGUCAAUUGAUUAAAUCAUAUGAUCGUAUCUAGGGUUGUCUAUUGAUUAGGGAAAUAUCCAACAGUCGUACCUUGGUUAUCGACUAGUUAAGGAGAGAUUGGCUAUUAGAGGGUCUCAAUAGCUAUAACCGGUCCAUUCAUAAGUAAUAAUAAUCUAUAUUUGAAUCAAUGAUCAGUAGUCGAAUCAAGCUGAGUUAAUUCCUUCAACCAGAGCUUUCUCCAAUUUGAAUUACAACUUUAAUUUGCAUUCUUGUUAUUUUAAUUUGAUUUUUAUUAUUGUCAACAAUUCCCCCAUUUUACGUUUUACGUUUCUAAAGGAUUUAAAUAAUUACCGAUCUCUGUGGACACGACCCUGCUCAAUCACUAUACACAAUUUAUUUAGAGUAGGAAUUUAUUUUUGUUGGCUUCGACACCCACUAAUAAUUUCUUUCCCUCGGCGUAAAAGCUAUCGUCCCUGUCUCUAUUCCGCUGGGCCACAACUGCAGGUAUUAUCUCUAUUUCCUCGGUCUUGGAUUGUUAUAGAAAAUUUCUUUUUUCUUUGUUUUGAUUGGGUAGUGUUUGGUGAUAUUGUUCUGGUCAUAGUUUAGGAGAUGUCAAAAGGCAAAGAGGAGAUAGUUGAGAUUGAUGACGAUGAGUUAGACUUCUUACCUAGUCUGCUUGCCGAUCCUGCUUUUAACCCCGGGCUCCCCUUAAAACCCAUUAGAUCCAGUGUUGGGACUAGUGCUAGGAGGAUGUCUCCCCAAACAACCUCAUCAACCAACAAUAGCGGCGACGAGGGAUCUUCUGGUUCGGAAGACACCUUGAGUGAGGACCAGGGAGAAGAUGCUGGUGAAAUGUCCCCAUCAGGAAUGUCGCGACCAGAUAGAAGGAGCAGAAUAGGAGGUAGGGCUCUAUCGGAGCAUUAUGCUAUUGACUUUAUCACGUGCACGACCACAGUAGAUGAGCUUGAUAACCUCCGGGCUAGGUAUGGCAUUCCUGGUGAUAUACCCCUUAGGAUCCCAGGAAAAAAUAAUACUCCUAGUCGGCCUCCUAGGGGAUAUGUUACUCUGCUUUUAGAAAGUUUUAAGCUUGGGAUGAGGUGCCCUCUCCAACCCUAUUUUGCCCGAAUACUAAGUGGAUUGAAUCUAGCUCCUGGUCAACUGAACCCCAACGGGUGGAGGAUGCUUUCUGGUCUGCUUAUAUUGUGGGACAGAUGCUGCCAGAGCGAGCCCACAGUUGACGAGGUAAAGCACCUGUACCAGCUAAAGAGCAGUCCCAAAGACGCCGGCUGGUACUACUUCUAGUCAAGUACCAAGGCCAGGAAACCCAUAAUUGAUCCUUUAACUGGUGGUGGUGGGAAUUGGAAGAAAAAGUUCUUUUUUGUUGGGGGUCCCUGGGGUCAAGUUGCACAGAUUGACGGGAAGAACUAUCGCGUCCCACCCGGUUUCGUGGUCUUAGGUUGCUUGCUCGCUUUAGAUGUCUUGUACCCCUAGCUGUUCUAAUUUUAUUGAUUUAUUUCUAACCCAAUAUUUGCUCGUACUGCAAGUUCUUGGGGUGUACAUUACCCGCUCCAACCUGAAUCGCUCAAGGAGGUCGAGGCUGUGUUAGUCAACUCAUGCUCGGGUCGGGAGUUACUAUCUACUUACAACUUCUUUGAAUCUCGCCUGGUGCAUACCGAUCGUAAAAUGGAGGAUGCUGUGAUCAGGGCUUUGACUUGGAAGCGUCCUCGACCUCAUACUGCUAAGCACGACCAGAAUAAGGGUGCUCCACCUGCGAAACGGGUGAAUAUUGUGGAGCAGGUCCCCCUUUGAGGACUCUACCACCUCCUCCUGCCAAAGUUGGAGAAACUAGUGGAGCAGUUACUGACCCCACUUCCUCUUCUCCACCAUCUGGGUCAAAACCUCAUUUUUCCGACAAUUGAGCAAAGCAUCUAGUCCCCUAUAUGAGCGAGUUCUCUAGGCUACCUGGAGGACUUUAACGGCAGCACUCUAAGCGAGCUGGUGGGGGCUAUGCAGUAUAGUGCUUUUCACCUCGGAUGCAUGGCCACCUACUAUAAGGCGAAGGUUGGCCACUAUGAACGGAAGAUGAAGGAGGACAUUCAAUCGGCAAAAACCAAAGUUGAUGCUGCCGAGAGGAAAGCAGAAGACUUGAAUCUCGAGAAUCUGAAGUUGAUAGAGCGAGAAUCUCUCGUUCAAGCAAAGGCCAUUACUCUUGAGGAUGAGCUGACUAAGCUCAAGGAGGAUCUGCAGAGGCAGAAGGCCACCUACGAGGACCAGCUCGAAUCUCUCAAGAAUUCCCACCAGGUUUAGGUCGAGAACCUAGAGAAGGAGGCUGACAACCAAUAUGACCAGGGGCUUCGGCAUUCUUAUCGCUGCAUCAUGGCUGUCCUUGGGAAGCAGCGUCCUGAUCUGAAGAUGGACGACCUUGCUGCUGGUGUUGCUCAAUAUAUGGACGAGGAGGCAGCCAAAGAAGAUGUUGAAGAGUUGGAGCCAAAUGCCACCGAGGAGGGAGCCUCUCCUCCUCGUCCAGUCCCUACUGAUAUUGCUAAAGCGAGUACCCCUCCUGGAGCAACAGGUGACACUCCCCCUGCUCUUGAGAUGGAGCAACCAGUAGAGGGAAACCAGCUUACUGACCCUCCGUCCUCUUAAGCAUGUUUUGUGUUGUAGUUGCUCUUUCUUGUUUUUGAACAUUGUACGUUAGGAUUAAUAGCUUCGCAAACUAUUGGCAGUUUAAUAAGAAUGUUCUUACUUGCCUUCUGGUACUGUGGUUGCAAAUUUUUUUUUUUUUUUUAGAGUCUGCUCGCCUUGACUUGGCCGAGCAGAUCCUGACACACUUGGCUUUUGGUCUCGCCAUAAAACAGGCUUCGAGACUUGGCCUUUGCAUGGCUUAGAAAUUUUUCAAUGCUUGGGAUUCUGCUUACCUUCGCUUGGUCGAGCAGAUCCUGGCACGCUUGGCUUCUAGUCUCGCCAUAAAACAGGCUUUGAGACUUAGCCUUUGCAUGCCUUAGAAAUUUGUUCAACGCUUGGGAGUCUGCUCGUCUUCACUUGGUCGAGCAGAUUUUGGCACACUUGGCUUUUGGUCUCGCCAUAAAACAGGCUUCGAGACUUAGCCUUUGCAUGCCUUAGAAAUUUUUCAAUGCUUGGGAUUCUGCUCGCCUUCGCUUGGUCGAGCAGAUCCUAGCACGCUUGGCUUCUGGUCUCUCCAUAAAACAGGCUUUAAGACUUAGCCUUUGCAUGCCUUAGAAAUUUUUCAAUGCUUGGGAUUCUGCUCGCCUUCACUUGGUCGAGCAGAUUCUGGCACGCUUGGCUUCUGGUCUCGCCAUAAAACAGGCUUCGAGACUUAGCCUUUGCAUGCCUUAGAAACUUCUCAUAACAUUACAGCUGACUGAAAUUCCUCAUCGAUUCAUUAAUUGCUGAAUUCGGCUUACACGAAAUUGCUUUAACAUAGAAUAAAUAACAACGAGCGCGAAUAGAAAUAACUUUAAAACAUGAACAAGUCUUACUGGAAAUAUUUCCUGAGGUGCGCUGCGUUCCAUGGGCGUUUCACCUCGUGGCCAUUCGUGCGAGCAAGCUUGUAGGCUCCGGGUCCAGCCACCUCCUUGAGUCGAGUCUUUCGUAUUCGGAUUCACUCUUCUUAAUACCUAAUCUCCGAUCUUGAACUGCCGUACACUCACUUUCUGGUUGUAAUACCGGGCAACCCUCUGCUGGUAGACGGUUGAUCGCUUCGAUGCUUGUUCCCUCUUCUCGGUUAGCAAAUCCAGACUCAAGCACAUCUGGUCAUUACUUUCUUGCUCAUCGAAGUGAUCUGUCCAGUGCGUGGUCGUCUCUAUCUCAACUGGUACAACCGCUUCAUGCCCGAAGGCCAAGGCGAACAGAGUUUCGCCAGUUGCUGUUUUGUGGGUGGUACUGUACGCCCAUAAUACACCUGAUAGUUCAUCAACCCAUGCACUUUUUUUUGCUCCGAGCCUGAUUUUCAAAAGCCUCUUGAUUAUCUUGUUGGCGGCCUCUACCUGUCCGUUAGACUGAGGGUGAGUAGGUGAGCAAUACUUCAACUCUAUCCCGAGGUUCUGAUAGAAAUCUCUGAAGUUAUGCGUAUCAAACUGCCUGCCAUUAUCUGUUAUCAAGGCAUAAAGGAUCCCAUACCGACAGACCAGGUUUCUCUAUACGAAUUCAGUUGUCUUUUUCUCGGUGAUCUUGCUAAGGGCUUCUACCUCUAUCCACUUCGUGAAAUAGUCUAUUGCCACUAUUGCAUGUGUUGCUGCUCCUCGUCCCUUUGGCAACGGCCCGAUCAGAUCAAUUCCCCACUGAGCGAAUGUCCAUGGAGAGGCCUUAGAAGUGAGCUUCUCUGGUGGUUGGGUAGAGAAAUUUGUGAAACUCUGGCAACUUACGCAGCUCCUAGUCUUCUUCUGUGCAUCCUGGUGCAUUGUCGGCCAGAAAUAUCCCUGCCUUAGAACCUUGUGGGCAAGGGAUCUUGCACCAGAAUGGUUUCCGCAAACUCCUUCAUGUACUUCUCUCAGUACGUAAUCCGAGUUGUCCUCGUCUAAACACCGAAGAAAUGGUAGAGUGUAUCCUCGCUAAUAUAGCACCCCAUUAAUCAUCGUGUACCUUGAGGCCUGGGCCCUGAUCUUCCAAGCUCGUAGCUUUUCUGGUGGUAAUACCUCGUCUUUUAUGUACGAGAUUAUCGGGUCCAUCCACGAGCAUUUUUGUUCUAUCCGCAUCACCUCCAAAGUCUGCUCGAUGCUAGGGCUAGUCUUUACCUCCAAAGGGAUCGACUUAGGCAUUUUUGGGUCUGCUACGGCUGCCAUCCUGGCCAGAAUAUCUGCUCGACUAUUCUGCUCCCUUGGGAUUUGUAUCACCUCAAUCACCUCAAACUUCCCAAUCAUCUGCUUAACUUUCUUCAAGUAUCGUUCCAUCUUCUCAUCUCUCGGCUGAAACCUUUCACUGACAUGAUUUGCAACUAAUUGGGAAUCGGUUCGGAUUUUCACUCUAUCUGCUUUCAUUGCCUUAGCCAAUUCCAAACCCGCUAUUAGGGCUUCAUAUUCUGCCUGGUUAUUUGUAGCUGUGAAUUCCAGCUUUACAGCAUAAGAGAUUUCCUCCCUCUUUGGGCAUUCCAAGACAAUCUCUGCUCCAGACCCCUGCUCCCCCGAGGAUCCAUCCACCGACACUUGCCAUAUCCGGUCUUCAUUGUUUGCUGUAGCAGCCUCCAGCUGGUCGAAACAUACUUCGGGCUAAGCGAAUUCUGCCACGAAAUCGGCCAUUGCCUGGGCCUUUAUUAUUGCUCGGGGUUUGUAAUCUAUGUCGAACUCACUCAACUCUAUAGCCCACUUCACGAGCCGACCAGAAGUAUCCGGCUUGUGUAGAGUCUGCCGCAAUGGUUGGUUUGUUAUGACCGAGACAGGGAAUGCUUGAAAGUAUGGCCUCAGCUUCCGAGCAGCAACCACAAAGGCGAGUGCCCAUUUCUCCAACGGUGGGUAUCUGGUCUCGGCGUCGAGCAGGGCCUUGCUGGUGUAGUAUAUCGGAUACUGAACCCCUUCUUCCUCUCUCACUAGAACAAAAAUUGUGGCAUGAUCUGAUACCGCCACAUAUAAGAACAACACGUCCCCAUCCCGCGGUGUGGACAACAAAGGUGCUUGCUGCAAGUAUUGCUUCAAGUUUUGGAAGGCUUCUUCGCAUGCUGGGGUCCAUUCUGUUUUCUUUCCUCUCCUUAUCACUUGAAAGAAUGGCUGGCACUUAUAUGUUGCCUUGGAUAUGAAUCGGCUCAAUGCCGCCAACCUCCUUGUAAGGCUCUACGUCUCCUUCAGGUUACGAGGAGACCUCAUCUGCACGAUCGCCUGGAUCUUCUCGGGAUUCGCCUCGAUCCCCCUAUGACUCACCAUGAACCCGAGGAAUUUGCCCGACUCGACCCCAAAAGCACACUUCUCCGGGUUGAGUUUCAUCUUAUACUUCCUCAAAUGUCCAAAUGUCUCCUCGAGGUGCUCGACAUGUUCCUUCAGGAUUUUGACUUGGUUAUCAUGUCGUCCACAUACACCUCCAUUGUUCUCCCAAUUAGUGGCUUAAAGAUUUUGUUCACCAGCCUCUGGUACGUGGCCCCCGCAUUUUUAAGACCGAACGGCAUUACCCUGUAACAGAAAAAACCCUGGUUAGUAAUAGAUGUCGUGCUCUCUUCAUCCUGCUCGAACAUGGGGAUUUGAUUGUAUCCCGAAAAUGCGUCCAUGAAGCUAGCAGGCCAUGUCCGGCUGUUGAGUCUACAAGCUGGUCGAUCUUGGGUAAGGGAAAGCUGUCUUUCGGGCAUGCCUUAUUGAGAUCCGUGAAAUCUACACACAUCCUCCAUUUGCCAUUUGCCUUUUUCACUAACACCACGUUCGAUAUCCAUUCAGGAUAGUUAACUUCCCGAAGGAACCUUGCCUUCAAGAGCUUCUCCACCUCGUCAUUUAUAGCCUCAUAUCUCUCCUGGUUGAAGCACCUUCUUUUCUGCCUAACUGCCCGAGCACCUUUCUUUAUUGCCAGCCUAUUACAUGCGACCUCAUAGUCGAUUCCCGGCAUAUCUUCAUGCGUCCAAGCGAACACAUCUGCAUGAGCUCGCAGGCAUUGCACCAACUCCCGCUUCUGCUCUUCUUUAAGUCUCGACCCGAUUCGGAUUGUUUUUCCUGGAUCAUCUUGUCCUAGGCUUACUGUCUCCAGCUUCUCUACAGGUUCUUGUCUGCCAUUCUUGGCUUCCACUCGUGUAUCAAGGGAUGUAAUCUGCAUUGCUUCCCUUGUUGCUGUGGAGUAACAACUUCUGGCAAUUCUCUCGUCUCCUCUUACCACUCCAACUACCCCAUUCACCCAGUACUUGAGAUCUAGAUAAUGGUUGGAAAGUACCGCUUUGCUCAUCCUUAGAAAGGGACGACCUAAAAUCAUCUGGUAUGGACCCUCUUCAUCAACCACCACAAAAUCCAGUAUCAUGGUCUUUUCUGUCGGGGAACUGCCAAUUGUGAUGGGCAGCUCGACCACGCCUAGAGGAACCAGUUUUCCUCAUCCAAAUCCCUUCAAGGAGGUAUUGGUAUGCUCCAACCUCAAGUCCGCUAUCCCCAUCUCCUCCAGAGUUAACUUGAACAAAACAUCGACCGAGCUUCUCGUGUCUACCAGAACUCGGUCAAACUUCUUGCUAGCAGCGGUGACUUUAAUAACUAAAGCGUCCUCAUAUGGGUAUAGAAUUCCCUCUUCAUCCUCAUCUGUCCACAUGAUUGGAACUUGCCUGACUCUUGCUCGCUUGGCUGCUGGGGUGUUGAAGAAUAUUUUUUUGCUAGUCAUGGCAUACUUGGCGUAGUUCUUCCUCGACCUGUUGGAAUCUCCUACCAACGUUGGGCCCCCAGCAAUCACUCUUACUAUAGGUUGCUCGUGACUCAAGUUCCUAUCACUCUGCUCCCUUCCACCUGGCGAGGGCACCAUCGAGAAGGUCCCAUCUAUAAAUUCGUCCAGGUAUCGAUUUCUCACCAAAUCUUCAACAUGGGUCUUGAGAUCUCUAUAUUCUGUUGUAGUAUGGCCAUGAGUACCAUGGAACUUGCAAUAGCGUCCCCUAUCCCUCCUGCUCGGUAGCUUUGUUAUUGGGGUAGGGAAGUACAGUAAUCCCCGGUCCUUUAUGGCCUCGUACACCUCGUCCAGGGGCAUCUUCAAGGAAGUAUACCGCCCAUAGUCCUGGUUCUAGUCGAUCAUGUGCACUGCCCUUUCCCUGUUUGUGUUGUUCUGAACUGGAGGAGGUGGCAGCGCUUCCGGCCUGCUUCCUCUACCACCAUGGGGGUGUGGUUAGGGAUGACUACAUGUCAAAUCAUGCCUCCUCCAAGACUCCCUGGCCGGUGAACGAGGAGGUUGCGCCCUGCUGCGCUAAUAUUGUGGUGGCCUCUGAUGAGGCUGGUAAGCGGUGACCCAACCUCCUGUACCACUGCCUGAGGUAUAGUGGUCCCUCCUCUUGAUCGGUCUAUUUCCUUAUAAUGCUCUCUUCUCUUUCCUUCUCAACCCUUCUAACUGGUCUGUCUUGAUCCGUGCUGCCUUUUCCUCAUCAAUCUCUAUAUCCCUCUUAGCCUGCUCGUAAGCAGCUGCAUACGUCUGAAUAGCUGGGCUCCUCAAAUUGUACCAUAGCCUUCUUAUCUUCACUCCUUCUUUCAAUCCCCUUAAUGCCUGAGGAUGGAUGAAGGCUCCCAAGUCGAGGACAGCACGGUGGAACCUUUUGAUGAAUUCCCGAAAGGUUUCCUCCUAUCUCUGCUUCAUGCUCGUCAGCUCCAUCAUAUCAUCUUCCGGUGUCAUUGCCCCACGAAACUGUUCUGCAAAUUCCUGGCACAUCUGCUCGAAGGAUUUAACGUUCCCCCGAGGAAGUUUCCUAUACCACUCGCGUGCUCGUCCCUCUAGAGAUAGUGGGAACACUCUGCAUCUUUGAGCUUGGGAUAAUCCUUGCACCCCAGUUAUGUCGUUAAAGCGCUCUAUGUGCACCAAUGGAUCAGUUCGCCCCGAAUAUCUGAAGUCUGGGAGGUGGAAAUCCCUCAGAAUGACUGCCCUCAUAAUUUCUGCUGAGAGCGGGGAUUCUCCAUCUAGCAUUAUCCUCCACCCUGGUGCUUUGCUCCUUCCUUGCAUGUCAUCUAUUACCUGUGCUAUUAUGCGCACUUCUUCUUCCAACUGUACAGCACAACCAGGUCACGUGCUGCAACUUGGUCUCGUUCUUGCUCAACGUCAUGCAGGUGUUGCCGAAGUUCUCUUUCCUCUGCAUUCGCCAUUCCAUCAUCGUUGUUAAAGUUCUGUCUCCCUAGGGAUUAAUCUUCUCGUCUAUGACUUUCCCCCCGUAGAGAUUAGUUACCUCCCUCACCACCAGAUCUUCUGGUGGACUGGCUUCUCAUCAAGUUAUCGUGUCCUGGUGUCAUUCCGCCACUUCUCACCCCUUCCUCAUGAAUUCCCCUUCGUUCACUCCUCAUUUCGUGUAAGAUGGUUGUCAGGGUCUCCAUCUACUUUUCCAUCUGUUCCAUCCGGUCAUACAUGGCUUUUUUCCGUGCUUCAUUGGCUAUCUCUCUCAAUGUCAUGGACUCGUUAAGCCUCAAGUCACCUCCUUAUGCACUACUUCCUCCCACAUCCAUUGUUUCUUCACUUGCUUUCUUCUUCCUCUUUCUAUCAAUAGAAGCUUUUUUAUCAGCUCCCCACAGACGGCGCCAAAAUAUUGAUGCGAGAUUUUGGUUCUCUGCUCGACCACGACCAAGACCUCUCCUCAACUAACUCGACCACAAUCAGGAUCUCUCCUUGUAAGACUUCUUCUCUACAGACUCCUGCGUACACAGAAACAAAUCAGAGCACGCCGGGUGUUUCCCGGCGUAAACCCUCCGAUGCUCAAGUCAGAAAUAAAGGUUUCGAGUCCCUAGGAAAGUUAGCCACUAAUCUUAUGGCUUAUUUUCAGUAUCAAUUAUUCAGAGCUCUCUUUAUCUCAGUUUCAAUGUCAAAAAAUCUAACCAUUUUACCUUCGUUGGCUACCUUUUUAUAGGCUCCCUCUGAAUCUCGGCCAUGACUAUUACCUGCUCCAACUCUUGGACGUGGGCGCUCUGUUAUCGUAGUCGUGGCUGGAUGGACUUCGUGCCUUGAUUCUCGGGUAGGAGGGCACGUCCUGCCAACCGUCAUUGACCAGGUCUCCUCACCUCGACCUCUAGCAGGAAUCGUUUUAUGCUCCUGGCAGGAGGCCGGCUCCCGCUAUGGCCCCUUGGAGGGUGCAUUCGUGUACGAGCAGAACAAUCCUGCUCGUAUUCCCCUGCUACCAGAUACCUGCUCAUCAUGGCUGGUCUUGUCGAGGUAUUACCCCCAACAGUUAGUAUUAUUGUGCAUCGUCUCUUAUCAUCCGUUCUUUCUUUCUCAACAUUCCCAGAAGGAAUUCCAAUUUUAUCAAACUCGAGUUUUGUCCAAAUAUUAUCCAAUAUAAUCAGGAUCCGCUUCUCUUUCUUCAAUCUUUGACAUAGUUGAUGUGCUCUGUGGAAUAUACUAUCAUUCAAGUCAAAUUUCAUCCCUAAAUCAGAAGCUAGCUGGUCUUGAAUUUUCUGAGGAUCUAGGUUCUGUGUUAGCUCAGCCAUAACGACCUCAUCGAACAAGUUAUCUUCCAUCACUUGCUUUGCAACUUGCUUGACUAGCGUGGUUUUACCCACGCUGCCCAUCUCGUAGACCCCAAUUAUGUUGUGCUUAUUAUCCUUCAACGCCUCAACAACAUCCUGAAAUACUUUCAUUCUUGAAUCAAAGGCCGCGAAAUCUUUCACUUCCAUAUGUUCUGCCCGCUUUGGAGUAAGACGGUAGGAAACAUUAGAGAAGUUGCCUUUUCCCACGAGACUAGCGGCAGCUUCUGCGGCCUUUGCUGCUUGUUUACUGAGCUUGUAACGAGAAAUCAAGUUUGGGCACAAUCCUUUGAAACAGAACUUCUUAGCUCUAUCUUCAUCAUCAGUGAUGGAUUUUGCAGCGCCCUGAGUGAAUUCCUUGAUGCUAUUAAGCCAGUCUGCAACAUCCUUGUAAAUCUCAUCUCCUUGUUCAGUAACUUGAUGAACGGGUAUUUCCACCCUUUCUCUUUUAUAUUCCAGCUGCUUCACUUUAUCUUUUAGCUCAUCUAUGUAGCUCUGGUACAUGAACAUAUAAGAUAUUUGUCGUAUAAUCGGUUUGAACAGUGACCUUGCACCUUCUGAUACGAUGCUGGAAAAAGCAGCCAGACCCACUUCUACCAUUGCCUGCUGCUUAACAAAUCUAAUAAAAUGUCAAAGAAAGGAAUACAAAUAAAUUAAAAUGAACUAGAGGGAAAGACGAAAAAGGAAAAGACGGUAAACAGUAUCGCUACAUUGAUCUUGAAUCAACUGACACAUAAACAGAGCAUUUUUUCUUCUUUGUUAAGGAUCAGAGUUUUUGCUAUUAACAGAAACGUACUUCAAGUGUCUAAAAAAAACAACCAUAAAUUUACCAUAAAUGAACAAUAACUAUAAAACUCAAGCAAAACAAGCCAUAGAAUUUUUAUCUUGGAAAGUGGAUGGAAAUUAAGAAAGAAAUGCUAUAAAGAUCAAGCAUCAGAGAUUAUGCUAUUAAAAGAAAUUAAUUGAAGGUUUUAGAACAAGUGCACUUUAAUUAUGUGGGAUCAGAAAGUUGAUAAGCUUUUGUAAUCGCCUUGAAUAUUUAAGAACAAUUUCAAUGAGUAAAAAAUUUAUGUUACCUGCAGAGGAAUGUGAUUAUAGAGAGCUUAUGAGAGCAAUGACAAUGAUUUGCAAAAGAAGACUUAAUCAUGCAGCCCUUAAUAUUUAUUAAAUGACUUGUGAUCAUUUCUUUUAUGAAUAAAAUGCCAACAGCAAAAACAGAAAAAAGAGCCAAAUUUACUAAGUCUUAUUUUAUUUUUAAUUUCUUUUAUUUUCAUUCGCCGAAGAGGGAAUCUCUCUCUCUUCUUCUUCUUCUUUUUAAGGGAAUCUCCUUACCUAAUAUGACAAAAUGAAAGCAAUCUGUAAAUAGUACAAUAAUCAUAUAAUAUAAUAAGUAAAAAUACCCAUAUAUUUAUAAUAUUAAUGAUGGGAUCCAUAUGUUAAUACUAAUUAAAUUGGUGGACCAGAAUUUUUUUUACCAUACUUGUUUUCUAUAUAAUUAAAAUUGAAACGACAGAGAAAAAUUGUCGUAUUGAUUGUUUCGAAUUCGAUUGUGGAGUUCCGUUGUGGAUAGCACUUCCAAUAUUGAAAAUGAAGCUUUCAUCAACUUUCUCUCACGGACACGUACCGUCAUGCAUAUUGCAUUAUUUCCCUAGAAAAGCAAGAUUAAUUCUUUUAAUAAGCAAACGCGUAGGUGGGAAUCCAUUGACUAAACGAGUGGAACAACAAUAUCAAACCAGGACCUGUCUAUGGUACAGAUUCUGUAACAAACAUCUCCCGUCAUCCCACCAUCCGAUUUUCUAUUGUUCAGUUUCUCACUCCACAUCCAACCACAUCCAACGGCUGAUGCUGCAGUCUGUAGCUUACAGAUUCUGUAAGCUAGUCGAGUCCUAUCAAACCAAUGAUAAGCAUGCUCAAGAUGCUCAAGUGGGAAAACAAAUUAUGACAGAUAAUUCAAAAUCUGAAUCCGCCUGAUGGACGGGUUUGACCACCCAGAUCAAGAUAAGCGAGUCCAGGCAACUAAUCUGAACCAUUCUCCUUUAGUAACAGGGGAAUGAAAUUAUAUCGAUGAUAGAUAAUUUCAAAACAGGGGAAUGAAAACAGAGGAACCUGUUUUUCCUUCCUUUUCUUCCCCCCCCCCCCCCCCCCCCCCCCAACUCUUCUUCUUUUAUAUAUAUUUUCCUUGGAAUUUUUGGUAAACGAAAAAAAAUUGAGAAUGAUUUCAGGAAAACGGGUGGAUAAUAACUAAAAUAUUUAGUUUUAUAUAAUUGAUAAACGCGCUCACUAUUAAUAGAAUUCAUUAGAUAUCAUUAUUUAAAUAACUUCUUGUGAUUGAUUGAGGGUACGUUUGAAAUUUCUUUUACUUCCCAAUAAUUAAUUCUAUGUUGAUUCUCAGAAAAUUAAUUUUACGAAUAAUUUAGUAGGGUGUUUAGUAAAUGAUGAUUAUUUGACAGUCAAUUUUCAAAUAAUCUACUAUACAAAUUUGGUAAGUGAAAAUUAAAAGUGUAAUAUUCAUGUGCAAUGAUAAAAAUGUACUUGUUUGCUUAAUUGUACUUUAUUUAGAAUAUUAUUAUUUACAUCAUUUUUUUUAUUUACUGGAUUUUUUUAAGAGUAUAUUCUAUUUUCUUUAUUGCAUAUUUAUAUCAUUUUUUAUUAACUAUUUUAAUUUACAAUCAAACUAACUUUAAUAUUUUUUUAACUAAAAAAAUUGUUAUGCAGUUUGUAAUGUGCACAAAUGCUAACAUAUUAUUAAAUUGAUUAAUAAAUUAAGUGCAAAAAAGAAAAUGCAAAAAUUUAAUCUUUAUAUAAACUUUUAUGUACAUAAAACUAUUGCAAUCAAAGUAGUUCAUAAAAAUAAAAUAUUAUAUACAUGUGUAAAAAAAAAUAUAACUAUAAUAUUGUCCACUCAUUAAACUUGCAGCACUAUUAUUUCUCAAUCUCCCCAUCUCUCGACCUUUAGGAACAUUAAUACCAUGAUCUUCUUCUUGAAUUGGAUCUCCAUUUCCACAGUAUCAACAAGGCGAUCAAUUUGCUGUGACAGCCUUUCAACUCCUCCCACUUUCCUCCCUUUUGCAGCCGCUCUUUUUCCUUUUCUUUCUUUGAUAGCUUCAAUGGGAACAAACUCAUCUAACGACAAGUACAUUCUUCAACCAGAGUGGAAUUGGUAGUUGAUAUUUUACUACUCUCAGAUGGUGUCUAAACAUGGUCACCAGUGAUUGUUAUAUUAAAAAAAAUUCUAUUCAAUUUUUCCUCUGACUUUGUGUCGAUACCUUUCAUACAAAAUCUACUUGCUUCAGAAAUUUCUUACGUAUGUUGAUAUCAUAUUAAAGUGAAUUCACGAUCCUAUAUUAUUUUGCAUGACAUCAAAAUUUAGCCGAAUGGUAAAGAAUUUCCCUUUUUGUUUGUCCCACAACUAUAUAGUCUCAUUUUUGGCAAUAAGCUCACAAUAUGCACGGAAAUGAAGAUCUAUUAAAAACUUCCCUGUAAUAUUAAACACUAAACAAUAUCACUAUGUUGUGCAAAUGGUGCCUCGUCAACAAUUUGAUGUUCAUUUUGUUGCUCGGGUGAAUAUGACUACUUGCGUUGCGAGUCCAUGCUUUGUCGUUUGGAUGGAGGACGGGCCAUCUUUUUAUUUUAGAUGCUUUGAGAGACUUUUGAUUUAAUGAUUUCUGGUUAAUUAAUAAGACCUAUGAAAGCAUUCAAAGAAACCACUGAACUCAGAGGAAAGCCAUGAUUAAAUAUACUGCAGAGCAUAUGAGCUCGUUUUUUGAUCUCUUGAUCACUCAUAAGCUUUUCUAUACCAUUCACUAUAUCAUCCUUUUGAAUCGAUUUUGAUUGAUCAUCAGAGAUCAUGUACCCCACCUUGAGAUGAUUGAUCACAAAUUUGGCAUUGUAAUGUUGAUCACCUCUAAGUGGCCAUGCUAAAAUUGGGACUCGACAACCAAUUGCUUCUACUGUUGAAUUCCAUCCACAGUGAAAUAAAAAUCCACCCGUUGAUUGAUGACUCAAUAUCAAUAAUUGUGGCGCCCAUCCAUCUAUUAUCAAACUCUUUUUACCGACUUUAUUAUCCAAACCACUACGAAAAUAAAUGUUUCCUGCUGGUUUGUCCAAAUGACGUAAAGGAUCCAAUUUACCUGCACCACCUUGAAUUACCCAAAUAAAAGAUCGAUUUGAUGCCUCUAAAGCAUUGGCUAGUACUAAAUACUUAUCUAAGGUUGGAUCCACUUCAGUACCAAAUGACACAUAGAACACAGAUCCGCAUGAUUUGAAAUUCAACCAUUGAGCGAUCUCAUCUUCCGUCAUGUUAGAACUCCGCCGGUUGGUUCUCAUCUCAUGAUCACGAAGCAUUGAACCGGCAGAUUUGUAAAAUUGUUCAGGUAACAAUGGGCCCACUCCCCACACCGGCUUUCCCAAUUGAUUGGCUAAAUAAUUAAUAAAUGGUCCCUCAAGACCAUCACACGUGUUGAACAUCAACGCCAUUGAUCCCUCCACUUCCUUCAUCCAGUGUGGUUGAUCACCAGCUUCUGGUGGACCUAUUUUCUCGGAACCGGGUGCACCUCGCAGAGGUGGUGGACCACCAGGAGGGGGCCCAUGAGGCCUGUGUUUAAGGUCCGAUUCAAAUAAAGCCAUAUCCUCGGGUAACCCAGGAAGUAAACGGGCCUCUCCCGGUUUGACAUCUUGGAUGCGAGCCUGCCACAUGGCACACUCCACAGCUGCCGAGCAAGCACCAGAAGUGAAGAACCCAACAAUGGGAACUUCAAAAAUCUUGAAAACAUCAGCCGUCCAGCCCAUCAUAACGUCGAUGACUGCACAAACGGGUCGGCUUUCGGGUUCCCGGGUUGAAAGGAGGUUUCGAAGGCCUUGAAGCAUUUGGCUGUGCAUGACAACAUGGGGGUGAGGAGGCGAAGGUGGUGGUGGUGGUGGAGAUGAGGAGGGUAUUUCAGUAACUUCAAAGAGAGGGUAUUGGUGAAACGAGGAAGGGAUGAUGCUGGUGGCGGAAAUGUGAGAAGGAAUGAUGAGGGUAGAUUUGUAAUUACGAGAAGCGAUUUGCUUGCAUAAUUCAAUGCAUGGAAAUAGAUGUCCCUGACCGAAGAAUGGGACAAUCCAAAUCUCGGCCUCAGCAGCAGUAGCAACAGAGCUUGACAUCUUUAUGAAUUAUUUGAUACUUAAUUGUACUGUUUGCUUUUACCAUCUUUCAUAAAACACUCUUUGUUAUAUAUAAAGAGAUGACUUAAUGGAGAAGUAAGUGUUUUAGUUUUACAGUUUUACUAGUAGGUGAGCUCUGAGUUUGAUAAUUUGAUUGUUAGUUUUGGUUGGUUAGUUAUUAGAAAGCAUCUUUAAGAAAAUUCAUUCCAGUUUCAACUCAAAUUAAUAAUAUUGUUUAAAUUAAUUACUCAAUAAAUAAAUAAUUGGAGACAAAUCUAUUCAUAAUCUCACAUUUAUAAAAUAAAGAUUGAAAUAAGUUCUUGUGGGUUCGAACUCAAGCCCUCAAGCCGAGUGGCUGGAUCUUGACUACUUUAUAUAUAUAUAUAUAUAUAUUCCUUCUUUCAUUGAACAUCUUUUGUUAUAUAAUGAAAAAGAUAAGUUGAUAGAGAAGGGUUCUACUUUUACUAGUAGAUGAGCUUUGAGUUGAGAAGGUUAGCCCUCAAAUGUUCCUUGCUAAGUUAAAUAUCUACCAUCCAAAUCAACGUUCCUCAGACUAUUAUUCAAGUGAGAUGUCUGAAUAACAUACGCUUGAGUUCGGUGCCUAGCAAUUCGUGUGAUAGGUGAAACCAACCAAUAUGAAAACCAAAUCAAGUUGGUAGGUUUACAUUAAUUUAAAUUAACUUUCAAGUUUCAACAUUAUAACAUAAAUAAAUAGCAUAAGCUAAUUUUUAUUUUCAAGUAAACAUGUUUAUCGUUUACAAUUAAUUUUUCUUGCGGUAAAUGCAACACUAAGGAGUGAAGAGGGUAUUUUGUAGGGUAUACCCCCACCUUUUAUUUCAUUUCAUUAUUAAAAAAUAAAGGCUUGAUUCAACAUUCAAGUAAAAUUAACAAUUGCAUGAUAAAAUUACUUGAGAAUAAAAAUUAAAAUAAAAAAGAAUCAGCAACUAAAAAACGACGUACAAAUACCGCAUAGAAGUUUUUCGUCACGAGAUAUUUUUGGGUUGAGACAACACUUGUAUAACAGAGCAUACAUAUUGAAUGACGGUGAGAAUAAGAAGGAAAACGGCACCGCAGACCGAAAUGCCAGCCCAUGGAGUAUUGAAGUAAUUUUAUUUCAAGUUUGCCUCUCAUUUAUAGCAUGUUCUUUUGCAGUGAUCAUUCAAUCCUUUGCAUAGCCCAGAAAAAUAGAAGCUAUCAGCCAGCAGAGUGGUACCUCUGGAAAGGUUAUUUAUAAGCGUUGACGCUGCCUCCUUAUCCGGCAACUAGUUCUCAAUGAUUCCGUUCUGAACAAGCAACUCAACAUCCUUCGCUGUGUUCACAAGAUGAUGAAUAAGGAACAGUAAUCAUUUAUGUAAUUCUCUGAGUAAUGCCGUUGUUCAAAGGCAAUGAGAUUACGAAAUAAGGAUUCCGUUUCCAGCUGUAGCUUCAGUUUCGGAAUAUGCAAUGUCCUGUUUUUGAAUUCUAUGGCGAACAAAUCAAUGGCGAACAAAUCAUUGCUCUUGCUCAAACUGAAGUGGACUCCAGCUUGGUGGAGAUCAGUCACACUUGGUGCGGUUUUACCUUUGUGGUAUUGCUGACCUUCUUGUUUUUCCUGAUCCCUCGAUGAAGAUAGAUGACAAAUCCUUAGAAAAUCAAAGAAAUGCUCUACCCUAGCCUCAGUGUAAGGAGGGAAUUUUUGCUGAUUACCUUGUACCGCCUCUAAACCCUUGAAGUACUCGUAUGUGACUCUGAUGAUGGUUGGAUUUUCAUGUUGGUCAGGGAUUUCAAUUGCUGCUAGAGCAAAAAGAUCCUCAAGAAUGAAGAAAGGAAGCUGAUUCUCAAGCAACCACAUAUCAUACCAUAUAUCCUCUAUUAAAUAUAGUUUAUGAAACAUAUGAUCAUCUUUUUUUUGAAGUUGACGGAAAUGAUACCUCAAUAAGAGUUCAAUGAUGAAGGCAGCAUCUAGCAGAAUCAUUUCAAUGAAUUUAUCACUACUUAAUUCGAUUUUUUCUGCAUAAGAACCUCGUAAUUCUGCUUCUCUGAACUUUAUAACUUGAACAAACUCGUCAAAGCUUAUUUUGGUCCGUUGAAGAAAGUAACGCAGGUACCGCUGUUUAUGUUCUUCCAUGAACUGUAAGUUUGCUUUGCCAUGGUGAAGAGGGCCAAUUGAGACUACCUGAGGUGUAUAUGCCUUUUCAUUUAUCUGAUGUAAUCGCUCUGGAACUCUGUCGAUGCAGCAGUUUGAGGGCAAGGGUGACAAUUUUUCCAACUUAACCUGCAAGCACUCUUCCAUGUUAUAAACUGAAAACACGGUGCGAAAUUUGAUCCAUUCAACAGUUAAUAAGGCAUAGUAAUUUAAAAAGAAUUUUAAAAAAAUAAAUACAAGAGCAUUCUUACACGCACAGAAGCCCCUCAAUCCCUACUACUUACAGGGCUGUAGCCACUAGCCAGGAUUCAAUGAUAUACCGGACUGAACUAAAAGGAACAACUUUCUUAGGAAUAUGUUAUCGGCAUUUUCUCUGGCCUCAGGCCAUCAACAAAGCAGUUUCAAUGCGUCUUAUAUAAUUCCAUGGUUUAUUCCUUGCCUUCACAGAUGAUAUAGUCACAAUUCAUAUAUUCAUUUCUCCAGAUUCUGUAUAAGUGGACCAUAACUAUGGAAAACUUGAACCAUUUUUUUAAGAAUGCAACAGCCAUUUGAUUGGUCCAUGUCAGAAGUUAAUCUGGGGAAAGAAGCUUGAUCUAGCUAUAAAAUUCUCUCCUUCAAUCAGUCAGUUUGGGGCAGCAACAAGAUCAAAGCCACCAUGCAAAAAUUCACUAAAGUUUAUAUAAUAUUCACUAAAGUUCAUAUAAUAUUCUUGAACCUCAUCUUAAGUAAAGCAACAAAAGCCUUCACUGUUGCUUGACAACUUUAUUUCUCUAACACAUAGCAUAACAUUUUUAAAUUGCAUAAAACACACAAGUACUUUAGUUUGUAACAACACAGAUAAUAAAUACCAUUUUAUAGCUUUAACAAAAGCAUACAAAAUUCUUAAACCUAGCCUCAAGCAAUUCAUUAAUGCCACAAGGAUAUCUUUUUGCCUCCUACAGUUUUUAUUGUUCCAGAAAUUCAUAUAUUCUUCUUUAUCAAAUUAAGUAAUUUUCCUUUUUCAGAAACUCAAGAAGGUUUCAACCGCAUGGAAAUACAACACAAAAUUACUACUAUUCCCGGAUUAAGAAAUUCAUCAAUGCAAUAUAAACAUACAUUUUCAUUAGACAUCAGAAUCAAAGAAUCAUUGAUGCAUCAAAUCUGUACAGCCAAAAAAAAUGAAAACAUCAAGAGAAAAUACCAUAUGGACCCUUUACAACCCUUAUAAUGAGUUCAGAUCGCCUAAUCCAAUUUAAUAGAUUUGAGGACCCCGACAAUGUGCAAUACAAAAUUUCCCAAUACUAUUUAGAGCAAAGUCUAGAAAACGAAACUUAUAUAUUGUACAAAAUCAUGAAAACCAGAAAUGACAAAAAAACUGCAUAUGUAAUUUUUGGGUCUCUUCAACAUACUUCCAUCCAAAUCAAACAAGAAUCGAUAAAUUAACAACAUUCAUUUUAAACGACAUAUUACCACAAUAAAAAUUGUCAACCAAGCCUCAUAUUAACCUUUUUUGCAUUAUUUGGUAAAUAUAUUUGUUAUUCUCUAAGCGUAAAAAAAAAAAAAAAUGGACUUUCUUAAUCAAGAAUCAAAUAAUAUAUAUGAAUCUAAGUUGAAGUCAGUCUUGGGUUUGAUGAAAUAGCUUGCAUUGUGAUUUAGAUUGGAAAGGGAGUUGAUUUUUGCUGACUGAGAGAGAGAGAGAAAGUUGAGACAUAAGAGAGUGUUGCUAAUUUUCUAAACAAGGGUAACUGGGUCAUAGUUCAAAAUGAUGGUCCAAAAUUUACUAAAGCUAUUAAGGAGCCGAAAACCCAUAAUGGCUUCCCUCAAAUAAAUAAAAUUUUCAAGCAUAAAGUUUUUGUUUCUUCUUAAGAUUUCCUUGUCAUACUUACCCAUAAUUCGAAAAUGCCUGAUAUUGCCUGCAAAUAAACUUAUAUAUAUUGAUUAACAAUAUAAACAAGCACUAUGAGGUUUUAGGCCUGAAAGAACAUUAGGGUUGAAAUGACAACCAUCUAUUUAAGUAACAAAAUCUUCUGAUAAUUUGAUGCUUAAUAAAUUGAGCAGAGAUGACAUAUAAAUCAUGUUAUGACAUGGAAGUUAUGAUUAUAUUCAUCUUAAGAAUAAGAUCUUUCAGACACUGGCAGAUUAGUAUCAAAAUACUCAGCAUAAGACCUACAAACUAGAAAUCAUGCACUAAUACAUAAGUUGAUCUUUUAUAAGCUAUAAAACAAAUCUACUAUAACAUAAGAAAGUGGGAUUUAUCACCAGACAAAUAUUUUGGUGAGACUCAAGCUGAUGGAAGGAUAUCCAAAGCAACCUCCUUAAGGGAAGGCAUCACUUCCUGGUGAUGCAAACAUAUAUAUUUAUUACUCACUUUCUUGAGGACCUUCCAGGAACCUGGGUAGCACCUAGCGGGAAGUGGAAAAGAAAAAAAUGUAAAAUAUAAGUUAAACAGCAGGAAAACAGUAAGUGACUCUAGGCAAGCAUUAAUAUGUUGCCACAGGAAAAGCGUCAGUAACUAGCCAGCAAACCUGAAAAGGGUUCCUCCAUUGCGACCCUUAAAAUUGUGAAUGUAAUAUAUGGUCUCCAUCACAGGAAAAAUUGUUUUGGAUAGUGCAGCUAGCUUAGGGUAGAAGAAUGAUGGAUAAUCUUUAGCUCAUUUAAGGAAAUCCUCUCUGAUCCUUUCAUUGCACAUUCCAAAACAACUCUACUACAACCAACUCACCAAUUCUUUUUGUUAAGUCAUUGUUAUUUACUUUUUUUAAAAAAUAACCCUUCUGUGCAACAUUUUAGUGAAAGAUAUAACAUUAAUUCCCCUUCUAGAUUUCUGUGAGUGAAUCUCAAAUUAUUGUAUUCAUAAAUAGGAGCAAAAAACCCACUUUACUUUCAAUUUUUGCAAAACGAUACCAAUUGAAGGACCAAAAAGUUGUAAACAAGCAAUUCAAUGGAUGGGUAUCUAGAAACUGUUAUAUAGCAUCAAAAUCAUACUAAAUUUACAGAAAGUACAAUAAUAAUGAAAGAAUGGUGAAGGAUACACCCAGACCUUAUCCGGUCAAGCUCUCCAUUGAAUAUAAUCAGUUUCCGGGCAGUAUUGAAGACAGCUUCUUUGUAAAGCUCUUCAACCACAAGCAUUUCUACAAGACAAAAGAAAAGCAAAAUUAAUGACCUUAAGGAAUGAAUGUCAAUGAGAAGACAAGGUGUAAGACUACCAUUGACAUUAAAAUAUGGAUAGGCGACUAGAAACAAUUCAUCUUCCGGCUUCACACGGUCAGCCAUUUUGACCUUCUCAGUGAAUCCAAAAUCCUCAAAGAAUGAAGGUUUUGUUAGAUAGUCCAACUUAAAUGAUGCUCCUUCAAAGAGCGAUUUUCUUGCAAAUUUGACUUCAUUUGCCUCUGGGAAAAACUAAAAACCAAAUGACAGACUAUCACGAAACGAAUCAUGAACACAGAUAUCAGAUAAUCAGAAAUGGGCCUUAAACCGAAUACUAACAGGGUGGGAAAUGCAUACAGAAAACAUUAUUCAUACACCUUAUGCACAUGAAAUAUAUAUGUAGAGGGAUCCUCUUAUGAAUUUAGCUUAUAUCCUAAUAUGAGACAAUGAACAAUUGGAUGCCAUCUAAGGGCUAACAUUUGUUUGAUUUAUUAUAUGAAAAAUAAAAAUAAAAAACAAAACAAAACAUAAUUGAUUGAUGGCCUUUGAUGGAUUGCCUACACUCCUAAAGUGCAGAGAGCCUGAUUGAUGCCAUGCUUUAACUGGCCCACACACACUUGAUUUUAUUAUCUCUCUUUUCGAAUAUAUAAUCGUUGCCUUUCAUCCUGAACCAGCUGUCCUUCCAGGCACCAGCUGUGUUUUCUUCAAUUCAGUGAAACAUUCACUUUCUGGUAAGAAUAAACUUGUCCUUCCUCAAAAAUUCAGCUUCUGACUAUGAAGCUUUCUUUUUUGAAACAAUUACUAGUCUAGCAUAAUGCAUCUAAUUGAGGACAACUCAGAAUUGAAAAAGCCAUAUUUUAAUGUCUGCUGUUGGGACCUCAAGACUAGGAACAAAAAGCUUCUUUCUAACAGUUGCGUUAACAAGUGGAAAUAGCUUUUUUCUGAAGGACCGAACAUUGCAUUGAAAGAGUCAACAAAAGGACUGGCGUCAUAUUUAGUCCAGCAAGAAUUUUGUGGACUUAACACAAUGGUUAAUAAUUCGCCCAGCGGUCACUUUGUCCAACUCUGGCAAUCUUGACGGUGGAAAUGCAUCUUUCAAAUGUUGGCAGGCUCUAGCUUCUUGAUGUACUGUUGAUAGAAAUGCAUAUUUCACAAGUUGGCGGGCUCAAAUUGCCGAGACUUUGGUUUCUUGCAUUUCAAACCCACAAAUAAAACUUUGGUAGAACCCCAGAAAGAGCUACACCUCCCAAAUCUGAUGACAAAUGAAGAGACCAUGCCUAGUGCUUGGUUCGGCAAAUGAGUAAGUCUGAAACAAAUUUAGGGAAACCUUUCCCACAGAGAGUCAUAUUGAAGGUUACAAUUUGAUGACUUUGUCCCUCUGUUGCCCAUAACCUUCUUUAUCUCUUUUCUUGGUCAUAAAUAAUCAAACAUAUAUUAGUCGUUGGAUGCAAUCCACUCACUGACAUCUCAUGUCCACAAUCAAUCAUCCAUAUUUUAAUAGAAAUGAAAACAUUUUAAUUAAAAAAGAAUGAGAUGGGAACAAAAUCAAACUUGGCAGACAAGGGUCUAUGUGAUUUUAAAGAUGCUUGGUGAAAGUCAUAUCCAAGAGUUCAACAGUCAGUUCUAUCACCUAUGGCAAAGUAACCACCACAACUAAAGCAAUUACAAAACAUCAAGAAGCUUGAACUUGGCAAGAGUUCUCAUUAACAGUAUACUUCAGAAAUUAGGACACACUUAAAGUGCAAGCUUUUGGAUUUAUUUAAGGGGUUAGAAUCUCCUAUGGUCACAGCUAACAAUUACUAAUCACAAAUCCCAAAAAACAGAUAUGCAAAAAGCUGCAAAAGAACAAUAUUAGCAACUGAUGUCUGCUUUUGCUCGGACAAAGGUUCUCAUAACAAAGGACUUAGUGAUUGUCUGUCACAUGUUUAUGUUAAGGGGAAAAAGGAAGUUUGUUUUAGUUAAUCUCAUGUCUAAUGGCAUUCAUAAGGAACCCAAAAAUAAAAGAAAAAAUAAAGAGUUAGUACGUGUUUCUUGCAGCAUAAAGAAAAUUUAUCAUCCAUGAAAAACGUAGUAUGGAAAAAGCUAACUCAUUUAUACGCCAACGGAGAAAAACUUGUCGUCCACCCACUAAGGACCCACCAUUGGCAGGUCUGAUGGAUCCCAUGGAUGGGAACCACAAAUUUUUUUAUUUUAAAUGACAUCGGUAUUGUACCCAUAUCAUUUAGUUUGUCGAUUCCACUUAUGGGACUCGUCAAACUUGCCAAAUGGUAGGUCCUCAGGGGGCAGGCGCAUCGCUUUAGCAUCCUUCUCCACCGACGACCAAAUCUGGACUCAUUUAAAAAGAAUACAAAGCAAAACCAACUGACACAAAUUGCAUAGAGGUCUAGGAGCCAAAUUAAUGUUGUUAACUCAUCCAAUUAACACAUUUUCUUAGGGAUCAUACCAUGGUAUGACAUUUCAAAAGAAACUAAAAGGAAAACAACUGCACAAAUUGACCUGUUGAAGGUGUUCACUGCACAAAAUGAAGGGGGCAGAAAAAAAAGGCAGAAACCCUCAGCUGCUUGCUUGCAAAUAUUAGGACCAGAUCUUACAUUUUCCAAAUAUCACAACUGAAUGCAUAGGGAAAAGUAAAGAGAACUGAUAUAAGAAUAUACAACCCACUUAAUUAUGGUUCUAAACAAGUUCCCUAAAUCAAUUUGUGGAGUUCGCACAUUAUAAUAAUGUAACAGGCUCAUUAUCCACAACACAAUCAUCCAAUUUCAAGCACGAUUAAAAAUUCACCUUCUCCCUGUUGCUCCUUGUUUUGCUCCCUGUUGUGUCUCUCCAGGCAGCACCCAUACAAUUCAAGUAUCUUUCCCACAACUUCUGCAGCCAAAUAACAACAAAUAAUUAAAUAAUUCAUUCACUUCAGUUUGACUGAUUUAUUGUUCAAAAAUGACAUAGGAGUCAAAGAAAGAACAAACCCAAAUGUUCCCAUCACACGUGUAGUUACAUAGCUUGCCUCAGAUCCUAAGAGCUUGGCCAAUCCAAAGUCUGAUACUUUUGGGUUCCAUUUUCUAUCAAGAAGAAUGUUGCUUGACUUCACAUCACGGUGUACACAUUAUAAUAAUGUAACAGGCUCAUUAUCCACAACACAAUCAUCCAAUUUCAAGCACGAUUAAAAAUUCACCUUCUCCCUGUUGCUCCUUGUUUUGCUCCCUGUUGUGUCUCUCCAGGCAGCACCCAUACAAUUCAAGUAUCUUUCCCACAACUUCUGCAGCCAAAUAACAACAAAUAAUUAAAUAAUUCAUUCACUUCAGUUUGACUGAUUUAUUGUUCAAAAAUGACAUAGGAGUCAAAGAAAGAACAAACCCAAAUGUUCCCAUCACACGUGUAGUUACAUAGCUUGCCUCAGAUCCUAAGAGCUUGGCCAAUCCAAAGUCUGAUACUUUUGGGUUCCAUUUUCUAUCAAGAAGAAUGUUGCUUGACUUCACAUCACGGUGUACAAAUUUGGGUUCUAAACCUUCAUGCAAACAUGCUAGCCUGUAAGAGAAAUAACCAUUAACAGUUAUCAAACAAUAUGAAGAAGAUUAGAGCAGACUAGGGACUUCAAACUUGUAAGUGAUCAUUAUAAGCAGCUUCAGAUGAUAAGGUGAUUACCAUAUUAUAAACAUACUUAAAAAACAUAACAGUAUGCAUAAUUUGACAAAACAACUGCUAGUUACAAGGCCUAAAACAUCAAAAUCUUUGGCUUUAGCCAUUACUUUUGAAAUUAGAAUUGACCAAAGGAUAGCCACGAGAUUAUCAGUUUGCCCAUGCACAAUUUAGGACCAAAACGGUCAAUCAUAUAUAUAUUCAAGAUUGGUAAAGAAUCAGCACUGAAAUGAAGACAAGAAAACUCACCCUUUUGCAGUCCCAAUGGCAAUCUUCAUUCGAAUAUCCCAUGUCAGAGGGCUCACUGAUCCUACAUCACCAUGCAACCAUUGCUCCAGAUUGCCAUUGUGGACAUAUUCAUACACAAGCAUCCUAAAUGACCAGUAAAAAUUGCCGAAAAAAAAUUUCAGAACUUUCUUUCUAUUUUCAAUUAACCAUAUGAUUUUAAAAAAAGUGGCACAGGAAAAUAAAUGUACCUUUGAGCACCAUCUGCACAAUAUCCAAUUAGACCCACCAACUUCUUAUGCCUGACUUUACCAAUGACUUUAAACUUCUUAUACCAGUGACGCGAUCUCGCUGCAACACUCACAGUUGCAUUCCCCUGUUUCGGGUCGUCUCCAUUGGGCUAGGAUCCAAUUUAAUCCAUGGCCAUGUAGCUGCAAAACAAGUCGUUCUCGAGGUCGACCGAGCUCGUCGAAUUACCGAUCUGAAAUGAGAUGCACCCCGUCUGGAAUCCGGUAAUGCACCUCGGACUAUGAUGAAUGGUUGGACGGGCUACGUGCUAGUAGAUUCGGGUUCGGAUUUGGCGGAUAUUGCCUUUGCAUUUCUGGAGAUUUAAGAGAGAGAUUCAUAUUUGGGGAAUGAGUGAACGACGAAUAGGGACGGUGCUUUAUUUUUUCAUUUCUUCGAUGGUGCCGUUGCAGGGAUUUAUCCACGCCAUAGCCCAAAAGUGGGAUAUUUACUUAAAUACACCCUCAUAAUUUAAAAUUUUUCAUAUAUACUUUUUUUCAAUAUGCAAUUAUAAAAUUACCCCAAUUCAAAAUCUAAUAUUACAAAAUCACCGAUGUUACAAUGCCCAAGAUGCUUAUGCUGCUGUAAGUUCGUGCUUCUUCUGCUGCUGGUUCUAACACCACAAAUCCGCUACUUUCAUUAGAAAUUCACCAAACUAAGGCUGGAAAUUCACCGAAUUAAAGGUUAUUUACCACAUUUACACUUAAUUUUUACUUCAUAAAGAGAAUUUAAGAUUCAUAAUUGUUGGGGUUAUACGCAUUAGGGUUUUAAAAAAUAAAUUGCCCAUGCGAUUUUGGUCAUUAUUGUAGUUGGCCGAGUUAUUUGUUUCACUUGCAUACUUGCUGAUAAUGUUUCUUCACGAUUCAUGUAAUGAAGCUUCUUGAACUUGUGGAGUUGAAAUUGAAGAGAGUGAUUUCAAGGGAGCUCACUCUCCUUAUAAUGGUUAUGGGAGUUCCUAAUUAAAUAUUAAGAGGGAAUUAGAUAAAACAAAUAUUAUCCUUGUGACUACUCAGUCAUGGCUACACUGAUUUAUCUGUUAGAUCUGUGUUUGGUUUUACUUGUUGUUUGUAGUUGGACUUCAUCCAUGGGAAUUAUAAAUUAAUUUUCUUCAGCUGUGUAUGCAUUCAUUAUGUCGCAAUCUGGGUUUUCUCCAUUAUUUGCUAUGAACCUUCAAUUUACAAUUUCUAGUUAUUUCUUACCCAUAUUAAAUGGAUUUCAAAUAAUAUGUUAAUGAUUAAAUGUCCAUUUGGCUUUUUAAUGGUCCAUCAAUAUAUUUUUUAUAAUAAACAAAAUUUUCAUUCUCUCUAUUCGUUGACAAGCCAUAUUAAAGUAAAUUCUUUUUCAUACUGUCAUUCACUUAAAAUUAUGUACAAAGAUUUGAAUCCAAUGAGAUAUAGAAGUGAAAACAUAUUUAGCUUUUUUUUAGUUUUAUGUUGUAAGCAUUAUGUUUUAUCAUGAAAGGACUUAAAUCCAAGGAGAUAUAGAAGUCAAAACAUAUUUGAUGCUUGUUGUAGUCGUGUAAUGAAUGCUUUACUCGGCUGUAAUUAUGUAAUGAAUACUUUAAUCGGCUGUAGUCGUGUAAUGAAUGUUUUACUUGACUAUAGUCGUGUAAUGAAUACUUUACUCGACUUGUGUGUCGUGUAAUUUUUUUGAUUGGUCUAGAAUAUAUUAUUAUGCAACUUUUCAAUCGUUUUAUAUUAUAAUUAAAAUAUUUUAUGUUUAUGCAGAUGGAAUUAAAAAUUAAGGAAUCUGAAUACUUCAAAGCAAAGAUUUCUAAUCGAUUAUAACUAGAUGCUGUGAAAGACAUAAAUAAAUAUCAUCCUUGUGAGUACGUAAUAUCCCGCAAUAAAAUCAGGGUAUGCAAUUGAGUACAUCAUAUAUAUAUAUUUUUUCCAAUAAGAAUGGUGAUUUUAUUAUUGAUGUAUAUGAAUUUUAUUAGUGGUGAUUGUGAAUCAUUUUUGUUGUAGUACUUGGAGGUCCUAUCCCAUGGCCUUGAUGUCAACAUAUAUUGUCAACAAGAUGAUGUUACACAAUUUCGAAAAGCAUUAGCUGUCAAAUUAUUUGGACACAGGUCGUUGAAACCAACUACAUAGUGUUAUACCUAAAAAUUUCAUUGUUGUGAUUUUGCCAUUUUUUGGAUUAAUUAUCAUAAGAUGUAAUAGUUGCAAUGGGGAUGUCGUUAACAUUUGAUAUCAUUAAAGAUGAUUUUACAUAUUCGAGUAACUUUAUAUAUACACGACGGUAGUCGGGUAACUUUAUAAAUACACGAUUAUAUUCGAGUAAGUGAAUAGACAACAAAAAUUACAACAAAAUGAUAACACAAUUCAAUACAUCGAACAAGAAAAGCUUUUUUUUUUUUUACAUCAAAUAACAUCGAUCCAAUACAUGUGAGGAUCAUAAUAAGUUUCAAGGGAAUACAAGUUGCUACUCAAUUAUCAUAGCUAAAAUACCCAAGCAAAUAUAGUUUUUUUGCUUCGUCGUGAAAAUAAUCUACAUCAUCAUCUGUCAUAAUUGAAAUGGGAGGGAUUGGAUUGAAUGUCUUAAGCUUGAACUUCAUUUCAAUGUCAAAUUUAGAAAUAUCAACGGAAAUAACUCAAGAUAUUCUUUCAUGUCAUAAUAUAACACAUAAUUAUACAACAAAUACAAAAAAAAAUCAAAUAAGGUAUAAAACGAAAUGUGGAAUCGUUUGUCCAUUUACACAACUACCAUCGUGUAAUUGCUUGUUUACACGACAGUAGUCGUAACUUGCUAAAAUAUACAAUUAUAGUCUAGUAAAUAGUCAGAGGAUAUAUUUAGAAAAAAAUGUAUUCUUUACACUAACAGAAUCCUAGGUGUCAUAACGGCUACUAUAUUUUUCUUAUUUACACAACUGCUAUUGUGUAAAUUCAUACAUACACGAUAAAAGUCGUGUAAGUUGCAAAAAUAAAUGACUACAACCCAGUAAAUAGUCAGAGGACAUAUGUCUUCUCAAAAAAUAUUUUUCUUGCACUAAUAGAAUGUUAGGGUCUAUAACGGUUGAAACAUUUUACAUAUAUGCAUAACUGUAGUAUGUAAAUUCAUACGUACACGAUAGUAGUAGUGUGACUUAUUAAAACACACGACUAUAAUCUAGUAAUAGUCAAAGGACAUAUCUACUGAAAAAAUAUAUAUAUUUUGCACCAAUAAAAUGCUAGGGUCUCAUAAUAAUUGGAAUAUUUUACACAUUUUCACGACUGCAAUCGUGUAAAUUCAUACCUAUACGACAACAGUCGUGUAUGUCGGGUGCAGAACAGAAUUUUAGCAACAAAUUUAGGUUUUAACGAAUGUAGUUAUAAAACCCAUCAAAUAACAGUCAUAUGAUGUAAAUGUAAUGAAAAUGUGAGUUGCUUUAUUGUUUAUCACAAACCAAACAAAAUCCUAAAUAUAAUAUAAUGCCAACAAAAUGAAUAAAUAACACAAAAUAAAAAUAAAGUUUCAAAUACCUUAUUCAGGAGAUGAAUAAUGCACCCAGCUCAAACCAAAAUCUCAGUGCAUUAGCUGUGCAUGAGUGAUUUUGAGAGUAUGGAGUGAGUUUUUGUUGUGUGGAGUUAAAAAGAGUAAGAAGUAAAGAGUGUUGAAGGUGAGUUGUGUGUGAAAUACAAGUAUGCAACCCAAGAGGGGGGGUGAAUUGGGAUUCUAAAAAUUAUUCAAUUUAUAAGGAAAAACUUAAUGCAAAUAUAAUCCAAAUUCAAAGCAAUAACAAUUAAGUUGAUCACAAUAUAAAAAGAUAAGGGAAGAGGGAUUCAAACACAGAGAUUUUUACGUGGUUCGGCCAACCUCGCCUACGUCCACGCCUCCAAGCUUUUUGGGCUUGAGGAUUCCACUAAGCAAGCCGCCAAGGCUUCAAAUGCUUACACUUGACUUCCAAGGUGUCAAUAAACCUUUACAACAAGAGAUUAUCCCCAAUCUCUUAACCUAAGUGUAUCCCAACACUUACAAUCACUCAAAGUAAAAGAUUACAAAUUGUUUUGCCUCUCACAAUAUAUAAGAUUACACAAUGAUGCUUAAUAUGUGAAUAGAUGAAGCAAGAAUGUGUUUUAAGCUUUAUGAAGAUUGUAUUCUCGAAUAUUUGCUCAAAGGUCGUGUUGUGAUCAAUCUUCUUUGAAUUUGAAUGAGCUUAUUUAUAUCUGGAGAUGAAAAUCUAGCCGUUACAAACUGUCGGACAGAAAACGGUUUGCCGUUAGCCAUAAACGGUUAACCAUUUCGGUUGGUCAAAGUUAGCGUUGGGCCAGAUUUCAAAUAAACGGUUUGCCGUUUAGGAUUAACCUUUCGCCGUUAACUUCCAGAGACCUGCAAGAUGAACAUUGGUUAUCUGUUUACACUAAACGGUUAAGGACUUGCGUGAAGUGGCUUCUCUGGAUAUUAUCGGUUAAUCGUUUGUAAUAAACGGUAAGUCGUUUGACUCCAAUAACCUGCAAAACAAACUAGCCUUAUCAGGUUUUGUUAAUUAGUGCUAGAGGAGGACAACCUUCAAUUCUGGACGUUAUCGGUUAACCGUUUAAAAUAAACGGUUCACCGUUUAAAAUAAACAGUUCACCGUUAAGUUCCAGUUGCCUUUCCAUCCUUGGUGUUUUCCGUUUUUCAUAAACGAUUAGAGCUUAGGCAAUAUGUUGCUUUCUGGUGUUAAUCGGUUAACCGUUUUAAAUAAACGGUUCACCGUUAAGUUCCAGUAACCUUCCCAUCUUUUAUGUUUUCCGUUUUUCAUAAACGGUUAGAGGUUUAGGAAAUAUGUUGCUCUCUGGCAUUAAUCGGUUAACCGUUUAAAUAAACGGUUUACCGUUUAUUUCCAGAAUCACACUUUAAAACAGAUUUUAUAGAAAAUCAUUUUUGAAUUUGAAGGUCCAUCUUUUAUGAAAGAAUGAAUGGAAUGAUUAUCAAGACUUUUGUUUAUUAAGGAAUAGCUCCAAUAUUUUUAUCAAAAAAAUUUAAAAUUUGUUAUCAUCAAAAUCAAUAUUAUUAACAUAUUUAUGUUAACAGUGUGUUUUAUAUUUUUUCUUUAGGGAUAUUUUAGAUAAUGUACCACAUAAAAAGGUAUAUGUAGAUAAUUUUUAACUAUGGGGUAUAUUUAACUAAAUACCCCAUUUUUAGGGCAUCUUUAAUUAAAAACCCCGUGCCGUUGAGACUUGAGAGCUGGACUUUUUUUUUUUACUACUUUCACUUAAAAAAGAAAAUGAAUAUUAUAUAAAAACAACAUAGUUUUAAUUAAUUUUAAAUAUUAUAAUUUUUUUAUUAUUGUUUAUAUCUUAAUUAUGGGUUCCUCUAUGAUGCUGUAAAUUUUUUUACAGCAUCAAUAAUGUAUUAAUUGUGAAUCAUUAGAUCUAAUCAAUGGUAUACAAUAUUUGUACUAAAAAAAUAAUUUAAAAAUAAUGGUAACUGUUCAAGUGGAUGGAUAAUUUUUGUAAAAUAAUUGUGACCACCCUUAGAGUUUGAAACAAUUUUAAUUAAAUAGUAUAUUUAUUUAAAAUGACUUUUCAGCCCUCCUUUAAAUUUGUAAUAUGAUAAUCUCUUUUAAAUAAAUCUUCCAAAAUCAGUUACCAUUAAGUAUAAAAUAUAAUAUCAAGUAUGUUAAUUAACACAAAGUCUUUUAAUAAUUUGUAUUGUAUGAAUUUAAUUACAAACCAUUAAUACCUAAACAAUAAUGAUAAUAGAAAGCAUUGCAAUAACCUAUUUUAUACAUGUUUUAUUAAUAAUAUUUUAUGAAUCACAACAAAUGAGAAAUAUUUUAUUCACCAAUUAUUAUUGAAAAAUAUAUAUGUCUAUAUAACUAUAGAGUGAGAAAUAUUUUGAUUUAAUUUUUUAUCAAAAAAUUAAACUAUUUAUUUCAUGCAAUUCAAUGGUGGAGGAUAUAACAUUAUGAAAUGUUGCUUUGACUUUUAAUAUCAACCAUUAGACUAUGAGAUAUUAGUGGCUUAAAUAUUGUGCCAAAAUUUUAAGUUAAAGUAUCCCAAACCAUAUCUUUAUAAUGGAAAUAUAAAAACAUACAAUGAUUUUUUUCCUCAUUUUGUCCAUUAAAUAUUAUUUGAUGUAAUAUUUUAUUUAUUAUCACUAUUUAUUAUCAUAAUAAAAGUAAUAACUCUUCGCAGCAUAAAAAUUUUAUAAUUACUAUCAAAGAAUAACAAUAAAAUUAUCUUUCAUGAUUCAUAAACUAAAGUUAAUUAGGAAUAUGUGUUAGAUUUAACUUUUAUGAAAUUAACAAAGUAACAUUUGAAAAAUAAAUGAAAACAAGCUUGCGAAAGUUAAAUUUUAUAAGGCUGAGAUAAUUUCCUACCAUGUCAAUAAAAAUCUAAAAAUAUAAAUGAUUUUCUUUCAAUUUUUUUCCCACGUAAAUAUUAUUGGAGGCAAUAUUUUAUUUAUUGUCACUAUUAAUUAUCAUAACAAAAGUAAUGAUUCUUAAUAACAUAAAAUUUUAUAAUUACAAUAAAAUGAUAUCAAUAAAAUAAUCUUUCACGAAACUAAAGCUCAUUAGGAAUAUAUAUUAGAUUUAACUUUUGUGAAAUUAACAAAGUGAUAUUUGAAAAUAAAAUGAAAAUAUAUAGGCUUAUAAAACUUAAAAUUCCUAUCAUGUAAGGGUAUUAAUUGUAAGAUAAAUAUAAAGUUAAGAGAAUAAGUAUGUUAAAUGGGUGUUAAAAAUAAUACAUACUUCAUGAUCAAUUAUACAAUGACCCUUAAUAUUAUAUAAAAUAAUGAGUAUUUUAAUAUACGAUAUUCAAUUUUAUUAAAACAUGUGUGAUCAAGUAAUUUUUAUGUUACAAGCAAUCUCAACAAUGAGUUUAUUGAUGUAACUAUGACGUUUAAUUAAGUAUAUGUACUUAGUUGUGUUAUUUAUUACUAUUAUAUCAUAUAUAAAUUUUGCAAUUGCAACUUAUUUAUUUGAUUUGUGUUAAAUAACCUACCAUUAUAUUUUAAACUUAAUGGUAAUAGAUUUUGGAAGAUUUAUUUAAAAAAGAUUAUCACAUUUCAAAUUUAAAGGAGGAUUGAAAAAUAAUUUUAAAUAAAAUAUGCUAUUUAAGUGAAAUUGUUUCAAACUCUAAGGAUGGUCAGAGUUAUUUUAUAAAAUUCUCCACCCCUUACACAUUUGUUAACCGUUUACAAUUAUUUUUAAUUUUUUUACUACAAAUAUUGUGUACCAUUGAUUAAAUCCAAUGGUACACAAUUAAAAAUAUUAUUGAUACUGUAAAAAAAUUACAGCAUCAUAGAGGAACCCCUUAAUUAUAUAACAUUAAUCUUUUAAAAAAAGUUAAAGAUAAAAUUGAUAGAUUUAUGAUUAUAUAUAUAUAUAUAUAUAUAGACACACAAUCAUUUAUAUAUAUAUACCUAAAAUAUAUAUAGAACCACUUAUGAUUUUUUUUCGAGUUCAGAUUUAUGAUUUUUAGUUAAAUUUUAAAUUUAUGAUUUGAUACCUAAUUUUUCAUUCAGGAAAGGGACAAGGUAGAUUUUUAUAAACUAAUUUAAAGAAAAAUGAUAGAUUUAUGAUUUUAUUAAUAUAUUAAUAUAUAUUAUAAUUAAUAAUAAUAAUUUUUGAAUAAAUAAUCACUAUAAUUAAAAUAUAAAAUAAUAAUUAUAAUAAUUAUCCAUUAAGUACUUUUUAGUAAUUUGUUACAAUCUAACUCAUUCCGAAGCCAAUUCCAAGAUAAAAUAAACAUAUCAAUGAGAUGUCAUUCCAUUCCGAUUUCAAUUCUUGUAGGUCAAAUAAAUAACUUAUUCUGAUUCUCAUUCCCUAUUCCGACUAAUGACAAGUAAAUGCAACAUUAUAUAUAUAUAAACCUUUUUUUUUUGCCUUUGACUCGAAUUUAAUGGUUAGGCUCGGGCCUAAAUUCAGAGCCCGAUUAAAUUCAUAUCAGGGUUCGGGACCUACAUGCCCGACCCGACCUGACCUGACCCUAAAACUUUAAAAAAAAAAGUUUAUAUAUAUAUAUAGUUUAUUAUUUAUGUAAUAAUAUGGUUACGACCUUAAGUAAUUUUUAUUUUUAUGUUACUUCAAACAAUUUCUAAAGCUUUUAUAUUGUAAUGUAUAUGGGGAGGCUAUGUCCAAUUUUUAAAUUUUAAAUUAACUAAAAAUUAAAAAAAAACUGUAAAGAAAGUGUGAUUGGGCUUGAGCUUUCAAAUAAUCGGACCUUUUUAGGCUUGAAAAUUUUAUGUCAGUUACAGAGUCAGGCUCGGAAAUGACUAAGCACGGGCCUGACUCGACCCACUGCCAUCCUUGCGAAUAUACUAUUGAUCCAUUACGAGCUCAUUAGUUAAAUUCAUAAUCACUAUAAAUGUGUUACUAUCAUUCAAAACUCAUACAAUCUAAAAUUGUAAAUACACAAAAAGGUUUUCAAAGACUUCCAAAAGAAUGCCAAUAGUCUAACUCUCUAAUUUAUUUCGCAUAGGAUAUGGGUCGGGUCAACUAAGCUAAACUAAUGUUGAAAAAAAGAAGCAAAUUAAUGUUGGAGUGGUCAAUUGGUCUUCAAAAUUGUAAGAAUAAAAAAACUUUGAAAAAUAACAUAAAACUCAUAAAUUAAAAUUAACUGUAAAUUAAACAAAGAAAUUGUAAUCCACACAUAGGAUAGCUUGGCAGAAAAAUAAGAAAAUUAAUGUUGGAGUUGAAAAUUGGCCUUGUGAAUUAGAAGAAAUACAAAAAAUUAAACAAACCAGCAUAAAACUCGUAAAUUCACAUUAAGUGUGAAAUGAAACUAAAAAAUUGUAAAUCAUACAUAGGACUAGAAGCAUGACAUAAAACUUAUAAAUUGACAUUAAGUGUGAAGUAAAAUAAAAAAUACGUAAAUGUUGGUAUUUAUUAUAAUCAAAUGUUGUCGAUGCCAAUGUACAAGUGUACACAACAAGUAAUAAAGUGAUGAAUAUUCAAGAUCGUUUCCACAUGGAUUGAUGUUGCUAAAAAUGUUACAGCAAUCACAAUAGUGCAAUCUACUUUAAUCUCGAAACUAACAAAUGUAAAGUUGGUUAUAUUGAAAUUGAUAAUUGUGACAGAAUAAAAUGAAACAAUGCAGUAAUGAAAUAAAAUGUGUCGAAGAAUCAAUUAAGAAUAAGAUAGUUAAAUGAUCAAACUCUCUUUAUGGGCUGACUGCUUUUUCUCAAGUUAGCACCAGUUGUUACAGCAAUUGCUACAAUACUGGGCAGAAUUAUUUUGCAUCCUCAGCUGUCGCGUGUUGAAAUUCUCACACCCUUAAGUAUAUUAGCAAUGACCAGUUGCUAUUCUACCUACGGCAUGACCUUAUGAACCUUUAUUCUCUCCACCCUACAAGGUGAGUACCUAUGUCUAAUUUGUCAUAAAUCUUAACUUCAAGUAUAGCCCUUAUGGGAUUCAAGAUAAACUUAAUCUAGGAAACUUAAAUUAAGAUCAAGUAUUACUCUAAUAAUAUCCGCUAAGACAUGUCCUUUUGCGGCUCUAUCUUAAUUUGAACUAUUAAAUGGGUGGUCAACCGAAAUAACAGUCAUAAUAAUAACUAUUAGAGUAAAAUGCUACAGCAAUGACAUAGCAAUUCAUAAAAACAGUCAAGAACCCAUUAGAUUGUUUGUCACUCAACUACAAGCAAAUUUAGUUCAUAUUCUGAAAGAGAAAAACAAAUAUCAAAAUAUUGGUCAUGAAAUACAUCGGUUCAAUCAAUGAGUAAGGAAAAAAAUAAGUAGAGAACAAUGAAGAUUGAAUCCAAAUAACUCUGCUGGAUUCUUCACUGAUGUCGGAUUGGUUCCCUUGAAUUCAGAUUGUUUUCUUCUCUUCCUCUCGAUUUUUCCAAUGUUAAUUCCUUGCCGCCAUUUUAUGUGGUGCGUGCCUCCUUUUAUAACUAAAAACUAGGGCAAACAAAAGCCUCGGGCAUGCAUGAGUUAAAUUAGGAAACUGCAGAUCGCAAUUAUGCAGCUGACCCACGCUAAGUUUUCUCCCUCAGUGCUCCAGGAUUGCUACAGCAAUGGUUGCUCUAAUAACGGCUAUAACACUGCACUGUUCCCGGUUGUGCUUCACUUCUUUUGCGGCCAUAUUCUUUCCUUCUCUUGUUAGUCUAAUAUCUUAGCAUCCCUUCAUGCAUUAUAAACUUCUGAAAACCUACAAUUAUACAUAUGUUUUUAGCACAAAUUACUUUAAUUCAAGCAAAACUUAUUAAGACUCAACUAAAAUUAAUGUUUAUGCAAAAUAUAACCAAAAUAUAAUAAAAACACCUCAUUUACUCUCUAAGUGAUGAUGAUUUAAGUCUAGAAUUGUUGUAAUAACUCUCAUUUCAUAGAGUUAUCAGUAAACCACACAUAAAACUAAUAAAUUGAUGGAAAAAUGGGUAAAUUAAUGUUGGAGUUGUAAAUUGCAAGAAGAACUUGUAAACAAAACAAAAACCUAGAAAAAUAAAAUAGAACUUGUAAAUUGACAUUAAGUGUGAAAUGAAACAAAAAUUUAUAAACCACACAUAAACUAGUAAAUUAAUGAAAAAAUGGGUAUAUUAAUAAUGGAGUUGUAAAUUAGAAAAAGAAAGUGUAAACAAAAUAAAAACAUAUAAAAACGACAUAGAACUUGUAAAUUGACAUUAAGUGUGAAAUGAAACAAAAAAUUUGUAAACGACACAUAAAAUUAGUAAAUUGAUGGAAAAAUAGGUAAAUUAAUGUCGGAGUUGUAAAUUGCAAGAAAAACUUGUAAACAACACAAAAACUUCGAAAAAUGACAUAGACCUUAUAAAUUGGCAUUAAGUGUGAAAUAAAACAAAAAAUUUGUCAACCACACAUAAGACUAGUAAAUUAAUAGAACAAUGGGUAAAUUUAUGAUAGAGUUGUAAAUUAGAAGAAGAAAGUGUAAACAAAACAAAAACUUAGAAAAAUGACAUAGAACUUGUAAAUCAACAUUAAGUGUGAAAUGAAAUAAAAAAUUUGUAAACGACACAUAAACUAGUAACUUAAUAGAAAAAGGGGUAAAUUAAUGUUUGAAUUGUAAAUUGCAAAAAGAACUUGUAAAAAAAAUAAAAACUUAGAAAAAUAACAUAGAGCUUGUAAAUUGACAUUAAGUGUGAGUUAAAAAAAAAAUUGUAAACGACAUAUAAAACUAGUAAAUUGAUGGAAAAAUAGGUAAAUUAAUGUUGGAGUUGUAAAUUGUAAGAAGAACUUGUAAACAAAACAAAAACUUAAAAAAUAACAUAGAACAUUUAAAUUGACAUUAAGUGUGAAAUGAAACAAAAAAUUUGUAAAGGACACAUUAAACUAGUAAAUUGAUGGAAAAAUGGGUAAAUUAAUGUUGGAGUUGUAAAUUGAAAGAAAAACUUGUAAACAAAAUAAAAAUUUAGAAAAAUGACAUAGAACUUGUAAAUUAACAUUAAGUGUGAAAUGAAACAAAAAUUUGUCAAUCACACAUAAAACUAGUAAAUUGAUGGAAAAAUGGGUAAAUUUAUGUUGGAGUUGUAAAUUAGAAUAAGAACUUGUAAACAAAACAAAAACUUAAAAAAAAUGACAUAGAACUUGCAAAUAGACAUUAAGUGUGAAAUGAAAUAAAAAAUUAUUAAACCACACAUAAAACUUAUAAAUUGAUGAAAAAAUGGGUUUUUUGUAAACGACACAUAAAACUAGUAAAUUGAUAAAAAAAAUGGGUAAAUUAAUGUUGGAAUUGUAAAUUGUAAGAAGAACUUGUUAACAAAAAAAAAAUUUAGAGAAAUGACAUAGAACUUGUAAAUUGACAUUAAAUGUGAAAUGAAAUAAAAAAAUUGUAAACGACAUAUAAAACUAGUAAAUUGAUGAAAAAAUGGUAAAUUAAUGUUGGAGUUGUAAAUUGUAAGAAGAACUUGUAAAUAAAACAAAAACUUAGAAAAAUGACAUAGAACUUGUAAAUUGACAUUAAGUGUGAAAUGAAAUAAAAAAUUUGUGAACGACACAUAAAACUAGUAAAUUGAUGAAAAAAAUGGUAAAUUAAUGUUGGAGUUGUAAAUUGUAAGAAGAACUUGUAAACAAAAAAAAAAACUUAGAAAAAUGACAUAAAACAUAUAAAUUGAUAUUAAGUGUGAAAUAAAUAAAAAGUUUGCAAACCACACAUAAAACUAGUAAAUUGAUGGAAAAAAGGUAAAUUAAUGUUGGAGCUGUAAAUUGUAAGAAGAACUUGUUAAUAAAAUAAAAACUUAGAAAAAUGACAUAAAACUUGUAAAUUGACAUUAAGUGUGAAAUGAAACAAAAAAUUUGUAAACGACACAUAAAACUAGUAACUUGAUAGAAAAAUGGGUAAAUUAAUGUUUGAGUUGUAAAUUGCAAGAAAAACUUGUAAACAAAACAAAAACUUAGAAAAAAAUGACAUAGAACUUGUAAGUUGACAUUAAGUGUGAAAUGAAACAAAAAAUUUGUAAACGACACAUAAAACUAGUAAAUUGAUGGAAAAAUGAGUAAAUUAAUGUUGGAGUUGUAAAUUGUAAGAAAAACUUGUAAACAAAAUAAAAACAUAGAAAAAUGACAUAGAGCUUGUAAAUUGACUUUAAGUGUGAAAUGAAACAAAAAAUUGUAAACCACAGAUAAAACUAAUAAAUUGAUGGAAAAAUGGAUAAAUUAAUGUUGGAGUUGUAAAUUAGAAGAAGAACUUGUAAACAAAACAAAAACUUAAAAAAAUGACAUAUAACUUGUAAAUUGACAUUAAGUGUGAAGCGAAAUAAAAAAAUUGUAAACCACACAUAAUACUAGUAAAUUGAUGAAAAAAAAUGGGUAAAUUAAUGUUGAAGUUGUAAAUUGUAAGAAGAACUUGUAAACAAAACAAAAACUUAAAAAAAUGACGUAAAACUCAUAAAUUGAUAUUAAGUGUGAAAUGAAACAAAAAAUUUGUAAACCACACAUGAAAUUACUAAAUUGAUGGAAAAUUGGGUAAAUUAAUUUUAGAGUUUUAAAUUGUAAGAAGAACUUGUAAAUAAAAUAAAAACUUAGAAAAAUGACAUAGAACUUCUAAAUUAACAUUAAGUGUGAAAUGAAACAAAAAGUUUGUAAACGACACAUAAAACUAGUAAAUUAAUGAAAAAAUUGGUAAAUUAAUGUUGGAGUUGUAAAUUGUAUGAGGAACUUGUAAGUAAAACAAAAACUUGUAAUUGUUGUAUAAAACUUGUAAAUCAACAUUAACUUGUAAAUAUUGUAUAAAACUUGUAAAUCACACAUAAUAUUAAUAAAUGUAACUUGGAACUUGAAUAAAAAAAAGUAAUUAUCUGCUACUUAGGUAACAAGUUACCUAUUUAUUUAGAAUUAGUGGUAGAAAUUUUUUAUUCAAAUUUACUGAUUCACGUCAAUUACGGCAUCAAUGCCGUAAAUUUUGUUACGGCAUUAUAGAAUUACCCUAUCUUAGAUAAAAAGAAUUGUGUAUGGCGAGGUCGGGUGCUUGUUGAUAUAUAUAUAUCUUCCUUUCCGAUCAAAUAAAUCCAUAAUUUUUUUUUCUACUCUAUGCACCUAGACAAUAAUGAUGAAUAAAUUACAAAUAUAGAGGUAGAUUCAAAGAACAUAGUUUUUUUACACAUGUAAACACAAUUUUCUGAUCAUUUGAUUAGAAAAAAAAUGAAGGGUCAAGAUUAGAUGGCAUAGGUUAUUCAUAAUUCUCUCAUUAAUGCUCUAUCUCCAUCCUCUCUCUCUCUCAUUUGAGCUAAAUUUUUUUUAUAUGUUCUAUUAUUUAUUUUGUUUAUUCUAUCCGUAAUUUUAUAUCACUAUAAUUACCAUGAUAAAAUUUGGAUAAUUUCAAUGAAAAUAAUUUUUUUUAAACAAUACGAGGUGAUCACCGAACUUUUCAUUUGAUAUCAUUAACUAGAACAAAGCCACAAAGCCAAUGUUCCGAACGUAAAGGUAUGUGUUCUGGUCUGAGUGGCAAGGGAUAACAUCUUCUUGCAUAAAAGAUUAAUGACAUCAGAAUUACCGUAUUUAGGAAAGUGGAACAUUUAUAUGGACAACCUAUAAAAAAUUUCAAAAAGCUAAUGGGCAGAAAAUAAGUAUUUUAAUUCAAAAUUUUGUACUUGAAUUUUUCUGUCCUUUUUACAGCAUUGAUAAUGGGGUUGUUAUAAAUCUUUUGAUUUAAAUAUUUUAAUCUUUAUCAUUAAUUUAUUAAGUGAAUAAAUAAUUAGUUAAUUAAUGGCGUUACCUUUAAAAUCAAGUUGAUAAUUCAAAUUAAAAGAGAUAUUUAUGAAUUUAACACGAAAAAAGAGAAGUUGCAGCGACAAUUAAAGUGUCAAUCACAUUUAUAAUUUCAUCUGUAGUGAAAGUGACAGGUCCAAUAGGCAAUAUACAAAGAGUGUGUGUAUGUAAAAUUGUGAGGAAGUGAGAUGCUGCCGUUGGAUGAAUUGAAUGGACAUGAUUCAUUGUCAAUGUGGGACCUACAACUGAAGGAAAAAAACUUUAGUCAUAGGCUUUACAUACUGGUCCACAAAUAAAAUGAAGGGAAAAUGACAAUCAACCUCUUAAUGUUUGGGAAAAAAAAUAUAAAUCUCUUUAGCAUCUAAAAAAAGAUACGUAACUUCAUUCUUGUUAAUAAAUUUUAUUUGUUUUAAUGAUAAAUUUAUUUUUAAUUUUAAUCAAUGUUAUAUCCCUAUAAUAAAGAAAUCAAUAUAAUAACUUAAGGCAUGUCAUCAAUGACGUGUAUAAUGAAAUCAAUCACUUUUUAUUUAAAACUUAAAAUUGAGAUAUAAUUACUUUUUACCCAAACUUUUCACUUUAUAAUAGUAAUUGUAAAUUAAAAAUAAAUUUACUAUUAAAAAAAUAUAAUUACUAAUAAUAAGGAGGGUUAUGUGCAUUUUUUGAAAUGAUUUGCAAGCAUUUGGGGCUCAUAGUCCUUUCAAAGAAAAUGAAUUCAAUCCCUCCUUUCUCAUCUCUAUCUCUACAUAAAGAAAAUGAAUUCAAUCCCUCCUCUCUCAUCUCUAUCUCUACACUUACCCCCUGCAGAUGGCUUAUUCUUCAUUUUUUCUUGGUAGAGGAUAUAAGGGCCCGUUUGGUAUUGUUUUUGAAUUAGUAUUUUCUAAAAAUAAAAAUGAGAAUGAAAAUGGUAUUUUGCAGUUACUGUAUUUCGAAUUUAAAUAUGCGUUUGGUAUUAUUUUCUGUAUCCUAUAUUUUAAAACUGAAAAUAAAAAUAUGUGUUUGGUAGACACAAUUGAAAAAGAUAAAAAUAGAGAAUAUGCGUUCGGUAGUACUAUUUUUAAAAAAUAGUUUUUACUAAACAUUUAAAUUAUAGUAAAAAAUAAUUGUUUAAUUAAUACAUAUACUUAAUUUAAACAAAAUAAGUAUAAAAAAUCACAUAAUGAUAAAGUUUUAGUAUUAGCAUUAAUAGAAAAAAGUUUUACAUUAUCAUUGUUUUUACAUUAUAAUUAAGUUACAUAUUACAACACAUAAAUUAAACAAAAUAAUUAUAAAAAAAUUACAUGAUAGACAUCAUACAUUAACACUUACUGGAGAUAAAUCAAAUUCAAUAGUGUACAAUGUACUUUCAAGUUACACUUAUUUUAUGAAAACAAGCUCUAAUGACAACAAUGUCAACUCUGAACUACAAGUAUUUAUCCUCGAAGCGGAUUGAUCCCAAAUGAAAUUGCACAAAACAUAAGUCCAAGCAAAACCAAGAAUCCAUAUUUCUUUAAAUCCCACCUAAAUUCGACCAAAAAAUUCAAGAUUUACAUGUCACUACUAGGAAAAUGCAAAUUAAUGAUAGAAAUUUUAUGACACAUAUCAUUGGGUCACUGGUAUAUCAAAAAGCAUGACGUAUUCAUGACUUUUAUCAUACUGACAUUUAUAGAUGAUGGAUGUAUGUUAUGCAUGUAAUUUACAUAAUGAGCAUGCAAAUAUAUGUCAUGACAUGAAACGACGUCGUUCUCUAUUAUUGAGUUAUUGAUUUUAACUACUUUUAUUUGUACACAUGUCAAAUUUUGAUUGAAUAUUUCAUCAGACAUAGAAAAAAGCUUACCUGCACUAUAUUUCAUAGUAAACCAAAAAAUUGCUUAAAUGUGAAACUCUUCUCUGCUCUCACUGGUAACAGCAGUUGAAAUGAUCAUCUAGCAAAAUGAGAUAUAUGAUGCGUUGCAUACCGUGGCAAUCUAAGCGAGGAAUCCUUUGACUUUGGCAAGCACGAGAUCGUUGACCUUCCAUUGGCGACGAGUAGCAGUCAUGGCUAUGGCUUUGCUUGCUCCUUUUCUCAAACUCAGCACCAUUAUUGGAGAAUUGCACCACACUUAAUCGAUAAAAAUGUACGACAACAAACAAGUUGAAGCUAUAACAAAAUAGAUGGAUUGAGAGAAGCAUGCCAAAAUUGCUCUUGUGAGGGUUCUGUUUAGCUGUCUAAGGGUCUCAAGGCACGAUUUGGCAAUGAAAUUUGCAGGCAUUGAAACGCAUAAAUCGGACAAAAGAAGGGUAAGUAUCUCAAAACCCUAAUUUUUGUAAGAGUGAGCAAGUGAUUGUGUAUGUUAAUGUGAGUGUCUGAUUGUUUCUGUGUAAUAUUGGGGGUUAUUGUGGUUGAAGAUGCACAAAAAUUCAAUCAUGUGACUACUUGACAUUACAAAAAUUCAAGAGAUGAUCUCUACUGUCAUCUUUAAAUUCAAAUCUCGGUAGCGGCAGCGAGCAAACAUCGCGCGUCAUCUUCUGUCUUUCUUUUCCUCUCCAAAGCCAAACACCAAAGUAAACAUGUUGUGGUGAGUCCAAUUGCUCAUUUAUUUUGUUGAAUUUGGUGUCUAAUUGAUUUAAUCUUUGAGAUCUACGGUUUGUUUCUCUUUUUAGGUUCUGAAAUUGGAAAAAAAUUGAAUCUUUAUUACAAUGAUGAGAGCCAAGCUCAACAAUAAUUAAAAAGUUAAAAAUAAGAUUCUAUUUCAUGAAAUUUUAUAGUUGAGUAAAAGAGAGAGGGUAUUGAUUGUUCAGCGAAAACCAGUUGAGAAAUAAAGCAUUAUGAGCAAUGAAGAUGAGGCUAAAUCUGAAGAGAUGAUGAAGAAUGAGAGUGCUUUUCUUCUUGCUUGGUUGGGUAUUGGUGGAAUCAUUCUUUUUCAAAGUAUUGCUCUUGCGGCUUCAGGUAUGUUAAUUGAUGAAAAAUAGAGCCCUUGUUGUUAAAUUUUGUUGAUGCAUAUAUCGCUUUGCUUUUCAAUUCCUGAUGAGUAAUUUGGUAAUUUAGUUGAAUUUUUGUGAUUUUUUUCUCUUUUGCCUGGAAGAUUCCUUGAAUUAAAUAAUUAGUACACUUGAUUAGAUUGAUUUCAUAGAUUAGUUAUUAGUUAAAAACUAAUGUGCCAAUUGUUAUCCUUAAAAGUGUAAAUUUUAGAGUUUAAGAGUAGACUUGAUUGUUCAAAUUCAGGGAACAAAGAUUAAUUUUUAAAUAACAGCUUCGUAAAAUUAUAAUAUUUGUUGCCAAUCAGUUGCUUUUGCAUGUUAUAGAAGUUUAAGCCGUCGCAGGAAGUGCCUAGUGCUGGAGUUUUUCUAGAUUGUAUUUUCCUCUCAUUUCUCUUGACAAUUGAGCUGAAGUCCAAACAAAUGACAUACCAUCAGAUUUCUAAACAAAAUCUCUAUUUAAUAGCUAAGAUAUUUAGGAUCUUGGUCUAAUGAACUUGAGACCAACCUCCAAGUCCACAUGAAAGUGCAGUCGCAUACAAACAUAUGGUGAACUAGUUGGUAAAAUGCAUCAAAACCUUGCAUGUCAGCCUAAAUCUUAGGUACACGAUCAUGUAAAUAUAAUCAAGUUGGCUAUCUUUUGUAAGAUUUGCUGGCCCUGCAAAACGAACCAAAUUAAAAAUUGAGUUCUUAACUGAUGUGCAUGUGCUCCAGAUAGGUUUCGGAUAUUUUAUGAAGCUCAGUAUUUAUUAGUUGUUUCCUCGAUUAUUGAAUCAUUCAAUGGUAGUUGCAUGUCUCAUUGAUUGCUAUUGAUAAUGCUUUAAUUCUUUGUUGCUGUUUUUUUACUUUUUCUGCAGUUGUUAACUGCAGUUUCCUGUUGUUUUCCUGCUGUUUUCUACUAUUUUAGUUGUUGUUUCAUGUUGUUUUCCUGAUGUUUCCUAUGAUUUUACAUGUUGUUUGCUGCUAUUAGUGUCGAUAGCUGCUGUUUUAUCUAAUGUUUGGUGUUGUUUUUCGCCACUUUUCUUUUUGUUGUUUUACAAUAUUUUCGUUCAUUAUCCAUUACCUAAUUUUGUAGUGGGGACAAAUUUAUUAGGUACUAGGUUAAUGGCAACAUGUUGACAAUGGAUCCAGCGACUCAAAUGUAUAGAAUUCUUAAGCAUACAAACCAUGAAUACCUUUUUCAGGUUGUUUAAAUUGUGAAAAAAUAUGAAUUUUUUUGUGGGUUUUUUUUAGACUAUCGUUUACGUGAAUACCUCUCAAGCAACUGGAUAUGUUGGUGUUCUUAUAAUAACAAGGUAUGUAUGUUCCAUUCUGCUAUUUUUGUGCUCUUUGGUACAUGGUUUGAGGAAAUUAAAAUAAUCUUUGUUGAUUAUCCGCUAAUAAAUUUUGGUAUGCGACAUAAUAUUUAAUGACCUAUGUGAGAAUUAAUAUUGUGACAUUGUGUUUGAAGCAUCUGAUUUCUGUUGAUUGGUGCUAUUCAUUGUAUGGUUUUUUAGAAAUAAAAUUUUAGUUGCAAGAGACUUCAUCUAAUUUUGAUUUUGUAGCUACACUUGAAUCUUAUUCAUGUAGUUGUGUAGCUUCGAACAUCAAUGGUGGUUUUUUAAAUCUGGUGGCUAAAACAGGAAGAACAAUGUUGUGGCGAAGAUUUUUUGUUAAAUUAAAAGAAUUUAAGUAAGUUAAAUAUAUUGGCUCAUCGAAGAAGGCAGAAUUUUUUUCCUCACUGUUAUAUCAUGCUCCAGAUCUACUGUAUUUGAGAUGGAUUAUACAAGCAUAGGGAAUUGACAAUUGAUCAUUAUGGGAGCAUUUUAAACAUGCCCAAGUUAGAAAGUAAAAGUCAGCAUACUCAUUUUCGUUGUUGCAUGUAUAUUGAUGAAGUGUUGUUCAUUAAUUGCUACGCUACCAUCAUGGAAAGCAUAUACUGAUGAAGUGUUGAUUCAACUAUGAAUUGUUGUACUUAUUUUAUUUGAUAACUGAUAGCUGAUAGUGUUGUAGAUGGAUUUGCUAAUUAUGAUAUAUGAAUUUGAAUUAUGAAUUAUGGUUUAUGAAUUAUGAGAUUUUGAGUGUAUUGUAGAAUAUUAGUUGUUUUUUAGCUGCUGCUGCUAAAAAUAAAAAAUUCAAUUCUAAAAAAAAAUAAUAUUGAUAAUUCAAAUUUGGCACCAAUAAUAUAUUUUAAUUUUAAAAUUAAUCUUAAUAAAUCUUGCCAAAUAAUAUUUAAAAUAAAUUUAAUUUCCUACCAAAUAUAUUUUAAAAAAUUGUCAAAAUUCCCUCUAGAUUUAAUAAAGUUUAAAAAAUUAAAUAAUUUUAUUAUUUCUAGACUAAUUAAUUAAAUGUCAUCUUUGUAUGACAUAUAAUAGUCAUGCAUAAAAAAUGUUUAUGAUAUAAACUAGUCAUGCGCGAAUUUUUUUAAUUAAAAUAAUUAUGACACAAUCGUGACAGAUAAUAUGUCAUGUAUUAGAUGAAGUAUAAAAAUUGUUAUCUAAUUUUCUUAACAUUAUAAUCAAGGACGGUUAUUCAACCGUCUCUAUAGCACAUGAUGGGUAAAAGCCGUCAUAAAACCCUUUUUUUUUCUAAUAGUGUGUGUAGGCGCCCACUUUGAUUUAAUGUCAUAAGUUUCGCAGAGCCAUUCAUUACCAUCCAAUUGUACUUUUUGGAUGUCAUCCUUCCACUUUGUUUUAAUUCGAACUCAUCAGUAGUCUUUGAAUCCUAUAUACAUUUUUAGAAAUUUUUUUUUUAAACUAGAAUUUAUGAGAUGAUAUAUACCUUCACUCAACCUUCGAAAAAAUUAAUUCAAAAUGUGCAAUCCUAAUUCCUACGACUAAAAAUAAAAUCACAAGCAUUGUUUUGGGGGGGGGGGGGGGGGGGGGGGGGGGGGGGGGGGGGGGGGGGAGGAAGAGUGAUUGAAUUCUUCCACAUUUUCUUUUUCAUUUAUAUGUGGGUCCCACGAUGUAAAGUGCUUGACUUAAGUUAUUUUAUUCUUUAGCUGCGGGUGACAGCAAAUUCUAUUCAUACAAUUCAUGUCACAGAUAGCAUCUCAUAUCCACGCAAUUCACAAUUUCCGGAUAUCCGCAUGUAUGCUUUUGUAUACUUUUCAGUUUACACUCUAUAAAUGAGAAGCCGAUAAUACGUUGAAUUUUUUUGAUCUACAAUUGUAUUCAACAAAAUGUCUUUCAAUGAUAUUAAUCAAGAAUUAUAAAAGAAAAAUUCUAUAAUAAAGUGAUUAAAACUGUAGUGUCAAUGACAUGAUAAACAUAAAUUUUAUAAAGUUCACAUAAAACUAGUUAAUGAAAGGUAAAAUAAAUAUAUUAGUAUAAGAGUGGUGAAUUUGUGUUUUAACAUCACAAAUAAAAUAAAAACUUAUAAAAAUAAUAUAAAACAUUAAAUCAAUAUUAAAAUUUCAUUAAACAAAAAAUAAUUUAUUUAUUUAAUUAAAUUAAACAAAGAAAAAAUGCAUUCAUCAAUUGAAAACAAAAAAAAAAGUGAAAUAAAAACAAUUGGAAUAAGUUUUAUUGAUUUUGAUUAACCAUAAAUUCUAUAUUUAUUCUAAGAUAUUCAUACUUUUUUUUUUCAUUUUCUAUCAUAGUAUUAUUUACUGCACAAGUCCAUUAAGCAAAAUUAUUUUUCUUGAUGUGGAUCAAGGCAAAAUAAAAUAAAAAGAUAUCCUUAUAUUACUAGAUAUAUAUGAUAUAUCAAUAAAAUUAGAUCUAAUUUUCUGUUUUAUACAUACUUCAUUCAGCUUUUAACUAUGCUUCUCACUUUUGUUUAAAGAUUAUUUGGGGUUAUUGCCGAGGAAGUUUUGAAGGAUGUAAAAUUACCUUAUCUUAUAAACAGCUUUGAAAAAUUUGAAAAGAAUAGUUAUUCAAAUUCCAAUUUUGAGAAUAAAUUUUAUCCUUAAUAAAAUUCACAUUUAUCAUCACAUGUGUUAAAUAAACCCAAAGCUUCGUUAUUCAAUUUAGAAACAAAAUCAGCAAAUAUAUAAGGUGAUCAUUAUUAUAAUGAGUUUUUAUUUUAUACUUGCAAAGUUUUUAAUAAUUCUUAUGUUAAUUUACUUGUUUUACAUUGAAUUUACAAGUUUUAUGUUUUAGUUAGCUAAUUGAUGUUUUAUUUUACAUUUAAUGUUGAUUACAAGUUUUAUGUUAUAUUAGAGUUUUUUUUUUAUUUACUAAUGAUACACCAAUUUACUAUUUUUAUGUUAAUUUACUUAUUUUACUUUCUAUUUACAAUUCUUAUGUUUCAUUUACAUAAUUUAUAUUUUAUUUUACAUUUGAAGUUGAUUUACAAGUUUUAUGUUACAUUUGUAAGUUUUUAUUUUGUUUAGUAAUAAUACACCAAUUUACCGCUCCUAUGUUAAUUUACUUAUUUAAUCUUUGUUUUACAAGUCUUAUGCUCCAUUUUCACAAUUUUAUGUUUUGUUUUAUACUUAAUGUUGAUUUAUAAGUUUUAUGCUACAUUUAUAAGUUUUUUUUUUUUCAUUUACAAAUAUACACCAAUUUAUCACUCUUAUGUUAAUUUGCUUAUUUUACCUUUCAUUUACAAGUCUUAUGUUCUAUUUACACAAUUUAUGUUUUAUUUUGUACCUAAUUUUGAUUUACAAGUUUUAUAUUACAUUUCUAAGUUUUUGUUGUGUUUACCAAUAGGACACCGAUAGCCACUAAUUGACAUUAAAAAGUGUACAUUUAAUAGGGAUAAAACUAUCAAUUUUUUACUUACAGUGUCGAUUAAUGCAUUCAUUAUUCCUAAAUUAUCUUAACACUUUCCAAAUAUAUAUGUAUGUUAAAUUAAUUUGUAAUAUGUUAAUUUUAUUUUAAUUUUAUAUUGUAGAUAUAUUUUAAGAAUAAAGAGGAGUUGGAACUUGGAAGCGAGAAACAAAUAAGAAUUGCUGGAACCAUUUGGAAUGCAUUAUUGAGGAGAUGUAAUAAAUUAAAAUAUUAAAUAAAAAAAAGUGAGCAAACAUGCUCGUAAUGGUCAAGUGGCUAUUUUGCCAAUUGACCAUCACACUUCUCUCUCUCUCUCUCUCUCUCUCUCUCUUUAUAUAUAUAUAUAUAUAUAUAUUAUAAAAAAAUAAUAAAAUAAUAAGAAAAUAAAAGAAGAGGAUGCAUUGCUCACCUAUAAAAGGCGAGCGGAAACAAGUAGUAGAGUGAGGGAGAGAACAAGAGGGAAGUUGAGGAAUUCUUUCCUUUUUUUUUAGAAGUUUGUUAAAUAAAAUGAAUGUUUUUCUUUUCAGUAUAACUGUGGCACAUUAGGUAUUUGAUCCCAUAUUUAUCCACACAAAUGGUUAGUUGAAAAUUAAAUGGAAAAAUAAGUAACUGGCAAAAGAAAUGCAAAAUAUAAAUUUGGGAGAGUAUUGUAACCAUAAUUUGAAAUCCGAGAGUGGAUCUCGUAACCUUAGCAUAUUUUUAGAUUGAUUCCUAUUAAUUUCUUUUCCAACAUUUAAUUUUCUUUGUGAAAUAAAUUAAGUAGUAGAUUUUAAAUUUCAUGUGGUUUGACCUCGGACUCACCGGAUUAUAUUAUAAUUAGACACUCUUAUACUUAGGAGUAAUAACACUUUUGAGUCGUGUCAACCACUCUUAUGUUAAUUUACUUAUUUUACCUUUCAUUUACAAGUCUUAUAUUCUAUUUACACAAUUUAUAUUUUAUUUUAUACUUAACGUUGGUUUGCAAGGUUUAUGUUCCAUUUGUAUGUUAUCAUUUUGUUUACCAAUAACACCCUAAUUUACUAUUCCUAUGUUAAUUUAAUUCUUUUACCUUUCAUUUAUAAAUCUUACGUUUCAUUCACACAAUUUAUACUUUAUUUUACACUUAAUAUUGAUUUAUAAGUUUUAUGUUACAUGUGUAAGUUUUUAUUUUGUUUAUUAAUAAUACACCAAUUUACCAUUCGUAUGUUAAUUCAAUUCUUUUAACUUUCAUUUAUAAGUCUUAUGUUCUAUUUACACAAUUUAAGUUUUAUUUUACACUUAAUAUUGAUUUACAAAUUUUACGUUACAUUUGUAAGUUUAUAUUUUGUUUACCAAUAAUAUACCAAUUUACCAUUUCUAUGUUAAUUUAAUUCUUUUUCCUUUCACUUAUAAGUCUUAUGUUCUAUUUACACAAUUUAUGUUUUAUUGUACACUUAAUAUUGAUUUAUAAGUUUUAUGUUACUUUUGUAAGUUUAUAUUUUGUUUACCAGUAAUUCACCAAUUUACCAUUCCUAGAUUAAUUUGCUUUUUUAACCUUUGAUUUAUAUGUCUUAUGUUCUAUUUACAUAGUUUAUAAUUUAUUUUACAUUUAAUGUUGAUUUACAAGUUUUAUAUUAAAUUUACAUGUCAUAUGUUUCAUUUACAUAAUUCAUGUUUACAUACGGUAUUGAUAUCGUGAUUUUAAUCAUGGCAUUAUAGAAUAACCCUAAAAUUGAGAGGAAAACUAAAUUUUAUAAACAAGAGUUUUCCAAAUUAAUGACAACUUAUAAUUAUGCAAGUAAUAUAGUUUUCAUUGAUUUAACUAUUCCAUUUAUAGAUUUACAGGAGAGAGGAAAGAGAAAAUUGGAAUAGGAGAAAAAAUAAAAUUAAACAUUAAAAAAAGAAGAGAGAAAAAUAUUAAUGAAGUUAGAAAUUCUUAUCAUCUAAUGUUAACGCUUCAUUCUUAUUUCCAUUUUACAACACUCAAUCAUCUGACAUUAUUAUUAUUGUUGUUGUUGUUGUUGUUGUUGUUGUUGUUAGUACUACUACCACCAUCUUCUUUACCAAUCCUCAGAUAAAUUCAUACUGAACGAUCUUUUAGCCAAAAGUUUCAGCACACUUAUCCUUAGCCAGACCUAACUUUAAGUAUGCAAAAUGAAUUUAGAUUUAGUGUUGAACUGAGUUUUUUACUAGUUCUUUAAAAAGAUACAAUUAGUAGUUAUUAAAUAAGAAUAUAAAACUAAUUAAAUCUUAAAUCUUAAUUAUGUAUUGUUGUACAUGCAUGUGAGGCAGCUCGGGUCAACAUUGGAUCCAAAUCCAUGGCAAAUAACUCUCCAAAUCCAUCAUUUCCUCUAUGACAAAGUGAUCAAAUGGCCCCUUAUUCUCUGCUCCAUGAUGUGCUAAUAAUUUAUAUGUUAAUUUAAUAUUUCAUUAACUUAGUUUUAUGUCAAAUUAUAUUCUCUUAUGUUAAUUUUUAUCUUAAUUUUAAUAUUUUGUUGUUUUAGGUAUAAUCUAGGACUAGAGAGGAGUUCAAUCAUAACAUUCAGAAAGAAAUUUAAUUGAGAGAAUCAGAAAGGGAAAAAAUAAAGAAAUUUAAUUGAAACAAAUCAAGGAAGAUUUACCAUCAUGCAUGCAAUCACGUGGGGGGGGGGGGGGGGAGGGGAGCAUUUAAGAUUUAGUUGACAAAUAUGGCAUGUACGUGAACUUGGGCUUUUGAAUUUGCAAUAUAAUGGCCUAAGAACUUAAAGGUCGCUUGGCUUACUUUUGUGAGUUUGUCUUUUUAAUCCUUUUGGGUUAAGGAUUUAAAGGUCACCGAUUGAGCAUUACAAAAAGAAGAAAACAGGGCAAAAGCCGAAGUAGCCUCACGAAUAGAAUCAGGUAGAAGCACCCGCAAGACAUCUAGAGAGAAGCCAGAUUAAUUCUUGAGUUUUUCUUUCCCUCUUCUCUAUUGCUGUGCUUGAAUGUUCCCUACAAUGUUUAUGAAUUCUUUUUAUAUUCUAAUGAAAUAAUUUAUUUUGCUAGGGCUACAACGUAGCCUAACUAUGAAAUUUAAUUCCAUAAAUCUAUGUUAUUUUUAGUUUAUUAUUCCAUGAUUGGGUGUUCAUUAUUGUACUUAAUGCUUUUAAAUAUCUGGCCAAUAUUUGAAUGAUUUGAGGAUAUAUAAUGAGAGCAAGAGGAGAUUUAUGUAUUUUUCCUAUAUGUAAUGGAUGUCAUGAAUUGAACGAAAGACAGAGAUGUGCCAACGUGAUUCAUGCAGUUUUAUCUAAGAACUUCCAUAGAACUUAAUGAAUUUUUACAUAUUUAAAUUCACUUAGAGAUAUAGUUAGUUAAUAUAUGAGGGUAUUUUUUUUUUAUAUUAUUCGAGAUAAGAUAUUGAAUAGAUUAGAGAAAUUUACUAUCAAUAUGCAUGAUAAUCUUUAAUAGGAUCGAUGGAGGAUUAAAUUGGAUUGGUUAUAGGGAAAUCAUAUGUCCUAAUUUCUAAAUCUCUUGGUGAUUUUUAUUACUGCUUGCAUCUUUAUUUAAUUUUUAGUUAUUUUGUUUUAUCUAGUUUUUAAUCGAAAUUCACUUAUUCAGUUAUUCAAAUAGAAUAGGGUUAGAAUAAUUGAAGUAACUAAUAAAAUAUACAAUCUCUAUAGGAUGAUACUCUAUUCUUUAUUAUAUUACUCGUGUUGACUACUACACUUGCUAAUACGCAACAAGUUUUUGGCUCCGUUGCUGGGGAUUUUUUGGAUUAGUAUCGACACCAACUAACCUUAGUUUAAUUUCAAUUUUAUUUUUAUUUUUAUUGUUUUUAUUUUAUUUUCAUUUUCUUGUUUAAUUUUAUAAGACAUUCAAGAAGUUUUGAUUUAUUGCCUUUUGAUGCAGAGAUUGAAUGUACCUAUAGAAGGCUCAACAGGGAAAGAAGAGAAGCUUUGUAGGAAUAACAACUAAUUAUGGCUAAAAAAACAAUACAAGAAAAUAGAGAUGCAGGACUUUUACGAGAUUAUGUUGUGCCUACAAUUAGUGGUACUCGCUCAAGCAUUGCACGCUGUGCCGUUCAAGCCAAUAAUUUUGGGAUAAUCCAGAUGAUUCAGAUGUCAGUACAAUUUUUUGGGAUGCCGAAUGAUGAUCAAAAUGUUCAUAUUGCAAAUUUCCUAGAAAUUUAUGACAUAUUUCAGUAAAAUGGUGUCUCAGACAAUGUUUUCAAGCUAAGGCUUUUUCCCUUCUCACUUAGGGACAAAGCAAAAGAAUGGUUGAACUCGCUCCCUACUGAUACAAUCAUAACAUGGGAUGACUUAGCGCAGUAGUUUUAGCAAAGUUUUUCCCUUAGUAAAAGCAACCAACUUAAGGAAUGACAUCAUAACAUUUGCUCAAUUUGAGAUAGAGUCACUAUAUGAAGCAUGAGAUAGGUACAAAAACCUACUAAGAGAAUGUCCACAUCACGGUCUUCCAAUUUGGCUUCAGGUAUAAACAAUUUACAAUGGUUUGGGAUCUACUACUAGAACAAUGAUUGAUGCUGCAGCAGAGGCACUUUAAUGGGAAAAACACCACAAGCAACUUAUGAAUUGCUGGAGGAGAUGGUCUCUAAUAAUUACCGGUGGUCUUCAGAGCGAUCAAUACCAAGGAGAACUGUAAGAGCCCAUAAUGUUGAUGUUGUCACAUUUUAACUGAACAAAUGACUGCUUUAUCUAAUAAGCUGGAACAUCUGAAUAUUAGUGCUAUUCAAACGCAAGUGUGUGAAUUAUGUGGGGGAAAUUACACCAUUAUUAACUACCAAGUUGGAAGUCCUUUUGCGUCGUCAUCUACUGAACAAGCUCAUUAUGCGUCAAACUUCUAGAGGUAACAAAACAACCCGUAUUCUAAUACCUUUAAUCCUGGCUAGAGAAACCAUCCGAAUUUGUCAUCGAAAAACACUCAAAAUACAUUGAAGCCACCUCUAGGAUUUCAAUAAUAAGAAAAGAAGUCAAAUUUAGAAGAUGCUCUUACCCAGCUUAAAACGAAUAUGUCUCAAUUCAUGACCAAAAUACAGACAACUUUUGAAAAUCAAGCUGCAUCAAUCCAGAACCUCGAGGUACAAGUAGGUUAGAUUGCAAACUUACUAUCCAACAGACCACAAGGCUCCCUGCCAAGCAACACUGAGACAAAUUCAAAGGAAAAAAAUGAAUGCAAUUAUGGUUCGAAGUGGUAAACAAUUUAAAGAGUCUCCAAAAGAAGUAAAGGAAGUUGAAGAAGAUAACAUGGAGCAAAAUAAGGACACCACUAGAACACUUGAGACAACAAGUUCAGAAAUUCCACUAUCACAACAAUCAACACUAGUCAAAGCCUAUGUCCCUCCAAUCUUGUUUCCUUAGUGUCUUCAGAAAAAUAAAUUAGAUAAGUAGUUUUCUAAAUUUCUUGAUGUUCUUAAAAAGUUGCAUAUUAAUAUUCCUUUUGCAAAUGUUUUAGAACAAAUGUCGAGCUACACUAAAUUCAUGAAAGAAAUUUUAUUUAAACAAGAGAAAACUAGAAGAGCAUGAAACAAUGUUGUUAACUAAAGAGUCCACUGCAAUUUUACAGAAUAGAUUACCACCGAAGUUGAAAGAUCCAGGGAGUUUUUCUAUUAUUUGCAGUAUUAGAAAUUCUUAUUUUGAUAAAGCUUUAUGUGAUUUAGGUGUAAGUAUUAAUUUAAUCCCUCUAUUUGUUUUUAAGAAAUUAGGACUUGGUAAACCAAAGGCAACAACUAUUUCUCUUCCAUUGGUAGAUAUGUCUAUAAAGUAUCCAAGAGGUAUGAUUGAGGAUGUACUUACGAAGAUCGACAAUUUUAUAUUUCUUAUAGAUUUUAUUAUUUUGGAUAUGACUGAAGAUCAGGAAUGCAAAUCAUUUUAGGCUGACCAUUCUUGGCCAUGGGAAGAACUCUUAUUGAUGUCCAAGAAGGAAAACUAAUCAUUAAGGUGCAAGAUGAGCAAAUCACUUUCAAUGUAUUCGAAGCAAUUAAAUGUCCAUCUAAAAUCGACACAUGCCUUUAAAUAGAUAUCAUUGAUAAAAAAAAAAGUAAUUGAAAGCUUUCACAAUAUAAUGUUGAAUGACUUAUUAGAAUGAUGUAUUAUUCACUCUGGGACUACUCAAUUAGAGAGCUUGGUAGGAGUCCUUAUCGACCAAAACCUUCAAUAGAGGAACCUCCAAAACAUGAGCUUAAGCCUCUACCCUCUCAUUUGAUAUAUGCUUAUUUAGAUGAUAACUCUAAGCUACCAGUUAUUAUUUUUUUUACCUUGACAGAUCUUGAACAGGAAAAGCUACUUCAUGUUUUAAGAGACCACAAAACUGCUCGAGAAUGGACUAUUGUUGACAUCAAGGAAAUAAACCUUUCAAUUUGUAUGUACAAAAUUCUAAUGAAGGAGAUUUAUAAGCCUACAAUGUAGCCACAAAGAUAGCUAAAUCCAAACAUGCAAGAAGUGGUUAAGGCAGAGGUGCUUAAAUUGAUGGAUGCUAGGAUAAUUUACCCAAUUUCUAAUAGUUUACGGGUGAGACUAGUGCAAAUGAUACUAAAGAAGUGCAAAAUGAUAGUCAUGAAAUAUAACACCAAUGAACUUAUCCCAACAAGGACAACCACAGGUUGGCGGAGUAUGCAUGGAUUAUAGGAAACUUAAUGUUGUUACUAGAAAAGACCACUUUUCACGGCCUUUGUUUGACCAAAUGUUGGAGAGAAUUGCUGGCCAUACUUACUAUUGCUUUUUAGAUAAAUAUUCAGGCUAUAAUCAAAUCUUUAUAGCACUAGAAGAUCAAGAGAAAACCACCUUCACAUGUCCUUAUGGAACAUUUGCUUAUAGAAGAAUGACAUUCGGUUUAUGCAAUGCACCCACUUUUCAGCGUUGUUUAAUGGUUAUAUUUUUUUAUAUGGUGGAGAGAUUCAUUAAUGUGUUUAUGGAUGAUUUCUCGAUUUUUGGAUCUUCAUUUGAUCAUUGUUUGAACAAUUUAGAUCUAGUUUUGCAGCGAUGUGAAGAGACCAACUUAGUUUUAAAUUAGGAAAAAUGUCACUUUAUAGUGUAAGAAGGCAUUAUACUAGGUCAUCAUAUUUCUACUAAAGAAAUUGAAGUGGAUAGAGCAAAGAUUGAAGUCAUUGAGAAGUUACCGCCACCGACUUCCGUGAAAGCUAUAAGAAGUUUUAUAGGCAUGCCGGGUUUAAUCGACGUCUUAUUAAAGAUUUUUCAAAGGUAACGAAACCUUUAUGCAACCUUUUACUCAAGGAUGUUCUUUUUAAUUUUACUGAUGAGUGUUUGCAGGCUUUUAAUACUUUGAAAGAAAAACUAACCUCCGCUCCAAUAAAUAUGGCAUCUCAUUGGGAUCUAUCUUUUGAGCUUAUGUGUGAUGCGAGUGAUUUUGUUGUUGGAUAGUUUUUGGGUAGUGGAAUAAAAACAUGUUGCAUGUCAUUUAUUAUGCAAGUCAAUCUCUGACAGACGUGCAAUGGAAUUAUGCUACUACUGAGAAAAAGUUUGGCUGUUGUGUUUGCACUAGAAAAAUUUCGCUCACAUUUGAUUUGCUCAAGGGUGAUAGUUUACACUAUUCAUUCCGCUCUAAGUAUCUAUUCAUAAAGGUAAAUGUAAAAUCAAGACUGAUCCAUCAGGUGCUUUUACUAUAAGAAUUUGAUUUAGAGAUUUGAGACAAGAAGGGAUUUGAAACUUUGGUGGUGGAUUACUUAUUUCGGUUAGAGCAAAGAGAGCAAAAAGAUAAUGUAGUGGUUUCAAUUAUUGAAGAAUUUUCUAAUGAAAAGUUACUAGUUCUUUAAACUUUUGAAUGUAGAAUUUUCUAAUAAAAAGUUACUGGUUCUUUAAACUUUUGAAUGUAGAAUUUUCUAAUGAAAAGUUUCUGGUUCUUUAAACCUUUGAAUGCAGUGGUUUCAAUUAUCGAAGAAUUUUCUAAUAAAAAGUUACUGGUUCUUUAAACUUUUGAUGCACCAUGGUAUGCAAAUUUUGUAAACUAUUUGGUGAGCAUCAUUGUUCCUUUUAAUUUAUCAUAUCAACAGAGGCAAAAAUUCCUCUCAUAUGCCAAAUCUUAUUUUUGGGAAGAUCCAUUCUUAUAUAAGUAUUAUUUAAACCAAAUCAUUCAAUGAUGAGUUCUAGAAGAAGAGAUGAGAUGCAUUCUAUAGCACUGUCACUCCUAUGAGGUUGGUGGACACUUGGGUGUAUCCAGAACUUCAGCAAAGGUGCUUCAAUCAAGUUUUUAUUGGCCCAUCUUAUUUAAAGAUGCUUACAUUUUUGUUGCUACUUGUGACUAAUGUCGAAGAACUGGUAACAUUUCAAGGAAGAAUAAAAUGUCGUUAAAUAAUAUUCUUGUAGUAGAAUUGUUUGAUGUUUAGGGAAUCAACUUCAUGUGUCCAUUUCCAUCUUUCUUCAAGAAUAAAUAUAUUCUAGUGGCUGUUGAUUAUAUUUCUAAGUGGGUCGAAGCUGUUGCUUUGCCUUCAAAUGAUGCAAGGGUCGUUGUGAAUUUUUUAAAGAAAAAUAUUUUCUCACAAUUUGGCACUCCAAAAGCCACUAUAAGUGAUGGUGGGAAAUAUUUUUGCAAUUGGCAAAGCCCUCUUGAACAAAUAUGGAGUUACACAUAUAGUUGCCACUCAUUACCAUCCACAAACCAGUGGCCAAGUUGAAGUCUCUAAUCGGGAAUUAAAGAGAAUUUUGGAGAAAACUGUAAAUGUGUCAUAGAAUAAUUGGUCGAAAAAACUAGACGAUACACUUUAGGUUUAUCAAACAGCUUUGAAAACACCUAUUGUUAUGUCUCCUUAUAAUCUAGUAUUUGGAAAAGCAUGCCAUCUGGCUGUUGAACUUAAGCAUAGGGCAUAUUGGGCUAUGAAGAUUUUGAACUUUGACAUGCAAGCUGCAGGAGAGAAGAGAUUGUUGCAACUUAAUGAAAUAGAUGAAUUUCUCAAUGCAACUUAUGAGAAUGCUCAAAUCUGUAAAGCCUGUACUAAAAAUUUGCAUGACAAACAUAUCCUCUGACGUGAAUUUUAGGUUGGUCAAAAGGUUUUAUUAUAUAAUUCUUGACAUUGAUUCUUCCUAGGUAAGUUGCGAUCAUUUUGGUUGGGCCCUUUUACAAUAACACAAGUCUUUUCGUCUGGCGUGGGAGAAAUUUCUCAUUAGGGAUGGCAAAAAUCCCCACGGGGACGGGUACUCUCGGGGAUUUUCUCCAUUCGGGGAGGGUAUGGGGAUAAUUUCAUACCCAAUUUCUUAUUUGGGGAAGGGACGGGAAAUUUUUUUUAUCCAAUUUCUUAUUCGGGGAGGGGACGGGGAUGAAGUAAAAUCCCCAUCCCCUACCCAUUUCCCUAUUUUAAUUUUUAAUUUAAUUUUUAUUUUUUAAAAUUACUAGUAAAUAAAUAAUAAAAUUUGAAUUAUAAAAUUAUAAGUAUUGGUAAAAAUAAAAAAUAUCAAAAUAUUUAUAUUAUUAAACUUUUAAGCCUAAUUAACUAAUUAAAGUCCUAAAUUUUUAUUUAAGACAUUAAAAAGACCGGACAGAUUCUAUUAGCCCAAAACUUUUGUUUUAAUUUUAAUAUUCAUUAAAUAUUUUAAGCUUAAAUCUAUUUUUUAUUUAUCUUAAAUCUAUUUUUUAUUUAUUUUUAGAUGUUAUAAUUGCCCACAGCAAAUCACAAUUUUAAUAUCUAAUUUAAUCUAAUAUUUGCUCUUGAUUUGCUUCGACUUAACUAUUGUGCUGUAAAGGGAAUAGUCCACAUUUAUAAAGUGUCCACGCCACCAUUGAAAAGUUAAUUUAGAAUCUAAAUUUGAUUUUAUUUGUAACAAUUUUGUAUUAGGCUAUUAAUUUGUUCAUGAUAGUUUGUAUCUCUUACAUGCUGCAUUACUUACUAAUUUAAUGUAUGUGACUUUUGUAAUGGAUAUUGAUGUAAGAUAUAUUUCGAACUUUACUUUUAUUUGAAUUUUUUAUUUUAAUAUGAUUAACUCAAAAUCGAAAACAAAAAAAAUGUAUUAGUUAUUCGAGGAUCGGGGACCCUCGGGGAUCCCCUGUUAUUAUUCGGGGAGGGGAUGAAGAUUCUCUUAAAUAAUUUUGACGGGGAUGGGGAGGGGACGGGGACAUACGCAAAAUAUCAGGGAUGGGUACGGGGAGAUUGGUCCCCUCCCCUCCCCUCCCCAUUGCCAUUCCUAUUUCUCAUUAUACAAACAGGUCAACGGUCAUUGAUUGAAACCCUUUUGGAUGAUUCAUUUGAUAAAUACAAGAUAGCUAUUGGGAUGUCUAAUCCUGAAUGACGACCCAAGACAGUCAAGCUAAUGACUAUAAAUUAGGCACUUCUUAGGAGGCAACCCAAGCUUUCAAAACUUCACUUAUUAUUAUUUUUAUUUUGUAUUUUCAUUUUUCCUUAUUUCAUUUGUUAUUCUUUUCUUUUACUUAUUUUAUUUUAUCUAGGUUUCUGCAUAAGUUUGAGGGUCGACGAUCAUCAACUUUGCACAUGCCUUUCAACGACUCAACUACAAGUUCACAUCUUCAAGUGCAAAACUGGGGAGUUUCUCUUUCCUUUUCUAUCUAUUUACAUUAAGGACAAUGUUGAUUUUAAGUUUGAGGGUGGGAAUAUUUGCUUUCAUUUAAAAAUAAAUAAAAUUUUGUGUUGUUUGUAUGUUGUUUUUAUGCCAUUGAUGAGUAUAUGGUUGAAAAUGAAUAUGGUUAUGAGAAACGGAUGAAUAUUGUCUUAAUUUAUAAUUGAUUCUUGUUUUAAUUUCUCUUGAUUGUGAUUAUUUAAAUAUCUGGAACACUUAUAUCGAUUCUUUCAGAUUGUUUACCUCGAUUCUACAUUACUUGUGUUUACCCUGGCACCACAGUCAGAAAUAGUUACUUAUAACCCUUAAGAGUGAAGCUAUCCUUUAAUAAUUUGGGCAUAUGUACCAUCAAUAUGUAAAGGAUAAUCUAUCAUGAAAAAAAGGCUACCUUAAGGGGUAGAGGUAAAAGCUCCUUACUAUAUAUAUAAGAAAAGCAAAAGCAUGUGCUUUACGAGAAAUCCCAAGAAAAUACAAAUUUAGGCAUGUGCAUUUUUAUUUUUUAUUUUUAAAAAAUCAAGAUGAUGAGGUUAGUUUGACCUAUUUUGUUUAUUAUUUGAUACAAGGGCUGUUGAUAUUGAAAAUUUUUAGAGUGAGUUUUGAUUGAAUCAAUUUACACACAAUAGAAGAAUCCAAUGUGGGAUGAGGCUGACUAUUGAAUUAAAGUUAGAGCUUUGCCGAUAUUUAUAAUUUUCUUUGAGCUAUAUACUUUAUGCAAUCUCUGAGGCAUUUUUGAUGAUGUUUAUGGGUACCAUUGCUGAAAACCCUCAUGAGACUUUAACUCGUCCACUAGAGCAGCCUAGGGGUUUAAAGGUUUGUUGCAUAUGCUAAAUGCAAUCGUGAUCACCAGCAAAAGUGGUUCAAUUAGGAUUUUCUUCUUGUAGUUUCCGUUUUAGUUUUUACUCGAGAACUAGCAAAAUGUUAAGUUUGGGGGUAUUUGAUGUGCUAAUAAUUUAUAUAUUAAUUUAAUGUUUCCCUAACUUAAUUUCAUGUCAAAUUAUAUUCUAUUAUGUUAAUUUUUAUCUUAAUUUUUAUAUUUUGUUAUUUUAGGUAUAAUAUGGGAUUAAAGAAAAAUUGAAUUAGAAUAUUCAGGAAAAAAAUCUGCUUGAAAGAAUUAGAAAGGGAAAGAAAUAAAGAAAUUCAAUUUAAACAAAUCAAGCAAGAUUUACCAUCAUGCAUGCAAUCGCGCGGGGGGGAGGGGGGGGGGGGGUGGGGGUUGUGGAGCAUUGAAGAUUUAGUUGACAAAUAUGGCAUGCACGUGAACUUGGGUUCUUGAAUUUGCAAUAUGAUGACGUAAGAAUUUAAAAGCGGUUUGGCUUACUUUCAUGAGUUUGUUUUUUAAUCCUUUUGGGUUAAUGAUUUUAAGGCCAUCGAUUGAGUAUUAUACAAAGAAGAAAACAGGGCAAAAGCCAAAGCAGGCGCAAAAACAAAUCAAGGAGAAGCAGCUACAAGGCAUCCAAAGAGAAGCCGGAUUAAUUCUUGGGUUUUUCUUUUCCUCAUUUCUAUUGUUGUUCUUGAAUGUUUCCUAAAAUGUUUAUGAAUUCUUUUAUAUUCCUAUAAACUAAUUUAUUUUGAUGGGGCUACGAUGUAGCCUAAUUAUGAAAAUUUAAUUUCAUAAAUCCAUGUUACUUUUAAUUUAUUAUUCCAUGAUUGAGUGCUCAUUAUUGUGCUUAAUACUUUUAAAUAUCUGGCCAAUAUUUGAAUGAUUUGAGGAUACGUAAUGAGACCAAGAGGAGAUUUAUAUAUUUUUGCUCUAUGUAAUGAAUGCCGUGAAUUGAAUGAAAGACAAACAUGCGCUAGUGUGAUUCGUGCAGUUUUAUCUAAAAAUUUCUAUAGAGCUUAAUGAAUUUUUACAUAUUUAAAUUUACAUGGAGAUAUAGUUAGUUAAUAUGUGGGAAUAUUUUUAAUAUUAUUCGGGAGAUGAUAUUGAAUAGAUUAGGGAAAUUCACUGUCAACAUGAGUAAUAAUCUUUAAUAACAUAGAUGGAUGAUUAAAUUGAAUUAGUUAUGGUGAAACCGGAUGUCAUAGUGUCUAAAUCUCUUUUAGUGAUUUCUAUUACUAAUUGCAUCUUUAUUUAAUUUUUAGUUAUUUUAUUUAGUUUUUAAUUUAAAUUCACUUAUUUGGUUAUUCAAAUAAAUUAGAGUUAGAAUAAUUUCGGUAUCUAAUAAGAUAUACAAUUUUCGUGGGAUGAUACUCUACUCUUCAUUAUUUUACUUGAGCCAACUAUUAUGUACACUUGCUAAUUUACACAACACUCCAUCCGAAGGCUCAAACGAAAAUCUGUCGUGCUUGUUUUCCACCGAUUAGCGUUGUCCCAAUAUGGUUCAUAAUCAACGGUGUAAAACAGUUUGAAAACUGCAUCGAUGGAUAUGUUCACUUCUGGGACUGUGCCGCUCCACCGUAGCUAUUACACCAUUGGAUUUUUUGAGUACCCCUUUGACUUGAUUGUAAAACUAAAAAUGACUCGGUCGAACCAGUGCACGGCUUGAGCAAUUGUCACUAGAUCUACGGUUGAUUGUGCUGCGAAAUUUUGUUCAAGUUCAGGACAUUGGUGGUGCAGUGCAGCGAUAUCAAAUCGUCGGUCGCUUUGUUGCAAAUUCUAAUUGUUUGGGGCUCGGGUCCGAGCCUAUAACAUUUUUUAACAUCCCAGCUAGUUGAAAAUUUACAUACAAAUAUAAAGUUAGGGUAGGUAGCAAUCCAGGGUUUUGGUUCUACGGGGGGCCAAUAAAGAAAAUAAAAACUAAAGCUGGCUGUAACACUAUAUCAGUAAAAUUAAGAUGCUAAUAUCGUAGGAGUUAUCAGGCGAAGCCAAAUUGAACUUGGGAAACCUUAGAAGUGUUCAAUUUUGACCCCGAUUUUUCAUUUUUAACUUUUUAGGACUUUCGAAGAUUAAAUAGUCAUGGACUUGGCUUUUUUCCUUUGUGCUUCAAUUUUUGUAAAUGUUGGUCCGGGUUGUCUUACCUUGUGGUUCAUUGUUGUAAAGAAUUUUAAUAAUAAUGGAAACAGAGGAUCCAUCGUGGUCUCUUUGGAACAUCCGAUAAAAUUAGAACCGAUACGGAGAAUGAAGAGAAUGCACCAUGGAUGAUGAAAUGAAGCAACAAGACAUUCAGUUUUCACAACUUAUACUCCAAGCUUAGUAUCUAAAUUUUCAUAAAAAUGAAGUGAUUCAUUGCAUCGGAUUUGGGAGCCCGGAGGACUUUUGAUUUUGCAUUUUACAAGUAAAAUCAAUGGGGAAGAGGAUUCUAAACUUCACAAAAGUUGAAGAAAAUCAAAAUAAGUAAAUUCAACUUUUCUCUCUUUAGACUAUCUUUUACUUUUCACUCUCUUUAUAUUGACGUGUUUUCUUUCUUUUUCUGUUAUACUAAAAACCAGGGACUAUUUCUAUUUUUUUAAUAAAUCCAAAAAAAUUAAUUUCAACGCCAGAAAAACUUCUAUUGCCUAUUAUUGAUUUCUGUUAUAGCAAUUGUUCAUGGAUUUCUGCUGAAAAUUCAAGAGAUUGACAAAUUGACAAACCUGCUGAAAAUUCAAAACUUCCGUUGAUUUAAAACUUUUAUUGCCUAUUAUUGAUUUCUGUUCGUGGAUUCCUGCUGAAAAUUCAAGAGAUUGACAAACCGCUCUCCUACAUAUAAAUUUAAAUACUGACAUGGAGGUCUGGUUGCAAGCCGACAAAUCAACUCGACUAGAUUCAUCAUCAACAAUAUGUAUUAAUUUGAGCUUGAAUAAACUAUUAUUAAUUUCCUACUUUUCCAAUUCUCAGAUAAACUGGAAAUCGAGCAACCUUUUUACUCUGGCCAUCUGAAUUCCAAGCAACUUUAAACUUCUCCAUCAUAUUGUCUGUCAAAAGCUCAACACCCCUGUUCUUAGCCGUCUGAUAACCUGAACUUGACCGUAUGAACGUUAAGUAAUCAUCUAAAUCCAUCAACUUCUCUAAAACAAACUGAUCAAACGGCCCCGUAUUAUCCACCCCAUCUACAGGCUCAAAUGGAAAAUCAAUGCUCAUGUACUUGUUCUCCACCAAUUUAUGUUGUGGUUGCCGAAAUGGCUCAUAAUCAACGGAGUGAAAUGACUUGAAAACUGCAUCUACGGACUCGUUGAUUUCGGGCCAGUAGUAGGUCCAUGCCGCUAUUACUCCAUUAGGUUUUUUGAGUACCCAUUUUACUUGUUUGUAAAAUUGAGGCAAGUCAAACCAAUGUAGUGCUGUAGCAAUUGUCACUAGAUCUACACUUGAUUGUGUUGCCACAUUUUGUUCAAGCUCAGUUAUGGACAUGGUUGGAGGAGUAAGUUGAUACCGAAUGUUGGGGAGCUUUAUUGCGAAUUCUAGCUGCUUUGGGCUUGUGUCUGUAGCAAUGACAUUCUUGUAGAUUGGUGCAAGCUGAAGACAUAAUUGAGAAAAAAUAUAAAAUAUAGGAGGCUAUAACAAAAGUACACAAAAUUGAGAAGGCCAUAUAUAAAAAUUACAUAGACAUGGUGAAAUUUCAACCCAUACUCAGUUUUUGUGUUUUUUUUUUUUUCAUCCUCAAGGUUGCCGGGAUACUCUAGUUCCCCCCUCGGUAGUUAGAUAAGAUUUUUCUGUACUAGUCUCACGACUAAAUUUCCAGAUAAUGUGGAUAUUGAUUUGUAGAUAAUACAUACAUAAUUAAUCAAUGAAAAUAAUAGGGAUUUAACUAGGGAUUGGCAAUGGGAGGAGAUCGACAUUCCUGUAUCUAUUUCUGAUACUCUACUUGUAUCCUUCUACUCUCCCCGUCCUUUUUAAAAUUGCUUGAGGAUAGGGAUGGGGAUCCCCAAAAACACCCGAUCCCGAACAACUGAUUUUUGAACUUGAUUUAAUCAUAUUAAAGUAAAAAAAUAAAUCAUUUAACAACACAAACACAUCAAAACAAACUAAAAUCAUUAAAAUCAUUUUCAUCAAACUAAUUAAGUUAGUGUCAUCAAAAUUACAAGAUAAUCGAUGAAAUUAAGUAAAAAUAGAACUUCAGGGUUGAACACAUACAUAAAAGUUACAUGGUAUAAACCAUUAAGAAAAUUAUCUUCGUCAAUCUUCAAGUGUUCAUAUCUAUUAUGAUAUUUUUUUUAUUUAUAUCCAUACCAUCACAAUUUAAAUUUUAAAUAUAAUUACUAAAAAUUUUCACAGAAAUAAAAUAAAAUAAAAAAUGGGGAAACGAGAGAGAUGAGGAAUUCACUGAAUCCUCAUCUUCUCCCUGUAUAAGAUAUUGAGUGUUAAGUUAUCUCUGUUCGUUCCCCGAAUUUUAAUUAAGAUACAAAAUUGUUCCCACACCCUACACAAAUGGGAAAAAUCCUUCAAGAUUCGUCCCAUGAGAAUUUCUGCUAUCCCUGAAUUUAACAGUUAUAUAAUUCAACUUUCUUAUAGCUUGGGAUCAGAAUUCUGAAAUAUUAAUAUCGAACUUUUGUAUUAUUCAAAAAUUAAAUCUAAAGAUGUGAAAAGUAAACUUACGGAUGCAGCGGCCUGGCCGCUUCCGGUGCCGACGUCCCAUACAAGCUCGUGUUUGGGUGUUUUAGAGGCAAUGAAUUUGAACAAUUCUUCUGGAUAAUUUGGUCGUGCUUCCGCGUAUUGCUUUGCCUGCUUAACGAACAUAUCUGCCAUCUUUUCUGUUUUUUUCUAAAUAAGUGUUGACAAUAGAAUUGAGAUAAAUCUACUGAUCACUUGUUUCGUUUCUUCUUUAUAUAGGUUUUAGAAUUUGAUGUAGUAGACGAACAGACAAAUUUUAGUUAGAAAUUAAUUUGGUAUGGUUUAUCUGGGGAAGCCCAGAACGAGGACAAGCUCAUAAAGCGUUAAAUUUUGACCGAACUUUUCAUUCUUCCUUUAAUUUUCAAAGAUUCCCUUUUCUUCGCAAAGAUGAUGGUAUGGACUUCAUCAAUGAGCCCACAUCAACUCCACUUAGAGAAUUUUUUUGGGAUAAUUUUGUCAUUAAUUUAAGCUGUUAAAGGUAUCUAAAGAAGUAUUGAACUACUACUUUGCUCUCUUAUGGGGUUAAGAUGGCGGAGUUUAAAGGCAGAUUCACCUCAUGACCAUUAGGAGUUCAAGCUUCCAAUGGAGAAAAUAAUUUAAAAAAAAGUAAUGAGAUGAUUGUUUGAAUUAUUAAUUAGAACCAUUAAAUUUAUUAAAAUAAUCGUGUUAAAUUUAUAAAAAUAGGUCCACAAAUUCAUAAACCUAUAAAAUUUAAAUUUUGACUUUGAAACAUAUAAAAGCUCAUGCUUUAAUUAAAAAAAUAAAUGUUUACAGUAGUCAAAUUUAUUAUUAUUUAAUUUAGCCCUAUUAAAUUUACUAAAGUAACCUCUACAAACUCAUUAAUCUAUAAAAUUUUAGUAUUGAUUACAUUUUGUUAUUAUAUAAUUUAAUCCUCUGAAUUCGCUACCAUUUGGAAUUGGCUCUCUAUUAUUACUCGAUCUAGUCCAAGUUCAAUCAAAGUUGGCUCUCUAUUAUUACUUGUUCUAGUCCAAGUUCAAUCAAAGUUGGCUGUCUAUCAUUGACACUUCUCGUUCAGGUUCAAUGAAAGAGAUCAAAGCAGAGUUUGUUUGCGAUUCAGUUUGUGUAAAUGCAUGUAGGUCCAGGUUGUCUUAUUUUGUGGUCCACUGGUGUAAAGAAUUUAAAAAGUAAUUGGAUAAGAGGAUGCGUCUUGGAUGAUGAAAUGAAGCAAUAACACAUCUUCAUGUGCAGUUUUUACGACGUGCACUCGGUAUGAUUAUGAAUAAAAAAAUUAUUAUCCUGUGGUGUAUUUUUUAUCCUGUAAUUAAUUUUGUUUGUCUUUUAAUAUUGUGUGCUUUUAUAUUAUUUUUUGUACACGUGUCAUUCAUUGUUUCACUACUAUUACCAUGCUCCUAAAAACCUUACUUUUUUUUUUUUUCGGAAGAUGCCGCAUUUGCUUGAUUUCAACAUUGGCAUGCUCGUCCUUCUUACGCUUUUGUCUUUCUAUAAUCAUCAUAUUCAAUGGCAAAAUUUCAACAAGAUAGAGCAAACAUUCAACAAAGAUAAGUCUUCUUAUUGGAUUAGGCAUAGAUUUUUAAUUAAUUUGUUAUGGAAGUUGGUGGCUAUCCACUAUCAGCUUAGAUCAAUUUAACUAGCUAUACUUAAUUAGCUAAGUUAUUUGGGUGAGCAAAGUCUGUUAGUAGUAAAGCUCGGAAAAUCACCUAAGAAAAAUUGAAAAAGGACCAUCAAAUAUACACAGUUUGCUUUGAUUGGCCAUUCAACAAAGCAUCUGAAGAGAUUGGAUGGCUAAAGAGCUAAGGCUUGGCUUUGUUUUGAUUGGCUAAUGGAUCCUAUAAAUAGAGAGCACUGCUCUUCGUGAUUUGUAUCCUAAAUUGAAACCUCAUCAAUUACAAAAAUAUCACCUUCCUUUGUAUCAUCUAUAUAUUAAUUUAUACUUUCUACAUAUAUGUUGUCAAUGAUUAUAACACGUUAUUAGUUAGCACGACAAUCAUUUUGGUACAGGAAGUAUCUUAUCCCCUGCUCUUUUAUUUUAUCUAUUUAAUUAAUAAAGCUAUCUUUAUAAAUAUACUCUGAAGUUGUCAUUAAUUUGGAUCUUCCACAUAAAAAAAAUAUGACUAGCUAUUGUAUUUCUUCUUGUUUAUUUUAUUUUAUUUUUAUAAUAGAGGGGCUCUAGAACGAGCUAAGGUAAAACAUAUAGGGAGUAAAUAAUCCCAUACAAAUCAUUUGCAAUAAAACUAACAACCCCUGGAGGAGGAAUAGAAAAAAGAUGCAAUCCCAAGGGCAGCUCCAAGGCAUAAUUUGUUAGGAAGUCCGCUGCGAAAUUUGCUUCACGAUAUAUGUGGUUGAUGGUUAUAACCCAAUUUCGCUUGAUGAGAUCUCUAAUGGAGCGGAUGAGGUGGGUAUACUCGUUGAUGCUCUCCAUCUCUAAUGGAGCGGAUGAGGUGGGUAUACUCGUUGAUGCUCUCCCUGUGGCUGUUAACCAUCUGAACAACACAGUGGCUAUCCACUUCCACGUGUAAAAACCAAGCACCAUGUUGCCAUGUUAAAAUUAAUCCUUGGUAAAGGCCCCAAAGUUCUGCUGCAAUAACUGAACAGACGCCUAUGUUGAAGCCAAAGCCAGUGAGCCACAUGCCUUGGUGGUUGUGUAUGAGACCUCCAGCACUUGAUGCCCCCAACUCUUUUCUUGCUCUGUCUGUGUUUAGCUUGCACCAGGGCCAGUUAGGUAACUUCCAGGUGAUCAAUCUCUCAAUUUCUCUUGAUCUCAACAACCAAAGAUGAGUUGUUGAUGUUCUAAAUCUCCUCAACUCUAGCUUUAAUAUCUUGUAUUAUACUAAUACUGUCCAUUAUAAAUAAAGAUAAAACAAAACCUUUUUCAAGUCACGGUGUUGUGCAAAUUUUAUUGAACUCGCAAGUGCACGAAUCUAUUGUAGAAUAGACUAAUGGUGACGAGUGUCGAUCCCACGAGAAGGUGGAUUUUAAUUGUGUGUAGAAUUAAUUUUGUAAAUGGGUGGUUGGAUUUGUGGUGAAAAUGAUUUGGAUUAUCCUAAAAUUCGAAUUAAGAUGGCAAGAGUAAAUUGAAGUGAAAAUAUAUUAAAUUGACGUACUUGGGUAUCUGGAUCCGUAUCAACAUGCAUCAUGGGCUAAAUAUUCUUUAUUAAUACCAAUUAAAUCAUGAGGGGGGAAUCCACAUCUCAUGAACCACACUCUAAUCAAUAUGGUGCUAAGGGCUUAUCGUGCCAAAUAAUACUAACCUUGUAUUAGGAAGCCAGUGAAACCAAGGCGGUACUAAACAAGAUUAUUAUUAUUUGUCGACGAGAAGUCAAAACAUCCACAAACACUAGAGGGGAAUAGAAAAUAAAUUUACCAAAUAAAGCCCAUGACACAUGUUGAGACUUCACCUUCAACCCAAGCUUGAAAGAAAAUUAGUCACUCAUAAUUGAACUAGGGGAAAAAUGGGAAUUUAUUAAAAUACGUAGAAAAUACAAGAUAGAGAAGGAAUUAUAGAUCCCAAAAAUGGAUUCAGAGAUAUCAAAUUAGGGGGGGAGGCCCCCUUUUUAUAGAUACAUUGAGUAAAUCAUGGCCAUCGGAUUAAAAACAGUUUGGACGCUCAGGAUUGCGCCACGUCAUCAGUCAAUAGUACGCGGUUUGACCACGCGGGUGAACAGUAACACGGUUUGACCGACUUUGAACAGUAACGCGGUUUGGUUGAAAAUAAUCCUGUGUAAUGCAUGUACCGUACGCGCAAGUUUUGGUCCACUAAUAUGCUGCCACGUCACCAUCAACAGUUCAUAAGAAUUUUAGACCAACAGAAUCAUGACACCUCAUCAGUCAAUGCCAUGUCAUCAAUCCGUCUAUGUGAACAGUGUCGUGAACAGUAACGUAGACAGUACCGUACAUGUAAAUAGUACCGUACAUGUGAACAAUGCCAUUUUUCCUUUUAUGCUCCUCCUAAGGUUUUCGACCGUCCUGAGUUCAAAAGUGAUGUCCGUUUUGCCGUCUGAUCUCUCGUUUAUUGUGAAAUGACCAUGAUGCCCCUAAAAUACAUAAAAUACUUAAUUAAAAUAAAACACACGGAAUUAAAUCAAAAGAAGGUUACAUACAUAAAAGUAAGGGUGUUAGUAAAACUUGAAGUAUAAAAUGACGAUUUUCUCCUUUAUAAAUAUACAUUUUCUAACACUCAACACACGGGUUCUUUGUAUAUCAGCCUAUGUGGAUCCCACGAUUGAUAUUGGUUUCGUCUAAUUAGCUGGCGACGGUGACGAACUCAUUCUCUUUUUUUUAAUCAAACUUUCAAGCCCUAACUUUAUCCAAGUUCUUCACAAAAAUUUGAGGCUUAUUUCCAAGGGUAUUUUAGGUCAAGGAUGGUGGCUUUGAAGGUUUAUAGAAGCGGCUUGUGAGGUAGAUCAUUGUUAGAUAGAGAGAGAGGUAGAGACAAAGAGAGAGAGAGAGAGAGAGAGAGAGAGAGAAGAGAGCUUCAGUUCAGAGAAGAAAAUGGCCAUGGGGAUAGAUUUUUUGCUUAUCAAAAUUUUUAGAUUUUAGGUUUCCAUGUACACCUCAUUAAAACAGCAUAGUUUCUAGAUAAUUUAAUUUAAUUUUUAAUAAUUACUACAUCAAGCGAAAAUACAACUUGUGGUCUGGUUGUUUAACGUUUAAAAUUAAAAAGCUAAAGCUUAGAAGUCUACGGUUCGACUCCUAGCGUAUACAAAAUUAAAAUUUUAUUUUGUUAAUUACUGAUACCUUAAUGUCACAUAUCUUUGAUACUUAUCUAUUAAGUGCAGAAAAUGUCCCAAAUGCAUGUAAUUACUGAUACUUUUUAAUAAAGUGUCACAAGAUAAGUGUCAACAAAUACCAUUUUUCUUGAAGUGUUAAUUAAAAAAAUUCGAUUUUACCCUCAAUGAAUUACACAGUAAACAACAAUAAAUUAACGGAAGGGUGUUUUGAGCUUUUUUUUUUUUAAAGUAUGGAUGAAAUGAACUGUUGUUUGAAUAAUAAGGAUGAAUUAGGCUAUUGCAACAAAUUCAAGGGAUGAAAAAGGAUUUUUCUCUUUUACUUAGGUGCUGUUUAUUUUUUAGUUUGAAGUUUGAAUUUAAUUUUUUUUAGACAUUUGUUUAUUUUAGGUUUUUUUUUUAACUUAUCACUUAUUGUCAUAUAGUUUAUCUGAAUAGAAAAAGUAGAAAAAGUUCACUUUAUUUGAAGUCUGAAGUCUAAAUAUAUAUUUUUAAUUUCAAAUCUCAAAAAUACCCUUAACAAUUCAUGUAUUUCUAAUAUUAUGUAUAAACCUUAUAUUUUUGUAUUAUUCUUGAAGUUAUUUUUCUAAUUGCUUUAAAUUUUUAUUCACAUGAUAACAUUAACUAAACUGAAAUAUUGAACAAAUCAAAUUAUGUUAAUUGUGAUGAAUCAAAAAUAAAAUAAUAGUGUUGACUUUAUAAUAAACUUUAAUGUUAUAAUUACAUCUUUCAUUAAAAAAUUAAAAGAAGAUCAACAAUGAUAAUAUUUUUUUUAAUGUUACCAAACUAAUCAACCUGUGAAAAUUAUAACUGUGAAGAACAAAUAUAUGCACCACUUAAAAUGAUAUUUAUGCCAAAUUACUAGUUUUUAGGAUUUUCUCUUUAGAUGUUGAAAAAGAAAAACAAAGAUGUCAUUCAAAUAUUUUCAUUCAUAUUUAUUCAGAUUUUAGUUAAAUUCAGAUCUAUUCAGAUUUCAGAUUAAAAAAAAAAAUGCAAUCUUAGUUUAUAGGUACAGGACUCCACUCUAGCAUGGUUUUUAAUAUAAAAAGAGAGAGAGAGAGGAGAGAGAAAAUGGAUAAAAGAAAGAGUAAUGAUAAAAAUUAAAAUAAUGCUCGUGGGCAUUUUAGUCAAUUCAAGUUGAGAUGAAUGGAAAUCAAAAAAUAAAGAGGAAACCUAUUUGAAGUUUUAAACCGAUAAAAAAAAUAUUUUAUGUUGUAUUUCUCCCGAUACCCAUUAAUUAAAUUUUAAAUUUAUGAUUAUCCUUUAAACAUCCCUCUUAAUUUCAAAAAUAGCCCUUUAUUCUUUUCCACCAUAAUGGUGUUUUAAGCGAUACAUAAAAUGUUUUUCUACCAUAAUUUUGAAUUUCAAAAACUUGCUUUAGUGUUGGUUAAAAAUAAUUAUUUUUCAGGAUUAAUAAAAGUUUCUUAUCAUAAACUCAUUGUAAUUUUUUCUUAGUUGACGAAACUCUACAAAACUGAAUUUGUGUCCCUAGCAAUGCCACUUUGAAGCUUUUACAAAAUUAAUUGUGAUGUCACUGAUGUGUCUAUUAUUUUAAGCUACAAUCAAGGCAUAAAACCUUGUCAAUCUUGUAAUAUGCUGGUGUUGGGGAUUUGGCGAGGGUAUUGUAAUUAAAAACUUCAAUUACAUUAAAAGAUUUAGGAAUAAUGUUUUAAUUAUAGAUUCAUAGCGGAAAUCCUUUUUUGGGAUCCUUUUAUUAAGCUGUAGUCACAGUCAAAUAAUCAUUUGGCUUUAAGUUUUUGAUAUAUAUAUCUAUAUAUACAUGCACACAUAUACAUACAUACAUAUGUAUGUAUAUAUAUUCAACAGAGAAGAUUGAAACUAUAUGUAACACAUUAGACUGAACUUGCCCAUGAGCUAUCUGAUCUAAAAUUAUUGAUGAACUAGACAUAGGGGUUCACCUUGUAGGGAAAAUAGAAUCUAGAUCGUUUAAUGCUAUAUUUAAUAUUGGCGUAACAAUUGGACACUAUUAGAUUGCAUUAGAUAUAAGAUAUCCAACAAGCGAUAGCUGAGAAUGCAUAAGGGAUUCUACCCAGUGCUGUUGCAACAGUUUCUCAAUUAGAAAGACAGUAAACACCAUUAAGUCACAUUGCUUUUAUCCCUCUGUCUGACGUGAUAAUUUUCUUUACUACAUUUUUUAUUUAUUGUAUUUUUAUUUUAAUUAGUUUAUUAGUAUUAUUAGUCGAUUUAUUUCCAAUUAAAACAAAACUGCGUUGUUAAGAUUGUUAUAGCAAAUAUGAUAACAUAAAUCCCUAUGGAGACGAUCUGGAUACUCAUCAGUAUAUUACUUGUUGUGUACACUUGAACAUUGACAUCCAUAGCAUUAAAGAUUUUACACACCACAUAUUUACAAAUUAAAUAAGGCUUUGUACAGUUUAAAAUAAGCACUUAGAGCUUAGCUUGUUAGAUUCAAGUAUGUAAGGCUUUCUCAGUGGCAUUUUCAGCACUCCAAGUCUGAUAACUCUCUUUUCCUCAAAUGGGAUAGAGGUCUUUUGGUUCUAGUUUUGGCAUAUGUUUAAGACAUGAUCAUCACUAGCUCCAGCUCUUUUAUAGUUCAACAGGUUAUUCAAGAAAUGCGUUACACAUUUGCUUUAAAAGACUUGGCAAAGCUCCAUUAUUUUCUAGGCAUUGAAGUCAUAAAGACUCAAAAUAUAGUUCAUUUAUCUCAAGCCAAAUAUAUUGUCGACAUUUUAGCAAAACAUGGACAUGGCUAGUUGUAGUCCAGUGCCUAUACCUAUGUGAACUGGUCAUAUCUUAAAGACUUAGGUGAUGAAAUUGAUAAUGCAUCUUAGUGUAAAAGUGUUAUUAGAGCUUUGUAAUAUGCCACUCUCACAACGCGAGAGCUAGCCUUCUCAAUUAACAAAUUAAGCCUAUUUUUCUUACGUCCAAGGACUCAUCAUUAGGAAGCAUGAAUACGACUCUUGAUAUACUUGAAGGGUACUUUACAUUUUGGAUUGCAUUUCUAUAGUUGUCGUGCUAUGCAGUUAAACUAUUUUGUAUAAUAUUAUUGGGCUUGUGAUAGAGACGAUAAGGAUUUGCAAUAUAUCCAGGUCCCAACUUGGUUUUAUAGUUAUCUAAGAACCAAUCAGUGGUCUUUCGAUCAAGCACAAAGGCUGAGUAUAUAGCUUUAACUCAUUCAACUUAGCACCAUGCCUAUAAUCUGGUGUGCCAAUCAAGAAGCAACUACUUUGGCGUAUAACCCCAUUUAUCAUGCUAAAACCAAACACAUUGAGCUGGACAUACAUUUCAUUAGAGACAAAGUUGUAGCCAAGCAAAUUCAAGUUUGUUUUAUACUAAGUGCAGACCAAACAACUAAUUUGUUAACCAAAGCACAUACUUUUAAACGGCUCUAUUACUUGCGUAGCAAGUUGAAUGUUCAUUCUAGACAUUUUAACUUGAGGGAGGUUGCAAGUGAAUCAGAUGUUACUUGAAUGCAGAGCAUAUGGUGCAGCCAAUAGCAGCAGAUCAACUACUAAGCUAAUGUAGCAGAAUUAGCUAUUUGGUUUAACUUGUAUUAAGCAAAGCUCACGUGAGCAUAACAGAAUAAAAAGCAUUUAUAACGGAAUUAGAAGCAUGUAGAAUUCAGCACUAUAAAUAUGUAACGUGCUUUCAUUUCAAUUAAUUAAUUAGAAUCUUCUACAAGUUUCUUCAAAAUAUUCUCUCUCGUUUUCUAGUAUUUCUUGCUACUUUCUUACUUGCCAAACAUCUUCCAAUAUUCUAAUAUUGUACAAGUCAAAAUGUCAAACCAGUGCAUGGCUUGAGCAUUAAUUGUUGACACGACUCAAAAGUAUAUUACUCCCAAGUAUAAGAUUAUCUAGUUAUAAUAUAACCCGGUAAAUCCGGGAUCGAAUCACAGAGAAUUUAAAAUCUAGUUGUCAAUUUAUUGGACAAAGAAAAUUAAUUGCGGUAAAAGAAAUCACUAGAAAAAAAAUUAAAAAUAUGCUAAGGUUUCGAGAUCCACUCUUAAUAUUCAAACUAUAAUUUUAAUACUUUCUCAUUUAUAUUUUUUUCUCACUUUUACCAGUUAAUUAUUAUAUCAUUUAAUUCUAUGUGUGUGGAUAAAUAUGGAAUAAAGUACCUAAUGUGCCACAACUGUAUUAAUGUAUCGACAUUAUGUCAAAAUACCAUAUAGAUCCAAAAGAAUGUAUAAAUUAACAUGACAUAAAAAUAACCAGAAAAUAAUAAAAUAAACUUAAAAACUCACUUUGAGAAAAUAAUAAAUUUAAUAGUUUGAAACUUUAAGCUUUACCCUUCACCUUAGCUUAGUAAAAUUAGCCACUCAUAUUGAAAGAAAACACAACAUUCUUUUUAUUUGAUAAACUUUUGAAAUAUGUUAUAAAGAAAAUUGAUACAAAUGGAAACAAGAAAAGAAAAGUAAGAAAGAAAGAAAUUCUUCAGCUGCACCCUUGGCUACCACUCUCUCUCUCAGCUCUUGGCUCAACUCCCCCCUAAAUUGCUUGCAUCCCCUUGCCUUUUAUAGGUAAGGGAAGCAUCUUCUUUUCUUUUCUUUUAUUAAUAUUAAUAUUUUAUUUUAUUUUUAUAUUAUAUAUACAUAUUGAAAGGGGUGAUGGCCAGGAGGCGUGAUGGCCUCUUGACCAUCACAAGCAACCAAAUCAUAGCUGCCUUUUGUUCUUUUGUUCUUUUUUUUAUUUUAUUUAUUACAUCUCCUUAAUGAUGCAUUCUAAAUUGCUCCAACAGUCCUUCUUUGUUCCCGCUUUCGAUUCCAAUUCCAUCUUUAUUCCUGAAAAAUAUUUACAAGAUAAAAAUUAACAUAUUACGAAUUAAUUUUACAUAAAAAUAUAUUUGGGGAGUAUUAAGAUAAUUUAUAAGUAAUGAACACAUUAAUCGACAUAAUAAGUGAAAAACUAAUAAUUUUAUCGUUAUUAAAUGUACACUUUUUAAUGCCAAUCAAUUGUCGCUUAGAUCAAAGGUUGAUUGUGCCGCCAUGUUUUAUUCAAGCUUAAAAAUGGACAUAGGACAUUGCUGGUGUAGUGAACUGUAUCGAUUGUUGGUGGCUUUGUCGCAAAUUCUAAUUGUUUUGGGCUUGUAUUCGUGCCUGUGGCAUUUUUUAAGAUCCUAGGUCUGAAAAUUUAUGGAACGACUUAAAAACAUUUGAUUUACUCUCAAGUGUAAGAGUACCUAGUUAUAAUAUAUCUCGGUGAGUCCGAGGUCGAUCCACAGAGAAAAGAUUUAAUUAAUUUAUUUUAUUUUAUCUAAAAUUUGAAAAUAAAACUUAAAUACAAACAACUUAAUUUAAAUAAAACUAUGAAAUUGAAUUAGUUAGGGUUGUGGAUUCACUCUUAGUUGUAAAUAAAACUUAAUAAAUUCUUUUUGCCAUUUUUUUAGAUUUAUUGCCCAAAAGAUUCAUUAUAUAAAUUAUUAUUAUUUUCCCUUUAAUUUUAUAAUGGAUUAAGUAUUCAUUGUGCCAAAAUUUAAUUUGUCUACAAUAAGUCAAAAUACCAUUUUACCAUACCUUAUAUUAAGAUAAAAAGAAUUUAUUGUGCCAAACUCCCUUGUUUGUCUACAAUAAAUCAAAAUUUCAUAAUAUAAAAUGCGUAUAAAAUUAAAUAGAAAAUAACUUAAUUUAUAAAAUUAAAAAUAGAAUUUGAUUAAAUCAUAUUUAUUUCCUAAGAGUUCACCUUCCCCUAACUAUUAAUAUUUAGCUAAACAUUUUUUUAAUAAAGGAAAUUACUAAAAUUGAAAAACACAUAAUUAAAAAUGGAAUUUGAAAAUUGAAAUAAAACUAAUUUUAUUGAUUGAAAAUAAAUUACAAAGAGAGAUGAAAAGAAGAAUUUGGGGGGAAAGAAGAGAAGAGAAGGUGUGGAGAGGUGUGUUCACCCCCCCUCUAUUUAUACUAAUACAUGGUAAAUUCUCACCACACAAAUAAAAAAUCUAAUUACAUCUUAACCUUACAUUUGUCCCACUAAUAAUCCCACUAAUGAAACAUAAACCUAACUUAUCCACUCAAGCAUAUCCAAUACAUUCCACUAACAAUUACCAUACCUAACAUGAUAAAAACUUAUAAUUUUAUAAUUGCCACAUUUACCGUGGUAAAAACGUAAAAAUUUACAACAAAAGUCUUGGAUCCUCCUCGACAAUGACAUAAUUUCUCGGACUUCCGGAAUCCAAAUUUAACAUCCAUACAUUUGAUCGGAGCCUCAAAUUGCAUGAAAUUAUUAUUUUUACCUAAUAAACAUAAAAUACAUAAAAUCAAAUAUUUAGAAAAAUAAUUAGAAAUUCACAAUAUGUUACACAAUUACAAAUAUAAAUUACAUUAAUAAAAAAAUAUAACAUUUUAACCCUUAAUAAACAUGCAAUUUUUAACACUAAUCACACCCCCCAACUAGCUUAUUGCUAGCCCCUAGCAAUUAAAGCGUUAUAUUAAAUUAAGAUUUACAAAAUUCACAUGCAAGUUAAUAGUUGUUCAUCUAUCCUCUAAAUUACCAAAUAAAUAAACUCUCCCAAUUUUUUUUUUAAAUCUUGGUCGUCCACUCAUUAUCCAAAAUAUCAUAAACCUUAUUUUCUGCUCAAGUAAUUAACACAAUACUUAUGGGGUUUCAUUAAAAGAAAACAAUAUUUUCGUUUUAAAACUCAUUAGAAAUUCUAUCUUCAGGCAGUAGAUUAUUCAAGCUUUUUUUUUUAAAUUGCAUUUUUAACCCAUGUAGCGAGCUUUAGGUCAGUGUCUCCCAGACCAGUUGACCUUAGGACAAUCCAUAACUAGGCCACCUUUCUUUGACUUUAAUGACUACCCAUAUUGAAAAACUAGGAGAAUUUAUUUGUAAGCUUUAGGUUAUAAAAUUUGGCAAGUUGUUUGUGAUGGUUCAUUCAUGCCUAUGACUAAAAAUAAAGUAGGAGAUGAUAUUCAAAAACCUUCAAGUCAAUGAAGUGAGUUAGAAAAGAAAAAGAUAUCUUUAAACUCUAAGGCAGUGAAUGCUUUGUUUUAUACUCUUGAUAAGAAAGAUUUUCUUAGAGUGUCUAGUUGUAAGAGUGCUCAAGAAAUAUGAAACAAACUUGAAGUUGUCUAUUAAGGGACAAAUCAAGUUAAAGAGUCUAAGAUUAGUAAAUAUACUCGACAAUAUGAAUUUUUCUAAAUGGAACAAAAUGAGAGCGUGUAUUCUAUUUAUACUAGGUUUACAUAUAUUGUGAACACAUUAGAAGCCCUAGGAAAAAUAUUUUCGAAUAGCAAAAAAGUUAAGAAAAUUAUUAGGUCUUUACCAAUAGAAUGGAGACCUAAGAGAACUGCCAUAGAGGAAGCUAAAGAUUUAAAUACUUUGCAUAUUGAUGAUUUAAUUGGUUUUCCUAUUUCAUAUGAGGAAGAUUUGACAGCAGAAAAAGACAAUAAGGAAAAAAAAAAAAAAGAAAAGCAUUGCACUUAAAGCAUCAAAGCAUGCGAGUGAUGAGGAAAGCGAGCUUGAUGAUGAAGAUAUGGCUAUAUUGUCCAAGAGGUUUAAAAAAUUCUUCAAGAAAGCCGGUGAGCGGAAAAGAUUCAGAAACUACAAGAACCAAAAGGAGAAGAAGGAGCUAAUUACUUGUUAUGAGUGCAAGAAUCAUGGACACAUACGAUCGGAAUGUCCUCUUCUCGAAAAGCUUAAGAAGAAGGCAAUAGUAGCCAUAUGGGAUGUUAGUGAUAAGGAAACAAGUGAUGAUAAAGAGCAACAAGAGAUGUAAAAUCUAGCUCUCAUGGAAUUGGGAUGAAUCGUUUGACGAACUUGAUGAAGUAAGUGAUCUACCUAUGAUUAAUUAUAUAAUGCUUUUAAGGAAUUGCAUGAUGUAUGCCUUAAAAGGAAAAUGCUAGAACUUUCAAAUGAAAAUGAUGUCUUGUAAAAUGCAAUGAUUCAUUGAAUAAAAAGAUCAAGGGAUUGGAAUUAGAUAAUGAAAUGUUGUAUGAUAUGAUUACAUCAUUUAAAUAUAAAUAAAGUACUUCAUAUGAGCAUGAAAAAUCACAUGUUGAUAAAUUGAUAAAAGAAAAUGAAGUGCUUAAGAAAAAGAGUAAUGAACUCAACAAAAUUUUGUUAAAAUUCACAAGUGGUCAAAAGAAUUUAGAAAAAUUGCUGAACUCUAAAAAAUGUGUAUUUGAUAAAGGAGGACUUGGGUAUAAGCCUAGCUUGACUUGAAGCAAAAGUAUUUUAGGAAUUACUUUGUUAAAGCUACCUCCACUAGUGAUCAUAAAAUUAAUUGUCAUUAUUGCAAUCAAAAUGGUCAUAUGAAAUAUAGAUGUCUAAUGAAAAGAAAUGCAUUCAAUGGAGUCAAAUGUGUAGCUCCAAAAGGAACUAUUGCUAACACUCAAGGACCCAAAGAAAUUUGGGUACCUAAGACUUGAAAUUUCCUCUGCAUGGUUUGAAGAAGAAAAAGAAUAAACGGCACCUGGACAGUGGUUGCUCAAGGCAUAUGACUAAAAUUAUUCUUGGUUUUCAAGUUUUACCAAGAUUGAAAACAGUAGAGAUGUGUCAUUUGGAGAUAAUUCAAAAGGAAAGAUUAUCAGUAUCGGUAAUAUUAGUAAAAAAUCCUCUACUCUUAUUGAAAAUGUGUGUUUGGUUGAAAACUUGAAAUACAACUUACUUAGCAUUAGUCAAUUGUGUGAUAAAGACUAUAGAGUUAUCUUUGAUAAAUCGAAAUGUGUUAUUGAGAAUGCAUAUGAUGGCAAGAUUUUGUUUGUAGAAAAUAGAUGUGUUAAUGUUUAUAUCAUUAAUAUAGAUUGUGUAUCUACUUAUGAUAAAUGUUUCUCUACAUUACAUGAUUAUAGUUGGUUAUGGUAUAGAAGACUAGGUCAUGCAAGUAUGGAUUUGAUUUCAAAGAUUUCAAAAAAUGAUUUGGUUAAUGGCCUUCCAAAAAUUAGUUUUCAAAAAGAUAGAAUUUGUGAAGUUUGCCAAUUUGAAAAAUAAAUCAAAACUUCUUUAAAAAAAAGAACCAUGUCUCAACUUCAAAACCACUUCAACUACUUCACAUGGAUUUGUUUGGACCUUCUAGAUAUGUAGUUUAAGUGGCAAAUAUAUGCAUUUGUGAUUGUGAAUGAUUAUUCUAGAUACACAUGAGUAUUGUUCUUUGAUAAUAAGAAUGAUGCCUUGGAUGCAUUUAGAAUUUUCUACAAAAAGGUUCAAAAUGAAAAGGGAUGUGCUAUUUCUUGUAUUAGAAGUGAUCAUGUGGAGAAUUUGAAAAUCAUGUAUUUGAGAAUUUUCUAUAAAAAGGUCAACACUGCUUGUUAUGUUUUAAAUCAUAUGUUUAUUAGACCUUAUCUCAAUAAGACUCCCUAUGAGCUUUGGAAAGAUAAAAAACUCAACAUUGGUUAUUUCAAAAUUUUUGGAUGCAAAUGUUUUAUUUUGUAAACAAAAGAUAAUCUUGGCAAAUUUGAUCUAAAAUCUUAUAUUGAUAUUUUUCUUGGUUAUUCAAAUACAAGCAAAACUUAUAGAGUGUAUAAUAAAAGAACUUUGGUUGUGGAAGAAUCUAUGCAUGCUAUAUUUGAUGAGUCUAAUCCUUCCUCUACGGAGAGAGUUGUUGUCGAUAAUAAUAUAGAUGAACAGUCACAACAAGGAUUAUCAAAAGAUAAACAAGAUGAUGCAUCACAUGAAAAUAAAGAGGAUAGACAAUGAGAAUAAAUAAAUGAGGAGCAACAAGAAGGUACAUCUCAAACACUCCCCAAGGAGUGGAGGUAUGUUUCCCCUCAUCCGAAGGAUUUAAUUGUAGGUGAUCCUUCAAGAGAUGUUACCACUAGAUUAUCAUUUAGAAAUACUUGUGAGCACGCUGCAUUCAUAUCUCAAAUUGAACCAAAUUCUUUGCAGAUGCGAAAAAUGAUGAAUCUUGGAUCAUGGCAAUACAAGAGGAGUUGAAUCAAUUUGAGAGAAACAAUGUGUGGAAAUUAGUUUCUAAAUCGGAACAUCAAUCUAUUAGGCACUAAAUGGGUAUUGAGAAAUAAAAUGAAUAAAUCCAGUGUGGUUGUAAGGAAUAAAGAUAGAUUAGUGGCUCAAAGAUACAACCAAGAAGAAGGAAUUGAUUUUGAUGAAACAUUUGCGCCUGUAGCUAGAUUAGAAUCCAUUAGGAUGUUGUUAGCAUUUGCAUGUCAUAAAUAUUUAAUUUUUAAUCAAAUAGAUGUCAAAAAUACUUUCUUAAAUGGUUAUAUUAUGGAGGAACUUUAUAAGUUUUCUAAAGCACUGUAUGGAUUUAAAACAAGCACCUAGAGCAUCGUAUGACAAGCUUAAAAAUUUCUUGCUGGAUAAUGAGUUUUCAAUGGGAAAAAUGGAUACUACUCUCUUUGUUAAGCAUAAGAACCAAGAUAUACUUGUUGUUCAAAUUUAUGUUGAUGAUAUUAUCUUUGGUUCUACUAAUGAGUUUUUGUGCAAGGAGUUUUCAUCUUGUAUGAUGAGAGAAUUAAAGUAUUUCCUUGGACUUCAAAUCAAACAAAACAAUGAGGGAAUCUUCAUCAACCAAGCUAAAUAUGUCAAAGAUCUACUCAAAAGAUUUGACAUUGAUGACUCAAAUCCAAGAGACCUCCAAUGAGCACAACAAUCAAGCUUGACAAAGAUGAAAAAGAUAAUAAGAUUGAUAUAAAAAUGUAUCGAUGUAUAAUCAGCUCUUUACUUUACUUAGCCGCAAGUAGACCUGAUAUCAUGUUUAGCGUAUGUUUGUGUGCAAGAUUUCAAUCAUGUCCCAAGGAAUCUCAUUUGCUUGCUGUGAAAAGAAUUUUUCGUUAUUUGAAUAGAACUAUAGAUCUUGGCCUUUGUUAUCCUAGAGGAACCUAUAUAGAUUUAACUUAUUAUUCGGAUGUCAAUUUUGCUGGUUAUAAAAUCGAUAGGAAAAGCAUUAGUGGAACAUGUCAUUUCUUAGGUCAUUCUCUUAUUUCAUGGUUUAGUAAGAAACAAAAUUCGAUUUCACUCUCAACCACCGAGGCAGAAUAUAUUGCCGUAGGUAGUUGUUGUCCACAAACUCUUUGGAUGAAACAAACACUUAGAGAUUAUGAAUCUUGAACAAAUUCUUAUCAUGUAUAAUAAUAUUAGUGCUAUAAAUCUAUCAAAGAAUCCCAUUUAGCACUCUAGAACCAAGUAUAUAGAGAUUAGACAUCAUUUCUUGAGAGAUUAUGUUCAAAAGGGCAACAUUGCAUUAGAAUUUAUCUAUACAGGAAAAAAAAACUUGCCUAUAUUUUUACAAAACCUCUUUGCGAAAAAUAAUUUUCAAAAAUUUGGCAUAAACUUGGGAUAAUGAAAUUUUCGCAUUAACAUCUCUAAUCAUGUUAUUGAAUCUAUUAAAAUUGAUUGAUUGAUGAUUUGCUUAUGAUUACAAAGUUUUUAAGCAUGAUAAAUGAGUGAUGUAUUUGAAUCAAUAAUCUUUGAAUGCUUACAUGUCUCAUGAUUGUGUGAUGUAUAUGUAUGAUAAAUGUGUUAUAUAUUUAAAUUUAUAAUCUUUGAAUAUUUAUAAUUAUGAUUCAUGCAUUAAAAUGGCUUUUGAAAGUGUUCGGGAUCACGAAAUGGUUUUGGAAUCGAUCAAAAUUAGCCGGAAAGCAAACAUUUGUGCAAAAGGGCAGCAAAGAGACAGUUACCCGCUUGCCCCAAACCCGAGAGUAAGCGGCUAGCCAUUUGCCUCUAAGCGACUAGCCGCUUGGUCACGGUUUUUAUACAUUUCUUCCCCCUUUCUCUUGCUUUCUUCAACCUUUCUCUACUCUCUUUCAUGGCCGUUCAUCUUUCCUCCAUUUCCUCUUAAAUUAUUUUCAUUUCUCAGUCAUUUUCAUGCCAAAAUCAAUCUUUUAAACCAUUACCCAUGCAUUUAACCUUCAUUAAACACUUCCCAAUCAUCAUUUCAUCACUUGUUUCUCCAAAUCUAAAAAUCAAAACCUAAGCUUACCUAUAUCUCUCUCUUAUAUUUUAGGCUCUUUUUAGCUCAUUUUUUUUAUCCAAUUAAUACCAUACAUUGCCUUAAAUCAUCUCUAGGAUCAAUUUUAUUGAUUCAAAUACAUUCAUUUCACUCAAAAUCUUGAAAAUUCGAAUUUAGGUAUUAAAGCUUGUUCUUGUUUUCAACAAUAGUUAGUAGCCAAAAAUCCAAGGGAAAACAUAUAGCCAAGAAGCGCAAGGAAGAUCAUGGAGACAAUCUAGAGUUCAUAUUAACACAUUUUCUGCAACCACCUUUUCAGAAAUGUUUUCACGAUAAAUUUAUGUCGAGGUUGGUUAUUGCCCCCUAUUUUGUCAAUCUUCUUCAUUCGGAGAAUUUAGCAAUUUUUGAUAAAUCUCUUAGUGAUUUUCUUAUUGACAUGGGUUAGAAAAAUGUUUUAGUUUUCAAGGAACGAUGUUAUGAAAUUUAGUUAAAGUUUUUUAUUCGAAUAUGGUUAUUUCUUUGCAAACUACAAAUAGAAUUGUUACAAGUGUUGGGGGAAUACAUAUUGAGUUUGAUGUUGUGGAUUUAAAUCAUAUUCUUAGAACUCCAAAUGAAAGGUUGGAACAUUAUACUGCUAAAAGGAAAAUAGAUUAUUCGUGGUAUUCAGUUGAGGAUAUUGUUCGAAAAAUUUGUAGAUGUUUCGAUUUGUCCUUUAAGUUUUGUAAAUCUACCUUGAAAUCUCAAGCCUUACCCCUUCAACUUAGGAUCCUUCAUUAUGUUCUUUAACAUGUCAUUAGUCUUAGGCCUGGACAUGGGGAUGAAGUUACUCGAUUAGAUGUGGCCUUAUUGGAUAGCAUUCUAAAGGGUAGGGUGCUAAAUGUCAGUUAUAUUAUUCUUCAUCAUAUACUUAGCACUCCAUGUAUAGCAAAACGAUCCCUUCCUCAUGGAAGCAUUUUUACCCACAUUCUCAAACAAUUUUGGGUACCCAUAAUCGAACCAACAUUUUUGAAUCCUAAGGAAUUAGGAGAUGAAGCUAUAGCCAAUUUAGGGUUUAUAUGGACGGAAGAUAAAUGGUGUAAAAACCAGAGAUACAAAAACAAGGGUACUACAUUAGCUCCUAUAGAUCAUCGUUUCUUUAACGAUGUUCUUCCACCAAACCAGCUCCUUGAUCUCAAUGCUCCACAGCGCUCACAUCCUUCGUCUUCUGAGGGUCCUUCCUAUUCUACUUCAGCAGACCUUGAGGAUCCAAUACAGUAGCUAUUAACUGAAGUGCAUUCUCUUUUUGAGCCGCAGAACCAAUUUCAGUCCCAGUUUGAGGCCUUUCAAAUUCAGUCCACUUUGAAGCAACAACGCCUGUUUAAGCAGUAACAAUGUUUAUUUAAUCAACGACAUCGACUCUUUGCUCAACAACAGUAGCUUUUUGAUGGUCAACAACAACUUUUCGCUGCUCUUGGGUUUCCACCGCCAUCCUCAUUAUCACAUUCACCAUCUUCAUAGUGUUCUAUUCUUUUUCAUCUUGAUUUUAGUUCUUUGUUUUAUUCUGCACUACAUUUUCAUAUGCAUUGUUGUUUUACUUAUGGAUUAAGGAUGAUUGUUGUUUGAUAUUUAAAUGUUUUACAUUUGGAUGAUAUUUUAUGGAUUCUUGGAUAACUCUUUGGUUACUUGCAUGCUUGAUUUUUAUAUGUUUCUUGAUUAUCUAUUGAGAUGUUAUUUUUGGUCUGAGCAUGGAGUUAUAGUAAUUGUGAUGAUGAAGAGGGAGAAGUCAUGUAUUUUGACCUUGAAAUAUUGAUGCAUGAUUUUGAAAUAUUUAGAGGGACCAUACAUUUGUUAAAGAUCAUGUAUUCAGGGAGAGUUCAUAGUUCAUUUAUAUGUUGAAUUAUGUAUGCCAUAUAUUAAGGGGGAGUAUAAAUGUCAAAAUACAUGAAAUGUUUGUCAUCAUCAAAAAAGAAAAGAUUGUUAGCCUAAAGGGUUACAUAUAUUGUAAUUUUGAUGAUAAAAAACAUGUCUUAAGUAAUAUGAUAAAUAUUGUAUUUCACAUUUUCACUAGUUCUUGAAGGAUAAUAUUUAGGCAAGUGAAUCACGUGAAAUCAGGCUCAAGGCACUCAACGUACAAUAGCUCGAUCAAGAACAAAAUUUAGUUCAACGAAGUCAUUAUUGCGACAAAUUAUUGUAAAGCUGAUAUGAUUUAAUGUAUGCAGGGUUUAGCAUUUAAAAAGCUCGAGAAGUUGUGGGUAAAAAUAUAAUUUUUAAUAUAAUAUUAUUGUAGAAAAAUUCAAAUUGCAACGGUAACUUGCACUGUAUUAAGUGGUGAGCCGGCUAGUUAAGAGGCUAAUCGCUUGCUUGCGGGUUUUGUCCAUAAUGGCUAGUUUUUGUAUCAAAACUAUAUAAAAUCAAAUCCAGUUCAUUUUUAAAGACUUUUGCAAGUAUAAACAAGUGUAAACAAUAUAUUUUAAGCUUCUAAUUCGCAAAUCAUCAUAGAUUAAAUAUUCAUUGAGUUAUUAUUAAGAGGUUAAUAUCGUAGAGGUUACCGGGCAAAGCCAAAUUGAACUUGGAGAAUCUUAGUAAGUGUUCAAUUUUGACCAGAAUUUUUCAUUUUCAACCUUUAAUUUUCAAAGAUUAACCAUUAUGGACUUGCUUUUUUUUGUUUGUGCUUCAAUAAGCUAGUCUUCUUUCACAUUGCUUAAUUACAAAAUUUUACUACUAAUACAUCAAUUUAUUAAUUUUUUAUUAUUUUACUUUAUAUUUACAAGUCUUAUACUCCAUUUCUAAAUUUUAUAUUUUAUUUUACAAAUAACGUUGAUUUAUAAAUUUUAUAUUAAAUUCACAAAUUUUCUGUUUGAUUUACAUAAUCUAAGUUUAAUCACAAUAUUGAUACCAUGGUUUUAGUCACUACUUUAAUUAACAACUAGAUACGGAAAAAAAUAUAUAUUUUAACUAACUCAUUACAUGAAGCUUUUAAUAUAUUAUAUUCUAAAAUAAUUAAAAUAUAUAAGACAAAAAUCCUGACAUUCUUGCUGUUUUUGGAACGUUAUAGUGGCAACUUUUUAUUUUAUUAUUAUAUAAGAGUGAAAAUCAAAUCUCUUCCCUAUCACUAAGUAGUAUACUUCCCAAAAAAAAAAAAAAAAGAAUUUGACUGUCAUUUAAUUACAUUAAAAAAAAUGUCAUAGAAAGUGUUGUGUCACUUUUAAUCAGAGGAUGGGAGUGCAUUACGACUAUUGUAUAUAUGUUAUGUUUUCAUGAUGAUGUUGUUUAAAUAUUUAGUGCUUAUUUGGUAUGACUUAUUUAAUAACUAUAAGUGUUUAUUUAAUCUCAUAAGUUCCUAUCAUAAUUUUUGUUAUUGUUUGGUUGUUUUUCUAAUAGAGUUUUUAAAACUUAAAUAAGUUAUUUUAUCUCUACUAGUAAAAGCUCCAAUUUUGAGCUUUUGAGAGUAGAGGCUGAGAAGUUUUUUUUUUUAAAUGUCAAAAUAUCUAAAAUAUCCUCUACUUAUUUAAUAAUUGUAUUUAUUAUUUUCAUAAUAUAACUUUAAAAAACUUGCCUAUUAUAAUAAUUUCAUAAAUUUUUAAUAAAUAUUUUUAUUGACAACCAAACAACUAAAUAUUUUUUAGUAAAAACUCUAUUUACAAAAGCUCUAUUUAAAUAAGCUCUACUUUAAAAGCUGUACUAAACAGAGCCUUAGACCGAUACCUAAUAAUAACACAGAGCAGCUCGAGCCUAGCUCACCCAACUAAUGAAAAAGAAAAUGAUUUAGCCUCCUGCUAUUAGAUAGGUGUAAUGCAUGCAAGUAAUACACACAUUUAUUCAAAAGAAAAUACAUUUAUUUAUUCAAAAGGAAAUACAUUUGUAUGACAGAUGUAUAAGUAAUGCAGUGCCAAAAGUCUUCACUUAAAAGUUGAAGGCAUAUCAUCAAAACAUGUGACCCCUAGGGAUAGAAACUUGAACAUUCACAAUGAUCAAUGCAACUUGUCCUUCAUUGUUCCAGAAGAUAGCUAGGCACAUUAAUCCUCCAACAUUUCUCAAUGGAUUUCAAAAUCAUCGACAAUAUAUAGCUUUAUGGUUCUCUUUUUUUUAUUCACAAUUUUUUUAUUCUAAUAUUGAAAUUAAUUGGUAACUGCACAGAACUGACAAUUUCUUGGCACUCAUUUUGUAGGGAAUUGAGAUUGUAACUUACAAAUUUAAUAGCAUUUUGAAGCCAAGGAAAUCUAGUCUCAAUUAAUAUGACUCUAGCUUCAGGAGAUUAUGUCUCUAGACAAAUACCGAUGAUCAUGAAGUGACGGAUGAAUUCUAGUGAUAUAUUCCUUAAAUCGCUUAUAUAUUAUGAUUUUUUUCAGAUCUAAUGACCCAGUAAUUAUUUUUGAGCACAUAUAACACCUAGAUCAUUAAUAAUGGUGAUCAGCAUUGUUUUAAGAUUUAGAGCAAAUUAUGUGAUAGCCUAGGGACACUUGGCCGAAUGUUACCUACAGUUAAAACAAGAUGUUUGUUAAAAUAUCUCAAUGAAGAGUAAGAUGGCGGGAAAGCUGUAGUUCAAUAUGCAGAGAUCUUUUGGCAUUUGGAAACAAUAAUCUUGAAGGUUCUAGAUCCUCACAACGAUGAAAAGGCCAGAAAUUGAUCAACAAAAUGAAGGGUGCAUAAUAUGCAGCAAGUGAAGACAACAGUACACAACGGUCUUAUCAUCAUUGUGCAUAUUCAUCAAUUAGUCUCAGUCAUAAAUCAACAAUUGUAACAGUUGUAAGUAUAGUACAGAGACCUUAUGUAAAAAGCAAGUGAACUCAUGAAUAAAGAUGUGCUGGUUACAUCAAAUUAUUCUGUGCAUUGCUUUCGUAUUAUUCUCUGCACAAAAUAGCCAUCAUUUUAUGUAAUUUAAACUUGGUAUCGGAGCUCUCAUUCCAGAAAUGGGCGUGAUUCAAUAUCGUAGUUCAACUGAAGAGGUUGACCUUAGUGAGCAAACACUUGAAACACCAGCAGUAACACAACAGUCAUCAUCCUUAAUUAUUGCGCAAAACUCCUCUCAAAUUUUCCUUUUCAGUUUCCACAGAACUUGACAGAACUAUGUCAUCUAGAGGACCAUGGUCAUGCCUGCCAUACGUCGCAAUGGUCUGGAGCACCUCAUUAGUGACUCACAAGACAUACCAACCAAAUAUAUCAUCAGUACUGAGGAUGACGGCACAACCAAAUCAACACUAAGACCAAAUUUUGUGAUGUGUUGCAAACCGGACCAACUACUCCUUAGUUGGCUUCUUUCUACAAUCACAGAAAGUAUUAUUUGUGCUGUGACUCAUUGCACAGCUUCUCUUGAGUUGUUGACAGUGCUGGAGAAAAUUUACUCUUCACAGUCCAUGGCUAGGUCAAUAGUGCUAAGGAUGCAACUGCAUAGCACUAGAAACGACAAUAUGAUUAUCAGUGAAUACUGCACCUAAGAUGAGAAAUCUGGUAACGGAACUUGUUACUGCUAGAAAGAUUGUCUCAAAUGAAGAUCUCUGCAACCACAUUAUCACAGGACUUGACAGAAGCUAUGAGUCUGUGUUGGGGAGCCGGACUUCAAUGCUUUAAAACAUUCCUUUUUGAAGAACUCUGCUCAAUCCUCUUAAGCCAUGAAGCAAGACUUGAACAGCAAGCACCUGCUGAAGCACAAGCUGCCUAUGAGGCAAAUGUCACCAUGAAACACAAGUGUGGGAUGAAUGAGAACAAGGAAGGUCAUGGGAAAGGAUACAAUCCAAACCAAGGACCUGGAAAGUCUCAUGGAGGCAGAGGAAGCAACAAUAACAGCUUAAGAGGAAGGGGCAGAGGUAGAUAUGGAGGAAAGAAAACAGUCUUUAAGCCUGAUGUCACCUGUCAUAUUUUGCUUCAAAGUUGGUUACACUACAGAUGAGUGUUGGCACAUACGUGAGGAAGACUUUGUGCCCAGAAACAAUGAGCAACAACACCAAAGAGCGGCCUUUGUUGUAGCUAAUGAAGGAGUGCUUGAAACAGGGUGGAACCUAGACAGUCGUACGACAAACUAUGUGACUAAUGACCUCAACAACUUGAGCAUGAGAUCUGAGUAUAAAGGUAAUUCCUUUCUCAUGGUUUGAAAUGGACACAAAUUAAAAAUAUCACACACUGGCACAAUACUAUUUCCUUUAUCUUUUGGUAAAAAAAGAACAUACUUGACUCUUAAGAAUGUUUAAUAAUGUUCUAUAUGUACUUGAUAUAACCAAUAAUCUCCUUAGCAUAUCAAGUUUGAUCUCAGAAAACCAUCUUAAUAUCUUGUUUACUGAAAAACAUUGUUGUUGUAAAGGACAAGCUGGGGAGUGCUCUUCUUCAAAGAACGAAUCAUGGAGGACUGUUUGUGGUCAGUAGAACUGCUGAAAAUAAAGCGGGAAGUGUUGCUGUCAAUUCUCUUUUAAGUUCACAGUCUUUGUUUGCAAUUAUAAUAGAGUCAAAUUCAGUUGAGUUUGAUUCUAAGUCGGCAGAGUUUGAAUGUGUUCAGUCUAUUGAGUCGAAUAAAAAUCGAGUUGGAUAUGUGAAGCAAUUAGACCUUUUAGAUAGAAAGUUUGGUCAUCCAAGUGAUGCUGUCCUCAAAAUAAUAGUGUCAAGCUGUAAUAAUAUCUCAGCCUUAAAUAAAAAAGAAUCAAGUUCCUUUUGUUCAGCCCAUAUAUAUAGAAAGAACCAUAAGCUAAGCUUCAAAAAAAGCUCACGGACUAAAACGCAAGCAACAUUAGAAUUAUUGCACAAUGAUAUCACCUAUUCCAUUAGGAGAAAGGUACAAAUACUGAGCAUAGUAGAUGACCACACUAGGACAUUUCCACUCAUUAACAAAUCUGAAACAACAAAAAUCUUUAUAAAAUUUAAAGAACAAGUGGAAAGAACAUCAGAAAAGAAAACUUAAGUGCUUAAGUGACUGAGAGGUGAAUUUAGGCCAUUAAAGGGUAUGUAGAGAUAUGAGGAAUAGUCUUUAUAUAUUCAUGCCCUUACACUUCAAUGAAGAAUUGAGUGGAACUGUAUAUAUGCCACAACCAGAUGAAUUUGAAAGCAAGGAAAAUUGGAAAAACCAAGCUAUGUCUGUGAUUGGAAAAAGCACUAUAUGGCUUAAAGCAGGCACAAGGAGUCUGGUAUAAGAAGCUGAGAGGAGUUUUGCUGACUUGCGGAUUCAAAAUGCAAUCUCAGACAAAUCGCAGACACAUUAUUAUUUCUCGGGAAGAAUAAGGGAAAGUCAGUAUAUGUACUUAUAUAUGAUGAUGACAUAUUGAUCACAGGAAGUGACCAAAGAACGACUGAAGGCGUUAUCAAACAAUUGAAUGAAAGUUUUGCUUUUAAAUUACCUCGCAUACCCAUCUAUUUUAUGCAAAUUGAAGCAAAAAGAGACUGUGGAGGGAGGCACUCGUGCUAAGAAAAGUAUAUACAGGAUCUACUAAAGAAAACCAAAAUGUUACAGCUAUAAGAAUAGUACGGAGACCUUGUAUGAAAAGCAAGUGAACUCAUGAAUAAAGAUAUGUCGGUUAUAUCAAGUUAUUCUAUGCAUUGCUUUCAAAUUAUUCUCUGCACGAUAGCCAUCAUUUUCAGUAAUUUAAACUCUUACGCUAAUUGGAAAAUGCACUGGCUUGCUUCUGCAGUAAUUUGGUUGUUGGAUUGGACCAUUGAUUUUAAGUGAUGAAGACAAAAUUCAACAAGGAACACAUACGAGCCACAUGGAAAAAUUCAUUUUUAAUCAUUAUUAAUCACAUAAUAUGAUCCAUGUAGCAAAAAUUAAAUUUAUUAUUAAUAUGAGCCAAGGACUAAUUAUUUCAUACAACAAAGACAACAUUAUGGUAUUUGUUAUUUAGCUUUAUUAUAUGUUGUUCCCUUUCUAUAAAUAAGACUUCGAGCCGUAUUGAAUAAAUAAGGUGAAAGUUAAUUAUCUGCAAUCAUGACAUAUUCCCAAGAUUCAAAAAUCAAUUCAAAUGCCACCUAACAAUAUUUAUUAAAAAUUAAAAAAAUAAAUAUAAAUAGAAACAAAUUAAUGAUUUUCGACUACCCCAAAAUCUAACACAUUUUUUAUCCUGCUGAUAUCUAAAAUCUUGAUUCUCUCAAACUAACAAGAGUUAGAAACAAAACCUAGUCAAAGCAGUGGAUUUAAUUAUACAUUUGUAAAAAUUAUGGCAUCAUCCAUUUUGGAUGCCACAUUAUUUUUAUAUCUAUCGCAAUUUGAUGAGGCAAAGGAAAAAUGAUGACUUUUUUCGAUGAGACAAAAGAAAGAUGGCUUGUUUUUUAAUGAAGAACAAAAAAAUGACUUCAUUUUAGUGAGGCAAGAGAAUAUUGAUUGUUUCUUUUAUCUUCUUCACUGCUUGUUUCGGUUGCAAUAUUUCAAAUUAGUGCAUGAUUAAAAUUCUGUUUUUAUAAAAUCACAUCACAGAUGAAGAUAUGUGGAAAGACAAUUAUCGACGAAGAAGACAUACUUAACAUUUCGUGCUAUAAACAUGAUUCUGCAGCAAUAAUAUAGAGCUCACUAACUUGAUACGCAUAAAGUUGGUUUUGAAGCAAAAUGCUAUCACACAGAAUCGUGGUGAAAAUCAUUGACAUGACAAGGUCAUAGUCGUGCUAAAAAUCAUGGUUACAAUUAUGAUUGACGUCAUGAUCUUGAAGAAAUCAUUAUCAACCUUAUAAUGAUAGUAUACAUCUGGAUAUCUUAGAUACAUGAUGCGUAAACAGUUGAUUUAAUUGGUUAUAAAGAUAUCUAUCCCUGUUAAGAUUACUAUUAAAUUUUAUUAGCUUUUAUAUUCCUAUCUAUUUUAUUUUUUAUGACGAUGCCUAACAUAUUUUACUCUUGAAAGGAUAUAGAUACUCAAAGGGGAUUGCAUCAUAAAGAAAUGUGUUUAGCUGGCAGUAUAACUACACUAACUAUCCUUUGAAAUAAUAAAUAUUUUAUGAGUUUGUAAUCAUUUGAAGCUAAGAUAAGUGCCAUCUUAGGUCCUGUUGAGAUCUAGUUGAAGACUCUAGAACAUUCACGUUCAUAUUACCAAGUUAUAACAAAAUUACAUAUCUAUAAUGCUCUGUAUUCACUAACAGUAGAAGAAAUCUUUUGAGUUUCAAAUAUAUUCGCAGUAAUGAAUUUCAUAUAGAGAAAAUAAAUGAGAAUAAUACAGAAUGUCUCUAUAUUACUUCUAGUGUCUUAGGUAAAAAUGUAUAUUGGAAAAGCUUUCUACUUUUUGAUCUGACUUAUAUUCAUACAACGAUAAAACUAGUUGGGAGCUACACAAUCAUGAACCAAAGACUUUGUGAUUCAAAAGUUUUUAUAUCUCAGUCACCUAGGUCAACUAUGAUGAGUAGAAUUAUCGAGAAUUCUUAUGGACAUCAUUUAAAGAAUCUAAAGAUUAUUCUCUCCAAUGAGUAUAGUUGCACUACUUGUUCCUAGGGUAAAUUAAUUAGCACUUAGACCAUCACAUUCGAAGAUUGGUCUUGAAUCUCUAUUGUUCCUACAAAUAAUUCAGGCAUAUAUAUGUGGACUUAUUAGCCCAUCUAGUGGUCUAUUUCAUUAUUUUAUGGUCUUGAUUGAUGCAUUUGACAGUAGUCAUAUGUUUAUUUAUUAUCUAUAUACAACAUUGUAUUUACUAGAUUGCUUGCACAAGUUAUUAAGUUACCUGCACAAUUUUAAGAUUAUCUAGACAAUGCUAGUAAGUUUACGUCUAAAGUUAUUGGUGAUACUACAGUUCUUUGGGAUUGAUAUAGAGCACCCAAUAUCACAUAUUCAUACUUAGAAGGGAUUGGUAGAAUCCUUCAUCAAACUGCUUUAGCUGAUUAUAGGAACUUUAUUGUUUCAUACUCAAUUACCUAUUUUUGCAUAUGGACAUACUAUUUUGCAUGCUAUGGUACUAAUACCUAGAGGCAUACUGCCUAUCACCAAUAUUCCUCAUUGCAAUUAGUACAUGGCAUCAACCUAAUAUAUCUCAUUUGUGCACUUUUGGCUAUAUUGUGCAAGUUCUUGCGACACCCCCCUAGUGUACUGAAAUAAGACUUCAACGAUAUUUUGAAUUUUAUGUGCAUUUUGACUAUCUAUUAUCAAAUGUCUUGAACCUAUUACCAAUAAUUUUUUUACCGCAUGCUUUUAUGAAUUUCCAUUUUAAUGAGAUAAAAUUUCCUUUGUUGGAGAAAAAAAAAAAAGCCACCAUAUGCUGGGAAUGAGCUUUUAUAAUAAGUGACAAAAUUGUCUCCUCUAGAUUACCACACCACUCAAAGUGAAAAUGAAAUGUGGUGAAUAAUUCUCUUACAAAAAAUUAUAAAUCGCUUGUUAGUUGUAUUUACAAAUGUAUCGAAAGUAAUCAAGUCAUAUGUACUGGUUGCAAAUGUACUUGGCCAAUUAGUUGCUCCUAAUUUUAAUAAAUAAAAAAAACUAUUUGAAUCGUCUAUGGCACGCCUUAAGUAUUGUAGACCCAUUGGCUCAAAGGACAACAUUCUGCUGAAAAGAAAAAUAAAAAGUUAGGAUCUGUUAUCAUGAAUGAUCAGGCUCUAAGUGAAAGUGGUCCUUCAAAGCAAAAGGUCCUUGAUGAGAACUAUGUGCCUACAGUAACACUACCUCCUAAAGAGACAAUUACCUUAAAUAUGGCCAAGCACUUGAUGUGGCUUAGUGAUGGUUGUCGAAGCCAACAAAAAUAAAUUCUUACUCUAAAUAAAUUAUGUAUAGUGAUUGAGCAGGGUCGUGUCCAUAGAGAUCGGUAAUUAUUUAAAUCAUUUUGAAACGUAAAACAUAAAAUGGGGGUUUUGUUGACAAUAAUAAAAAUCAAAUUAAAAUAACAAGAAUGCAAAUUAAAGUUGUAAUUCAAAUUGGAGAAAGCUCUGGUUGAAAGAAUUAACUCAGCUUGAUUCGACUACUGAUCAUUGAUUCAAAUAUAGAUUAUUAUUACUUAUGAAUAGACCGGUUAUAGCAAUUGAGACCCUCUAAUAGCCAAUCUCUCCUUAACUAGUCGAUAACCAAGGUACGACCGUUGGAUAUUUCCCUAAUCAAUAGACAACCCUAGAUACGAUCAUAGGAUUUAAUCAAUUGACAGCCUGAAAAACCAGAGAGACCCAAAUCCUAAUCAACACAUAUGAUGAUUCAUUUAAAUUAGAUUGUUUAUUCUCACAACACAACUCUCUGCUAUUUAUUUGUCACAAACAUUAAAUUCUUCAUACGAUGAAUCCUUUAAUUAACAAUAGAUUAAGUUGAUAAUUAAAUAGUGGCCAAUUAUCUAAUUAACAAACAUAAUCAUGAAAAUAAUUCAGAGAAUAAACAAAUACCCAAAAAGUAAUAAAACAAUUAAAGCACAAGAAAGAUCUCACAGUAGUGAUGAAUCAAAGCUUCAUUAUCCUUCAACCAGAAAAAUAGGUUUAGUUCUUCAUAGAGAGAAGAGAAAAAUUAAGAUCUAGGGUUUCUUUCUUUUUUUCCAAUCCAAAUCCUUCACAAUAGAUUCCUCCCUUAAAUACUCUCUCUCUCUUCUCUUUUAGAAUUCUAUUUAAAAUAAAAUACUAAUAUCUGAAAUAUUAAAUUCGUAAUUACAAAAAUAACCAAAAAUACAAAACACGUUAAACUAAAAACUACAGGUCCGCAGUUGACAGCACGCGCCCACGCCUUAUCAACAAAGUUCUUCUGACGCUCAUAAUUUCUCCAAGAGAACAAUCAUCCUUAAACAUCAUCUUAUAGCUCAAUUUUAUCACCAAUCAAUAGAAUUGCACCUACAAAAGUAAAACACAAGUAAAUCACUAUUAUUAAGUGCAAAACAUCGAUAUUAAGAGAAGUAAACAAUGCAAAACUAGUGCAUAAAUUUCACUCUAACACUUAGAAUGAAGAAAAUACACAAAUUUUGCUCACAAAAAAAGGUGUGGAAUCUUAAAGAAACAAUCAUCGAUGAUAAUUUGCGUUUAUAGUAGCCACUGGUUUAAUAAAUGAUGAUAUUGAACUGUAAUCCAUUGAUAUGUAGAUUGAGACAUGAUUGGCCUGCAUAGGAAGAAGCAAUCCAUAUGAAGUUGGCUUCUUUGGCAAAAUGAUUAUUUUUUAAUGUAACCUAAAUACCUACUUGUAUUAAAUCUGUUGGAUAUAAAUAGAUAUUUUUUAAGAAAUGUAACUAAAAGAAUAAGGUCGUUAUAUAUAAAGCACGACUCAUUGCACAAGGUUUUUUUAUAGAGACUAGGUAUUGACUAUGGGAUACCUAUUUAUUGGUAGUGCAUAUAGUUACAUUCCAAUUCUUCUAUUUGAGAGGCUUGAUACGCAUUUAAUAGAUAAGUGAUAGGUUUUUGUGUGUAUGAAAACUCCUAAAGGAUUCAAAAUGCUUAAAGCAUUGUAGUCACCACAUUGUAGCUUGUAUUCUACAAAGCUAUAGAAAUCUUUAUAUGAAUUGAAACAAUCUUGACAUAUCUGAUAAAGUUUCCUUAGUGACUACAUGAUCAAGGAAAGAUACAUGAAUGAUCUUAUUUGUCUUCGUGUAUCUAUAAACAAGCUAAAAUCUAGAUUUGCUAUUGCAGUAGUCUAUGUUGAUAAUAUGAAUUUGAUUGGAACUCUCAAAGAUGUCCAAAAGCCUACUGAUUAUUUAAAAAAGAGAGUUUAAAAUGAAAAAUUUUGGGAAAACUAGAUACUAUGUAAAGUUAUAGAUCGAGCACAAAUCUAAAAAUAUCUUUAUUUUUUAGUCAAAUUAUUAUGAAAAGAUAUUAAAAUGUUUUAAUAUGGACAAAACUUCUCUAUCAAUUACCCCAAUGGUAGUUUCAUCUCUUGAUCUUAAAAAGAUUCAUUUAAUCCUAAAGAGGAUGAUGACCAAGUGCUUGCUUCAUCAAAUACCAUAAGUUGAAUGCCCGUUGGUGCUUUAAUGUAUUUAGCCCAAUGUACUAUAGCUGUGUUCAAUAACUUGUUAGCAAGGUUUAAAUCUUGAAUUGAGCUAGACGACAUUGGAAUGGUGUUAAACAUCUUUUUCAUGAUCCUCUUGGAAUUAUCAAUUUCAGUUUAUUUUAUUCUAGUAAAUUAACCAAAAAUCUAAGUCUUAUUAGUUUUGCAGAUAUCCUCAUAAAGCUUGUUCUUAGAGGGGUUAUGUUUUUACUUAUACUAAAUAUUGAUUUCUUAAAAAUAUGUGAAGUUGACUCUUGUACUUGCAUUUUCCAAUCGCUUUGAGAUCCUUGUAUUGCAUGAAGCAAGUAGAGAAUACUUAUGGUUGCGGUCCAUUAUGCAUCAUAUCCAGGAUGCUGAUAAAUUAUCUUCAAGUGCAGACAUCCAAACGGUAAUAUAUGAAAAUAAUGUUUCUUGUAUAGCUCAAUUCAAGAGAGCAUAUAUCAAAGGAGAUUGAAAAAGCUUACCUCACCAAAGUUCUUCAAUACUCAUGAGCUCCAACAAAAUAAGACGAUCGAUAUCAAGCAGAUACAUUACACAAAUAAUUUUACAUAUAUGUUUAUUGAAGCUCUAUGCAUAUCAACAUUUUAGAAAAUAGUAUAUGGCAUCAGAAUGUGCCAUUUAAACAGAAUAUCGAGACGAUCAUUAGUUGAAUGCUCAUCAGGAGAAGAAAAAAUUUACCAAAGAAGAAUUUCAAUAAUUAAAUUGGAUACAUCUGCACGAUACUCGUUUUUUUCCCUUUGAAUAGAUUUUUCUACAAGAUUUUAGUGGCAAAGGUUUUUAAUUAGAUAAUUUAAACCACAUGCAGCCCACUUUAUCGUUCGCUAAAUUAUAUUUCUUUUGGUUGAGCUUUUUUUCUAUUGAGUUUUUCCAUAACAAAAGUCAAAUACAAUUAUCGUGAAGUGGUGGAUACCAAAGUGGGGGUGUUAUGGAAAUUAGUGAUUUAAAAAACAACUCAAGAGAUUUGACGGCUAAAGAGCUAAACAAGUCAAUCAAUUGUGGGUAUUAAGGUCACGAUGUGUCCUAAGGCUUGGCUGUGUUUUAAUUAGCUGAUGGAUUCCCUGAAUAGAGAGCACUACUCAUUGUAAUUUGUAUCCGAAGGCUUGGCUGUGUUUUAAUCGGUUGAUGGAUCCUAUAAAUAGGGAGCACUGCUCUUUGUAAUUUGUAUCUGAAAUUGAAAGCCUUAUCAAUUACAAUAAUAUCAUCUUUCUUUAUAUCAUCUAUUUAUCUAUUUAUACGUCUUACCUAUAUUCUCAAUAAUUAUAUUAUAAUUGAUAUUUUUAUUGUUUAUUGUGCACUGAAUAAUUCUUUUUUUAACCUUUGCUUACUAAUAGAAUUCUUCUUUUUUUUUUAAUAUUCUCUUUAGCGUAUGAAAUUGAUACAAUUUAUUUUUUUCGAUUUUAGUACUUUUUUCGUUCAACUACUUAGGAAUUGUUUGGUAAUGAGAUGAUGUGGUUUUUAAUAUACAGUUGUUGGGAUAAAAGCUAAAUUUGUCAAAGAAAAGCUUAUAGAUUAUGGUAAAUAAUAAAUUUUGUAUUAAUUUUUAUAUUUAACAAUUAUUACAAAAAUUAUGAAAUAAGAAAAAAACCACCAGCUAGGCAGUGGAGCCACAACGUAGUGUGUUUUACCAAACACCCAAACAGAUCCCUAACUAGGGUGUUUAAAUGUCUACAAUUAAGAUUAGUUUAGAAAAUAAGGUCCUAUUUAGUAUUGAGGGGCUAUCUACAGCUAAUGUCGAACAAAAUUGUAACUAUGAAAUAAAAGUUAACAAUAUAUAGUAAAUAUAAUUUUUAAACAAUAAUUUUGAUAAAAUUAAUAAAGGCAUAAUAUUUUUUUUUCAUCUUAUAUGUAUAAAAUCAAAUAAACUUAACUUCUAAACUACAACAACUAAUAUUUACCAAACACUUUAAUGUUGUAUCUUAAAAUCUAUAACUAUCCAACCUCAAUUUUAAAUAGGGCCCAAGUAUGGGUAAUGCGUGGGAUUUAGCAUCUCACAACUUACCUAGCGUGUUAUUAGUGAAAUUACAUUUACAAUAUUUUUAGCCCACUUACGUAGAUGGAUCAACUGGCUGUUAACAUGUUCUCCACCAUGGUCACCAGAGUUCAAGAAAAGGAUUUAUACUGUUUAGUAGGUGAAGUUUCACAUUUCCAUCCAAAUAUUUUAUUAAAAAAUAAAUCAAGAGUAUUCAUUGUGAAAAAGAAGUUUUUGUCCAAACAUUAAAAGGAUCUUCCAAAUUAAUGUAAAACAUAGAGCACAAACGAGUUAAUACUCAUUUAUAUAUCAAGUUAAACGGGUUAAUUUUGUGUUAAUUGUGUUAUAGAUAGGCAAGAGUAAGAGACACAAACAAGAUCAAAAGGAUUAUCUUAGAUGGAAAAUUCUAUAAUACCAUAACAAAAAUUACGGUAUUAAUGCCGUAGUUAUUUUAUACUGUUGGAUGAGAUCAACGAUGUACAAUAAUUAAAAUAUAAUAAAAAAUGUAAAUUUUUUUUCUUUAACCGGUUUACAACUGGUUAUUUAUUUAUAAAAAAAUAAAUUUAACUGGCUAAAACAGUGGGGAAAAAGAAGCGGUUUUUGUUUGCCUCCAAUACUCUUUUCCUGCUGAUAAUUUAGCAAAAACAGAGGCAAAAAAAAGCAAAAAAGAAGAAGCCCUACAACGACGUCGUUGAGGAGAAUCGAGCUGAGUCCUUGAUCGUGAAGCGGUUUUCAGUCGACGAUAACGACCCGAAGUCGGCGAUUGAUACCGUAAUCGGCGCCAGCGAUUAAUAACCAUAUAAUCCUCUGCUGCCCUUAAUCUUGUUGAGGGGAAGAGAACCACGGCAAAUUACUAAUAAAAAUAAGGCAAGUUGCAGGCCACUGAUUCUCCUCUACCACAUUCGCAUUGUCGUUAAUUUCAACAUGUGUUUUUUUUUUUUACAAUUUAUUUGACCAAGACACACAAAUAUAUAUAGAGAGAGAGAGCAUGCACUAGACUUUGAUAUGAUUUUUUCUUGUUAUUACAAGUAUUACUUGAAUACAAGUAAUAUGUCCUGUUCUGAAAACACAUAUUGUCGAAUUAUGUAAUGUUCAUUUGGUUCGUAUCUUAUAAUUUCUCUAGUUUAUUCAAUCUGAUUUGCUGACACUUAUGCCCAAUAGCCCUAGUUUCCUUUUUUACAAAUCCACUUAGAAAAAUUUCUUUGUUAGUGGUUCUAUUUUUAUUUAUUUAUUUUUGAGUGAUUUGCCAAUGUGUUAAAAUUGUGCUUGGAUCCUACAUAUUGGUAGUUAACGUUGAUGCUUUGAUGGAAUUUCUAAUAGAGUGAGUAAAUUUUGUUGAAAUUUCUAAGUAGAGUCUUCAAGUUAUUUGUUGAAAUGCCUGAGAGAAACAAUGUGUUUGUAUAUGUUCUAUUAUUCAAAUAUGAGGUAUGAAAAUGAAAAUAAAAAUUUUGCGUUUGGGUUAAUUUUCUAUUGUAUUUGGAAUGAUUUGCUGUUGUUUUUUAGUAAAAUUUUUCUAGUGUUUUGGGUUUCAUUUGCUGCAGUUUUUAGGUUAAAUUUUCUACUAUUUCUGGGCCAAUUGGCUGUUGUUUUUCAGUUUAAUUUUCUACUAUUUUUAGAUAAAUUUACUGCUGUUUUUGCGUUAUAUUUUCUGCUGUUUUCAAGUAAAUUUUUCGGUGUUUCGAGCUUCAUUUGCUGUUGCUUUAGGUUAAAUUUUCUACUGUUCCUGGGUCAAUUGGCUGCUGUUUUCAGUUUAAUUUUUUGCUGUUUUUAGAUAAAUUUACUACUAUUUUUGGGUUAUAUUUUCUGUUGUUUCUUGGUAAAUUUUUUCUAGUGUUUUGGGCUUCAUUUGCUACUGCUUUUAGAUUAAAUUUUUUGUUGUUUCUGGGUCAAUUGGCUGCUUUUUUCAGUUUAAUUUUUUACUCUUUUUAGAUAAAUUUACUACUAUUUUUGGGUUAUAUUUUCUGUUGUUUUUAGAUAAAUUUACUAUUGUUUUUGGGCUUCAUUUGUUGCUGCUUUUGGGUUAAAUUUUUUGCUAUUUCUGAGUCAAUUGGCUGUUGUUUUUUAGUUUAAUUUUUUACUCUUUUUAGAUAAAUUUACUACUGUUUUUGGGUUAUAUUUUCUGUUGUUAUUAGAUAAAUUUUUUGCUGUUUUUGGGUUUAAUUUGUUGUUACUUUUGGGUUAAAUUUUUUGCUAUUUCUGAGUAAAUUUGCUAUUGUUUUUCAGUUAAAUUUUCUGUUGUUUUUGGAUAAAUUUACUGCUGUUUCCAGAUAAUUUUUUUGCUGUUUUGGGCUUCAUUUACUGUUGUUUUUAGGUUAAAUUUGUUGCUGCUUCUGGGGUAAAUUUGCUGCUGUUUUUCAAUUAAAUUUUUUGUUGUUUUUAGAUUAAAUUUUUUUCGUAUAUUGGGCUUCAUUUGCUGCUAUUUUGUGUUAAAUUUUUUUUUGUUCUAGGUAAAUUUAUUACUUUUUUUAGUUAAAUUUUUUGUUGUUUUUGGAUAAAUUUACUACUAUUUUUUGGGUUAGAUUUUUUGCUGUUUUCUGGUAAAUUUGCUGUUGUUUUGUGCACAGAGCUGGUCGAAAAAUGGUCAUGAUGCAUUUUGAAUGCAGAAUGAUGGAGACUGGUAGUAAAAGUUGCUUGUGUUGUUUUUGCUGCUACUUGCUCCAUUUGAGCUUCUAGAAAUUGUUAAGGGUAGCGGGGAAGAAGAAAGAGAUGAUGAGAAAUGCAAAUUGUUUGUGAGCUUUAGAUUGAUGUACCAAGCCAAUAGUUAUAUUGCAAAAUAUCUGUUUUUUUUUUAGUUUGUUAAUUUUUAUUUUUUUGGAUUAUAACUAAUGCUGUAAAUAGUUAUUGUUUGUCACCGUUCUAGAAGCAAAUACUAGUCUAACUUUCUAGGAAAGGUGUUCCUAAUUCUUGGUUGGGUGAUUGAAUUUUGUAUUGAAAUGUUUAUUUCUAAAAUAUUUUUAGAGGAUCCAAAACUUGUGAUAUUUGACAUUUCUUUUUGUGCUUAAUAUCUUCAUGUACAGGUUCUUGUAAACUUGAAAAUGGCAGAAAAUGUAAAAUGAGAAUGAUUUCAAGGAGAAUGAUAAUGUGAACCAAGAAAAUGAAAUUUUAAGAAAAAAUCGGCCUUUCAUUGAGCAUAUUUGCACCUCGGAUUAUGAUGAAUGGUUGCACGGCCUACGUGCUAGCAGAUUUAGAUGCGGAUUUGGCGAAUAUUGGCUUUGCAUGUUUGGAGAAUUGAGAGAGAGAGAUUCAUAUUUGGGGAAUGACGAAUAGGGACUAUGUUUUAAUUUUUCACUUUGUCGUUCUUGUCUUCUAUGGUGCCAUUGAGACUUGAGAGCUGAGCCUUUUUUUUACCGCUUUCACUUAAAAAGGAAAAUGAAUAUUAUAAGGAAACGACGUAGUUUUAGUGAAUUUUAAAUGUUAUAAUUUUUUGUUGUUGUUUAUAUCUUAAUUAUAUAACAUUAUUUUUUAAAAUAAGUUAAAGAUAAAAUUUAUAACAUUUAUAUAUAUACCUAAAAUAUAUAUAGAACCACUUAUGUUAUGAUUUGUUUUUGGGUUCAGAUUUAUCAUUUUUAGUUAAAUUUUAAAUUUAUGAUUUUAUACCUAAUUUUUCAUUCGGGAAAGGGACAUGGUCGAUUUUUAUAAACUAAUUUAAAGAAAAAUGAUAGGUUUAUGAUUUUAUUAAUAUAUUAUAAUUAAUAAUAAUAAUAAUUUUUUAAUAAAUAAUCACUAUAAUUAAAAUAUAAAAUAAUAAUUAUGAUAAUAAUUCAUUAAGUACAUAUAUUACAUGCAAGGAAGACUAGGCUCGACUUUUAGUCUAAUUAACUUGACCUGAAUUUUUUGGCCUUUGACUCGAAUUUAAUGGUUAGGCUUGGGUCUAAAUAUUAGAGCCCAAUUAAAUUCAUAUCAGGGUUAGGGACCUAUAUGCCCGACCCGACCUGAUCUGACCUAACCAUAAAACCUAAAAAAAAUGUAAUAAUAUGAUUACGGCCCUGAAUAAUCUUUAUUUUUAUGUUACUUCAAACAAUUUCUAAAGCUUUUAUAUUUUACUGUAUAUGGGGAGGCUAUGUCCAAUUUUUAAAUUUUAAAUUAACUAAAAAUUAAAAAAAAAACUUUAAAAGAAAGUUUGAUCAGGCCCACGCUUUCAAAUAAUAGGGCCUUUUUGGGCUCGAAAAUUUUAUUUCAGCUAUAGAGUCAGGCUCAGAAAUGGCUAAGCACAGGCCUAACUCGACCCACUGCCAUCCUUUCGAAUAGACUAUUGAUCCAUUAUGAACUCAUCAAUUAAAUUCAUGAUCAUAGUAAAUGUGUUACUAUCAUUCUUUUGUUUGCAAGAACAACUUGUAAACAAAAUAAAAAUUUAGUAAAAUGACACAGAAUUUGUAAAUUGACAUUAAGUGUAAAAUAAAAUAAAAAAUUUGUAAAGCACACAUAAAACUAGUAAAUUGAUGGAAAAUUGGGUAAAUUAAUGUUCGAAUUGUAAAUUGCAAGAAAAACUUGUAAAUAAAAUAAAAAUUUAGAAAAAUGACAUAAAACUUGUAAAUUAACAUUAAAUAUAAAAUGAAACAAUAAAUUUGUAAACCACACAUAAAACAAGUAAAUUUAAGGAAAAAUGGGUAAAUUAAUGUUGAAGUUGUAAUUUGCAAGAAGAACUUGUAAGCAAAAUAAAAAUUUAGAAAAAUAACAUAAAACUUGUAAAUUGAUAUUAUGUGUGAAAUAAAACAAAAAAUUUGUAAACCACACAUAAAACUAGUAAAUUGAUGAGAAAAUGGGUAAGUUAAUAUUUGAGUUGUAAAUUGCAAGAAGAACUUAUAAACAAAACAAAACCUUAGAAAAAUGACAUAGAACUUGUAAAUUGACAUUACGUGUGAAAUGAAACAAAAAAUUUAUAAAUCACGCCUAAAACUAGUAAAUUGAUGGAAAAAGAGGUAAAUUAAUAAUGGUGUUGUAAAUUGCAGGAAAAACUUGUAAACAAAACAAAAACUUAGAAAAAUGAUAUAAAACUUAUAAAUUGACAUUAAGUGUGAAAUGAAACAAAAUAUUUGUAAAUCACAUAUCAAAAUAUUUGUAAAUCACAUAUCAAAAUAUUUGUAAAUCACAUAUAAAACUAGUAAAUUGAUGGAAAAAAAGUUAAAUUAAUGAUGGAGUUGUAAAUUAGAAGAAAAAAGUGUAAACAAAACAAAAAUUUAGAAAAAUGGCAUAAAACUUGUAAAUUGUCAUUAAGUGUGAAAUGAAACAAAAAACUUGUAAACCACAAAUAAAACUAGUAAAUUGAUGGAAAAAUAGGAAAAUUAAUGUUGGAGUUGUAAAUUGUAAGAAGUUGUAAACAAAACAAAACCUUAGAAAAAUGACAUACAACUUGAAAAUUGACAUUAAGUGUGAAAUGAAACAAAACAUUUGUAAAUGACAUAUCAAAAUAUUUGUAAAUCACACUUAAAAUUAGUAAAUUGAUGGAAAAAGAGGUAAAUUAAUGAUGAAGUUGUAAAUUAGAAGAAAAAAGUAUAAACAAAACAAAAACUUAGAAAAAUGAUAUAAAACUUCUAAAUUGACAUUAAGUGUGAAAUGAAACAAAAAAUUUACAAAUCACACCUAAAACUAGUAAAUUGAUGGAAAAAGAGAUAAAUUAAUGAUGGAGUUAUAAAUUGCAAGAACAACUUGUAAACAAAACAAAAACUUAGAAAAGUGACAUGGAACUUGUAAAUUGACAUUAAGUGUGAAAUAAAACAAAAAAAUUUGUAAAUCACAUUUAAAUUUAGUAAAUUGAUGAAAAAGAGGUAAAUUAAUGAUGAAGUUGUAAAUUAGAAGAAAAAAGUAUAAACAAAACAAAAACUUAGAAAAAUGAUAUAAAACUUGUAAUUGACAUUAAGUGUGAAAUGAAACAAAAAAUUUGUAAACUACAUAUAAAACUAGUAAAUUGAUGGAAAAAUAGGUAAAUUAAUGUUGGAGUUGUAAAUUGGAAGAAGAACUUAUAAACCAAACAAAACCUAAAAAAAUGACAGAACUUGUAAAUUUACAUUAAGUGUGAAAUGAAACAAAAAAUUUGUAAACCACACAUAAAACUAGUAAAUUGAUGGGAAAAAAGGUAAAUUAAUUUUGGAGUUGUAAAUUACAAGAAGAACUUGUAAACAACACAAAAACUUUGAAAAAUGACAUAGAACUUGUACAUUGACAUUAAGUGUGAAAUGAACCAAAAAAAUGUGUAAAUCACACAUAACACUAGUAAAUUGAUGGGAAAAGGAGUAAAUUAAUGUUGGAAUUGUAAAUUGCAAGACAAACUUGUAAACAAAACAAAAAUUUAGAAAAAUGGUAUAAAACUUAUAACUUGACAUUAAGUGUAAAAUGAAAUAACAAAUUUGUAAACCACAUAUAAAACUAGUAAAUUUAUGGAAAAUGGGGUAAAUUUAUGUUGGAGUUGUUAUUUGCAAGAACAACUUGUAAACAAAACAAAAACUUAGAAAAAUAACAUAAAACUUGUAAAUUGACAUUAUGUGUGAAAUAAAAUAAAAAAUUUGUAAACCACACAUAAAACUAGUAAAUUGAUGGAAAAAUUGGUAAGUUAAUAUUUGAGUUGUAAAUUGCAAGAAGAACUUGUAAAUAAAACAAAACCUUCGAAAAAUGAAAUAGAACUUGUAAAUUGACAUUAAGUAUGAAAUGAAACAAAAAAAAUUGUAAAUCAUGCAUAAAACUAGUAAAUUGAUGAAAAAAAAGGUAAAUUAAUGAUGGAGUUGUAAAUUAGAAGAAAAAAGUGUAAACAAAACAAAAAUUUUUAAAUAUGACAUAAAACUUGUAAAUUGACAUUAAGUGUGAAAUGACACAAAAUAUUUGUAAACCACACCUAAAACUAGUAAAUUGAUGGAAAAAAUGAGUAAAUUAAUGUUGGAGUUAUAUUUUGCAAGAAGAACUUGUAAACAAAACUAAAACUUAGAAAAAUCACAUAAAACUUGUAAAUUGAUAUUAUGUGUGAAAUAAAAAAAAUAUUUGUAAACCACACAUAAAACUAGUAAAUUGAUGAGAAAUGGGUAAGUUAAUAUUUGAGUCGUAAAUUGCAAGAAGAACUUGUAAACAAAACAAAAGCCUUAGAAAAAAAUGACAUAGAACUUGUAAAUUGACAUUUAGUAUGAAAUGAAACAAAAAAAUUUUUAAAUCACACUUAAAACUAGUAAAUUGAUUAAAAAAGAGGUAAAUUAAUUGUUGAGCUGUAGAUUGUAAGAACAACUUGUAAACAAAACAAAAACUUAGAAAAAUGACAUGGAACUUGUAAAUUGACAUUAAGUGUGAAAUAAAACAAAAAAUUUGUAAACCACAAAUAAAACUAGUAAAUUGAUAGAAAAAUGGGUAAGUUAAUAAUUGAGUUGUAAAUUGCAAGAAGAACUUGUAAACAAAACAAAACUUUCGAAAAAUAAAAUAGAACUUGUAAAUUGACAUUAAGUAUGAAAUGAAACAAAAAAUUUGUAAAUUAACAUUAAGUAUGAAAUGAAACAAAAAAUUUGUAAAUCACAUCUAAAACUAGUAAAUUGAUAGAAAAAGAGGUAAAUUAAUAAUGGAGUUGUAAAUUGCAAGAAGAACUUGUAAAAAAACAAAAACUUAGAAAAAUAACAUAAAACUUGUAAACUGGCAUUAUGUGUGAAAUGAAACAAAAUAUUUACAAAUCACACAUAAAACUAGUAAAUUUAUGGAAAAAGAGGUAAAUUGAAAUUGUAAAUUAGAAGAAAAAGGUGUAAACAAAACAAAAAUUUUUAAAAAUGACAUAAAACUUGUAAAUUGAGAUUAAGUGUGAAAUGAAACAAAAUAUUUGUAGACUACACCUAAAACUAGUAAAUUGAUGAAAAAAUGGGUAAAUUAAUGUUGGAGUUGUAAUUUGCAAGAAGAACUUGUAAACAAAACAAAAACUUAGAAAAAUAACAUAAAACUUGUAAAUUGACAUUAUGUGUGAAAUAAAAUAAAAAAUUUGUAAACCACACAUAAAACUAGUAAAUUGAUGGAAAAAUGGGUAAGUUAAUAUUUGAGUUGUAAAUUGAAAGAAGAACUUGUAAACAAACCAAAACCUUAGAAAAAUGACAUAGAACUUGUAAAUUGACAUUAAGUGUGAAAUGAAACAAAAAAUUUGUAAGUCACACAUAAAACUAAUAAAUUGAUGGAAAAAUAGAUAAAUUAAUGUUAGAGUUGUAAAAUACAAGAGGAACUUGUAAACAAAAUAAAAAUUUAGAAAAAUGAUAUAGAACUUGUACUUUGACAUUAAGUGUGAAAUGAACUAAAAAAUAUGUAAAUCAUGAUUAAAACUAAUAAAUUGAUGGAAAUGAUCCCUGGGUUAGCUCAUUUAAUUGACUGCACCACUACUGGAUUAAUAAGCUAGACAACUAGCUAUUUGGGUCAAAAACCUAAAUAUAUCAUUUAGUGGGAGGCUCCAUUUAAUUAGCUUAUGUGUAAAGGGCCUUAUGUUAUUUUACAAGGUGGGUCCCCUAUAGAAAAAGCAAGUAACGUGAGUUUUGAUUUUCAUUAUUUGGAGUCUAGGGUUUUCACUAAAGGGAGAUAUAAAAAAGCUUAUUUUCUCUAAAGAAAAAAGAGCAGCUCCUUUAUACAAAGAAGAGAAAAAGAUUUUUCUCUUAGUUAUUGAGAGAAAAAUUUUCUCGUGCUAGUUGCUUUGAUAGUGAUAAAGGCGUCCACACGUCAAGUGCAGAUCGACCCUGAGUCAUAACCUGGAAGAUCAUUGUGACAGUUCGUGAUCUAACAAGCGUAGUGGUGACGGAUCGUGAUCUAACAGGAGUGGUGGUGACAGAUCGUGAUCUGGGAGCCUAAAUCACUUCAAUAGAAAAAAGCCAAAUCGAAUUUUCAAGGUAUGAUUUCUAGAUUACAAAUUCUUAUAUAUGGUAGGAGAGCUAUCUUAAAAGGUUUUAUAAAAAUUUAAAAAUUAUAUUUUUCUCCAACAAUUGGUAUCAGAGCCAUCUCAUAUUAAUAUAUAAGAAUAUUGUAUGAAAUCAAUCUUGAAAUUUAUAUAUUAGAGUGGCACAAUUUAUUCAAAUAUAUAUUAUUAUUUUAAUAUAUGAAUAAAGCAUGUUUUUAGUUUGUCUUAAUUCAUGGUUAGAUUUUACGCUGUAUUUUUUCUUCGGAUCUGUAACAAGAGGGGUGACUUUUCAUCACAAUGUUUCCCUCUUGAUUUAUUUUACUGUUAUAGAAUUUUUGUAAGCCAAAAUUGGCCUAGGAAAUUUGUAAAUCAAUCAUGGAUGUCAGAUCAUCGGAAACGAAGGCCGGAUAUUUUGACAGCAGCAACAAACCAGCACGUGCGGCCAGCAAUGGCCAGCGGCACGCACUGCACGUGCUGCAGCUGCAAGCAAUGCUGCCAGCAGCGUGCAGCUCCUGGGUUCCGUCAUUUGGUGGCUUUCCGGCGUAGUGGCAAUGGUUAAAUCAGCGUCGAACUUGGAUGAACAGUGACUGGCUUUGUGGUGAUGGCGGAUGGGGAGAGUAAAAGAUGGAUUCAGGGUUUCAAUGGUUUUUAUCAUUCAGAUCCCUAUGGCUCCAUAUUUUUUUUCUUUUUGGGUAGACACGUUUAAAUUUUUGCAGUUAAGUCCAAAAACAGUAUUGGGCUUAAUGAAUCAUAGUUUAUGCUCAAUUUCAAUUGGGCUUAAUGGAUUAAAAUGCAUAGAUAAAAUUGAACACAUUAAGACGGAAGGGUGGAAACAUUUAAAGCAAGAUUAGUAGCCAAAGGGUUUACUCAGAAAGAGGGAAUCGAUUAUGAGGAAACUUUUUCUCCGGUUGCUAUGCUUAAAUCCAUCAGGAUUCUGCUCUCCAUUACUGCAGUGCUAGAUUAUGAAAUUUGGCAAAUGGAUGUCAAGACUGCCUUUCUUAACGGGUAUCUUGAAGAAAACAUCUACAUGCAGCAACCAGAUGGAUUUAUACAAAAAGGCCAUAAACACAUGGUAUGUAAGUUGCAGAGAUCCAUUUAUGGAUUGAAGCAAGCAUCCCGGUCAUGGAACAUCAGAUUCGAUCAAGUGAUUAAAUCGUUUGGAUUCAUUCAGAACAUUGAUGAACCAUGUGUGUACAAGAAAAUUCAAGAAAAAUCUGUAGCCUUCCUAAUUCUUUAUGUAGAUGAUAUUCUCCUAAUUGGAAACGAUAUAGGAGUAUUGACUACAAUAAAGAGUUGGUUAGCAAAACAAUUUGAUAUGAAAGACCUGGGAGAGGCAAGUUAUAUUCUUGGUAUCAAGUUACUACGAGACCGAAAGAAUAAAACUUUAGCCUUGUCUCAAGCGGUCUACAUCGAUAAGAUAUUGGCUAGAUUUAGCAUGGAAAAUUCCAAGACUGGUUUAUUACCAUUCAGACAUGGAAUUACAUUCUCUAAUGAUCAAUCACCUAAAACAUCUGAAGAGAUAGAGAGAAUGAGACGAGUUCCCUAUGCAGAAGCUGUGGGAAGUCUCAUGUAUGCCAUGCUUUGCACUAGGCCAGACAUCUGUUUUGCGGUAGGGAUGGUUAGUAGAUAUCAAUCUAAUCCUGGACCUGAACACUGGACUGCGGUCAAGCAUAUAAUGAAGUAUCUGAAAAGAACUAAAAAUUAUAUGCUUGUGUAUUCUGGUAAUGAACUCAUUCCAGUGGGUUAUACUGAUUCUGACUUUAUGUCAGAUAAGGAUUCCAAAAAAUCAACUUCCGGCUAUGUGUUUACAUUGGGAAGUGGAGCUAUUAGUUGGAGGAGUGUGAAACAAUCUUAUAUCGCAGACUCCACAACUGAAGCUGAAUAUGUGGCUGCAUCCGAAGCUGCAAAAGAAGCUGUAUGGCUCCGCAAGUUCCUACAAGAUCUUGAGGUGGUACCUGCUGUAUCUGCACCCCUGAAACUAUUUUGCGAUAAUAGUGGUGCGGUAGCUCAAUCUAAGGAACCAAGGAACCACAAGAAACAAAAACAUAUUGAGAGUAAGUAUCAUCUUAUAAGGGAUAUAGUGCAAAGGGGUGAUGUGGAGGUUACUCAGAUUGCGUCACAGCAAAAUUUGGCAGAUCCUUUUACUAAGGCCAUACCUGGGAAACCUUUUAACUUGCACUUAGAAUCCAUGGGCAUGCGUGAGAUGCCAAAUAUGCUUUGAGAGCUAGUGGGAGAUUGUUGGGAAAAUAUGCUCUUUAAAAGCAUAUGUGUUUAUUUAAUUGUAAUAAAUAAUUUUUCUGAUUAAUAAAAUAGAUGAGGUAUUUUAUUCAAAUAUAUUAAUUGCAUUAAUAUUUAUAUUAAAGUCCAUUUAAUCAUAUUAUAUGUAUUUAUGUGAUCACCAUGUGGAUUCACAGAAGACAUAAAUACAAGUUAUCUUAUGAUUAAAUAAAUUUAGUUCGCAGUUGAUAAAUAAAGUUGGGCACUUUAUUUAGGUAUAGACUGUAAUAAAUUCAUUGAAUGAUUUGUCUUAAUCAUGUAUGAAUUUAUUGGUGUAGUACGACUACAUUGAACAUGAUCACAUAUGAGAUUUAAUUAACUUUGUAAUAACUGUCAGACUUAUUAAAUCUCAUAGGCGUUGAUUUUACUGUAAUCUUAAUCUUGAGUUAAUUAUGAUUUCAUGAUUGUAAUUGUUAUUCCAUUUGAGUUACCAAUGGGCACGACACAUCCUUGUGGUCAAGAUUACCCGGUAUCUUGGUGGGAGCAAUUAUGAGUAUUGGAGUUAUGGAUUAACAAUAUAGAAUUUGUACAACACAUCUCUUGAUGGGUUUCUGAACUAAACAGACCUCAAUUACAAAAAGAUUUCAACACCCAAGUGUCAAUAGGAUUCUGAACUAAACAGGCCUCAAUUACAAAAAGAUUUCCCAUACCUGAUUUCACAAUCUUAGGGUAAUCCUUUUUCCAGUGACCUUUCUGUCCACACUUAAAGCAUUUGCCUUUCGGCUUGCCAUCUUGCUUGGUAGACGGUUUCUUUUUCCCAGCUUUCUUCUUACCUUUGCCUUUCGGCUUAGGCCCAGAAGAUGAACUUUUUUCAGUAAUAUUUAUGCUUCCCAGAGAUUUCUCAGCACGAUAGAUCUCUUCAGCAGAAUGGAGUUCGUUCAUCAAUUCAGUUAAGGUCAUGUUUCUUUUGUUCAUGUUAUAAUUGACCUUAAACUCAUUGAAUGUUUCUGGUAGAGAUUCUAGCACCAUGUCAAUCUUUGAGUUAUCAUCGAUUUGUGCUCCCUGAAUCUCAGCCUCAUUCAAAUAGUCCAUCAUUUUGAGGACAUGAUCACGAAUUCUUGUGCCCUUCCCCAUUUUACUGUUCAUAAUUCCUUUCAGCGCUGCUUGUCUCGCUGAGCUAGUACUCUGCCCGAACAUCUGUUGGAGACUAUCCAUUAUUUCAGUGGCAGUCUCCAAGUUCUGAUGUUUGGUCUGCAGAAUAUUAGAAAUCGAGGCUAAAAUGUAGCACUUUGCCAUUUCAUUAGCCUUUUGCCAUUUCUCAUAAAGCCUCCUCUGAUUUCUAUGAGCAUCAUCCGCUGGAACUGGAGGGCAUGGCUGGGUUAAGACAUAUUUAUAAUUUUCAGCAGUCAGGACAAUGAAUAUAUUUCUUUUCCAAUCUAUAUAGUUCUCUCCAGUGAGUUUGUUUUGACUCAGAAUAAUAGUAAGUGGGCUCAGGGAAGACAUUUUUUGAAAAUAAAACAUCCAUGCAUAAAUAAUUUGAAAUAAUAUUCAUAAUAAAUGACAAAAAUGCAUAAAACCAUAAAUGCAUUUUAAUUUAUUGUAACGAUAAUCUAAUUCCGCUUUGACAAGCUAUCCGGUGGGAAAGUCAUGUCUAUACUUACUAGACCCAAUUACCCAUUGGAUUAUUUACUUUCAUGUAGAGACAUGAUAAAUAAUUAUCGUUAUCUUUUUGGGCCUAAAUUUGUUAACAGAGCUUCGUUGGAAAGGUUAAUAACAAAUUUUAGUUGAGUGUAUAACCAUUGUUUCAAUCUACGUAUUUUUCAUAUCAAUAGUCACCGUUGGGGUGAACAAUUGAUUGAAAAAUAUUUCAAUUUUAUCUUUGAAGAAGUUCAUCAAAUAAAAUAUCUAAUAUAUAUACCCUCCGAAGGGAGCAUCACUGUAUCAUGAAGUCGAGGUAUAUAUAUAAUUUUAUUAUUGAACUAACAAUGGAGCCCUUGGGAAAAUUAUCUUGAAUUUUCCCUCUCCCACUCAAUAUUUUAAAAUUGGUUUUUCCUUUUUAAAACAUACAUAUUGUUAAUUGCAUGCUUCCUAUAAUAUUAUCUAGAUGAUAUCAAAUAUUAUUAAGCAUACGCAAAUUUCAAAUAAUAUAAUGAAAUUCAUUAUUAAUGAAUGACAUGUAUCAUUAUGCAUAGAGUGGCACUACCUAUUCUAUAUGACAUGUUAUCAUGGCAUGUGAUCAUCCAAAACAUAACAUAUAGAAAAACAAUUAAAUAAUCUUAAUUCAUGGCUUUCCUAAUAAUGAAAAAUACAUUAACCCCAAGCCUAAUCUUCAUUGGGCUUCUUGUCAAUGUCCAUCUUCGAUAAACUUGUCUUUGUUAAUGGACUAGGGGAAAUUGGGCUUUUAAAUUUAUAAUUGGUCCAAUUUUAAUUUUAAAUAAAUAAAAAAAAUUUUAUAAAAUUUUUGGACCAAAAAUAAAUUUAAUGUAUUUAAUUUUGUCUAUGCAUUUUAAUCCAUUAAACCCAAUUGAAAUUGGGCCUAAAACUAGGAUUCAUUAAACCCAAAACUAUUUUUGGAUUUAAACGCAAAAAAUUAAAAAUAUUUCUGCCUAACUGAAAAAAUAUGAAACUAUAGGGACCUCCAUGAUAAAAACCAUGGAACCCUAAAAUCACAUUUUUCUUUUCCUCUUCUUCCCCAGCCGCCACCAGUAAAAAGCACCAGCUUCUGUUCCCGGUCAACCGCCGCUGUUCAGAGACGCCAGCCGGUCUCCGACACAUCUCUGACGAGGAGCCAUCGCCAAUACGCCGGAAACAAGCCAACCCUGCGAGCGCUACUUGCUGGAACGCACGCUACUUCUGCGCACGCUGCUGCUGCGCGUACAGCGCGUGCCGCUGGCCAGGCUGGCCGCACGCGUCGCUUGCUGCACGCAGCGCCCGCUGCUGGCAGCGUGUGCUGCCUGCUGCGCGCAUUGCCAGCAUGCGCUUGCAGCGUGUACCGCUCGUUGGCUGCAGCGAGUGCGCUGGUCGGUGGUCGAUGUCAAAAUUUCCGGCCUCCGUCGCUUUCAGCUCGUUUUCCAGUGAUGAUUCUUCAGUGAUUUACAAAUUUUCAACGCAAAUUUUGGCUUACAAAAUUUCAAUUACAUUAAAAUAAAUCAAGAGGGAAACAUGGUGAUAAUAAACCACCCCUCUUGUUACAGAUCCAAACAAAAAAUACAGUAGCACAUCUAACCAUGAAUUAAGACAAACCAUAAACAUGCUUUAUUCAUAUAUUAAACAAAUAAUAUAUAUCUGAAUAAAAUGUGCCAAUCUAAUACAUAAAUUUCAAGAUUAAUUUCAUACGAAAUUCUUAUAUAUUAAUAUGAGGCUGCUCUGAUACCAAUUAUUGGCGAAAAAUGAGGUUUUUAUAAUUUUUAUAAAACCUUUUGAAGAUCGCUUUCAUAUAAUAUAUAAGAAUUUGUAUUCUAGAAAUCGUACCUUGAAAAUCCGAGUUGGCUUUUUCCGCUGAAAUGAUUUAGGCUCCUAGAUCACGAUCCGCCACCACCACUCCUGUUAGAUCACGUUCCUUCACCACCACGCUUGUUAGAUCACGAACUGUCACCAAUGAUCUUCCAGGUUAUGACUCAGGUUCGAUCUGCACUUGACGUGUGGGCGCCUUUAUCACUACCAAAGCAACUAGCACGAGAAAAUUUUUCUCUCAACAAUAGAGAGAAAAAUCUUAUUCUGCGAUUUGUAUAAAGUGGCUUCUCUUCUUUCUUUUGAGAAAAUAAGCCUUUUAUAUCACCCUUUAGUGAAAACCCUAGGCUCCCAAUAAUUAAAAAAAAAAACUCACGUUAUUUGCUUUUUCUAUAGGAGACCCACCUUGUAAAAUAACAUAAGGCCCCUUACACAAAAGCUAAUUAAAUGGAGCCUCCCACUAAAUGAUAUAUUUAGGCUUUUGACCCAAAUAGCUAGUUAUCUUACUUAUUAGUCCCGUAGUGGUGCAGUCAAUUAAAUGAGCUAACCCGGGAAUCAUUUGGGAACAUACAAUAGUGGCUACAAUAAUUAGGCCUGUAAUUAAAUUAGCCCAAUUAUUUAAUUCCAAAUCUACUCCACUAAAAGAUUGGAACUGACUUCCAUAAUUGUAUGCUCGAAUAAUAAUUCGUCCCAAGCCACAUUAAUUUCUUUACUGCACAAUCCUUUGUACCACAUCGUUAAUUAAAUUGAUAUCUCAACUGUCCAAUUAAUUUAAUAACAUCUUAUUCCUUGAUCCUUACUGGUUUUCUCUAAUGAUCAUUUUCAACAUACUAAAUAUGUUGACACACUCUGGCCAGAGAAUUCUAUGAUCAAGUGCCGAAAACCCAUCAAGAGAUGUGUUGUACAAAUUCUAUAUUGUUAAUCCAUAACUCCAAUACUCAUAAUUGCUCCCACCAAGAUACCGGGUAAUCUUGACCACAAGGAUGUGUCGUGCCCAUUGGUAACUCAAAUGGAAUAAAAAUUACAAUCAUGAAAUCAUAAUUAACUCAAGAUUAAGAUUACAGUAAAAUCAACGCCUAUGAGAUUUAAUAAGUCUGACAGUUAUUACAAAGUUAAUUAAAUCUCAUAUGUGAUCAUGUUCAAUGUAGUCGUACUACAUCAAUAAAUUCAUACAUGAUUAAGACAAAUCAUUCAAUGAAUUUAUUACAGUCUAUACCUAAAUAAAGUGCCCAACUUUAUUUAUCAACUGCGAACUAAAUUUAUUUAAUCAUAAGAUAACUUGUAUUUAUGUCUUCUGUGAAUCCACAUGGUGAUCACAUAAAUACAUACAAUAUGAUUAAAUGGACUUUAAUACAAAUAUUAAUGCAAUUAAGAUAUUUGAAUAAAAUACCUCAUCUAUUUUAUUAAUCAGAAAAAUUGUUUAUUACAAUUAAAUAAACACAUAUGCUUUUAAAGAGCAUAUUUUCCCAACAACAACUGCAUCUACGGACUCGUUGAUGUCGGGCCAGUAGUAGGUCCAUGCCACUAUUACUCCAUUAGGUUUUUUGAGUACCCAUUUUACUUGUUUGUAAAAUUGAGGCAAGUCAAACCAAUGUAGUGAUGUAGCAAUUGUCACUAGAUCUACACUUGAUUGUGUUGCCACAUUUUGUUCAAGCUCAGUUAUGGACAUGGUUGGAGGAGUAAGUUGAUACCGAAUGUUGGGGAGCUUUAUUGCGAAUUCUAGCUGCUUUGGGCUUGUGUCUGUAGCAAUGACAUUCUUGUAGAUUGGUGCAAGCUGAAGACAUAUAAUUGAGAAAAAAUAUAAAAUAUAGGAGGCUAUAACAAAAGUACACAAAAUUGAGAAGGCCAUAUAUAAAAAUUACAUAGACAUGGUGAAAUUUCAACCCAUACUCAGUUUUUUUGUUUUUUUUGUUUUCAUCCUCAAGGUUGCCGGGAUACUCUAGUUCCCCCCUUGGUAGUUGGAUAAGAUUUUUCUGUACUCGUCUCACGACUAAAUUUCCAGAUAAUGUGGAUAUUGAUUUGUAGAUAAUACAUACAUAAUUAAUCAAUGAAAAUAAUAGGGAUUUAACUAGGGAUUGGCAAUGGGAGGAGAUCGACAUUUCUGUAUCUAUUUCUGAUACUCUACUUGUAUCCUUGUACUCUCCCCGUCCUUUUUAAAAUUGCUUGAGGAUAGGGAUGGGGAUCUCCAAAGACACCCGAUCCCGAACAACUGAUUUUUGAACUUGAUUUAAUCAUAUUAAAGUAAAAAAAUAAAUCAUUUAACAACAUAAACACAUCAAAACAAAGUAAAAUCAUUAAAAUCAUUUUCAUCAAACUAAUUAAGUUAAUGUCAUCAAAAUUACAAGAUAAUCUAUGAAAUUAAGUAAAAAUAGAACUUCAGGGUUGAACACAUACAUUAAAGUCACAUGGUAUAAAUCAUUAAGAAAAUUAUCUUCAUCAAUCUUCAAGUGUUCAUAUCUAUUAUGAUAUUUUUUUUAUUUAUAUCCAUACCAUCACAAUUUAAAUUUUAAAUAUAAUUACUAAAAAUUUUGACAGAAAUAAAAUAAAAUAAAAAUUAAAAAUAAAAAUUAAAAAUGGGGAAACGAGAGAGACGAGGAAUUCACUGAAUCCCCAUCUUCUCCCUAUAUAAGAUAUUGAGUGUUAAGUUAUCUCUGUUCGUUCCCCGAAUUUUAAUUAAGAUAUAAAAUUGUUCCCACACCCUACACAAAUGGGAAAAAUCCUUCAAGACUCGUCCCAUGAGAAUUUCUGCUAUCCCUGAAUUUAACAGUUAUAUAAUUCAACUUUCUUAUAGCUUGGGAUCAGAAUUCUGAAAUAUUAAUAUGGAACUUUUGUAUUAUUCAAAAAUAAAAUCUAAAGAUGUGAAAAGUAAACUUACGGAUGCAGCGGCCUGCCCGCUUCCGGUGCCGACGUCCCAUGCAAGCUCGUUUUUGGGUGUUUUAGAGGCAAUGAAUUUGAACAAUUCUUCUGGAUAAUUUGGUCGUGCUUCCGCGUAUUGCUUUGCCUGCUUAACGAACAUAUCUGCCAUCUUUUCUGUUUUUUUCUAAAUAAGUGUUGACAAUAGAAUUGAGAUAAAUCUACUGAUCACUUGUUUCGUUUCUUCUUUAUAUAGGUUUUAGAAUUUGAUGUAGUAGACGAACAGACAAAUUUUAGUUAGAAAUUAAUUUGGUAUGGUUUAUCUGGGGAAGCCCAGAACGAGGACAAGCUCAUAAAGCGUUAAAUUUUGACCGAACUUUUCAUUCUUCCUUUAAUUUUCAAAGAUUCCCUUUUCUUCGCAAAGAUGAUGGUAUGGACUUCAUCAAUGAGCCCACAUCAACUCUACUUAGAGAAUUUUUUUUGGGAUAAUUUUGUCAUUAAUUUAAGCUGUUAAAGGUAUCUAUAGAAGUAUUGAACUACUACUUUGCUCUCUUAUGGGGUUAAGAUGGCGGAGUUUAAAGGCAGAUUCACCUCCUGACCAUUAGGAGUUCAAGCUUCCAAUGGAGAAAAUAAUUUAAAAAAAAGUAAUGAGAUAAUUGUUUGAAUUAUUAAUUAGAACCAUUAAAUUUAUUAAAAUAAUUGUGUUAAAUUUAUAAAAAUAGGUCCAUAAAUUCAUAAACCUAUAAAAUUUAAAUUUUGACUUUGAAACAUAUAAAAGCUCAUACUUUAAUUAAAAAAAUAAAUGUUUACAGUAGUCAAAUUUAUUAUUAUUUAAUUUAGCCCUAUUAAAUUUACUAAAGUACCUCCACAAACUCAUUAAUCUAUAAAAUUUUAGUAUUGAUUACAUUUUGUUAUUAUGUAAUUCAAUCCUCUGAAUUCGCUACUAUUUAGAAUUGGCUCUCUAUUAUUACUCGAUCUAGUCCAAGUUCAAUCAAAGUUGGCUCUCUAUUAUUACUCGUUCUAGUCCAAGUUCAAUCAAAGUUGGCUGUCUAUCAUUGACAGUUCUCGUUCAGGUUCAAUGAAAGAGAUCAAAGCAGAGUUUGUUUGCGAUUCAGUUUGUGUAAAUGCAUGUAGGUCCAGGUUGUCUUAUUUUGUGGUUCACUGGUGUAAAGAAUUUAAAAAGUAAUUGGAUAAGAGGAUGCGUCUUGGAUGAUGAAAUGAAGCAAUGACACAUCUUCAUGUGCAGUUUUUACGACGUGCACUCGGUAUGAUUAUGAAUAAUGAUAUAUGCAUAGAAAAUAAUACAAAAUUUAAUAAAAAUUAUAUAAAAAUAAAAAAUUAUUAUCCCGUGGUGUAUUUUUUAUCCUGUAAUUAAUUUUGUUUGUCUUUUAAUAUUGUGUGCUUUUAUAUUAUUUUUUGACACGUGUCAUUCAUUGUUUCACUACUAUUACCAUGCUCCUAAAAACCUUACUUUUUUUUUUUUCGGAAGAUGCCGCAUUUGCUUGAUUUCAACAUUGGCAUGCUCGUCCUUCUUACGCUUUUGUCUUUCUAUAAUCAUCAUAUUCAAUGGCAAAAUUUCAACAAGAUAGAGCAACAUUCAACAAAGAUAAGUCUUCUUAUUGGAUUAGGUAUAGAUUUUUAAUUAAUUCGUAAUGGAAAUUGGUGGCUAUCCACUAUCAGCUUAGACCAAUUUAACUAGCUAUAGUUAAUUAGCUAAGUUAUUUGGGUGAGCAAAGUCAGCUAGUAGUAAAGCUCGGAAAAUCACCUAAUUAAAAUUGAAACAGGACCAUCAAAUACACACAGUUUGCUUUGAUUGGCCAUUCAACAAAACAUCUGAAGAGAUUGGAUGGCUAAAGAGCUAAUUAUGUCAAUCAAGCGUGGGUGUUCUGAUCAUGACGUGCCCUAAGGCUUGGCUUCGUUUUGAUUGGCUAAUGGAUCCUAUGAAUAGAGAGCACUGCUCUUCGUGAUUUGUAUCCUAAAUUGAAACCUUAUUACAAAAAUAUCACCUUCCUUUGUAUCAUGUAUUUAUUAAUUUAUACUUUCUACAUAUAUGUUGUCAAUUAUUAUAACACGUUAUUAGUUAGCAUGGCAAUCAUUUUGGUACAGGAAGUAUCUUAUCCCCUGCUCUUUUAUUUUAUCUAUUUAAUUAAUAAAGCUAUCUUUAUAAAUAUACUCUAAAGUUGUCAUUAAUUUGGAUCUUCCACAUAAAAAAAUAUGACUAGCUAUUGUAUUUCUUCUUAUUUAUUUUAUUUAUUUUUAAUUUUUUUAUAAUAGAGGGACUCUACAAUGAGCUAAGGUAAAACAUAUCGGGAGUAAGCAAUCCCAUACAAAUCAUUUGCAAUAAAACUAACAACCCCCGGAGGAGGAAUAGAAAAAAGAUGCAAUCCCAAGGGCAGCUCCAAGGCAUAAUUUGCUAAGAAGUCCGCUGCGAAAUUUGCUUCACGAUAUAUGUGGUUGAUGGUUAUAACCCAAUUCCGCUUGAUGAGAUCUCUAAUGGAGUGGAUGAGGUGGGUAUACUCGUUGAUGCUCUCCGUGUGGCUGUUAACCAUCUGAACAACAUAGUAGCUAUCCACUUCCACGUGUAAAAACCGAACACCAUGUUGCCAUGCUAAAAUUAACCCUCGGCAAAAGCCCAAAGUUCUGCUGCAAUAACUGAACAGACGCCUAUGUUGAAGCCAAAGCUAGUGAGCCACAUGCCUUGGUGGUUGUGUAUGAGACCUCCAGCACUUGAUGCCCCCAACUCUUUUCUUGCUCCGUUUGUGUUUAGCUUGCACCAGGGCCAUUUAGGUAACUUCCAGGUGAUCCAUCUCUCAAUUUUCCUGGUCUCAACAACCAAAGAUGAGUUGUUGAUGUUCUGAAUCUCCUCAACUCUAGCUUUAAUAUCUUGUAUUAUACUAAUACUGUCCAUAUUCCGUUGAUGGAAUAGGAAUUGACUCCCGCAGAACCACAAACGCCAAAUAGUAAGUCCAAAGAAAAUAUUUCAUUCAAUACUCGAGUCCAUUUGCCCUUUGCUUAGUAAAUUCUGACACAGCCAUUCUUUUAGAUCAGUCCUGAAAAACCAAGGACAAAAGCUCCCAGGAAUUAAGCGAUUUCAAAACGUUUUCGCGACCACACAGUCUCAAAUCACAUGUAUGGUAUUCUCAAGAGUUGAGCCACAUCGAUCACACCAACCGUCCACCAGCAAAUGACGCCUUGACAAUUCAAACCUUGUUUUUAGUGUAUCAUGCAACACCAACUAGAUGAAAAAACAAAUGCUCUGGGGGCCUUGCCAACUCCAUGCAAGACUCCAUAGCUUCUCCUCGUCACUUAAAAUGGUCUUUGAUAGAGCAUGGUAAGUUGACUUCACAAUAAAACACCCCUUUGCUGAUUCAGCCCAGAAAACUUGGUCUGCACCAUCAUCUGCCAAAGGAGGCUUGUAGGAAGCAAUCCUCAAAAGAAUAUUAUGUGGUAAUAAGAAACUAAAACUCUCCCAUAGCCAAUUUCCAGCAUUGUCAACAAAGUCCAUUGCUUUCCUAUUUACUAAAUGGUCCGGAACUGGAGCAAUCUCAUAAUUAAUCCGGGGUUGAUUUUUAGUUACCCAACAAUCCCACCAAAAACGAACCGUUUUACCAUUCCCAACAUUCCACCGAAUCCCCCUCUUCACAGCAUGCCAAAUUUUCCCAGAGUAAGAACCAUAUCUGGUUGGCAACUCAUAUGGUAAAAUUUUCGGGUUCACUCCAUAUUUCAUAAGCAACACUUGUGACCACAGACUUUUUGGAUUGACAGCAAGGUUUCAGCCCACUUUCAUCAACAAAGCUUGAUUCAUUACGUCCAUGUUCUUAAAACCCAAGCCACCACAACUUUUUGGACGACAAAUCAUCCCCCAACUAACAAGGCUCAUCUUCCUUUGAUUAUUAGCAUCGCUCCACAUAAAUUUCCUGCAAGCUUGUUCAAUUUUACUUUUAACACUAGCCGGCAAAUUCGUAGUUUGCAUUGCAUAGAUCGGAAUAGUCUUCAGCACUGACUGGACAAGAGUUGCUCUUUCUGCUAAAGAUAAAUGAUUGGCAUUCCACCAGAGAGGCGUUGCUCAACCUUGUCAAUAAUGCUCUGAUAAGCCCGCUUUGAGACUCUAGAAUGUAGGAGAGGCAUUCCUAGAUAAGUUCCCAGAUCUUUUAUUACUGAAAACCCAAGCAGUUCACCUAUCUGUUUAGCCUCAUUUGCUUUAACAUUCUUGGAGAAAAAAAUUUAAGUUUUAUCCUUGCUGACCUUGGCACCUGAGCUUGCAUAGAAAGCAUCAAGGAAAGACCAAAUAAAUCUAGCUUGAUCACAAGUUGCCUCAGCAAGUAGGAGAAGAUCAUCACAAAAAAAAAAGAUGGGUGAUAGGGGUCCCAUUUCGAACCAGUCACAUUGGUCUCUGAUCUCCCAUAUUUACAGCAUGAGCAAUGCCAUGGCUGAGUCUCUCAAUGCACAAAACAAAUAUAUAUGGGGAAAUAGGAUUCCCCUACCUAAUUCCUCUAGAUGGCACAAAAUUCUUGGUUAUCUCCCCCUCCCAUAAAACAUUCAUCUGAACUUGAGUAAUACAAUCCAUGAUUAGUUGAACCAAGUCAGAAGGAAUUACAACCUCUAGGAGCGUGUCAUGGAUGAAACUCCAAGUGAGCUUGUCAUAGGCCUUUUCAAGUCCACUUUAAUUGUCAUUUGCCCCCUCCUACCAAUUUUUCACCGCAUGGAGUGAAUCACCUCCUGAGCAAUAACAAUAUUCUCUGUUAUAUGACGCCCUGGGACAAAACUUGUUUGUUGAGGACCAACAAAAUGAGGUAGGAUCGUUUUUAGCUUGUUGGCAAUCAUCUUGGUGAUUGUCUUAUAAACUAAUGUACAUAAGCUAAUGGGGCGAUACAUUUUUGAAGUCUGAUGAUGAUCAUUCUUAGGAAUCAGAACUAAUAGUGUCCUAUUAAUCUCUGGGGGAACUUUGCCUUGACUGAAGAUGCUCUUAAUAAAAUGACAAAAGGAAGGCCCAACCACCCCCCACUGAGACUAGUAAAAAAUGGCAUGCAAACCAUCAAUCCUUAAGGCUUUUAAGGGCUUCAUACUAAAAAUAGUGCUUUUAAUCUCAGCUUCAUCUAAAGGCCCUUGUAAAAAAGACAAACUUUCUGCAUCUAUCACUGGAAAACAGCCCCGAAUAUGGUAUUGCUGAGACGGGAUGUUAUCCUCAAAGUAUAACUUGGAAAAAAAAAUGUACAAUAUGGCAUUUGAUAGCUUCAACUUCAUACAACUAUUUCCCAUUCUCAUCUUUAAUAGCCAUGAUCUUGUUUCUCCUUCUUCUAGUCAGUGUCUUCUGGUGAAAGAAAGCUGUCUUUCUAUCGCCGUGCAUAAUCCAAUCUUUUCUAAACUUUUGCUUCCAAAUAGCUCUUCUUGAGUAAGAACUACUUCAAGUUCUCUUUUCAAUUUUAAUUCAAGCCAAAUGAGACCCUUUGUAGUAUAGUCCUUAAGAGCUUUUUUAAUACCACCAAUGUGAGCCAUAGGUCUUCUUUACCUUUAGAAGAUAUUACCAAAAGAAUUUAUGUUCCAGUGUGAGACAUUGCGAGUGAAAGAAAAGGCCGAUUGGAGGUAGGGUUCUAUAGGAUUCCAAUUCGAAGCAACAAAAUUAUCAAAAUCUUUGUGUGUGAGCAAAGCCGCCAAGAAUCAAAAUGGUCUCUGCCCCUGACCUCGUCGCUCUUCUUUAUCAAAACGAACUGAUACCGGUCUAUGGUCUGACUGAAUUUUCGGUAAAUGAAGCACAAAGCUAUUUACAAAUUUAUUCAGUCAAUCCUCAUUGCACAUUGCCCUAUCUAGCCGUUUGAAGAGAGCCCUACGAGACCAAGUGAAUCUAGGACCCGUAAACUGAAGGUCAUAUAAAUGUUGGGUGCAAGCGGAAGUGCAGAAAAUUUUUUAUUUAAGAACAGAGUAUUUUGCUGGAAAUUUCUGAAACUUUAUUGCUUAAUUCAUUUUUUCGUUUCUCUCUUACUUUUCAUACAACCAGAGUUCUAUAUUUAUAUGCAUUAUAGACAACUCUAGAGAUUACAUUAAUCAUGCUUUACAUUUCCAAAGCUACAUUGCAAACAUCAAUUCUACCCUUUACUUCAUGUUGAAAAACAAACCAAAUAACCCUUCAAACUUCUUGCUCAAUUUACUAGAUUACUAAUUAUAUCUCAACACCCCCUCUUAAUUAGUAAUCUUCAAUUGCUUCUUGAAUUUUUCAAACUUCUCAAUGUUGAUUGCUUUGGUCAGAAAAUCUGCUGGCUGCUCAUUAGUGCUGAUAAACUCCAUAUUAACUUCUCCUUUGCUUACUAAGUCACGGAUGUAGUGAUAACGCAGCUCAAUGUGCUUAGAUUUAGCAUGAAAUACGGGGUUUUUUGUUAGAGCAAUGGCUGACAUGUUGUCACAAUAAAUUAUUGUUGCAGCAUCUUGAUUGAACUGCAAAUCCUUGAGAAUUCUUCUAAGCCAAACGGCUUCACAAGCUGAUUCAGUUGCUGCAAUGUACUCUGCCUCCGCUGAGGAUAAAGCUACUGACUUCUGCUUCCUUGAGCUCCAUGAAAUCACAUUUGUACCAAGACAAAAUAAAUAACCUGAUGUGCUUUUUCUGUCAUCAAGGGAACCAGCCCAGUCACUGUCAGUAAAACCAACAAGCUUGCAAUUGUCUUCUUUUUCAUACAUGAUCCCCUGCUUUUUUGUUCCUUGAAGAUACCUUAAGAUUCUCUUUGCUGCAAUAUAAUGGGACUUCCUUGGAUCAUUCAUAAAUCUAGAAAGAACACUAACUGAGUGCAAAAUGUCAGGUCUUGAGUUGGUUAGAUAAAUCAAUGAACCAACCAAGCUUCUAUAGAUUCUUGCGUCAGCCUUUUCUUCUUUUUCAUCAUGUUUCAAUUUUUCAUUCAAACCCAUAGGAGUAGGUGCUGGUUUGCAUUUGAACAUGUGGAAUUUCUUCAACAAAUCUUCUACGUAUUUUUCUUGACAAAAGAAGAUUUUUCCUCUGGCUUGCUUCACUUGAAUGCCAAGAAAAUACUUCAUUAAGCCCAAGUCAGUCAUCUCAAAUUCAUCUAGCAUGCUUUUUUUAAACUCUUCCACCAUUUUCAAAUUAGCGCCACAAUAAAUUAGAUCAUCAACAUAAAGGCAAACAAUAAGGAAAUCAGUACCUUCCUUUUUGACAUAAAGAGAAGGUUCACUUGAGCUUCUGUCAAAUCCAUUUUUAACAAAAUAUCUAUCAAUUCUACUAUUCCAUGCUCGAGGGGCUUGCUUCAAGCCAUACAAGGCUUUUCGGAGUCGAUAAACUUUGUUUUCUUCACCUUUUACUUCAUAUCCUUUAGGCUGCUCAACAUAAACCUCUUCUUCAAUUUCACCAUUUAGAAAUGCCGAUUUACAUCUAGCUGAAACACAUUUAAUUCCAUUUGGGCUGCCAGGGCAAGAACAGUUCGAAUAGUCUCCAUUCGAGCUACGGGAGCAAACGUUUCUGUAAAAUCAACUCCAGGCAGCUGAGAGUAUCCUUUGGCAACGAGCCGCGCCUUAUAUUUUUGAAUUGAACCAUCUUCAUUGUACUUGAUUUUGAAGAUCCAUUUCAGCCCAAUUGUUUCUUUUCCAUUUGGAAAAUUAACCAUCUCCCAAGUUUUAUUUUUCACAAUGGUGGCCAUUUCCUCGUUCAUUGCUUUGAUCCAAUCUUCAUUUCUUGAGGCCUCCUCAAAGUCUUGAGGCUCACAAGAAAAUAAAGCAAGUUCACAUGACUCAUAAAUUUCUCUCAUUGACUUUAUCUUCCUUGGAGGGCUUUCAUCAUCCGAAGAACUUUCUGCUGCUGAAUUUGGAGAAUUUGGUUCCAAAUUAUUUUGCUGUGAAGAAUUUGGUGGAGAUACAGGAGCUUCAAAAAAGCUAGAUGCCUGAGAUUGAUUGUUUUCCCACUGCCAAGCUGAUGCCUCAUCAAAUACAACAUCUCUUGAGAUAACAAGCUUAUUUGUUGUAGGAUUCAACAACCGAUACCCUUUAGACUCAUCACUAUAGCCAAUAAACAAAUAUUUUUCUCCUUUUCCAUCAAACUUCUCCCUGUUUUGAGCUGGAAUAAGAGCAUAAGCAAUACUCCCAAAAAUCUUCAAGUGAUCAACAGUUGGCUUUCGGUUGUGCCAAGCUUCAAAUGGAGUUUUGUCUCUAACAGCUUUUGUAGGAGACCUGUUGAGGAUGUACAUAGCUGUAUGACAUGCUUCUGCCCAUAAGUUGUUAGGAAUGCCUUUGCCUUUUAACAUGCUUCUUGCCAUCUCUACAAUGGUACGGUUCUUUCGUUCUGCGACUCCGUUUUGUUGCGGACUUCGGCUGACAGUAAGUUGUCUUUGAAUUCCAUUAUCCCUGCAAUAAUUCAUGAAUGGAGUGUAGAUAAAUUCACCACCACGAUCAGUUCUCAAGGUCUUCAUUUUGCAUCCACUUUGCCUUUCUGCAAGAGCUUUAAACUGAAGAAAAGUUGAGAAAGCUUCUGAUUUUUCAUUCAAAAAAUAAAUCCACAUCAUCCUUGUAUAGUCAUCAACAAAAAGAAUGAAAUAUCUCCUGUUAUUGAGAGAGAGAGUCCUUGUAGGACCACAAAUAUCAGCAUGCACCAACUCCAACGGAGCUUUGGCUCUCCAUGAAUUUUUAGGAAAUGGAAGUCUAUGCAUUUUUCCAUAUAUACAGCCCUCGCAAACUUUUUCAUAUCUUCCAACAUCAGGUAAGCCAAUCACCAUGUUCUUUUGCUUGAGCAAAUUCAGCCCUUUAUAGUUUAAAUGGCCAUAUCUAAGAUGUCAUAAAUUUGACAAAUCUGAAUUUUCAGUUUUGAGAGCAACAUUCUCAUCAAGUGGCAUAACAAGAGGAAAAACUUUGUUCUUUGACAUUUCAACAACGGCCACUGUGUGAUUAUUAGUUUUAUCAAUAAUUUUGCAUUUUUCAUCAUCAAAAUAAAUUGAAAAACCCUUUUGAAUUAGCUGCCCCACACUCAAGAGGUUUUGAGUUAAAUUUGGAACAUAAAGAACGUCAGAAAUGAGCUUUUUGUUACCUCCCUUUGUAUGGACAGCAAUAGUGCCUUUUCCCACAGCUUUCUGCAUCUUUCCAUCUCCAAGCUUCACUUGCGAAUUAAAACUUUGGUCAAGGCUGAUGAAAAUUUCACGUUCUCCAGUCAUGUGGUUGCUGCAGCCGCUAUCCAAGUACCACAAAUUAUAUGAUUCAUGUUCAGCACCUUUACUUGAAUAAAACAAGUAAUCUCCAUCACAUUCUUUUGUAAAAUUUGCCUUAUUUUUGCCUUUCUUAUUUUGAUACCAGCAAUCCCUUUGAGAAUGGUUAGGAAUGCGACGCCUUGUGCAUUUAUAACGACAAUCUUUUGAUUCAUAAUUAGACCGAUUACAAAUGAUGCACUGAGAAUCUGAAUUUUGCUGUGAAUUCCCUCUGUCAUUUUUCCACUUGUUGCGGUUGUCGUUAUGUUCUCUUUGCCCUUUGCCACGCUGUCCGUUUCUUUGAGACGAGCCUCCAUUCUUCUGGUCUUUUUUGCUGCUUUUAUUCUGAUCUGAAAAGCUUGCUCUGUAGGCUGACUUGAAGGUCGAUUGAUUCUUUGCUCAUGAGACCGUAAUGAUCCUGACAAAUCUGAAAAAGUCAUCUUAGACAAAUCCCUUGAUUCUUCAAUGGCUGCUGCUACAUGAUCAAACUUUGGAGGAAGACAUCUCAGCACCUUUUCAUUCACCUUCUUGUCUUCAAUGGAGUCCCCGCAACCUUUAAUCUGGUUCACAAUCUCAGUAACUCUACUGCAAAAAUCUUGAACUCCUUCACUGUCUUUCAUUGAUAAAUUAUCGAACUCUUUCCACAAAGUCUGUAACUUGAUGGUGACUGCCUUUUCGGAACCUUGAAAUUCUUGUUUUAGGAUUUCCCAAGCAUUUUUGGCCUUUUUGACACCAAAUAUUCUGGGGAAAAUUGACUUACUAACACCUUGCUGGAUAUAUCGAAGUGUCGUGGCAUUUCUCUGUAUGUUUUCUUUGUACUGCUGUUGAUGUGCUGGAGUCCAAUCUGAAGAACUUGCUGAUUCUGGUGGUUCAGCAUAUCCAUCUUCAACAACAUCCCAUAAAUUCUGAGAGAGGAAAAAGGUUUCCAUUUGAUUACUCCAAUAUUCAUAAUGUACCCCUUCAAAUAUUGGAACUUGACUGGGAGCAUAUGAAAAUAAUGUGGGUAGGGUAUUUGAUGUCAUUUUGAGGGUGUUUUGGAAAAGCUCUGAUACCAAAUUUGUUGGGUGCAAGCGGAAGUGCAGAAAAUUUUUUAUUUAAGAACAGAGUAUUUUGCUGGAAAUUUCUGAAACUUUAUUGCUUAAUUCAUUUUUUCGUUUCUCUCUUACUUUGCAUACAACCAGAGUUCUAUAUUUAUAAGCAUUAUAGACAACUCUAGAGAUUACAUUAAUCAUGCUUUACAUUUCCAAAGCUACAUUGCAAACAUCAAUUCUACCCUUUACUUCAUGUUGAAAAACAAACCAAAUAACCCUUCAAACUUCUUGCUCAAUUUACUAGAUUACUAAUUAUAUCUCAACAAUAAAUUGCUUGAUUGGAACUAGUUUAAAAAACUCCUACAAAUCCCACUUCUAUGUAAGGAGCCACCUUUCUUUUUCGAAGUAUAAAGGAUAGCAUUGAAAUCACCAAUGAUGAGCUAAGGUCCGCGAGUGCUGUUGGCUAGUCUUCCACGAUAGUCCCAAAGGUUUUGUCUAUUAGUUUGAACAGGGCUUGCAUAAACAGCAGUCACCCAUGACAAAAAGCCACCAUUGUUAAACAUUCGAAAAUGAAUGAAUUGCUUGUGAUUUAAAGACACUUCGACCUCCAAGAAGUCUCUCCACAAAAGCCAGAUUCCCCUAGAGAAACAAAUUGCUCCCACCAUGUGGGACUUGACAAAACCACUUUUCUUGAUGAAACCAUCCGCUCUUAUCCCACUAAUUCUCAGUUCCAUAGAACAACCAUGGCCGAUUAUAAGUCUUUGUCAGAGACACAAAAGCACUGUGAAAUUUUAGUGAGCCAGCCCCUUGGGCAUUCUAAAACAUUAUAGAAAUAAGCAUUAAAAAAAAUAGAUAAAGAUAAAAGGGAGAGAUAGGGAGCCUUACUCAACCAAGGUCUCAUAACCCAACUCCAUAUCCUUCUCAUCUUCUAGAGAAAUAUCAUCCUCUGAAGAAUCAAUACCCUUACCACUGUCUCCCAUAUAGUCACUGUCAUCCUCAUCAUAAUCUAAAGUCAUUGUUCCUACCAUAAUCAAGAGGUUCAUCUUGGGCUUUGGCAAGCUGACCGUUAUCACCACCCACAAAGAAUCCAUGUUGAGGCUCAGCCAGGGUGGGGUUUGUGGAAUUUGUGGGACAAGCAUGUGUGCCCUUUUGAUUUUAAAAAAAAAAUGGCGGUAUGGAAUAGGGGGUUUAAGCUAGUUGAUACGAAAAUAGGUUAUGGGUUCAUUGCAACAUGUGCAUGAGUUUUGCUUGAAUUACGUACACUUUGCGUGGUUUUUGUGUUGGUGGACUAGAACAUGUAUGUCACUUAAAUACGAUCCCUCACGUGACAAUAACUCUGGGCUGGAACAAGUUUGUUUUGGUGUAAAAGUAUAAACUAUAAUAUUUAUUAUAUUUUGAGAUAAAUUAUAUAAUUUAUUUGUUAUCAAUACAUUUUAGUCUUCAAUUUUCAUUCUAAAAAAUUAUUACUUUUUUAUUGCUGAGUUUUAGAAUUCAUGACGGAUCUAGGGCAUAUUUAGAUUUUUUUUUUUCAAAUUUGGAGCAGAUAUAGUUUUUUUUUUUUUUGAUCUAGAUAUAAAGCGAAAAAUAUGGAUUCAUGACGGAUUUGGAACAGAUACGAAUCUUGAUUUUUAUUAUGGAUCUAGAUCUGAAGCAGAGUACAUCCAACCCAUAUCUGUCCCAUUGCCAUCCCUAGUUUUAUCGUUUUCGAAGCUUGCUUCUUUUGUUUUGUUUCAACUCUAAGGUUAUACUUGGCUGGCCCUUGUUUGUUUGAGCUCGGAUUAGUAGGUUCUAUGUUUGUGGCAUUAUUGGAAUCUCCUUCCUCAAAGUUCGCUAACACUGCAAAACGAGAAUCCUUUCCAUAAUUGCUCCGUUGACCUUGCCGACCUUGCCCCGAAUCCUGCUGAAAUUCAUUUCCUUCUGCAAGCGAUCCUUACCCUUUCUGGUGACCACCAUCGAAGGGCCAAAUUUAGGAUAACCACCGGGAGCUAAAGCAUCACCCUUUUCUGCCAUCGCAUCCACCCUGUCACUAGGGAUGGCAAUGGGGAGGGGAGGGGAGGGGACCAAUCUCCCCGUACCCAUCCCCGAUAUUUUGCAUAUGUCCCCGUCCCCUCUCCAUCCCCGUAAAUUUUUUUUAAGAGAAUCUUCAUCCCCUCCCCGAAUAAUAAUAGGGGAUCCCCGAUCCCCGAAUAACUAAUACAUUUUUUUUGUUUUCGAUUUUGACUUAAUCAUAUUAAAAUAAAAAAUUCAAAUAAAAGUAAAGUUCGAAAUAUAUCUUACAUUAAUAUCCAUUACAAAAGUCACAUACAUUAAAUUAGUAAGUAACGCAGCAUGCAAGGGAUACAAAUUAUCAUGAACAAAUUAAUAGCCUAAUACAAAAUUGUUACAAAUAAAAUCAAAUUUAGAUUCAAAAUUAAAUGUGGACUAUUUCCUUUACAGCACAGUAGUUAAGUCGAAGCAAAUCAAGAGCAAAUAUUAGAUUAGAUUAGAUAUUAAAAUUAUGAUUUGCUGUGGGCAAUUAUAACAUCUAAAAAUAAAUAAAAAAUAGAUUUAAGAUAAAUAAAAAAUAGAUUUAAGUUUAAAAUAUUUAAUGAAUAUUAAAAUUAAAACAAAAGUUUUGGGCUAAUAAAAUCUGUCUGGUCUUUUUAAUGUCCUAAAUAAAAAUUUAGGACUUUAAUUAGUUAAUUAGGCCUAAAAGUUUAAUAAUAUAAAUAUUUUGAUAUUUUUUAUUUUUACCAAUACUUAUAAUUUUAUAAUUCAAAUUUUAUUAUUUAUUUACUAGUAAUUUUAAAAAAAUAAAAAUUAAAAUGGGGAAAUGGGUAGGGGAUGGGGAUUUCACCUCAUCCCCAUCCCCUCCCCGAAUAAGAAAUUGGGUAAAAAAAUUUUCCCGUCCCUUCCCCGAAUAAGAAAUUGGGUAUGAAGUUAUCCCCAUACACUCCCCAAAUGGAGAAAAUCCCCGAGGGUACCCGUCCCCAUGGGGAUUUUUGCCAUCCCUACCUGUCACCGCUAAUAUCAUGAUCCAAAUCUUCCGUUGCGCGGUCAGGACAUAGCUCACUGGUAUGCCCAUAUUUUCCACAAGUGAAACAUAUAUGGAGAAGACAUUUAUACACUUUUUGAACUUUGCCAUCUAGUACGAAUUGAGAUACAAUAGGCUUGUUAAGUGCUAUAACAACCGCAAUACAUGCAAACUUACCCCCCACGGUUGAUUCAGUAUUGUAGUCUAUUCGAACGACUGUUCCAAUAAUCUAACCAAGCAUCCGAAGGAUUCUUUUGUGGUAGUAACACAUAGUGGCGGACCUACAGCUGGGCUAGACCGGGCUAGUCUAGAAAAUAUCAUUUAAACCCCUUGUCUUUAGAUUAAUUCUAUAUAAGAAUAGAGUUUUUACUUUAUUUUUAUAUAAGUCCUUAAUUCAGUUGCUUUUAUGUUUUCAUCAAAUUUCAUAAAACAAUAGAGUUUUUACUUUAUUUUUAAAUAUAUCCCUAAUUCAAUUAUAUUUUUCUAUUAGUGGCUUAUUUUAUAAAAUGAUUAAAUUAUAUACUUAUUGAAUAGAUUGAAAACAUUAGGGGUCUAAAAUGUUAUUACUACUUUAAUUUGUUUUUAAAAUUUUAAUUUAAAAAAGUAUGUCAAUGUAAUAUAACAUUGUCACUAGUAUUAAAAAUAGUAAAAAGAUAUAUAAUAAAAAUUAUUAACAAUUUCAUAAAAUUUUUAUGUGAAUAUUGAGAUUUUAUUUAUUAGUUACAUUAACUAAGAGGAUAAGUUAGAAAAUAAAAUUUGAGUAUUUUGAUAUGAUUUUUUAAAGUGAGUCAGAGUGUCUGGCAAAGAAAUAAUUACGCACAAAUACCUUUUUACUAGGUUAGAGUUUAGUUUAUUAUUGAAACUCUUGACAACUAAUAUUUUUAUAAUUUAAAAAGAUGAAUAAAUUUUAAUUGUUUAAUUUAUUUAAGCUUGGUAAUUAAGUACUUUUCAAACAUAAAGUUCUAUUUGCAAUAUUUUAAUUGAUUAUAAUUACAUGUAUUGAUUUAUUCAAACUUGAAAUUCUUAAUUGAUUUAUUAAUUCUUAUAUAAUUAGAUGUUACUAUAUGUUGCAAUGUUAGAUUCCAUAAUUAAAAAAUAGUAUUUUUAUAUUUGAAUUAUCUUUUGUUUUCUAGUCUUUUUGUAUACUUAUUUUUAUUUAAAGUACAUAUUUAUAGGGUUUUUUGUAUCCCCCUUAUUUGAUGUACUUUUUUUACUUAUAAAUGUUUAUGUUCACUCCAAAAUAUAAAAUUUUUAAUUUAGUCCGGGGUAAUAUAAAGUUCUGGGUCCACCCCUGGUAACACAGGGCUAUACCAGGAUGCCUGAUCCAUGCAAUAAUUGUAUUAAUUGACUCUGUAAAACUAUCAAAGUGAGGAGUCCAUGGCUGCAUGACUAGGUAGUGACCCAUGAUUGUCCAUGGUCCUUGAGUCAAAGCAAAAUCCGCAUCACCCUUUGAACGAAAUCGAACGAGGUAGUAACCGUUAUCCAAAUCAAUGACCGAGAAACCUAAAGCCGGCCUUUAAAGAUUUUCCAAUGUAUUACAUAGGACCUUGUAGCCUAUGUGAUGUCCUAGCAAUUUAACUAUCACUGAAUUCUGCCAAGGUUUUACGAGUUGCUCAUGGAUUAUUUUUGAGAAAGAGAUAGAUGGUAUGUUGCCACCAUCCCCUACAAUGAUAUCCUCUGAUCCAAAGACUAGAUCAUCCUCCCCACCAAUCAUCUCCUCUUCAUUCAUCUUCUCUGACUCCAUUAACUUAUCUCUAAAUGAAACGUGCUCAGGGUUGUCACUAUCGUCGCCUUGGGCUCUAAACUUGGCCUUCUUCGUAGCAUGGCCAUCAUUGAUUGGAAGGGUUAGGUCCUUCUCCAUCUCUCUACUUAUAGUAUCUUUCUAGCGUAUUUUGAGUUGUAAAAGGUUUAUUAUUUAUUUUAUAUUACUAAAGUUAAAAGCAAGGACCAAAUUGUACAAGACAAAAGCAGAAGUCAAGACCAAAGUGUACAAAACCAAGAUUGAAGCAUAAAAAAUUAUAAUUGGAUCCUUAAAGUAUCAAGACUGAAGCCUACUAAUUUGAAGCCACAUAUUUGAAUAUUCUAAAACCCCAGAAGAUAAAUUGAAGAUGACAAAUCCACUAAAGCAUGAAUUUGAAGCCUACAGUAUUUUUGGUAAAAAUUAUUUAUCUUGAAUUCUACCUCAGCAAUUAGAAGCCAUAUGUCUCAAUAAGUCACCUGGAAGCUAUGAGACUCAGUAACAUAAUCUAGCUCAUCUAACUGAAAGGAAGUCAUUGCUUGAAUUGAUAUGAAGUCUUAAUUGAAGACAAAAUUCCUCACUCAAUUAAAAUAAGUUUUAAUAGUAAUUUUUCAAAUUAACCCAUCAUCACAACUCUAGGCUUUACAAAAUGACAUCAUAAUUGAAGAUAUGUGGAAAGAAAAUUAUUGAUAAAGAAGACAUGCUCAACAUUUCAGGCUUUAAACAUGAUUUUGCAACAACAAUAUCAAGCUCGCUAACCUAAUAGGCACAAAACGCGCUAACCUUACAGGCACAAAGUUAGUUUUUGAAGAACAAUUUUAUCACAUAGACACAUGGUCAAAAUCAUUAUCAUGAUGAAGUUAUAGACAUGCUAAAAAUCGUGGUUACAAUUAUGAUUGAAGUCACAUUCCUGAAGAAAUCAAGCAUUGGCUGAUAUUAUGCAAAGACAAACUAGGUUGAUUGAGGGGAUGGCUCAAGGUGGUGGUCCUGCUCAGAAUGCUAGAGCCGGAGGGUAAGGUGCUGCUGCUAGAGGCAGAAUGGUGGCAACUUUAGAGCAAUUCCAAAAGUUGGGGCCACUUGUGUUUCGUGGGACAACUGACCCUAUGGCGGCUGUUGGUAUGAAUUCAAAUGUUAUUAGUGUCAAUGUGCAAGUAUACACAAUAAAUAAUAUAAUGAUGAGUAUUCGAGAUCGUCUCCACUGGGAUUGAUGUUAUCAGACUUGCUACAACAAUCUUAACAGCGUAGAUUUUAUUCUAAAUUAAGAUAAAACAAUUAAUGAAAUUAAUGAAACAAUUUUAUUCUAAAUUAAUAAAACAAUUAAGAUACAACAAUCAUGUCAAGCUCAAGGAUAAAACCGAUGGGAAUAUAGAGUAGUUAAGUGAAUAAACUCUCUUAAUGGUUUUGACUAUUUUUCUAAUGUUUGGCUCGGUUGCUACAACAUUUGCUACAGUACUGGGCAGCAUCCUUAUAUAUCCUCAGCAGUCGCAUGUUGGAUAUCUUAUAUCUAUAUGCAAUCUAAUAGUAAUUAGUUGUUAUGCCAACAUAAGAUAUAACAUUACACACUUAUGUUCUAUUUACCCUACAAGGUGAAUCCCUAUGUCUAGUUCAUCAUUAAUCUUAGAUUAAGCAUGGCCCUUUUGGGACUCAAGUAAAACUCAAUCUAGGAAACUCAAUCUAAAACCAAGUAUUGCUUUGAUAUGUUCCACUAAGAUAGGCUCUUUUGUGGCUCUUCCUUAGCUAAUAUCAUUAAAUGGGUGAUCAGCCGAAAUAAUGAAUAAAAAUAAAUACUAUCAAAACAAAAUGCUAAAGCAAACAUGCAGCAACUCAUUUUUUCAGUCAAUAAACCAUCAAGAUUGUUAAUCACUCAACUACAAAUAAAUUUAGUUCAUAAUUUGCAAAAGAAAAAUAAAAAACAAGGUUUCAGUCAUGAAACAUAUCCCAAUGAAUAAAAAGUAAACAAGAAAACAAGAGAAGAGUAAGAAAGACUGAGUUCCCGCUUGAUUUCUGCAAAUUCUCCUCUUCUACAACCCUCAAUCUUUCUCUUGAAUCAUGUUUUUCUUUUGUUUCUUUGUGAUUUUUCUCUUUGGGUGACGGCUCUCUCUAUUCAUUAUGAUGUGUGCUUCUUGUAUAGCUGAAAAUUAGGGUAAGCGGAAGCCUAGGGCGCACAUAAGUCAGACUAGAAAACUGCAUAUCGCAAUUCUGCAAGUAUCCCACGCAGAAUUCUCUCUGUCGUUGUUCUAGGAUUGCUACAGCAAUGGUUGCUAUGGCAACAGCUACAACAACUGCAUUGUUCCAGAUUUGUUUUAAUUCUUUUGUAGCCAAGUUCUUUUCUAUCUUUUGCAAGCCUAUUGCAUCAGCAUUCCUUCCUUGAAAUUUGGGCUUCCGGACACCUACAAUUAUGCAUAUGAUUUAGUACACAAAUUAUUCUAAAUCAAAUAAAAUUUAUUAUGAAUAAACUAAGAUGAAUGUUUAUGCAAAAUAUAACAAAAAUACAAUGGAAACACAUUAUUUACUCUCUAAGUAUUAUGGAUUUAAGUCUAAAAAUGCCAUGAUAACUCUUAUUUCAUAGAGUUAUCACACCCCCAAACUUAAACCAUUACUUGUCCUCAAGAAAUGACAACAACACUACACAAUCUUGCAAUAAUUAACUUAGCUCUAUCAUCAAAUUUGCAAGCAUUUUUCAACCCUCAGAUCACACUCUUAAUCACACAAAAUAGUCAUAGCAGUUCAGUUAUACACUUAGGCUUCAUUUUGUCCAAAAUGUGUGUGUGCCACUUUGAUCAAAUUCCAGAGGUGCUACAACAUUACAGAGACAUUGCAUAUAAUUCAAAGGUGGAACACAAAUAUAUUCACAUAUGAGGGAGCAUAAUUCACAAAUAAACUCAAAUUGUGCUACAACAAACAUAAUUAUUAUUUUUAGUUAAACCUUUCAAUGCAACAUUGAGCUUUCAUGUGAAUGCCUAUCACUUGUAAUGACGACACCCAAUUACUCACUCAAAGUACAUGUCAAAGUUGUUGCAGCAACACAUCCAGGAUGUCAUACCUAGGUCUUACCUUUGGCCGCCUUUGACUCAAGGCUGAACAUGAGGCUCAUGAAUAGACUAGGUUACUCAGUAUCCUAGGCAGCGGACCUCUUUAUUUUUCAUUCCUUCAUCACCAUUUUUUUUUUUUGUAAUUUUUUAUAUAUAAUUGUUGCAGCACUGCUAAUAGCUCUUAUUGCCUUUGGACUAAAGUCUACAUAUAGGGUGCAUACUCAACCCUGGUUACUCAGUAACUUAAACCAUUGGAGCAGAAUUUAUUUCAUAACAGGCACAGUCCAACAAAAAUUUUCCCCCAAACUUGAUAUAUUUUCUACUCUUUUUUGGUUUUCCUGGCUCUGCUAUAAUAUUCUCAUAAAACUCAACCAAAGUCUAAGUGUCAGGACAGAAUUCCAACCUCCAUCUAUAACUAUCUCUACUUGGCAUUCUCAUAAAUACUGAACAACAUUAAAUUUAUCUUCAUUAGGUUUUUAAAUCCAUACACAAAUAUUAGAUAAUAGAGCUUCACACAACACACAACACAAGCAUAAACACAUGCACUCAGAAACACAGCCCCCCCAAACUUGAGUGGUGUAGUGUCCUCACAAGCACACAAAACAAAACCACAUAAACCAGACAUGCAUACACUAAAUAAAAGAACAUGCAGAAUGAAUCAGAAAAUUAAAACUAAAUGAAAGAAAAAUUUGGCAAAAAGAAGUAAAAUAAACUAACGGGUAGGGGUACUCCCCUAUUGCUGGAAGCACUGCUACAACAUAGGCUGUAAAGGAUCACUUCUUCUUUGAUCCACUUCUCAAACGUUCUUUAUCAUAAAAUCUGAUCAAUCCAUUUGCUGCUGCAAAAGCAAGAAAUGCAUAUGUUAUUUGAGAAUCUUAUGUUAUAUGUCAUGCUGUAAGUGAUGCUGCAGCAAUUCCCUCAUGUUCUUUUUGUCCACAUUUGUUUUUACUUGCUGCAAUUUAACACAAAGACAAAAAAUUAGAUGCACACUUAAAAUAAUAAAAAGACAAAUUAAAUAAUUUAAAAACUAAAUUCAAUGCCUUAAAAACUUGAAACAACUUCCCUUAUUGGGUUCCCUCCCAAUUAGUGCUUGAUUUUAGAUUUUUCAGCCUGACAUUUCUUGUUUGCUCAACCUGGAUCCUUUAAAAAUCGAUCCUUCUAUAGGUUGUUAACAUCAGCUCCCAUAUAGUACUUCACUCUUGGCCCAUUAACCUUGAAUUCUUGUUGGUCUGGAGUGAGUUCCCUUUGUUAUAUUUGCUCGUCAAUUCUGAAGGGUUGCUUCUCCCCUAACCAUGUUAUGUUAGCUGCUCUACGAUCUUAAUCAUCAAGUUCUUCAAAUGUUACAACAUUGAUUUCUUUUUUACUGCAACAACUGUGUAAUCUCUCUGCUACAGCAAAAUCCACAACAUUGAUAAAAUUACAAUCUUCAAUCUCAUCGGGAUUCUUCAUGGCAUCUAGCACAUUGAAUGUAACAUGUUGGUCAUUCACUCUCAUGGUUAAUUCUCCUUUUUGAACAUCAAUGAGGGUCUUUCCCGUGUCUAAGAAAGGUCUUCCUAGAAUGAUUGACACUUCCUUGUCUACUUCAAAGUCUACCACAAUGAAAUCCACUGGAAAAAUAAAUUUAUCCACCUUCACCAACACAUCUUUAAUCUUCUCUUAUAGUUAAGCAUGAGAUAUGUCAGCAAGUUGUAGAGUCACCGUUGUUGGUCUAGAUUCACUAACUCCCAAUUGCUUAAACACUGAUAAAGACAUGAGAUUGAUGUUAACCCCCAUAUCACAAAGUGCUUUACCACUGUAUUUAGUGCCUAUAGAGCAUAGGAUAAUGAAGCUUCCUGGAUCCUUCAUCUUCUGUGGUAUCUUACUCUGAAGCAUUCGGCUGCACUCCUGUGUUAGAGCAACUGUUUCAAAUUCUCCAAGUCUUCUUUUCUUUAUCAAGAUAUCCUUAAAAAAUUUUACAUAGUUUAGCAUUUGCUCUAGAGCUUCUACAAAAGGGAUAUUGAUAUGUAGUUGUUUCAGCACUCCCAAGAUUUUUCUGAAUUGCCUGUCUUGUUGCUGCUUCAGAAACCUUUGAGGAAAGGGUGGUGGAUAUUUAAACUGUUAUGUUGCAGCAGGUUGUGCAAACUGCUUCUCUUUUGUUCUACUCGGGUCUAUUGCUAUUGGUGUUGUAGCUUCCUCACCACCAGAUGCUGGAUCAUAACUUUCUGCAGAUGCUGUAGCAGAAUUGUGUAUUUGCAUUGUGAAAAGUGAAAGACUGUGACUCUUUCUUCACUUGAGUGUCUUCUUGGCUUUUGUUAGACUCAAUUCUUCUUUUUGGUGCACCAACUGAACUAUCAACAUCCUUUCCGAAUCUCAAGUUAAUUACUUUGCAAUGCUCUUUCCCUUCUCUUCUUGGGUCCUCUGUGUUGCUGGGUAAACAGCCGUGAGGUUUGUUGCUUAAUGCUAUAACAAGCUGUCCAAUUUGAUUUUAAAAUUUCCUCAAGGAUGCAGCAUGACUUUAGACAACUGCUUUAUUCUUCACAGUAUAAACCUUAAUUAAAGCUUCAAGGGAGCUGAGUCGAUCAUUGUUGAUGCUUCUUUGCUCUUGAUUUUGUUGAUAAAAUCCAGGUAGUUGAGCAGGUCUGUUCUGUUCACUAGGUGCUGCAGCAGUUUGAUUCUAAUUACUCCAUGAAAAGUUUGGGUGUUGUUUCCAUCCAGGAUUGUAAGUGUUUGAAUAUGGAUUGUUCUGGUUCUGUCUAUUGAAGCUGCCCACAUAGUUGAUUAACGCUGGAUUUCCAAGACAAUUGUCAAAUAAAUGCCUCUCUCCACAAUAAACACAAGAUACUUCAGCAACUUAGUUGGCAGAUGCUGGAGCAGUGAUCAUAGCUUUCACCAUAUUUGUUAAUGAGGUUACUUGGGCUGACAAUGUUGUCAAGGCAUCUACGUUAUGGACUCCUGUUGUUGCUCUUACUGCAGCUUAUCUGUUUGAUGGCCACUGAUAGUUAUUGUUGGCUAUCCUCUCCAAAAUUUAAUAAGCCUCAUUGCAAGGUUUAGAUAACAAUGUCCUAUUUGCUGAAGUAUACACCAUCAAUCUAGUGCUUGGGUUGAGACCAUUAUAGAAAGUUUCCAAUUAUAUACAUCAAAGUAUACCACGAUGAGGACAUCUCCUGUGUAACUCCUUAAAUCUUUCCCAUGCAUCAUACAAACUCUCAUCUUCAAGUUCAUGGAAAGAUGUGACCUCAUUCCUCAAUUUUGCAUUCUUGGUCAUGGGAAGUAUUUCAUCAAAAAUUUAUCAGCCAAGUCAUUCCAUGUGGUGAUAGAAUCUGGUGGUAAAGAAUUCAAUCAUGGUCUUACUAGAUCUCUCAAAGAAAAUGGGAAAAUUCUGAGUCUCAAUGCUUCCUGCGAUGCUCCAGCAAUCUUGAAAGUAUCACUUCCAAAAAUAACUUAAGGUGUAAAUGAGGAUCUUCGGAUGGCAAACCAUUAAAUUGCCCUACUAUUUGAAGCAUUUGAAACAUCAUGCGUUUGAGUUCAAAAUUGUCAGCUUGAACGUCGGGUCUAACUAUUCCCAGAUGUAUGGCUUGAGGAGUCAACACUGCGUAGUCUCGAAUAGCUCUCUCUCUAACGUUCGCCAUGUGAAUAAUGUUGUUGUUCCCUGGUUGCCUUGGAAUAUAUUGUCCAUUUAGACUUUCAUGUACAUUGACUGGUUGUAUUUCCUCUCUACGGUUCAAGUUUCUCAAAUCUUGCAAAUCAUCCAUUGCUACAGCAGCUUGUAAUUCUCGAUGCUCUCUUCUCAAUCUCCUUACAGUUCUUUCAAUUUCUGGAUCAAACUGGAAUUCAACAGAUUCAUAUUUCCGCAUGCAAGGGUUGCUAGAUCACCUAUGUAAAAAAAAAUAAACAAAUCAAAAAAAAAUUAAAAAUUAGCAUUGUUAACGUAUUGGUAUGAAUUCAAAUGCUAUUGGUGUCAAUCUGCAAGUGUACACAAUAAGUAAUAUAAUAAUGAGUAUUCGAGAUCGUCUCCACUUGGAUUGAUGUUAUUAGACUUGCUACAACAACCUUAACAGUGCAAAUUUUGUUCUAAAUUAAGAUAAAAUAAUUAAUGAAAUUCAUAUACUAAUUAAAAUAAAAAUGCAAUAAAUAAAAUGCAACAAAGUAAACUAUCACAUCAAGCUCAAGGAUAAAACCAAUGGGAAUAUAGAGUAGUUGAGUGAAUAAACUCUCUUAAUGGUUUUGACUAUUUUUCUAAUGUUUGGCUCGGUUGCUACAGCAUUUGCUACAGCACUGGGCAGCAUCCUUAUGUAUCCUCAGUAGUCGCAUGUUGGAUAUCUUAUAUCUAUAUGCAAUCUAACAGUGAUUAGUUGUUAUGUCAACAUAAGAUGUAACAUUACACGCUUAUGUUUUAUUUACCCUACAAGCUGAAUCUCUAUGUCUAGUUCAUCAUUAAUCUUAGACUAAGCAUGGCCCUUUUAGGACUCAAGUAAAACUCAAUCCAAGAAACUCAAUCUAAAACCAAGUAUUGCUUUGAUAUGUUCCACUAAGAUAGGCUCUUUUGUGGCUCUUCCUUAGCUAAUAUCAUUAAAUGGGUGAUCAGCCGAAAUAAUGGCUCGGGUACCACUCCUUCAAUGAGGUGUACUUGGCCUCCUCACUUUUUGGGGUGUGAACUAGUUCACCCAAAAACUCAAAUAUUACUUUCUCUCUUGCUCAACAAAAGUGCUUGUGCAGAUGGACCAAACUGAAAAAUAGCUGCUCCAAAGGUACACCGGAAACCCCAAAAAGAAAGUUGGACUCCCUCUUUUCUAUGCCUUAUAAAUAGCUAUCAAAUUUGGAUAAGUUGGAGAAGCUGGACCUGAUUGAUCAAAAUUUUUCAUCUAUUUAUGGGGACGAACCACCAAAUAUGUGUAGAGGGUGAUGCAGGGGUACCCCACCAUCACCCAUAUUUUAUUUUCUAGUAGUUGGAAAGUAUAGAUCGCUCCAGUGAGUACUUCAAUGCCUUUCUUGGCCGUCUGAGAACCAGUUCGUCAGUUACCCCAAGAUCCAUCUCUUUUAAGGGCACAUUUCCUCUACAUGCUCCAAGGACAAAAAUAAAAUCCCAAGGCUCCUUUCCUUGAAGCCCUCUAAAUGAUGGUUAUAUAGGAGAUUAAUUCUUUUUUAUUUUAUUUAUUUAUUUAUAUAUACAUAUCAUCUCUUUUUUUUAUAGCACCAUUAUUAGGAAUACGUAAUCAUCCUUAUUUUCAAAUACAAUUGAGUGAUGGAAAACAUAAAACAUAAGGUGAUACUCCACAUUGGAGUAGGAAAAGAUGAUAGGUACCAAAGAAAAAAAAAUUUUUUUUUCAAAGGCUCAAAGGGGUUAACUAUGUAUUCUUUAUAAUAGGGUUGGCUAAAAAACUCAAACGGACCAAAGAUGGCCUUCUAUCAUUUUUUAGGGCUUUAAAUAAUCUUUCAUAUCCACUAGUUCAAUGGACUUUUAGAUGCGGCUGCACAAACUUUCUCUUUUUUUUUUUUUACUUCUUUUUUUUUAAAGAAAAUAUUGAGAUCUUGUACAAUAAAUUGUGAAGCUGUAUAGGCAAAUAGAGUUAUUCUCCAAGGAUAAUAGGCUAAAAAAACUCACUUGGUCUUUUCAUGAUAUGUACAUUCCUCCAAAUUGCUUAAUCAAUUUCACUCAUCAAAUUUCUCAAUUUACGUUUCAACAUGCAAAGGGAAGAACAUAGUGUAACAUAACUCAAGGCCAAAGAUAAUACAAAUACCAAAAUUUAAAAAUCAUCAUAUUAUCCAAUGUUAAAAGAUCACACUGAAAAAGAAAACUCUUUUUUUUUUUCUUUUGGUUAAAGAAACACUAAAAAAUUGGGACUGAUUGCAGAAACUUAAGGGAGAUGAUUAAGAGAAAAAGAGAAAAAGACAGAAAACAAAAAGUUAGAAGACAUUUUUUUUUUGGAAACAAAACACUAAACUUAAAAAGAUGCGUUUCUAUAGACACUACAUUCUAUAUUUUGCCAUCUUCGACUAAAAUUUUUAUCCAAAGGUAGUCUUUACAACAAAAAUUAGUAAAAAUAUCAUCAGGAUUGAGACAUUCCACAAUUAUCAACUAUUCCCUUCCCCCAACCUGAGGAGACAUUGUCCUCAAUGUCUAAAGAAAGGAGUAGAGUUUAGAAGAUAUCACCUGGUCACUGCUGGAAAUAUUUACAAAUGGAGAGUUAAAUCUAAUUUACAUUUUUUACGAGAGUUACUGCCAUCGUCAUCAGUUGCCCAAUCCAACGCCAAAGUCAUGGGAUCUGGCUCUGGUUUGUAAGCGUGCAAAAGAUCAAAUAACUCAUUAGCAGUAGGAGCACAAAUGAAGAGUUUUUUCGCUGAGGAUGGAAUGAAAUAAUUUUUUAUUGCAUGAUUAAGAAAUGUUAUUAAGUCAUCAUAAAAGUUAUCAACAUUUAACAACCGAUGGUUUUUUAUGGAUAUUCAAAUGGGCCCAAGAAUCAAAUGUAAUUAGCGCCUCCAAAGUUGCAAGGUCUCCUGGCAAGAAAAUGAAAGCGUCAGCAUGAUUUAACAUUUCAGAUAUUCUUUUCUUGCAUACCUGAGACAACUAACUCUUCUCCAGUUGGUGGGUUUGGUAGACACAAAUAUUUUUAAGUUGACUGCUUAAAGUUGCUGCCAUUAGAACAAUUCUAAAAAGAAACAAUUUGUGAGUGCUUGAGAAGGAGCUUCUAUUUAAGGAUCUUGGUGACGAACAUAAUGAUAUAUAUCUGUAAAUAGGGUGGUGUGUUUGUCAAAUGACGCGUGAAGCUUUUAGCUUAAUAAUUCAAAGGCAAACAAUGAAAAGAAAAAGCAAACAGUAAUUAGAUAUAUAUAAAAAAAAAGACACACAAUAAUAAUAAUAAUGCAAAAGAUAAAAGAAUAGUAAAAUAAAAGGAUAUUUACUAGUAGUUGUGAUUGUGGCUCACAUCUUCCUCUGGGUCGAGGAUAGGCUUCGCAUCCAGUUUUCUUAUAAACUGGCAAACAAGGUCUUUUAGAGUCAGAUUCCCAAGACUAAAUUGUGCACUUUCCUUUUGGAAUAGCUUCCACAAAUUUUGAAUUUCACGUUGCACAUAUCCGCUCGGAUACGUCUCAAGAGAUCGUAAGAUAUCAUCCAACGAUUCUUUACUCAUGCCAUCCUUAACGAAUUUGAUUUUAUCUUCACGAUUUACAGAAACCAUUCCUAAAGUUUUACAACGUGGCUUUUUGCAAGCAAGUUUUACACAGUGAGAACAUUCAGAGCCAAGUCGCUUAGCUCUUCUUUUCUUAGCAAAUGUACUUUUACUAAAACCAGGCAUGUAGGAAAUGAAUGGAUCAGAAAACUUACCUGCCAAUCGGACCUUUGCUUCAAUUAAUCAGCGAAUGUCAGCAGGAAUCCCAUUGAUCAUUAACAAAUGCAGUCAUUCACAACGAGCUUUGUAAAUAUUCUUAAGAGCAUUUUGAGGGAGAGAAGGAAAACGUUGAUGCAAAUUUCACUGUAUUUCUUCCAUGCUUGACAUUGAGGUUUUAGUUAUUGUGGGAAACUGAGAAUACCGACUUAAAAAGUCACGAAGUACCGUUAUCCGCCAUUUAUACGGGAGAGUGAAUCAAAACAAAACGAAUUAAAUCUGCAAAAUCAAAUCAAAAGUGAAGAAGAACAACAAAAUAAAACAAAAACACAAGAAAUAUAACUCACCUUCAUCCUUUUAUUGAAUUUACCUCUAGUUCCAAUUGCAGAUUAUAAAUACCAUCCUAUAUUUCCUUGAGUUGUCUUUCUAGAUCUUUGACGUGGGAUACUAACUAUGGUGGUUGUAGAUCCCAAAAAAUCUGAGCAAUUUCCUCAAGUGAAAUUUUACAUGUAAAAGUUCUUUAAGAUGUUCGAAAAGGAAACUUCUCAUGGAGGUACUCAUGACAAGUAUCAAAAUUUGAUGAGCUAAAACAAAAUUGUCAAACAACACACAAUAAAAAACAAUGCAAUGCACUCUAUUCAAGGCAUAGGGAAAAGGAAGGAAAAAAAUCAAACAAUUCAAACUAUAAAGUAAUAGUAAAUCAAAUUCGUAAAAAGUUAAAAUGAAAAGGCUUAAUUAAAAUUUGGUUGGUCACUCAAAUUGAUUUCGGUAUCUGCUUCACGUGGUUGGUAUUCUAGAUAUGGUUUCAAUCUUUGACCAUUAACUUUAAAUGUGACAUCAUCUUUUGGAUACUCAAUUUCUACGGCUCCAUAUGGAUACAUAUUUUUUUACAACAAAUGGACCAUUCCACUUUGACUUUAACUUCCCUAGAAAUAAAUGAAGACGAGAAUUAUAAAGCAACACUUUUUGACCAAUUUCAAAUGUUUUUCGAAAAAUUUGGUUCUUGCCUUAAUAAUUCUGGAAUUCUCAUAUUCAUCAUUCCUUAAUUCCUCAAGUUCAUUUAAUUGCAAUUUACGCACAUUACCAACAUCAUCAAGAUUUGAAUUAAAAGCUUUAGUGGCCCAAAAUGAUUUAUGUUCAAGUUCAACUGGUACUGGCAAGAUUUUCCAUAAACAAGCCGAUAGGGUGACAUUCCUAAAGAUGUUUUAAAAGCAGUACGAUAUGCCCAAAGUGCAUCAGUUAGUCGAAGAGACCAAUCUUUACGGUUUGGAUUAACUAUCUUUUCUAAAAUUUAUUUUAUCUCCCUAUUUGCUAAUUCAACUUGACCACUUGUUUGAGGUUGAUAAGGGGUAACAACUUUAUGUGUAAUUCCAUAUUUCUUCAUUAAGGACUUAAAUAGCUUAUUACAAAAAUGCUUACCUCCAUCACUAAUAAUGGCUCGAGGUAUUCCAAAUCUGCUCAAAAUAUUUUCUUUUAAAAAGCGGAUCACAAUCUUGUGAUCAUUGUACCGACAAGGAAUCGCGUCGAUCCAUUUUGAAACAUAAUCAACAGCAACUAAAAUGUAUAUAAAUCCAAAUGAUGAUGGAAAAGGGCCUAUAAAAUCAAUUUCCCAACAAUCAAAUAUUUCAAUGACAAGGAUUAGGUUUAAAGACAUCAUGUUUCGCUUUGAAAUAGACCAUACCAUUUGGCAAUUCUUACACACUUUACAGAAUGCAUGUGAAUCUUUAAAUAAUGUAACCUAAUAAAAUCCACAAUGCAAUAUUUUUACAGCUAUCAUUUUUAAAGAAAAAUGGCCACCACAUGCUUCAGAAUGACAAAAUUGAAUGACCCUACUUACCUCGUCGUCCGAUAUGUAUCUUCAAAAAAUUUGAUCAGAGCAGUACUUGAACAGGUAUGGAUCAUCCCAGUAAAAGCUUUUCACUUUUGUUAAGAAUUUCUUCUUGUCUUGAGAAUUCCAGUCACAUGGCAUUUCACCUGUUGCAAGAUAAUUAACAAUAUUAGCAUACCAAGGCAUUUUGUUUAUAGAAAAUAAAAAUUCAUCAGGGAAAGAAUCAUUGAUGGGUGUUGUUUCAAUUGAAGACUCAUUCGUAAGUCUUGAAAGAUGAUCUGCAAUAACAUUUUCAGCGCCCUUUUUGUCCUUGAUUGUCAAGUUAAAUUCUUGAAGUAGCAAAAUCCAUUGUAUCAACCUUGGUUUGGCAUCCUGUUUUAACAUUAAAUAUCUCACAGCAGCAUGAUCAGAAUAAACAAUAGUGGAUGAACCAAUUAAAUAUGAAUGAAAUUUAUCCAAUGCAAAUAUUACAGCAAGUAGUUCUUUCUCAGUUGUAGUGUAAUUCAUUUGAGCAUUAUUCAAAGUUCUACUUGCAUUAUAGAUGACAGAAGGCUUACAUUCUUUUCUUUGACCCAGAACAGCGCCAACGACAUAAUCACUAAUAUCACACAUUAGCUCAAAAGGUAAAGACCAAUCAUUAUUGGGGCUGAUGUCAAAAGAGUAGUUAUUUUUUCAAAAGCUUGUUGACAAUCUUUAGUCCAUUCAAAAGGUGUCUUUUAUUAGGAGGUUACAAAGUGGUCUAGAUAUGGCACUAAAGCCAUUUAUAAACCCCCUAUAAAAUCCUGCAUGUCCUAAAAAGGAACGAACUUCUCUAAUUGUCUUUGGUGAGGGUAAUUUUGAAAUGACUUCAACUUUGGCUUUGUCAACUUCAAUUCCUUUUGAAGACACAACAUGGCCCAAAACGAUUCCAAAAGUGGUCAUGAAAUGGCAUUUUUCCCAAUUUAAAACUAGUCAUUUUUCUUUGCACAUUUCCAAAACUUUUUCUAGAUUAUCAAUACAUGUAUCAAAAGAAUUAUCAAAUACAGUUAAAUCAUCCAUAAAAACCUCUAAACAAUUUUCAACCAUGUCACUAAAAAUGCUUAGCAUGCACUUUUUAAAUGUUGCAGGAGCAUUACAAAGUCCAAAGGGCAUUCUCCUAAAUGCAAAUGUUCUAAAUAGGCAUGUGAAUGUAGUCUUUUCCUAGUCUUCUAAGGCUAUACGGAUUUGAUAAUAGCCAGAGUAACUAAUAAGAAAGUAGUAGUAGGGAUGUCCAACUACUCUUUCGAGAAUUUGGUCUAGAAAUGGAAGAGGAAAAUAAUAUUUUCUAGUGGCAUCAUUUAAUUUUCUGUAAUCAAUGCACAUGCGCCAACUAGAUGGAAUUCGUGUUGGGAUUAGUUUACCUUUUUCAUUUUUUACAACGGUUAUUCUAUAUUUCUUUGGUACUACUUGUGUUGGACUUACCCAUUUACUAUCAGAGAUAGGAUAGAUAAUUCUUACAUCUAAUAGUUUAAGGACCUCAUUCUUUACCACUUCUUUUAUAUGAGGGUUUAGUCUUCUUUUUGGUUGACGGGUUGUUUUGGCAUUUUCCUGUAAGUGUAUUCGGUGUGUGCAAAUUAAAAGAUUAAUGCCUUUUAUAUCUUUUAAGGUCCAACCAAAUGCAAUUUUAUGUCUUUUUAGUACAGAUAACAACUUACCUUCUUGAUCAUGUGUGAGUUGGGAAGAAAUUACCACCGGAUACGUCUGCUGCUCUCCAAGAUAGGCAUACUUCAAUUCUUCUGGUAAGGGCUUUAAUUCAAGCUCUGGUGCUUCCUCUUUGAUUAGUUCUUCAGGUUGUACUGUAUUUUCAAAGUUCGAUUGGUCAUCGUCACCUGUAAGUACCUGCAUAGAAUCAAGUGUAGAACAUAUAUUAGCAGUAUCACAAUUUAAUUCUUUACUUGAUUCAAAAGAACCAGCAAAACAAAUUUCCACAGAGGUUGUAAAAUUCUCAUCCUGAAUGUGUUCCUCAAUGAUUGGCUCGAUGAGAUCAAUCUCCUUAUUCUCAUUAUCAUCAUCUUCUUGGUGGUGAGAUUGUUUACACAUGUUAAACACAUUGAGUUCCAAUGUCAUGUCCGAAAGAUAAAUUCAUUAAUCCAUUCCUGCAAUUAAUCAAAGUAUUAGCAGUAGCUAAAAAUGGUCGACCCAAUAUAAGAGGAAUUUGUUUGCAUUCAUUAGCAAUUGGGUCCAUUCCCAAAAAAUUAAAAUCAACAAGAUAUAUGAAUUUAAUCGAUCUAACAGCAAGUAAAAGAGUGGUAGAAGUUGGUUUUAACUCACCGAGAUUGAGUUGUUGGUACACUGAGUAAGGAAGCAAAUUAUCACUGGCCCCAAGGUCAAGUAGAGCAUGUCCAAUUUUAUGAUCCCCAAUAGUGUAAGAAAUAGUUGGACAACCAGGAUCCUUGUAUUUCAAAGCACUAUUGGUUGAGAGAAUGGAACUUACAUGUUCUGCCAGAAAAGCUUUCUUUUGCACUUUAUGUUUCUUUUUCAUCAUGCACAGAUCUUUCAAAAAUUUAGCAUAAGAAAGCACCUGUUUAAUGACAUCCAGCAAAGGAAUGUUGACCUUUACUUGUUUAAAAACUUCAUAAAUUUCUAGACUGCGGUUUGAUUUCUUUGGCUUGAUUAGUGCCUGAAGAAAUAAGGGUACAAGAGGAGAGUUGGUUAUUUCUUCAUGGGUUAAAGGUUCGACAGACUCUUCCCUAUUUUCUGAAAUUGAAUCUUUACUAGUUUCACGAGGGUCCACAAUGUAUUUUUCGAUCACUUUACCACCACGAAGGGUUAUAACCGAUUUGACUUGACUCAUAUUUUGGUUUCCUGAAUUUUCCAUUUGAGGAUGUUGUUGACUCUUGGGGUUUGGUUAAGGUUGAGCAGGAAACUUUCCUUUUUCAUGCAUGGUCAGAGCAGAUGUAAGUUUGGAGAUAAUUUUUGUCAAAUUGGUUAAGGUUUGCAUCAUUUGGUUAUUGAUCGACUCGUGUUUUUCAAUAAACGAAUGCAAUGUGUCUUCCAGAGUUUUUCUUGGUGGUGAGACAUAUGGUGGGUAACUCUGGGGGUUUUGGAAAUUUUGACGUGGAGGAACUGGUUGUGAAGGUUGUGCAUGAUUAUCAUUUCUCCAACUGAAAUUUGGGUGGUUUCUCCAACCAGAAUUGUAAGUUUGGGAGUAUGGAUUUGGAUUUGACCUUUUGAAAUUGUCAACGACAUUUACUUGUUCGUGCAAACUUUCUCUCAAUGCUGGCAAAGUUAGACAGUCCUGCGUAGAAUGGUCAGUAGAAUCGCAAACAUAACAUGAAAUAUUUUGAACAGACUUUACAUGAUCAUUCUUUUUCAACUCUAAUGCUUUGACUUUUCUAGCUAAUGUUGCAAAUUUAGCUUGAAAAUCAUGGUCUUCCCUAAGGUUAUGCAUGCCUCCACCAGAUGGAGAUGACUGGGGUUUACUUGAUGACUCAUAAGAACCAAUUGUAUCUCAGUGUUGUGCAUUCUCUGCUAUAUAGUUAAGAUAGUCUAAUGCAUCUUCAGGACUUUUAUUCCUAAACUCACCAUUAUGGAUCAUUUCAACGACUUGUCUACCUUGGGAUGUUAAUCCCUCGUAGAAAUAAGACACUAAUCUCCAUGUUUCAAAACUGUGGUGUGGGAAAAUGUUAAGUAGUUCUUUAAACGUAUCCCAAUAUUGGUAGAGGGUUUCUCUUGGUUUUUAAGUGAAUGUGGUGAUUUGUCUUUUGAAAGAAUUAGUUUUGUGGGGUGGGAAGAAUUUUUUCAAAAAUUGUGCUUGCAUUACAUCCCAAGUUCUGAUGGAUCCUGACCUAAGAUUUUGUAGCCAAGUUUUAGCUUUAUCCUUUAGUGAGAAAUGAAAAAACUUAAGCCUGAAUAUAUUCAUGCUACAAUUUUGAUCAGUACAUGUGUUACAGACUUCCUCAAAUUCCCUUAAAUGCAAAUAUGAAUUUUCAUAUUCAAAACCAUAAAAAGUAUGAAGAAAUUGAAUGAUACCAGGUUUGAAAUUAAAACGUGAUACAUCAUGAGGGAAAACUAUGCAUGAUGGUGAUCCUGUUCUAGUAGGAUGCAUGAAGUCUCUAAGGGUCCUAGGCUGUUCAUGAAGAUUUUACAAGGCUUGGUCAUUUUCGUGCUCCGAAAAAUUUUCAGCUCCGAUCUCAGCCAUAUCUAAGGGUGGUGAAAGUGAUCUAAUUAAUCUGCCACUAUUUGUACGAGACCAACGAUGCCUGCAAUGCUAAUGAUGUGUGCUAAACCAAUGAUGCAUAAAACGCUAAAUGAAAAUUGCAGAAAAUAAAAAUAAACAGGAAAUUAAAUAAGCAAAAAUACGAAAUAAAAAUAAACAAACUGAAAAUAAAUAAAAUAAAUAAAUUAGGCAGUGAAACCAGCCAUAAACAAAGAAAUUAAAAGAAACAAUUUAGGCGGUAUUUUAAAACCAGCCAUAUAACAAAACAUAAAAUUAAAUAGAUUAAUGUAUAAGAAUAAAUAAACUGAAAUUAAAAUGCUAGGCGGUAGAACCGACCAUAUAAACAAAAAUACAUAAAUUAACAAAAUUUAAAUAACAGUCAGGCAGUAGAACCGACCAUUUAAAAUAAAUGCGGAAAGUAAAUUGCAUAAAUUUAAAGAAAUAAAUUCGAUUUGGGGAUUGAUUUGCAAAGGUUUCUGGGCUAAAAUGAAGUUUAUCACAAAUUUUAUGAAUAAUGUUAAAGUUUGAAAAGAGGAGGGGUGCUAACUGAAGUUUUGGAAAAAGAGAAUAAAAUAGAAUCACGAAGAGAUAGUAACAAAAAAAAUUAAAAUAAAAUAAAGUAAAGACAAACUAACACCAAAUUUAGAAAACUCCCCGGCAACGGCGCCAAAAACUUGACACGACUUAAAAAUAUAUUAACCCGGUGAGUACGGGGUCGAACUACAAAGAAUUUUAAAUCUAGUAGUCAAUUUAAAACUAAGAAAAUUAAUUGUGGGGAAAAGAAAUUAUUUGAAAUCAAUUUAAAAAUAUGCUAAGGUUCGGGAUCCACUCUCUGUAUUCAAACUAUAGUUUUAAUACUCUCUCAUUUAUAUUUUGCAUCACUUUUACCAGUUAAUUAUUAUAUCAUUUAAUUUUAUGUGUGUGGAUAAAUAUGGAAUAAAGUACCUAAUGUGCCACACUAUAUUAAAGUGUCGACAUUAUGUCAAAAUACCAUACAUAUCCAAAAAAAUGUAUAAAUUAAUAUGACAUAAAAAUAACUAGAAAAGAAUAAAAUAAAUUUUAAAACUCAUUUGAGAAAAUAAUAGAUUUAAUAGUUUGAAAUAUUGAGCUUCACCCUUCACCUCAGCUUAGUAAAAUUAGCCACUCAUAUUGAAAGAAAACACAACACUUUAUUUAUUUGAUAAACUUUUGAAAUACGUUACAAGAAAGUUGAUUACACAACAAAAGAAGAAAAAGACACAAUUCAUCAGUUACACUCUAUUCUCUCUUGGCUUAAGCUCUCUCUGCUCAACUCUCUCACUUCUCCAUGCCUCGCUCCCUACAUUUCCUUGCCCUUUUAUAGGCAAGGAAUGCAUUAUCUUUAUUUAUUUUAUUAUUAUUAUUAUUAUUAUUAUUAUUAUUAUUAUUAUUAUUAUUAUAUAUAUAUAUAUAUAUAUAUAUGUACAUUGAAAUGUGUAAUGGUCAAGUGGCCAUCAUGGCCACUUGACCAUCACGAGAAACCAAAUUGCUUGGUUUUUGUUCUUUUGUUCUUUUUUCAUUUUUUUAUUUUUUAUUCAUUUUAAUUUUUUAAUUUUUUAUUUAGUUAUAUCUCAUCAAUAACGCUUCCAAAUUGCUCCAGCAGUCCUUCUUUGUUCCCGCUUUCAAUUCCAAUUUAUUCCUAAAAAAUAUUUAUAAGAUAAAAAUUAACAUAUUACGAAUUAAUUUAACACAAAAAUUUAUUUGGGGAGCAUUCAUAUAAUUUAGGGAAAAUAUCCACCGUCCACCCGUUUUUUACACAUUUUUUAAAAAUACACAAUUCCUUCAUUUUUUGGCUGGAAUCCACCUAAAGUUACAUUUUGUUUCACUUUUCCACUUCCGUUUGGAAUCCGUUAAGAAAACUAACGGAAACUUAAAAAAAUGAUCAUUUUACCCCCAAAACAAAAAUUACAAUUUCACCCUAAAAAUGUUAAAAAUAAUCAGAUUUAAUGAUGAAUAUCAUUAUUGGUACGUUAAUGAAGUACAAAAACAUCUUAACUACUAGAGAUUAUAACUCAAUGAAUAAUAAAACUCUACUUAUCUUAAAUUCAAUUGAUGGUUUGUGAGAUUGGGCUAUUUUUAAUGCUACUGUUAUAAUUUAGCAUUCUAAUUACAGACAUAUUUAAAAAAAAAACUUGCAUUUGAUGGUUGUGCAAUUAAUUUCUUUAUUGACCGAUGGGGAAAAUAAUUAGAUUUAAUCUAAUUAUUUUUGGCAAUUUUUAAAGUGAAAUUGUAAUUUUCGUUUUGAGGGGUAAAAUGGUCAUUUUUUUAAGUUUCCAUUAGUUUUCUUAACGGAUUCCAAACGGAAGUGGAAAAGUGAAACAAAAUGUAACUUUAGGUGGAUUCCAGCUAAAAAAUAAAGGAAUUGUGUAUUUUUGAAAAAGGUGUAAAAAACGGGUGGACGGUGAAUAUUUUCCCUAUAAUUUAUAAGUUAUGCGCGCAUUAAUCAACACUUUAAGUGAAAAACUAAUAAUUUUAUCCUUAUUACACGUACACUUUUUAGUGUUAAUCAUACAAUAUUAGUAUUUCAAAAAAAUUAGGUGCAAUUUGCAUCACUAUAGUUAACAGUACAUCCCAACUAGGUUGGCACCUGUUGAACUAUCUAUCAUUUGCAAAUUCACAACCUUUCCAGUAGUAAACUUUUUUUCCAAAAAGUUGCAAAGAAAGAAGGUCUCUAGUCUCUAGAGGGGACUUCAAUGUUCUUUACUAUGCAUAAUCUGGAUCCACUUCAUCUUGAUCGACAUCCAAACUCUCAAUUUGUUUCAUUGAAGCAUUUUACCAAUCUUAUUACACUCAGCUUUUAGCAUCUUUCCAUCUUUCAAAUGCAUCAAAGAGUGUAAUGUCUCUGAUGACAAUUUUGAUCGACAUUCAUCUAGAACUCUACUAUCUACACUAAAAGCUGACUCUGAUGCUACAAUUGAAGCUAGAGGGGUUAGUGGAUCACGGGCCACAAUGAAUAGUAUAGGGGAAAAAGAUGUCUUAUCCAUCCAAAAUUUUAAAUUAUCAAAAUUUUACGAUUGUGAAGGAGUUAAUAAAUCUUCAAGAUUAACAUAACAAUACCUUCACCAUUCAUUACGAUUAGUAUCAAUACUAGAAGCAAUACCAUUACUUUUGAGCAACAAAAGGUUAGCUGGAUUUCUAUAAGAAGUUGAUGCUUGUUGAACAUUAGAAUAUGUAUUGGUUGAUCCAAAUUUAUUUUGAUAAAAAUUAAAAAGUUCAUGCAUAAAGGACGUAAUUGUGUUAGAAUUUGUUUCAAGCCCUGUUAGCAAAUUUUUAGUGAUAUUCUCAACUAAAAAUUUUGUACCAACUUCCUUGAUUGUAGGAUCCAACACUACUGCAAAUAUAAAUAGGUGGGGCAUAUCUUUCCAAUAUUUUUAGAAUUUUUCAUCCAUAGCAUCACAAAUAUUUUUAAACAUAAUAUUUUCACUAAAAGUCUUAAAAGCAUAACUCAUAUUAUACAAGUGGAUUAACAUUCUACAUGAAGUAUGACUCAUAAAUAGUAGAAUAUGCAAGAGUAGUAUUAUAAAAUACCUUCAAAAAAUGCAUAAAUUUAAAUGCAACAUUUCAAUCAUAAUCAGUGAUAUGAUAAUCUUCAUCAUGCAUUAUCUCAUUGUUAAAACUAGAAAUUGCUUUAGAAUAGUUUUGGCAAGAAAGCAACAUCAAAUAUGUAGAAUUCCAACAAACUUUCAUGUCAAUGUUGAAUUUCCUCUUUUUUAAUCCAAAAAUUUUCAAUGUAGAUAAAAACUAUUGUUGCCUUAAAGGUGCUCUAAUAUAUAAAAUGGUUGUUUUUUUUUUUUUAAAUAAUGAUUCAUAUGGUCAUACCAGCUUAAACAAUUAAAUCAAUAAUAUGACAUACGCAUUUCACAUGAAAACAUUUUGAGCCAUGUGCAAGUGUGAGAGUAGAAAUAUUUUGCAAAAACAUAUCAAUUGUGGUUGUAUUGACUGAUGCAUUAUCAAAUGAUAUUCUAAACAAUUUAUCAGUAAUUUCAUAUUCUCUUAAAACAGACAUUAUGAUUGAGUAAAUUACUGAACCAAUAUGAGGAUAUUCUAAUUCAUGAAAUGCAAGCAAUUUUUUUUCAAACUGCAUUUGCCAUUAAUCUCAUGUAUAGAGUGCUAAGUCUUACAAAAAUAACCAACCAUAUUAAUACCAGUCCAACAAUAAGAAGAAAUUGAAAUAACACCAUUAAAAUUGAUAAAAGUAUUAAUCAAGAAUUUUUUCAUGUCAUGAAAAUUUUUGGUAAAAUCACGUUUUAAUGUAUUUCUAGGCACUUUCUUAAGUUGAGGGCUCAACAUACCUUUCCAGAAAAUUUAUCAGACGUUCAUCUUCUGGAAAUGUUAAAGGUUGCUCUACUGUAGCAAUAUACCUAGUCAAUCCUUCUUGCAUGUUCUGUUGUGAAUAUUUAAAUGAUGUUAUAGUACUAGAAGGUCCAAAACCAUACUGUGAAAUUGGGGUUUGUGUUGGGUCUUGUGGUGCGUGUUUUGCCUGGCAAGUUUCCAUAUGUUGUUUGAGAUAUCCGGUUCCACAUUUACUUUUGACACUUAAAAAGGCUUGGAAAAUUGAUGUUCUUGGCUAUUUGGAGGUAAUAGUAGGACCAGUAGUGGCAGAAGUAGAACCACUUUGACUUGCUUAAGAAGUAGGAGGAGAUCGCUGGUGGGACAAUAAAUAUAUUAUUUGGAUCUAGUUCUUGUGUAGCAAUUUCUUCAUUUGGAGCUUCCUCCCCCUCUUCAACAAAAUUUAAAUUCUUAUUCAACUCAAAACGCCUUCCCUCAUGAUUGAUGUGAGAGUGAGACAUUUUAUGUGAAUAAUUUUUUGGUAAAUAAAAGUAGUUGUGUAUUUGUACGGCUGGAAAAAAUAAAAAAUUCAGUGACCAAGAGAGACGUGUAUUAAAUGGUGUUUAAUGGCGUUUCACUUUUGUUUGAGAUUUGAGUAACAAAAAGAAGUUACUGGAAUUGUAGGAGAGUUUAGAGGAGAUUGAGUAGAGAGUAAAGACGAGACACAAGAACAAAUGAGGAGAUAGAGAUUGAGAAUUGAGAUAAACUUGAAAAUGAUUUAAUUGUUUAAAUAGAAUAAAAAAGUAAAAAUAUUAACAGUCAAAUGUGGCAAACAUGCAAAGCUUCCUGCAAGCCUGCAACAAAUUAGACCGUUGCAUUUAUUUACUUUUUUUUUUGUUUCAAAUUUUUGUUCGUUUUGUCCGUUGGGUGAGUAAUAAAAUUAAUUCAAAAUUUUUUUAUUAUUAAAUAAUAAUAAAAAGUUAGUUUCUGAUCGGUGCACCCCGAGCUGUAAAAUUGAGUAGUCAUUUCAAUUUUACUAUUGUAACGAUGGAAUUUAAAAGUUGUGUGCAAUGCAAUCAAUUCAAAAUUUAAAAUUUUUGAAAGUUGCCGACAAUGAUAUUUAAAUAAUAGACAAUUGUAACUCGUAAGCAUUGUGCUCACCUUGUGUGAGACUGUAGUCGUAGUCAAAAAUUCAAAUCAUAAUUCAACGAUUUUUAUUUAUUUUUUAAAUAAUAAAUUAAUAUUCAAAUUAAAUACUUUUCAUUUUGGGUUCGUGCCAACAAGGCAACAAUGCAAUUUUUUUCAUUUCUUUUAUUAUUUUUUUGGAAAAUGUUCUUUAUUUCUUUUAUUAUUAUUUUUUUAAAUAAUUUAAUAAUGUUUUCCUACCAACCACACGCUUGCCUCUACGACUCCACAGCUCCACAAAAGUCAAGAACCCAAGAUUCACUCAUUCACAACACCAGUAUUUAUAUUUCACUAAAUAUUUCUACUUUCUCAACCACUUUCACCUAUUAAAGUAAUAAAAUCAAUUUUUGUCUUUUUACUACUACCUAAUAAUUAUAUAUGCAUGCCAAAACACUAUGAGUCUAUGACGAUUCAAAAUUCUUCUUCUUUUCUUUUUCCCUCAAACUUUCCAAUAUUCCAAAACCAAAAGCACAAUGGAUCCUCAAGAACAUAAUAUAAAUGCAGAAGAAGCUCAACAACCUCAAGAAUACAAUGUCUAUGCCGUUGGACCUCAACAAAACAACAAUGCAAGGUUAAAUAAGUCCAGAAGCUGUCAUUUAAAUAAUUUUUUUCAAAAUUUUACUACAGUAAGGGAGGAAAUAAUAGAUAAUGGUUCGCGUAGUCCUUACAAACGGAUGAUCUUCGAGUAUAACUAUUGUCAUUGAGAAAUUAUUUAUUCAAAUGCCCAUGGUACAAGGGCUUUUUGUCGACACGUGUCAAAUUUUUUAGCUCGCCAUCAAGGCCAAGACAGAAUUAACCUUGCUCAUUUAUCGUAACCAUAAUUGUGAUUAAUAAACGUUAUUUUGGCUUAAUAAUCAAUAUGUCAUAUUUUCAUAGUUGUGAUUUUUCGUAAUCUGUAUUUCCUAGUUGUAAGUUGUGACUUGUGACUUGUUAUAAUUGAUAUCUCGUAGUUGUAAUUUCUUGUAAUCAUUAUUCUAAGAUUGUAAUUUUAGUUUUUAUUAGUCAUUACUAUGAUGUAUGUAAUUGAAUUUAUGUAUUGUUGCAUUAUAAUUGGUGAAAUUAAAUAUAUAGUUGUGAAAUUGUGAUAAACUUAUAAUGAAAUGUUAAUUGUUCCUUUAAUAAAAAUUGUUGUUGUUGUUGUUGUUGUUGUUAUAAGUGCAUUGACUGAUGGGCUUAAAAAACACGCUAGGCAUGUGGGGUUGAGGAAAAAAAAAGUUGAUGGACAUUUUAUGAGCAUGGAACAACAUUGCCCGUCCACUUGGUGGACCGUGCCAUGCCGACCGUGGGCCUUGGUUUAACCCCAUCGACUAUCUUUAGUUUCAAAUUAAUUAAUUAUUAAUUUAUGAAUUAAUUGGUUCUUGUAGAAAAAUAAAUUUUGUUUUGAAAUUUCAUUAUCUAAUAAAUUUAUCGAAUUUUUAACUUACCAUGUUAGCCUUAGACAGGAUGGAAAAAACUAUUAUUUAAUCAAAAUUAUCAAUUUAUCAAGUACUAAUUUAACGAUAUUCUACUGUAAUAAAUCUUAUAAAUUUAUCAAGUAUAAAAUUACAGAGGUUUUACUAUAGAAGGUUAAAAAUUUUCCUUUACCCCAACCUUUAUCUUUUAAAAAAGAAAUUAAAAAUAAGAAAAUAGGAAAAAAAUGUGAUUUUGAUUUAGACCAAGUAUAUGAUGAUUUUAAGGUUAUUUUUUUCUUAAGUCCUUGCUGUUUAUCGGAAAAACUUAGAAAUUAAAAGUUUUCAAAAUACAUCUGUUAAAUCCUUAUUAUCAAUUCAAAUUUGUUUCAUUCAAGUUUUUGACUGAAUUUUACUAUUAGAAAAAAUAACAUUAUGGCAUUUUAAUCGGAUUUAAUUGAUUUGUUAAAAAAACAAACAUUAUGGCUUUUAAGGGUUGUUUCAGCUGACAAAGAUUACUCUUAGAUAUAUCCUAAAGGAAGCCCAAAUUAAUGUUAGAAAAUCAUUGCUUAAUGCCUUAAUUUAUUACUUGUUUUUCUGUUUUAACAGUUUUUUAUUGCUCAACUCUGCUUCAUAAAAUUAUGUAUAUGCAAUAUUUACAAGGUGCUAUGCUAUUGUAACUCGUCAUUGAACUUCAAUUUUAGAAAAUUUAAUUGUAGAUAAAGGAUCUUGAAAGUGAAUAGAUCGUACAUUGAUGUAAGAAUAUUGUGCUGAAAGUGAAAAAAAAAAAAAACACUCAAAGUGGGGGACUUAUGUGUGCAAUGGAACAAUAAAAAAUGACAAAUAAUGUGAAAGACCCUCAAGUUUCAUGUUGUUAAAUCUAUUGUAAUUAUUGAGCAAACGGGUUAAUUAUAACUUUGGAAAAAAUAAUAAUUAAGAAACUAUGAUAAAAUGAGCUUUAAACCAUUAAUGUGAAGUAUGAAUAAAAAAGAUUUGAAUUUGGAGGAGUUUGAGUGAUAUAUAUUGUUGGAUUCAUCUCAUUUGGGUGGUCCAAAGGCUUCCUUGGUGUGCAAAUAUCACUAAGUUUUGGACUUGGAUGAAAUUAGCUAGAGAAUAAUAAGUAUAAAAGAAAAGCAAGCCUUGGUAAUGAUAUAAAAAAAGGAAGAAAAAGAUGAGAGAAAAAGAGAGAGACAGUGGCGUAAUAUUUGCUUCUAGGGGCAAGUGUUUUAACUCUGUUUUCUCGUAAAUUUGGAGGGUAAGUUCCUAGCAUCAUCCUCUACAGUUCUACUAGUCUUGAUUUUUGUUUUAUCCUCUCCUUGGUUGUUAUUUGAGAUAUCUAUUUGUUUACGAUGUUGUCCUUAUUGAUUUUUGGUCCUCAACAACUGGGCAAUGACAUUGUUGUGUACUUGGCACCGUUGAUUGAAGACUUGCAAACUUUAUAGGAUGUUGGGGUGGAGGCUUACAAUGCUAAUAGAAAGAAAUUCUUUAAUCUAAGGGUUGUUUUGCUAUGGACCAUAAAUGACUUUCCAACAUACGGGAAUUUAGAGGGUUGUACUGUUAAAGGAUAUAAUGCAUGUCCAUAUUGUGGCUUAGAUGCACCUAAAUGUAGACUGAAAGAUGGUGGGAAAAAUGCAAUGGCUAGUAUGAAAGGUGUUGCAGACGUUUUGGAGGUGCUAAUAUGGAUGCUCCAGAGAGUAGUAAUGCGACCAGGGGUGUGAAUAUAGGUGCUACGCAGAACUAAAAGCUGAAAACGAGGAAAGAGAGGAUUGUUGUACAAUAUAAUGUAUUAGGCGUUCCUGCUGGUGAUGAAGCCACUGAGCUAGCUUCCUAUCUUGGAGUAUUAGCUAGUAGUUCAGUUUCGAUUUUAUUUUCUGAUUGGCGUAAAGUUCCAGCAGAGACGAAGGAGCGUUUAUGGGAGUCCAUUCAGGUAAAUGUCCAAAUUCUUUAAUCUAUUGAUCUUUAAUCAAUUGUUCUGGUCUUGGUAAUUAUUAGAAUAUCAUAUAUGGUAUUAGGAUUGCUUCAUCGUUCAUCCUAAAAGUAAGAAGUAGCUGCUGCAAUCAAUUGGGCAUGCAUUUCGUAACUUCAAGUACAUGUUGAUAAAAAAGUACAUUGUGCCAUUCGCACAAGACCGGAAGAGACUAUACAGACCUCCAAUUGAUUAUCCCCAAAUCAAGAAACCUAUUUUGAUAAAGUUUGUCGACAAACGUUUAUCAGAUGCCUUUCAAGUUAGUAUCUUUGACUUAGGCUUUAUGUUUGACUUAGGUUUUCUCACUUGUUAAUAUUUGUUGGAUAUAUACCAAUAAACACCUCGGUAUGUUGAAGUUAUUCAGAAAGUCAGUUGUGCUAAUAAGGAGAAAAGAGCCUCCAACAAGUUAAAUCAUCGACUUAGUCGAAGAGGAUAUGUUGGAUUAAUGCAAGAUAUGGUAAGUACAUGGCUAUCAAUUUAUAUUAGGUUAAUUUGUUUAAAAUAUUAAUUAUUAAGUGGACUUAAAUAAUAUGAUUUGUUUAUCCACCAGUGCUCAGAAACCAGUCUUUUAGAAGACUUAGUAGACAUGAGUGAACUUUGGAAGAGAGCCCGGGGAAUGAAAAUUGGGGUUACAACCUUGAAACUGAGAAGAUUGUUAUGAAAAUGGUGAGGAGCUUCAAUAAAGUUAAAUAUUCUUUAAUUAGUUUAGCGUGAGUAGAUUACAACUAUAUAUUAUUACUAAUUUAUUUUUUAUGGUGAUAGGAAAAGCUCAAAAAAGAGGCUAAGAAAGGCUCCUUGAAGUCAGAUGGAAGAAACAAUAUACUUGCACAAUCAUUGGGAAAGCUUCCUCGAAUUGGCCAUAUGCAAGGUCUUGGUAAAUUUGUAACACCUACCGAGUACUUUCACAUAGUUCAUGGGCAUAAUAAACAUGUUGCAGAGACUGACUUGUAUGCCUGGGAGAAAGAAAUUGAAAGUCAGCUGGAGAAAAUCACCAAACAAUUAAAGAAGACACCUCGCCACUCAAAUGUAGGAAGUCCCACCUAUUCCUAGCAAUGGUGUUGUUGAUUGCUUAGAAGAAAAGGAUAAUGACAAGGUGGAUGUAGUUGAACAGAAGGUUAGUAACUUUUUUUUUCCAGCCUUAGUGCAUAUACUAUAUUAGUAGGUUUAUUUAGUUUAGAUUUUUGCCUUUGUAAUUUUUAGGAGCCCCUAGCUUAGAAAACUCAGAUGGCCAAGAGAGGAAAUCCUCAACUAAAAAAAGGGUAGAAAAGCAAAAAGAAGUUGAUAAAAAGGAUAAGAGUAAACCUAAGAAGAAAAUAGGGACAACAAAAAACAUUACUGUCAUGCCAAGAAAAAGUCCAAGACUUAACACCAACUUGCCAAUGGGUGAUGCAAAUGAGGGGGAAAAACCAAAGCUUGGUAGUGCCAGAAAGCCAUUAUUUCAGGAGAAUGUGCAAUUAGCUAAUGGUCUAUAGCAAGUUCCACCCAUAGCCCAAAAAUAAGGGCUACAAAUCUGAACAAAAACAAAAGGAAGAAAGGUGCAGUGCAGCAUGUGUCGAGAAACACUAGGCACACAGCAGUAAUACCAAAAACAAUCAUCCAAUGCUGCAACUCUUUGGCACAUUAUAUGACAUGUACUUGCCUCCAUUCGGUUGGAUUCAAUAUUUGAUUGAUGAUAAUGUAUUUCAGCUAGAAGGUAUUGUAGCCCAUGUUGGGAAAAUGAAGUGUGAUGCGAUGAUGACGAUGCAAGUGAUAAGAGUUAAUGCUAUUGAAGUAUAUAUUGCGUAAGAGAUUUUUGUUUUUCUUUACACUUGAAUUAAUUUAUAUGAUGUUGCAAUACUUGUCUAAUGACAAGUUUUGGUAUUUUGCAUCCACUAUUUCAAGUUGUUGUAUGACUCGAUUAUCCCAAACAAAAAAGGAACAAGACCAUUUGGAUUCAUCUAUCCAGGUUGUGUCACCCCAUCCUAGACAAAUACCAGACAUUUCCCAUCCCAGCAGAGCAGAAGGUGUGUGCAAGCGCUUGAAAAAAGCUUAUAAAGGACAAUUCUUGUUUGUGCCAUACAAUCCUAGGUCUGGAAAUUUCAAACUGUAAUAAAGUGUUUUAAUAAUUAUUUAUUUAUUUUAUCUUGUCUUUGAUAAGUGUUGCUUGGCUUUCUUUGUAUUUUUUUUUUUCUAUUUUAGCUUCCAUUGGGUUUUGGUUGUGAUUGAUGUGGCAAAAAAAGAAGUGUUUUAUUUAGAUCCUAGGGGGUACGAUGCUCCUUAUCCUGAUUUAGAACAACUGAUUAAAUCGUAUGUAUUCCUUUCCAUCUCAUAAUCCUAAUAUUCUCGCUUUUUUUAAUAUAUUUUUAAUAUUUUAACCAAUGUACUUUAUUCAUACAGUGCUAUGACACUGUUCUCAGCUGAGGAUUGUAAGGAAAGAUGGAAUUAUAACCCUAAUAUGAGAUUUGUGAAGGUAAACAUAUUAUCUUAACUAAAAUUCUGUGUAUCUAUCAUUUUAAGCCUAAAAUAGAAUAUAUUUAUAUUGAUUUUUUUGGUUUAUAACUGUGAAUAGACCCCUCAGCAACUGGGAAGCGUGGAAUGUGGCUAUUAUGUCUUGAGGUUUAUAAAAGACAUUAUAGCAGACCUUAGUUUGCUAAUGAAUGAUGUGAGUCAGUGAUGAAUAAAAUCAUAGGAUUGGUUUAUACCAUACGCACUGCAUUGUUAUGGAAAUUUGACAAUGUUGAUUUUAUGGUUUUCAGUUCCAUUGAAAGGUCAUGUAUACUCAGGCUGAGCUAGAUGAAGUUUGUUUAGAGUGGGUUAACCAUUGUUCUUAAAUCAUUAACGCAACAAAAAAUGGUUAGUAUGAAUCUAAAACUAUACACAAACAUUUUUAUUACUUAUAUAUUAUAAUUGGUUAAAAACUAUAGACAAAGUGGCAAUAACAGCGACCUAGCUAGCUACCUAGGUUUCUUGAACUAGGCUUAAUCUUCUAUUUGAACAACAAACAACUGCUGGCAAAGUUGUUAUCCUGAUAACAACAACAUUAUUUAGAGAUGAGAUUGGUACUUCACUCAAACUCUUGUAGAGGAAUAUUAAGAUAUACUUCCUUAGAAGUUCAAUAUUCCACAAAUACUUGAUACUAAGAUAUUUCUUAAGAGUUCAAUAAUCCUUAAAUACUUGAUAUACUUACCAAUGUAGUAGUCAUCUUUAUUUUGAACUCUUUGAUAUGGAAUCCUCUUACACGCCAAUUUGCUUCUUUUAUUCCUCCAAAAUAUUCUCCAAGAUUCCAUAUAAUCUAAUUUUAAUUAAUUUCGACGACUAAAUACAUCUCUAAUAAAAGGAAACUAAUCCCUAAUAAAAGAAAUAAAUAAAUUAAAAAGUUAUUGACAAGAUGAUGCCAAUAAUAAAAGCCUUAACAAUCUCCCCCUUUGGCAUCCUUGUAGUCAAAACAUAAACUAACCAAUUUUAUAGUCUUCAAAUGGCGUGUGUAUUGGGAAGAUAGAUCACGAGCAAUAACCUACGCAUAGGCAACAAAAGCAUACGAAGAACUAACCAAAGCAAAAAUAAUUAGUCACCGUUAAUUCAAGAUAAAAAUCAUCUAUAAUAAAUAAAUGCAACGUCUAUUGUUCAAUUGAGAAAAUUAACUUUCCCUUUAAGAAAAAUAAUCUCAUAUCAACAAAUGACGAUAGCAAUAAUGCAUAAUAAAAGAAGUAAUAAAGAUCAUAUGCAAAUCAAACAAGCUCCCCUUAGAGAAAGAAUAAAUAAACUCCACAUUUAUUAUCGAAAUUGAAUUCCUUAAACAAAAUAAAAAACCACUCUCCCCCUUUCACGAGGCAAGAAAAAAUAAAAUACGUUAAUCUCCCCCUUUUUUACAAAAGGAACCAAAGCACAAUAAAGAACAUAAACGAAAAUUGAAAUAGCAUAUCCUAAACUAGGUAAAAGCAAAACUAACGAACAAAGGGGCAUAAAGCUAAUGAAUCAAGGGUAUUAAACACACCUAAUGUCAUCAAGAGUUGUGUUCAAUGCAUUCAACGUGACCUAAUAAAUCUAAAGUCAUCUAAUCAUCCAAGUGAUGGAGAGUGGAGUGAAUUGUUUGAAGCUCAAAAUUGAUAGUGGCUGAAUUUAGGAAAGCAUUCUCAAUUGAAGUAUCUUCAUCUUGAUCACAAACAACACCAAGGGACUUCAACAUAGGAUAGGAUGGUUCAAUAUAAAUAGGAAAAGAAGGAAAGACCUCAUUUCUUCAAUCAAAGUAUAAUUCUAAGAAGUCAAAACUUGAUAAAUCAAGGAAGGGAAUGGUAAUGCAUGUCUCUCCCAAAAGGCAUCAGUAUUUUUCAUAAUCAAAUCAAAAGCCAACUUGCUAAAGUUGAAAGAAACCUCACCUCCAAUUAAAAAAAAAACUUUAGCAAAUAAAAGAUCCACUAUAGCAUAAUUUUCAGUAGGAUACCAAUUGUGUGCUCCAAUCUAAUACAAAGCUUGAUAUCUAGAAUCAAGUUUGGAAACCAAAAGGUCUUUAGGCCAAGGUGAAUACCUUCCUAAAAGUCAAGUAACAAUAGUAGACAUGUCCAAGGUAUUCAUGUGCUUCCAGACAUUAUUAUGAUCAAAAUCUUUACUCCCAAAUCGACUAUUGAUUAAAAAUAGGGAAAACUUCAAGAUACGUCCUCUGACAUAAGUUUUAUGGAGAAAACUACGCUUAGUCUCAUCUGCAGUAUUCUUAUUCAAAUUGGCAUAGAAUUCACGAAAUAUGUUAGAUGCAUAUGAAGAGAUAUUCUUAAUGAUGUUUUCUAAACCAGUAACAAUAAUGGAUGAUUCAAUCUCAAAAGGAAUAAACUUAAAAAUAGCAACAAUGCAUUAAGAAUGAAAUUUUCUUUUAAGCAAGAGAUCAAGACCAUCAGUAGGAGAAUGAGUAUAGUACCUUUUACUAUAACCACAUGGUAACACAUAACUAAAGAUUAAGUGGCCGCUAUUUUGAUGAAUUGGAGACUUUGGGACAUGCUCAUCUGAAUUGGCUUCACUAGGACUUCUUCAAUUGAAUCGACAUGGCCAUUACAAGAUCCAACAAAAUUGUUGAGUGAAUUGGUGCAAUCGGCAUAUGUAUCUAUCCUUGUGUAUUGAGCAAUUUCUAUAUAGUUUCUAUCGUAGGCCAUGGGUUGUCAUCCUUCUCUUCUUCAUGAGUAGCAUGCAGCACAUUAAUUGGAUCAAAUCCAUGCACAUUGGAAUCACCUAGAACAUACACUUAACUUGUUGAACAUGUAUCUUUGAUUUCUUUUUCAUGGAACUUGAUCUUUUAGAAACUAUGAUGUACAGCCUGAAAAAGAACUAAAGCAAAGAAGCUCUAGAGAUAUAGGCUGCUGUUUGCGUAAGAGAGAAUGAGAAAAACGAGAUAAAAAAAAGCCCUUAUUCCUAGACCUUAUGUGGCAAGGAAAGUGUAAUUUAGAUAGAAAUCAAUUAUUAUACUUUCCAUAAAUAAUAAUAAUAAAUCAAAUAAGGUCAUAGGGUAUUUAUAAAACAAUAAUAAAUAAGAUAUACCGUAAUAAAAUUAUAAAUAAGAACUAUUUUCAAUGACAAUUGCAAAAACCACAAGUAUAAUGCAAAAACACGUCAGAAGGACGUCAUUGAGGAUCAUGUCAAAUUUUGAAAAACCGCGCAGUUACAGGAAAGUAUGCCCUACCUAAAAAUGGUCAGGUGCUAAUAACUAUGGCCAAUGGGCCGUGCCGUGCCGGCACGACCCACCAACUAUCGGCCCACAAGGGCUCGUGGGCCGGCACGGCACGGCCCACUAAAUUGGUGGGCCGUGCCGUGUCGUGCCUACAUUUUUUUUAAUUGAGCCCGGCACGGCCCACGGCACGAGCCCGCUCGUGCCGUGCUCGUGCCGUGCCGAAAAAAAGCCCACCAAUUUUUUUUUUUUUUUUGCGUGCUUAAAAAAGCCCACGUGCCUAGCGUGCUUUAUUCAAGCCCACGUGCCUGACGUGCUUUUUUAAGGCCACCAACAUAAUAAUAACAAUAAUAAUAAUAAUAAUAAUAUUCACAAUCAUAAUCAUAUUAAUUUUUAUUAAGAGAGCAAUUAACAUUUUAUUAUUAGUUUAUCACAAUUUCACAACUAUAUAUUUUAUUUCACAAUAAUCAAUCAUAAUUCAUAACACAACAAUACAUAAAUUUAAUUUAAUUUAAUUCCAUAGAUCAUAAUAAUAAUUAAUUAAAAUUAAAAAUACAAUCCUCGAAUAAUCAUUACAAUAAGUCAUAACUACGAAAUAUUAAUAUAACAAAUCAUUUAUUUAAACUAAGAUUUAAUGAUUUAAAUUAAUUUUUAAAAGUCUAUGCUAAAAAAUAUAUUAAAACAUUUAAUUUCAUAACAUUUUAUAUUUACUUUUUGUUAAAAAAAUUUACUUAGAUAUAUUUUGGCCCACGUGCUAUUAAUGGCUCACGGGCCGCGUGCUAGCCCACUAAUGAACCGUGCUUAUUACGUGCUUUUUCGCGUGCCGUGCUUUGGCCCAUCUCUAAUCGUGCCGUGCUUUAAAGCCCGCGUGCCUAAAAUUCUAGGCCCGGCACGGCCCACGUGCGUGCCGUGACGUGCCUCGUGCCUCACCAAAACGUGCUCGUGCCGUGCCGUGCCGUACGGACACGUGCCGCCCGGCCCAUUGGCCACCUUUAGGUGCUAAUAACACAAUUACAGAAAGGCCCCUAAACACUCGAGAAACCUCGAAAAGCCCUAAAUCAUGAAAAAACCCUAAAACUAAAAUGCAUGCAUAUAUGUAUCAUGCAAUCGUCCAUGCAAUGAUGAUUAAAAUUCCCUCUUUGAUAAAUGAAACACAUAAUUAAAAACUUUUAGGAUUAGGUUAAAGAGACAAGUUGUUAAACACAAGUUUAAACCCAAUUUUUCAACCAUUGGAUUAAAUUUAAAUGAAUGGUCAAGAUUAGAUGACGUGAGUUAUCAAUUUCAUUAAUAGCUUUCUUCCUUCUCUCUUUAAUUUUUAAUUCUCUUUCUUCUUUUAUUAAAGAUUCUCUCUUUUCUCUCUCCUAUAAAUUUUUGUAAAUGGAAUAAUUAAAACCAUCAAAAUUAAUUUACUUACAUAAUCCAUCAAAAUUAAUUUACUUACCAACAGUGAAAUAAAGUAGCAAUAUAUGGAACAAACUUGUACAAUUUUUGCUCUAUAGUUUCAGAACCAACUCUACAAGUCGUAUAUGAACAACCUUCAUCAAUAAAUUUCCUAAAAGGUUUUAAUCAAAAACCUUCAUCAAUGAUUGUGAUUUUUUUAUUAAAACCUUUUAUAUGGAACAAAUUGUACAAUUUUUGCUCCAUAGUUUCAGAACCAACUCUACAAGUCGUAUAUGCACAACCUUCAUCAAUAAACUUCGUAAAAGGUUUUAAUAAAAAAUCACAACCAUUUCCUAUCAAACAACAUUGUUCUUUUCCAUUAUAUUUUAAAUUAAUUUACUUAUAUAAUUUCUAAAUGGAAUAAAUAAAAGUUUAUACAGACACACAAAGCGAAAUAAAAUUGAUAUGAAGCCAAAAAAAUAACAUUGAUAUGAAUCUGAUCAUUUCAUCAUGAAGCAUACGUAAAUAAAUAAGGAUGCAAUUGAAGAAGAUUGAGAAAAAGGCAAUCUUCGUCAGCACAGCCACUAAUUGAAGAAAGUAAUGUGUGUAGAAGAAGGACAAGUGCUUCUAGGUAAUUAAAAUGGGCUAGUUUACAGUUACAAAUAGAUUAUGUAAGUUAGGUAAUUAAAAUGGGCUAGUUUACAGUUACAAAUAGAUUAUGUAAGUUAGGGAAUUAAAAUGGGCUAGUUUACAGUUACAAAUAGAUUAUGUAAGUUAUAUAAAUUAAUUUUGAUAGCUUUAAUUAUUCCAUUUACAAUCAUUUAUAGGAGAGAGAAAAGAGAAAGUCUUAAAUAAAAGAAGAAAGAGAACUAAACAUUAAAGAGAGGAGAGAGAAAGAUAUUAAUGAAAUUAAUAACUCAUGUAAUCUAAUCCUGACCCUUCAUUUCAAUCUAAUCCAUUGGUUGAAAAAUUGUGUUAAACUUGUGCCUACAAAUGUGUCUCUUGAAUCUACCCCAAAAAUUUUAUGCUAUAAGACAUCUUAAAACAAAAAUGCACUUUUGUAAAAUAAAUAUAUGAUUUUUGAACAAUUAAAAAGGCGUGUUCAUCAAUAAUCAUCACAAUACACACAAAAUCAAGAUAAUCAAACUUUAAUCAAUUAAAUCAAUAGAAGAUUAGUUAAAUUUUAAACUUUUGUAUGUGUGUGCAUGAUAUAAAUCCGUCAUGACUCAAUCUCGAUUUUUCUCAAAAUCAAAAAUUUUUGUAUUGAAAAAUAGAAUAAACAAGUCAAACUAACCUUAUCAUCUUAAUCUUUGAAUUGACUUUUUCAAUGUAACAGGCAGUGUAAUAAGAGAUUGCAAUAAUAAAAUUUUUCAUUCUACUGUAUAUAUUAUUUUUUUAAAUGUUUACAGUUAAUAACUUUCAUCUUACCUCUUAAGGUAGCCUUUUUCUGAUGGUAGUUCGUUCUUUGUCGUAUUUCGAGUACGCAGACUCAAAUUACUCAAUGAUAGCUUCACUCUUAAAAGUUACAGGUAGCUAUUUCUAAUUGAGGUGCCUACAUAUCUUGAUAUCUACAGUUGAGAUAAGAGUUAAAAGCAAAAAGUCAAUGUUCAAUCCAUUAAUCUCAACAUCAGAAGUCUCAAAAUUGAAAAUCAAGUACUUCCAAGAUAUAUGUGCAUAAGUUUAAAUUAAACCAAUCAAAAAUUGUUUCAAGCUUUCAAGUCAUCAAAACAAGACUUUUAUGCGCAUAGUGAUUUAAAUUGAGAACAUGUCAUGCAAAAACACAUGCGAAUGAUGUAUUAAUCAUGUCAUGAGAUGCAAAAAAAUAAUGAUACAUAUAUAAAAUGUUAGAACAUGGCUACAUAGAACAAAUACCUAAAACUUUUCUUAAGGAAUCAAGUCUACAUGCAUCCAAAGCUUUAAUAAAGAUAUCCGCAAGCUAAUUUUUUGUUUUAAUCUACUCCUGAAAUAUAGUCUUGUUUUCAACUAAAUCACGAACAAAAUGAUGUAUGAUAUUUAUAUGCUUAGUUCUAGAAUGUUGAACAUGAUUCUUUGAAAUAUUGAUUGCACUUGUAUUAUCAUAAUAUACAGUAAGAAUAUCCUGAGCGAAACCAUAAUCUUCGAGCAUUUGCUUCAACCAAAGUAAUUGAGUACAACACUACCAAUGGCAAUAUAUUCUGCCUUAGCAGUAAAUAAAGAAAUUGAGUGUUGUUUCUUAGAGCAUCACCAAAAGACUCUUCAAAUAAGAUUUUAUUACUUAUUUGAAGAGCCACAUCAGCAUUUAAGGCUCUAAAAGACACUCCAAUUAAGAUUCUUCAAAUAAGAAAUAAUCAUCUCUCUUCAAAUUUGAAGAGUUAUUUUCUCUCUCUUCAAUUUAUAUUUUAUUACUUUUUGUUGGAGAAAGAGAGAGAAGUGCUUUAAUUACUAUUGACUUUUCCUUUAAAAAAUAGUUAUUUUAAUUAAAAUAAUAUUAACUCAUUUCUAUUUGAAGAGUCUUUUGGAGAAUAACAUAAUUUUUCACUCUUCUAUUUGCCACAUAGGUAAGCAAAUAGAUAUUUGAAGAGUAAAAUUUAUAGAACCUUUUGGAGAUACUCUUACUAUGCCAAGAUACAAAAUGGUUACCAAGAUAAAAACAACCUCCAAUGGUACUCUUUCUAUCAUCAGAAUUACCUACAUAAUCAGCAUCGCUAUAUCUUGCAAGACUUGAAUUUGUGUCUUUAGUACACCAAAUUCCAUCAUUAAUAGUUUCAUUUACAAAAUGAAUGACAUGUUUCGAUGCAGAUAAAUGAGAUACUUUUAGAUUUGCUUGGUACGUAGCAGAAACACCAACACUAAAACAAAUAUCUGCCCUACAUCUAGUUAAAUAAAGUAAGCUACCAAUCAUGCUUAUGUAUAGACUUGUAUCAACAUUAGAGUCACUAUCAUCUUUAGUUAAUCUUAAAAGUGCUCAUAGGCAUUCUCAUAUAUUUGGCUAAAUCUAGUUCAAAGUUUUUCGCCAAAUUUUUGGCAUAUUUUCUUUGAGAAAUGAAGAUACCAUUUUCAAGUUGUUUCCCUUGUAAGCUGAAAAAAUAGGAUAACAUACUAACCAUGCUCAUUUCAAAUUCAUUAUUCUUUGGAUCAAAAUAUUCCUAAACUUCUGUAAGAGAUAUAUCAUCCAUAUAAAUUUGAGCAAUCAUACUUCUAGGGUUAAGGUAUUUAAUAAAUAAAGUUUUGUCUACUCCCUUUCUUUUGUAGCCUUUUCCAAUCAAGAAUUUGUUUAAUCUUUCAUACCAAGCCUUAGGAGCUUGUUUUAAUCCAUAUAAAACUUUUUUUUAACUUAAAAACAUAAUCAGAAUGAUGUGGGUCUUCAAAACCUUUAAGUUGUUUAACUUAAGCUUCUUCAUUCAAAAUUCCAUUCAAGAAUGAUUUUCUUAAUUUCCAUUUGAAACAAUUUAAAGCUAAUUAAACAAGAUAAUAGCAAUUAAUAGCCUAAUAGAUUCUAGUCUAGCCAUAGGAGUAAAGGUUUCAUCAAAAUCAACACCUUCAAUUUUUGUAUAAUUUGGUACUACUAACCUAGCUUCAUUUCUCACUAUAUUACCAAUUUCAUUUGUUUUAUUCUCGUAAAUCCAUUUGGUGCCAAUAACAUUGGUCUGAUUUGUUUAGGAAUUAGUGUCCAAACAUCAUUACACUCAUAUUGUUCAAGUUCUUCUUGUAUAGCUUUAACCCAAAAUUCAUCCAAUGAGGUUCCUUAGCAUUUUUUGGUUAUUUAAUGAGGUAAAAAAAUUCUUGUUAUUUCCAGAAUUUCCUCGAGUCAAAUUUUAAACCAUCUUGGCAAUCUUAGCCAGGGAUUCGUCUUAACUUCAUUUUCAACGUCAUCAGCAUCAUUAUCAUAAUCAAAUUUUGAAUUUGGUAUCUCAGCUUGAAAAGCAAUACUUUUGUCUUUCUUCUUCUUCAAAUGAUUAGUCUUAAAAGUUUCAAGUUUGUUAAUCACUUGAUUUCUUAUCUGCCAAUAUUUCUUCAAUAGAUAUAACUUCCAUAAGAAAUCUAUCCGGCAAAAACCUCAAAAUUUUUCUAAUUAAUUCUUAUUCAGAAAUUCAUUUACUAAGAGACUUAGAAGUGUUAGCAAUCUUAAGAAGUUUAUCAUUAAAAUCGGUAAUCUUCAUGUUCAUGCAUCUUAAGAUUCUCAAAUUCAAUUGUAAGUUUUUAAAGUUUGGAAUGUUUUACCGUAUUGUUUCCUUCAUGAUUGUCUCAAAGAAUGUCCUAAGCGUCUUUGGCAGUCGUACAUGUAGAGAGUAAAUCAUACUAAUUGAUGUUAACUGCAUUAGCAAUAACAUUGAGAGACUUGGAAUUAAAGCCGUAUUUUGAAUUUUUGCGUUGGAAUAUUCAUCCACAGGCUUAAGAAUUCUAUUUCCAUCUUGAUUAGCCUUAGUGGGUAAAUUGUAUCCUUUUCUUACGCAUUUCAUAGCUCUUAUGUUAAUGGAUUCAAUAAAAAUAGUCAUCCUUUGCUUUCAAUAUGAAUAAUUGGUGCCAUCAAGUAAUAGUGGACAGGUCCGUAGAUCCUCUUUCUCUCUGCAAAUUCAUUCCGACAAAAAUAGAUCAAGAUCGGGAGGAUUGUGUAAAUCAGUUUAGAAUUUCGUGAUUAAAAUCUUGUGUUUUAUUUUGAAGUUUUGUUUUUGUGGUGAAUUUUUACUGGUAGUAAGUCCCGUCCAAGGAUAAGUUUUCCGUUUAGGGCUGUAAAACCAUACCUGUAGCCAUUUUGACCAAACCAAAGAUAGAACCCAGGAUUCUAACCAUGGAUCCUCUUCACUGUAGAGCAUCGUCCUUUUCUAGCUCUUCUUCUGGGAAGACUAGUGACUCAAAGCAUGUUGUGAGUUCAGAAGAAUUUGUUAUUGAGAACUUUGAUAAAGCAAUUGAUUGUUGGGAACUUCCAAAGAUUUCAAAAGAAAAGAUUUACAGAACAAAAAAGCUCGAUUUUUGGAAAAAUGAUUAUGUUAUAAAAACUGAAGAGCGUGAUAUAACUCUUUCAAAGCCUUUUGAAACAAUUAAUUUGUUUUCAGAAAAAUCUUUAAACAAGUUAAAAGAAAAGAAUUUCAAUUACAUUCAUAUAGGUCUAAUCCAAAUAGGCAUAAAGCCCCUUACCAAAGAAGGCCUGGAUACUUCUAUCCUUGUUGUUCUUAGAGAUGGUCGAUUCAUCUCUUUUGAUGAUUCUCUGCUAAGUAGCAUUGAAUCUAGCCUAUGCAAAGGUCCCAUUUCAUUCGAUUGCUAUCCAAACAUAACAUUGUCUCUUAAAGACAAAAACAUUUUGAAAAGCAUGAUUUUACAAAUCAAAACACAUAAUUAUCAUAUGAUUGAGGGAUCUAUCCCUGUUGCAUUGAUUUUUAAAAUCUCAUACAAAGCCAUGAUUACUGCCUUCAGUACUCAACAUAAAUUCCAGUCGAAAAGAGAUGAAACUCUUCUCUUACAGACUGACCUGUCUAGAGCAAACACUGUCAUUCCAAAACCAAUCCAAUGGAAGGAUGUAAAUCUUCCUGAGGAAUGGAUACUUGAAGGAGCCGCUCCACCAGCGAUUCCAAAACAACUUGAGCCUAAUACAGAGUUGCAAAAUGUGACUCAGUAUUCUGAUGGUAAAGUUAAAUUAUCAUUCAGGAGAUCAAGUUCUUCCAGAUUCUCCGAUAAAGCAUCAUGCUCAAGCAUUCCUUCACUAGAAAGGAAAUUUACAAAAGUACCCUCUGUUAUAAAUCUUCCUUUUCAGAGUCAACCUAGGUUCUCCACUUCGGAUUUACCUAGUUCUUCUAUCAGUUCUGUUGACUACACUACAAAAAUACCACAUCCCGUUUACAUUAGCAGUCAACAUGAACAAAGACAGGAAGAGAAAGAAUCUUCUCUUCCAACUUCUCCUACAUUCUCUGCAGUCACAGAAAAUGUUUUAAAUGUCAUUGAAAAGCAUUUUGAAUUAGACAAAACCAUGUUGCAUAAUGAUUUUUAUUCAGAUGAUAAUAAAGAAAAAAGACUAUGGUUUUUCAAACAUUUUUUAAAUCAAAGGAAGGAAAUCCAACAAACUUACUAUGAAUUUGUUAAUUUUCAUCAAGUUCAUAUAUUGUUUUUUGAUUGGUUUGAUAUAUAUUCUUCUUAAAACAACAUUUCCUACCCUUUCAAAGAGUCAAACCCUAUUACUACCAGGAAGAAAACCACUGAGUGGAAACUCUUCGAUAGUAAUAGAACAGUCGAUUCUGAGCAUCCCCCUCUUAGGAGUGUCAUCAUAGAACAUGGUGAACCUCCUGUAGAAAUUAGAGCUUCACCUUACAAAAUCCCAAAGCCAAAUGAUCCUGAAAUCAAUUUAAGUAGUAUUAUUCAACAGAAUAAUUUCUGUAAUACUAACUUAAAUACCAUAGGAAAACAGUUGACUAGAUUGGAAAACCAAUUUCAACAGUCAACCAUAUCUGUUUCUCCAAAUCCAAAAAUUGUUUCUUUAAAAUCAGAUUAUGAUAAAAAGCUUAGAGAACCUAUUUUCAAACCUUUUCAGGUUUCGAAAACUAGUCAGAAGCUUGUCCAGGAAUCAAAGUCUGAUUUUGCCAAAGCCAUUAGAGAACAGCUAGAUAGGAUAGAAGCUUCUUCUUCCUCAUCUAGUAAAGUUCAAAUAGCUCCCGAUACUCCUCAAUCUAGCAAGAUUGAUACUCCUCAGUUGAGUAGAAUUGGAGUACUCGACCAAGACCAGGUUUCUAUUGCCUCUUCUGACUUAGAAACCUUUACUGAAGAACCUAUUCCUAAGGCCAACAAAAUUCAUUGGGAAUUAGCACUCCCUACUUCUAAAUCUCCACCUGAUUUGACCAUAGACAACAGGCCCAGUGCAUUAAAUCAAGCUCGAUAUAAUGCAUCCUCUGUCUAUGAGUGGAAUAUAGAUGGAAUGUCUGAAUACAACAUUUUAGGUGUAUUACAGCAAAUGACCAUGGCAGCCAAUGCUUAUAAAACCCAAUCAGGAACUUCUGACAAAGCCAUUGCAGAAAUCCUAAUUGCCGGUUUUACUGGUCAACUUAAAGGAUGGUGGGAUCAUCUUCUCACCAAAUUGCAGCAAUUAGACAUUCUAAAUGCCAUCCAAACCGAUGAGAAUGGAGCCCCCAUUCUUGAUGAGCUCAAUAAUCCAAUUCAGGAUGCUGUUGCUACCCUGAUAUUGACUAUUUCUCUCCACUUCAUAGGUGACCCUUCUCACCUUAGAGAUAAAAAUGCUGAGUUACUACACAACUUGAGGUGUAGGAAACUUAGUGAUUUCAAUGACUACAAAACCACUUUCUUUACCAGACUUUUCCUAAGAGAUGAUGCAAAUCAUGUAACUUGGAAGGAAAAAUUCCUUGCAGGAUUACCUACCCUUUUAGGAGAAAAGGUAAGGAAUUCGAUCAAAGCCCUUUUUAAUAAUCGUAUUCCUUAUGACGAACUCACUUAUGGUGAAUUAGUCAGCUUUGUCAACAAAGAAGGUUUAAAGAUCUGUCAAGACUUGAAACUUCAGAAACGUCUAAAACAAGAGCUUAGCCAAUCUAAGCAAGAAUUAGGCGGGUUCUGCAAGCAAUUCAACUAUGACCCCUUUAAAGCUUCCACUUCCAGAGACUGUAAUGGUAAGUGUUCUUCAAAACCUUACAAGAAACAUUACAAGUCCAAAAGCCAUAGAAAACCCUUUCAUGAUUUUAGAAAACUCCCUUAUAAGAAACCUUUGAGGCCUUAUAAGAAACAUAGUUUCUCUAAAAAGAAAGAGUUUAAAGCCAAACCUAAAACCCCAUUUAAUUUCAAAGAUGCUACCUGUUUCAAAUGUGGUAUGAAAGGUCAUACUGCACGUUUUUGUAAAAUGAACAGGAGACUCUAAGAGCUUGGUCUCGAGGAGGAAAUCCUUUCAAAAAUAGCCCCUCUUCUGGUCGGAUCUUCUGAUUCUGAGUCUUCCUGGUCAGGUGAUAAUGACCCCCUCCAAGUUGAUGAACUAUUUGAUUCAGAUAGCUCUGCAUCUAGCAAUAGUGAUUCUGAUUCGGAUAAUUCUUAUUUAAAGAAAAUCAAUGUUUUGACAAAAGACCAAGAGAUUAUCCUUGAACUUGUGAAACACAUUUCGGAUCCAAAUCUUCAAAAGGAUUAUCUUGAUAAGCUUUUAAAAACCAUGGAUUCAAGCAAUACAGAAGCGUCUUCUUCUAAAGUCCCUAUUGUCAAAAAGAAUUCUUAUGAUUUAAUUGAAAUUUUGGAUAAGAAGAAAACAAAGAAGUCUACUCCUAAUAUCCAAGACCUCCAAAAGGAGAUUAAGGAUAUUAAACUUGAAAUAAAGGAUUUAAAAGAAAAACAAAAAACUGAUUCUGCAACUAUUCAACUCCUUUUACAAAAACAGUUGCAAGAUACUUCCGAUGAGGAAGUUGAAUCAGAAAAUGAUGAUGUUGAACAAAAAAUUGAUAAUCUUGAGUCAAUUCCAAAUGAUUUUUUGUUUGUUUUAAAGCAAAUCACCACCAGAAAAUAUUUGAUAAAGAUUACUUUAAUUUUUUCAGAUGAUUUUGCGAUAGAUGCCAUUGCUCUUUUUGAUACUGGUGCUGAUUUAAAUUGUAUUCGUAAAGACAUUAUCCCAAAAAGAUUUCAUGAGAAAACUAAUGAAAGACUUUCUGCUGCAAACAAUUCAAAAUUAAGGGUUGAUUCCAAAGUUGAAGCAUCCAUUUACAAUGACAAAAUUGAGUUUAAAACCUCUUUUGUUCUUACAAAUGAUAUACACCAUGCUAUCAUUUUAGGAACACCUUUUAUAAAUUUGAUAACUCCAUAUGCUGUCAACUAUGAUGGUAUAUAUUUCAAAGCAAAAUCCAAAGAACUUGCUUUUUCAUUUAUUGAAAAACCAAAGACCCGAAACCUUAAUAUUGUCAAAGCUUGUUCGGUUUACCAAAACAAAAUCAAUGCUAUUGUAAAGUCUAAACAAGAUGAUUUUUUUUACUUACAAAAGGAUUUAAGUUUUCAAAGAAUUGAGAGUCAAUUACAAAAUGAUAUUAUACAAAGAAAAAUUUCUGAUUUCAAAAAUCUUAUUGAAAAAGAAAUUUGUGCUGAUUUACCAUCUGCUUUUUGGAAUAGGAAACAACAUUUGGUAGAUUUGCCAUAUGAAAAUUCUUUUGAUGAAAAGCAAAUACCCACUAAAGCCCGUCCAAUCCAAAUGAAUUCGGAUUUGGAACAACAUUGUAAAGGAGAAAUUAAUGAUCUUAUUUCCAAAGGUCUUAUUGUAAAAUCUAGGUCACCUUGGUCUUGUGCUGCUUUUUAUGUUAAUAAAAAUUCUGAAAUUGAAAGAGGUGUACCUAGACUUGUGAUAAAUUAUAAACCUUUAAAUAAAGCUUUGAAAUGGAUAAGGUAUCCGAUACCUAACAAAAAAGACUUGCUCCAAAAACUUUGCUCGGCCUUCAUUUUUUCUAAAUUUGAUAUGAAGUCAGGUUUUUGGCAAAUUCAAAUUCAUCCUAAAGACCGUUACAAGACAGCAUUUACUGUUCCUUUUGGUCAAUAUGAGUGGACAGUAAUGCCUUUUGGUUUAAAAAAUGCACCCUCAGAAUUUCAAAGAAUUAUGAAUGACAUUUACAAUCCCUACUCUGAGUUUUGCAUUGUUUAUAUCGAUGAUGUUUUGAUUUUUUCUCAAAGCAUUGAUCAACAUUUCAAACAUUUAAAGACUUUUUAUCUUGCUACAAAAAAGGCUGGAUUAGCUCUUUCCAGUUCGAAAAUUUCAUUAUUUCAAACAAAAGUCAGGUUUCUUGGUCAUCAUAUUUCCAAAGGAACCAUUACUCCUAUUGAAAGAUCUCUUUUAUUUGCGGACAAAUUCCCAGACAAAAUUUUAGAUAAGACCCAAUUACAAAGAUUUCUUGGUAGUUUAAAUUAUGUUCUUGAUUUCUGCCCUAACAUCAAUAGGAUGUCAAAGCCUUUGCAUGAUAGGUUAAAAAAGAAUCCUGUUGCAUGGUCAAAAGAGCAUACCAAAGUUGUUAGAUUAAUAAAGCAGUCAGUUAAAAGCAUUCCAUGUUUGCAUCUUGCAAAUCCUGCAUUUCCUAAAAUUGUUGAAACUGAUGCAUCAGACUUAGGAUAUGGAGGUAUUUUAAAGCAAAAAGAAAAUGAUAAAGAACAGAUAGUACAAUAUGUUUCUGCUCAUUGGAACGAUUGUCAGAAAAACUAUUCUACUAUCAAAAAAGAAAUUCUUUCCAUUGUUUUAUGCAUUACUAAAUUCCAAAGUGAUUUGCUAAACCAAAAAUUUUUACUUAGAAUUGAUUGCAAAGCUGCAAAACAUGUUUUAGAAAAGGAUGUUCAAAACAUUGCAUCAAAACAGAUUUUUGCACGUUGGCAAGCUAUUCUCAGUGUUUUUGAUUUUGAUAUAGAAUUCAUUAAAGGUGACAAGAAUUCUGUUCCUGAUUUUUUAACUCGGGAAUUUCUUCAAAAUAGGUAAUGGCUCCAAAGAAAAGAAGUGACAAAGGAAAAGCUCCUGCUUUCCAAGAACCAUCCAAAGAACUUCAAGCAACCCCUUCUAAAGAAAAACUCCUUUCCUCAGCCAUGCCGAUUAAAUCUUGGAUUGAAUUGGUUGAAGAACAUGAAACCAAAUACAAAUCCAUUUCUUCUGAAGACCAAGUAAAGCAAUGGAUGAGUUCCAUUACAAAAUCACCUGAGCUCAUGAUAGCUCUACAAAGCCUUUCCCAGGUCCAACCUAAAGAGGAAGAAAAACCCACUUCUAAAGAUAUCUCAAAGCCUUCCUCUCAAAACAUUGUUGUUUCUGGUGAGAGCUCAUCCUCCCAAAUUGUGCUCUCUCAGCCAACACCUUCAAAGAAAACCUCUGAUUGGUUUGAUAAAGCCCAUUUUCAAAACAUUAUUUCAAUGGAAGAUGGAUUUUACCAUUCUGAUCCUUUUCAAAGUAUUUCAAAGUUUUUUCCCCAAGGCUGGUUUUUCAAACCAUGGGAUUUGACAAAACCCCAGUCUUACUAUCAAAGCAUUUUGGAAAUUACUGAUUCAGUAAAAUUCAAACAUUUCUUUUUAAGUAAAACCCAUUCUGAGCCGGCCUAUUCUACGGCCACAAUUUUAAAAGUUUUGAGCCCUAACCAGUGGGGUGAUCUGCUCCACAAUUUUAAAACUUUCCCUCUUGAUUUUGAGACUCGUUUACCACACUGUCGGUCUUUCUCCUAUUGGGAUUACCAACAGGCUUGGUAUAACACUUUCUUCAUACAAAACCCUAAAAAAUCCCAUUCCUGGUUAUUUUUCUUUAAUUCAAAAAUAACCGUCCAGAGCCUUCCCAAUUGGUUUCACCAUUGGUGGAAUUAUUUUGGUCCAACUUCUGAAAUUCUUACCCAAAAUGCCCUACAAUGCCUAAACCUUUUCAAAGCCAACUACAAACCUACUGAGUCUGAGAAAAGAUUUCCUCAUUUUCUCUGCUUUUGUACCAAUUUCUUCCUCCCAUAGGUCUGGAUGUGGAGUCUUCGACAUCACACACAGGAUUCCCAUUUUAUCCUCCAAAGAACCUUUAGAGUCAAAUGGUGGUCAAAAUUUGACGAGCAAACCAAAUUAACUACCAACCUUGUCCAAAACUGGCUUUAUGCUCAAGGCCACCUACAACCAGCCAUAAAAGACAUUAAAGCCCAAGGCACUUUCCUCACUCAAAAAUCCAAAGCCCAAGCUCUCCUCGCAAGUGCCAAAACAGAAGAAGAAUACUUCAAAGCAAUGGAACAGCUCCUCGCUUCUAGAUCCAAAUCCUCGAUUGCAGAUUCUACUGAAGAUGAAGACGAUGAUGAUGAGCCAACUGUCUCUCUGGGAGAUGAAAAUGAAGAUGAUUGUUUCGGAAUUUUCUCUCCAAUAAAGCAUUGUAAAUAGUUUAUGUAACUAUUUAAAAAAAAAAAAGUAAUUAUUUUCUUUUCGGGUGGUCCUCUGGACACAAGUGAGAGCGCACAUGUCUCUUCACCCGUGUUAUAUUUUAUUCUGUAUUUCAGUAUUUGUACAAAGCAGUCUACUAUUCAAAGCUACGAUCCAAAGAUUACUGUGCACUCAAAGCCCCGCUACAGUGAACAGUGCAAAGUUCCACGAAUUACUGUGCACUCAAAGCUCCGCUACAGUGAACAGUUUACAAAGCCUUGUAUAUAAUCCAAGAGGAAGACUUAGACUCCUCACGGGUUUUUAUUUUGAGUUUUCAUUUCUCUCUCUUCUCCUCCUUCUCUCUAAAAAAUCUCUCUAAAGCAAGAAGUGUUCGAAGAAAUUUUCUGUUUACGUAAUAGUUCUAUCCUAGAGCUUUGAGUAAUCAGACUAAUUCUUUGCCUUCAACAAUCUUCCCGUCUUUCAAUCUUCCCUUCUGGAAAGAUUUGAAAAAAUUGUAAAGCAGCAACAAAAGCAAAGUGUAUGUUUAGAUCUCUGAUCUAAUUUUAUUUGUAAAGCAAUUUCAAUUCAUGUAAUUUAAUUUUUGUGCAUUUAAAUUUCUGCAAUUUAAUUUUAAAGCAAUUUCUUUUAAGCAUGCUUGCAGACUGAUCUGUAUCAGAUCUGCUUUAUAAAAUAUACAUUCUUCUGAGGCAAAGAGACCAGAUCUCGAUCCUCAGUCGUACCCUUCUCUUCUCCCUCCAUUCCUUCAGAGCACCAUUUCCGGGAACCGGAUCUGGUACUGUGUAUGUUUUAGAAGCCAACCUUAAUGCAUGUUUAAUUCUGUAAAGCCCUGUUGCUAGGUUUGCUAAAAUCAACCUAACUCAGAUCUGGUAAAGACACUUCUAAAAUUGACAAAUCGCGUUUCAAAGCAAAGUAGAUCUCCAGAUCUACCAAAGAAUCUAAUUAAAAUUUGGUAAAGCACCCUAAUCCGGUAUAUCGGCUGGAAACCAGAACGUGCGGACUAUUGAUCUGUUCUAAGUCAGAUCUGGGUCCAAAGGCAGAUUAGGUUCUGCAUCGAUCCGGUAAUACAAUGCCACGUACCAGUUUAGAUCUAAAAUUUUGAUCAAUCGCGUUCCAAAGCAAAUUGAUUUAACAUAGAAACGGUAAGUUCUUCUAAAAUCUGACGAAGCCGAUUCCAUUAAUUGUUUAAUUUGAGUUUUUAAUAAUAAAGUAUUUUGAAAACACAUCCAUCCUUCGAUCCUAUUUCCUUCUGGCUUAAGAAUUCUAUUUCCAUCUUGAUUAGCCUUAGUGGGUAAAUUGUAUCCUUUUCUUACGCAUUUCAUAGCUCUUAUGUUAAUGGAUUCAAUAAAAAUAGUCAUCCUUUGCUUUCAAUAUGAAUAAUUGGUGCCAUCAAGUAAUAGUGGACAGGUCCGUAGAUCCUCUUUCUCUCUGCAAAUUCAUUCCGACAAAAAUAGAUCAAGAUCCCAAAAUCUCACCGAAUAAACCAUUAGUGACACUAUUCUAAUACUAAUUGUUAAAAAUUUAGAUAUAUUUUUAACAAUUGUAGGCAAGAUAAGCAAUAGAUAAACUAAUUUCUUCAAUUAAUUACUGUUUACGAUUAUUUUUACGUGAUUUAGAUCACUAUCCUAUAUUCAUGUGAAGAUUAGAACCUAUUGGAUUCUUACACAAUUUCAGACACCCUUUUAUGCUUGUCGCCACCUCUUUGUAUCUAAUUUAGUUGACCUUGCUUAGUGAGAACCCCUCGUUUUCAAUUGCACUUGCUGCUUUCCUUGAGAUCCCCUCAACACAACAAAUGACCUCUUUGUCUAGAAGAGGUCAAAGUAAAUAUAAAAAAUGUCUAAUGAAAGACUUGAUAUGAUGAAGACUAAAACAUCAUAGAGAUAUGAAACAUCAUAUGCAGCCAAAUAGGUUCCUUCUCAUUCUCUGUAUUGGCUUCAAUAUGUGAAAUACUUCUCUUUAUAUAGGAGUAAUAUUUCACUCAAACCCUAGCAGAGAAAUAUUAAAAUAUACUUCCUUAAUGCUCCAAUAUUCCAUAAAUACUUUAUACUAUAAUACAUUUCGUUAAGAGUCCAAUAUUUCAUAAAUACUUGAUAUAUUUAAAAAUAUAGUAGUCAUCUUUAUUUUUGGAGCUCUUUGAUAUGGGAUCUCUUACACACCAAUUUGCUUUUUCUAUGCGUCGAAAUAUAUUCUCCAAUAUUCCACAUAAUCUAAUUUUAAUUAAUUUCCAAGAGUAGAUAAAUUUCUAAUUAAAGGAAACAAAUCUUAAUAAAAGAAAUAAAUAAAUAAAAAUAUUAUUGACACAAUGAUGCCAAUAAUAAAAUCCUUAACAAAAAAUACAUACAUAAAUGUAAUAAAUAAACAAAUAAGAAACUGUAGAAAGACUUACAAUGGGAAGCCGGCAAUUUGAAUCUUUGUGGUAAUGAUUUGUUGGGCCAUGCAGUUUGGCCUUGGCCAUGGAAUGUUCCACCGUCGGUGAGAGUUAAGCAUCUAAGGGAUUCAAAGGUGAUCUGGAUUUCCUUAUUGGCUAGCUUUUAAAGAUCAGGGGGAGCCACGAUGAGGCCUUGAAGUUGAAAUGAAAUUGGAGCUUUGCAUUGACCUUUAAAUACAACAUAAAUCACUAAAUAUUUUCCUGGUGGCGCCAAUAUCGUGCUAUUGGUAUUCCAAUUGCAAGCUUCUCUCUAAGCAUUUUCAAAAGCCUUAAUUGUUAUUAUUAGUGCCAUCGGCCACAACACCAAAGUCAAUUACAUUGAAAACUCCAUUUGGGAGCUGCAGCCAAACCAAAUAAAACUAGUAUUGCAAGUACUAGCAGCUGACGGCAAGAGCCAUAACCCAUCUUGUUUUUUAUGAUGGAUUAAGUGAUAAUGUUCUUGUUGAAAAAAUAGCAUAUCAAUAUGCUAUUUUCAGUGGGUCCUACUUAGCGAAAGUGAAAAAUCUUGUGAAGUUCGGGUUCUACUCCAUGAAUACUUCGAAAGUGUAUAUUUAUUUACUCAAAAUGGUGCUUGGGUGAAUGAGAAAUUGUCUCUCCAAGUGCACCCUUGAAGUUGAAAAUUUGAAAGGAAAUGAGGUUUAUCCCACAAGGGAAAAAUAAGCCAAGGGAUUUUUGUUUAUUUAUAGACACUUACCCAUGCAUGAGCAAGAAUUAUAAGGAUAGAGGCUCUCUCCACACGCGCGUGUGCAGGGGGGUGCGAAUCCAAGAUCGAUUUGGUUGAACUCAUGUGCGCCCGCGCAUCCUGCGUACACGAAUGUCAGCCCAAAAUCACCCAAGCUUGCAUGGCACGUUUUCAAUAGGCUGUAUUGAAUUGUUAAAAUUGAAUUGGCUGUUACAACAAUUAAAUGGCAUAUAUUGAAUUCGGAAAUUCAAUAUUAUGCUACUGUUACAUCCUCACAUGUGUAUAAAAAGGCAGCUUCCUCUUCUGUUUUUACACACAAGAACAACCAACACACAAAGCACUACAAUAGGUGGUAAAUCUAUUUUAAGGAAACUGUGUUGCAGGCCUCACGUUUAUUUUCUGUUUCUAUUUUCUUUCCCCUACUUUUUUCAUUUGUUCAUUCGUGAUUUCCAGUUCCUGUUUUACGUUGUUGUUUAAAUUAGCUACAGUAUUAAAGUGUUAUCUCACUGUUAAUUUUCUUACAAUCUUAAAACAGAUUUAACGUUGAGAUGGCAACUGAAACUAAUGAUCCAGUUCCGACUGUCCCUGUUUCAGCUUCUGCUGCUGGACCAUCUGUUAUGAAGGAACCAGCCUCUGUGGCAAUUCCUCUGAAUCAUGCAAAAAGACUAGAAAAAUUCAAUGGCCAAAAUUUCAAACGUUGGCAGCAAAAGAUGUUCUUUUACCUGACCACGUUGAACCUUGCGAGGUUCUUGACGGAGGAUGCUCCUAAACCCAAAGAGGGUGAAACGAAUGUUCAAGUUGCAAGUGCAAUUGAUGCAUGGCAUCAUUCUGAUUUUUUAUGUAAAAAUUAUGUAAUGAAUGGCCUUAGUGAUUCCUUCUAUAAUGUAUACAUAGGAAAAAUAAUAGCCAAGGAGCUAUGGGAAUCCUUAGACCGUAAAUAUAAAACUGAGGAUGCGGGUACAAUGAAAUGCAAGUAACGCAACCCAAGAGGGGGGGUGAAUUGGGUUUUUAAAAAUAAUGCAAUACGAUUCGCACAAUAAAUCAAUUUAACGCCUUAAUGAAAUAGAGAACAAUAAAUUCAAACAAGCGUAAAAAUAAAAGAGCAAGGGAAGAGAAAAACAAACACGCGGAUUUUUACUUGGUUCGGCAAUCCUCGCCUACGUCCACGCCUCCAAGCCAACCAAGCUUGAGAAUUUCACUAUCCAAGCCUCCCAAGGCUUCAAGUUUUUACAAUUGACUUUCAAGGUGUCAAUGAACCUUUACAACCAAGAGAUUAUCUCCCCAAUCUCUUCACCUCAAGUGUUUCCCACACUUACACACUCACAAUUUGAUAAGAAAUGAAAAUUACAACAAAAACUCUCUUUAAGAGUGGAUAUGCAACUAAUAGCUCAAUAAUGAUUCAAUCAAUGAUGAUUUUCGUUUUGGAAGCUCAAUAUAUAUUGUAUGAUCUUAUAUUUGCUUGCAUUAGUCCUUAGAAUGAAGUUUGAGUUGAGUUUUUAUAGUGAAAGCCCAAAAACUAGCCGUUAUAGGUAAAUUCCCGCGCCCAAGCGGUUAGCCGCUUGAUUAUCCGGCUAGCCGAUCAGGAACAGUGAUAUUACCGUUAUUUUUGAAUUUUGCUACAGUAAUACUAUUCACUGAAAUUACACUUUAACCCAAAACUUUCUAUAAUUAUAUUAUGGCCCAAAACGUCAUAAAACUUUACAAAUAAAUCUAAUUUAAGAACUUCCUAAGAAUAGUUGUCUUUCCCAAGCUUUUUGAAAUUAUGAUAUGGCCCCAAAGAUUUUAUUAUUUCGCACAAAGGUCCUUUUACCCAUAUUUUUCAAAGUUCUCAAAACCUUUCACUUUAGUCCAAAAUAUUCAUAAAUUAUAGUAUGGCCCAAAAUAUUUCAAAUGUUUGUAAAAACAUCCAACUCCGAAAGUUAAUACUUAUUAAAAUCAAAGAUUUCAAAUCUUAGCAUUUAAGUCCAAAUUACUUGAAUCCACAAAAUACUUUACUUUAUAAAAAUAAAACCUUUUAGUUUAUGAAAAGUAUUUAAUUAAAUUAAUCUCUUGACCUUCUCAAAUGCUAAAUCAUGUAUCAAUUAAAUCAUACCAGCUUUACAAGAAUUUAUCGCACUAAUUUGUUCGUUGAGCUCUAAACUAUUUUCUUGAUGUCACCGUUGUCCGUUGAGUGUCUUCAAUCUUGAUUUCACUUGAUUCACUUGCAUAAAUAUUAUCCUUCAAAAACUAGUGAAAAUGUGAAAUACAAUAUUUAUUAAAUUACUUAAUACACAUGUUUGUUAUCAUCAAAAUUACAUUAUGUAUAGCCUUUUAGGCUAACAAUCUCCCCCUUUUUGAUGAUAUCAAACAUCUCAUGUAUUUUGACAUUAAACUCCCCCUCAAUACAUGGCAUACAUGACUUCAACUUAUAAAUCAAAUUCAAAACAAAAACUCCCCCUGAAUAUUUGAUUUAGAUAAUUUGAAAGCUCCCCCUUAAUAUUUCAAAACCAUGCAUAAAUACUUUAAAUAUAAAUUAUGUAUUACAUGUCUUCAUAUUCAAAAUUCAAAAUAAUAUUCAAAAUUCAAAAUACAUGACUUCUCCCCCUUCAUCAUCAAAAUUACUAGAAAUGUACACUAAGACUGAAAAAUUUAACCAAAAUGACAUUAUCAAAAACUUAUCAUAUUUAUUUUCCGCUGUAAAAAAUAGAUAUAUGCAAUUUGAAACAAGAUCACCAAAAAUAAUUCAAUGAAGAUAUUACCAAUUUUGGGCGAGCAAAAGUUUCGACAGAGUCUCCCCUUAAAAAUGAACAAAUCCUCAAAUACACAAUGUGGUUAAAAACACUUCCAUAUAAACUUAAACAAGUAACACAAACCAACAACUCCACCAAGUCAUCAAACAACACAUAAGAAUUAAGCAUAUAAUUAACCAAAGAGUUAUAAUAUUCCAGGAAUCCGAAAACAUUAUCCAAAUAUAACAUAUCCGAAGAUCAAAUAACAAACAUCCUUAAUCCACAAAUUAAAAACAACAUAUCCAAAUAUCAAAUAACAAGAUGUCAUUCGGAAAUGAAAAAACAACAGUGCAUGAAGAAAUGUAGUGCAGAGUGACAAAAUAAGGAGUAAUGACCGACCUUGGCUUGAAAUUGUUGAGAAAAUGUUUCCAAAGUUGGAGUUGUGGAAAAUGAAUCAACAUAAAGUCCGAAUAAUCUCCAUGAUCAUCCUUACGCUUCUUGGCCACGUGUUUUCCCUUGGACUUGUCACCACCCACCAUUGUUGGAAGAAAAAAGAGCUUAAAAAUGCAAUUUCGGGUUUAACAAAAAUUGAGUGAAAUGGAUUUGUUUAAGGCAAGAAAAUUAAUCCUAGAGAUGAAUGAAGCUAAUUUAUGAUGUAGAGUGAAUUAAAAAUGGGCUAAAGGAAGCUUGAAAAUGAAGAGAGAGAAACGGGUAGAGUGAGAAUUUUUUAUUUUGGGUUUUAUGUGGAGAGUUGAUGAAAUGUUGUUUUGAGAGUGAAAAUUGAAGGAGUAAUGGAUGAAUAAUGAGUUGGAUGAUUGAUUUUAACAAGACAAUGAGUGAAAGAUGAAGAAAUUUGAGAAAGAAAAUGGAGAACACUAUUCACGCGUGAAUGGAAUAAGGAUGGAAUGAUGAAGAACAAGUGAAGAAAUCAUGAUGGUAAAGGGUUUAAUGAAGAUGAAAUGCAUGGGUAUUAGUUUGAAUGGUUGAUUUGGGCAUGAAAAUGGAUGAAAAAGGAAGAAAAUGGAAGUGAAAAUGGAUGGGUUGCUCACGGUUUUGAGUGAAAGAGAGAGCAUGUGCAGAAAAUUAACAAAGGAAGAAGAAGAAGCAAAAAAAAUAUGCCUAACCCGUGACCAAGCGGCUAGCCGCUUGCUCUCGGGUUGGGGACAGUUUCCAAGCGGCUAGGCGGCUAGCCGCCUGGUUGCUGUCCAGCUGCACUCAAGUUGAUUUCCGGCUAAUUUCGAUCAAUUCCGUGACCAUUUUGUGAUCCCGAAACAUCUCAAGAGCCAAUUUAAUGCAUGAUUCAUGAUUUUAAACAUCUAAAAGAUGAUUAAUUCAAACAAAUAAUCCAUCCAACAAGCAUAUAUUUAUGAAGCACAUAAGCAUUCAAAAAUUAAUAAAUCAAACACCACAUAUACCUAACUUGCUUAAACACUUCAUAAACAUUAAUAAUCAUCAAGCAAACGAUUUUAAUAGAUUCAAUAACAUAAAUAGAGAUGUUAAUGCGAAAAUUUCAUCAUCUCAAGUUCAUGCCGAAUUUUUGAAAAUUAUUCUUCACAAAGGGGUUUUGUAAAAAUAUUGGCAAGUUGUUUUUCCGUAGAGAUAAAUUCUAAUGCAAUAUCACCUUUUUGAACACGAUCUCUCAAGAAAUGAUGCCUAAUCUCUAUAUGCUUGGUUCUAGAAUGUUGAAUGGGAUUCUUUGAAAGAUUUAUGGCGCUAGUAUUAUCACACUUGAUAGGAAUUUGUUCAAGAUUAAUACCAUAGUCUCUAAGUGUUUGUUUCAUCCAAAGUGCUUGUGCACAACAACUACCUGCGGCAAUAUAUUCCGCCUCAGUAGUUGAGAGUGCCACGAAUUUUGUUUCUUACUAAACCAUGAAACAAGUGAAUAACCAAGAAAAUGGCAAGUUCCACUAGUACUCUUCCUAUCGACCUUGUGACCAGCAAAAUUGGCAUCCGAAUAACAAGUUAAAUCUAUAUGAGUUCCUCUAGGAUACCAAAGGCCAAUAUCUAUGGUUCCACUCAAAUAACAAAAAAUUCUUUUAACAGCAAGCAAAUGAGAUUCCUUGGGACAUGAUUGAAAUCUUGCACACAUGAUUGAAAUCUUUCACACAAACAUACACUAAACAUGAUAUCGGGUCUACUUGCGGUUAAGUAAAGUAAGGAUCCGAUCAUACCUUGAUACUUUUUAAUAUCAACCUCUUUACCUUUUUCAUCCUUAUCAAGCUUGAUUGUUGUACUCAUUGGAGUAUUCUUGGUAUUUGAUUCAUCAAUACCAAAUCUCUUGAGCAAGUCUUUGACAUACUUAGCUUGGUUGAUGAAGAUCCCCUCAUUGUUUUGUUUGAUUUGAAGUCCAAGAAAAUACUUCAAUUCUCCCAUCAUGCUCAUCUCAAAUUCCUUACUCAUACAAGAGGAAAAUUCUUUGCACAAAGAUUCAUUAGUAGAACUAAAAAUAAUAUCAUCAAUAUAAAUUUGAACAACAAGUAUAUCUUGAUUUUUAUUUUUAAUAAAGAGGAUAGUAUCCGCUCUUCCCAUCGAAAAACCGUUAUCCAACAAGAAAUUUUUAAGCCUAUCAUACCAUACUCUAGGUGCUUGUUUUAAUCCAUACAAUGCUUUUGAUAACUUAUAUACAUGAUUUGGAAAUUUCUCAUUUUCGAAACCAGGGGGUUGUUUCACAUAAACUUCCUCCAUAAUAUAACCAUUUAGGAAAGCACUCUUGACAUCCAUUUGAAAUAAAAUAAAAUCUUUAUGACAUGCAAAUGCUAACAACAUCCUAAUGGAUUCUAAUCUAGCUACAGGUUCAAAUGUUUCAUCGAAAUCGAUUCCUUCUUCUUGUUUGUAUCCUUGAGCCACUAAUCUAGCUUUAUUUCUUACAACCACACCGGAUUCAUCCAUUUUAUUUCUAAAUACCCAUUUAGUGCCUAUAAUGGAUUGAUGUUCUGGUUUAGGAACCAAUUCCCAUACUUUAUUUCUCUCAAAUUGAUUUAACUCCUCUUGCAUUGCCAUAAUCCAAAACUCAUCAUUUUCCGCAUCCGCAAAAGAUUUUGGUUCAAUUCGAGAAAUAAAUGCAGCAUGCUCACAUGUGUUUCUAAGUGAUGAUCUAGUUGUGAUAUCUCUUGAAGGAUCACCUAAUAUUAAAUCCUUAGGAUGAGAGGAAACAUACCUCCACUCCUUGGGGAGUGUUUGAGAACUACCUUCUUGUUGCUCCAGCUCCAUAUUUGUUUGUUCUUCUUGUCUAUCUUCUUGAUUUUCUUGUGGUGCAUGCUCUUGAUUCUCUUUUGACGAUUCUUCUUAUAACUCUCCAUCUGCAUCAUCAUUAACAACUCCUUUCUCCGCAGAGGAGGGGUUAGAUUCAUCAAACGUAACAUGCAUGGAUUCUUUCACAACUAAAGUUCUUUUAUUAUAAACUCUAUAAGCUUUGCUUGAGUUUGAAUACCCGAGAAAGAUGCCAAAUUAGAUUUUGGAUCAAAUUUACCAAGAUUAUCUUUUGUGUUUAAAAUAAAAUAUUUGCAUCCAAAAAUUUUGAAAUAACCAAUAUUGGAUUUUCUAUCUUUCCAAAGCUCAUAGGGAGUUUUAUUGAGAUGAGGUCUAAUCAACACAUGAUUUAAAACAUAACAAGCGGUGUUGACGGCUUCGGCCCAAAAAUAUUUUGGUAAUGCAUUUUCAUUUAACAUGGUCCUAGCCAUUUCUUGAAUAGACCUAUUCUUUCUCUCAACAACUCCAUUUUGUUGUGGAGUCCUAGGUGAUGAAAAUUGAUGCUCAAUGCCAAAAUCAUUACAAAAAUUUUCAAAUGCAUGAUUUUCAAACUCUCCACCAUGAUCACUUCUAAUACAAGUAAUAGAAUAACCCUUUUCAUUUUGAACCUUUUUACAGAAAAUUCUAAAUGCAUCAAUGGCAUCAUCCUUAUUAGCUAAGAAUAAUACCCAUGUGUAUCUAGAAUAAUCAUCUACAAUUACAAAUGCAUAAAAUUUGUCAUUUAAACUAGCAUAUUUAGAGGGUCCAAACAAAUUUAUGUGAAGUAAUUGAAGAGGUUUUAAAGUAAAGAUAUGAUUCUUGUUUUUGAAAGAGGUUUUGAUUUGUUUUCCAAAUUGACAUGCUUCACAAAUUCUAUCCUUUUGAAAACCAAUUUUUGGAAGACCUUUAACUAAAUCGUUUUUCGAAAUUUUUGAAAUUAAAUCCAUGCUUGCAUGUCCUAGUCUUUUAUGCCAUAACCAACCAUCAUCAUGCAAUGCUGAAAAACAUUUAUCAUGAGUAGAUGCACAUUUUAUAUCAAUCGUGUAAACAUUGCCACAUCUAUUUCCCAUAAACAAAAUUUUCCCAUCACAUGCAUUCUCAAUAACACAUCUUGAUUGAUCAAAAACAACUUUAUAACCUUUGUCACAUAGUUGACUAAUGCUAAUCAAAUUGUAUUUCAAAUUUUCAACCAAACACACAUUUUCAAUUAGAGUUGAAGAAAUUUUACCAACAUUUCCAAUUCCGAGAAUUUUUCCUUUUGAGUUAUCUCCAAAGGAUACAUCUCCACCAUUUUCGAUUUUGGUGAAACUUGAGAACCAUGCAUAGUUUCCGGUCAUAUGCCUAGAACAUCCGCUAUCCAAGUACCAUUUAUUUUUCUUUUUCUUCAAGCCCUGCAAAGAAAAUCUUAUGUCUUAGGUACCCAAACCUUUUUGGGUCCUUGAUCGUUAGCAACGGUUCCUUUUGGAACCCACACACAUUUGACACCAUUAUAUGCAUUCCUUUUUACGGGACAUCUAUAUUUCAUGUGACCAUUUUGAUUACAAUAAUGACAAACAAUCUUAUGAUUAUUUGUGGAGGUAGCUUUAACAAAAUAAUUCUUAUAAUACUUUUGCUUCAAGUUAGGCUUAUACCCAAGUCCUCCUUUAUCAAAAACACAUUUUUGGGAGUUAAACAUGUUAUCCAACAUCUUUUGCCCAUUUGUAAAUUUUAGAACAACAUUACUAAGUUCAAUAUUCUUUUUCUUGAGCAUUUCAUUUUCCUUUUUCAAAUCAUCUACAUGUGACUCUAAAUACUCAUGUGAAGUGCUAGAUUUUUCAUUUGAAAAUGCAACUCUAUUAUGCAAGGUUUUAUUCUCUAAUUCUAAUCCUUUAAUCUUCUCAUUCAAUGACUUAUUGCAUUUUUGCAUGGCAUCCUUUUCAUUUGUAGAUUCUAGCAAUUUCUUUUUAAGGCAUGCAUUAUUUUUACCAAUUUUUAUCAACUCAUCAUGCAUUUCUUUAAAAGCAUCAUAUAAUUCAUCAUAGGUUGGAUCAUUUACCUCAUUGAGAUCAUCAUCAUCUCCUAGUGCCAUAAGUGCUAGGUUUGAUACUUCUUGCGACUCAUCUUCAUCACUUGAAUCUUCAUCGCUAUCAUCCCAAGUAGCAACCAUAGCUUUCUUCUUGAGUUUGUUGAGAAGUAGGCAUUCCGAUCUUAUAUGGUCGGGCUUCUUGCACUCAUAGCAUAUGAUUACCUCUUUCUUCUCCUUUUGGUUUUUGAAAUUUCUGAAUUUUCUUCGGUCAUCGGUUUUCUUGAAAAAUUUUAUGAACCUCCUUGCUAGCAUAGCCAACUCCUCAUCAUCCGGCUCACUUUCCCCAUCACUCUCAUAUUUGGUGACUUUGAGAGCAAUGUUUUUCUUCCUUUCCCCAUUUCCUCUUUCAGCUGCCAAAUCUUCCUCAUAAGAAAUAAGAGAACCAAUUAAAUCAUCAAUAGGUAAGAUAUUCAAAUCUUUAGCUUCCUCAAUGGCAGUCCUUUUUGGUCUCCAUUCCUUAGGUAACGACCUAAUGAUUUUCUUAACUUUCUCGCUAUUUGAAAAGGUCUUUCCUAGGGCUCCUAGAGUGUUUACUAUGUCCGUAAAUCUAGUAUACAUAGAAUACACACUCUUAUUUUGUUCCAUUUGGAACAAUUCAUAUUGCCGAGUGUACCUACUAAUUUUAGACUCUUUCACUUGAUUCGUGCCUUCAUAAAUAACUUCAAGUUUGUACCAAAUUUCAUUAGCACUUUCACAACUAGAUACUCUAUGAAACUCUUUCUUAUCGAGUGCACAAAACAAGGCAUUCAUGGCUUUGGAAUUUAGAGAAGCUUUUCUCUUUUCCAAUUCAUUCCAUUCACGUGAAGGUUUUGGAAUGUCUUCCCCAAUUUCAUUUUUAGUCAAAGGCAUAAAUGGACCAUCACAUACAACUUCCCAAAUUUCAUAAUUUAAUGCUUGUAAAUAAAUUCUCAUCCUAGUUUUCCAAUACGGGUAGUCAUUUCCGUCAAAGAACGGUGGCUUAGUUAUGGAUUGUCCUUCCCUAAAGGUUGAAUCAUUUUGGGUUGCCAUGGAUCUUUUACUCUAAACGAUUAAGUCCUAACAAGAGAACCAAGCUCUGAUACCAAAUAAAAUGCAAGUAACGCAACCCAAGAGGGGGGGUGAAUUGGGGUUUUAAAAAUAAUGCAAUACGAUUCGCACAAUAAAUCAAUCUAACGCCUUAUGAAAUAGAGAACAAUAAAUUCAAACAAGUGUAAAAAUAAAAGAGCAAGGGAAGAGAAAAACAAACACGCGGAUUUUUACGUGGUUCGGCAAUCCCCGCCUACGUCCACGCCUCCAAGCCAACCAAGCUCGAGGAUUUCACUAUCCAAGCCUCCCCAGGCUUCAAGUUUUUACAAUUGACUUCCAAGGUGUCAAUGAACCUUUACAACCAAGAGAUUAUCUCCCCAAUCUCUUCACCCCAAGUGUUUCCCACACUUACACUCACAAUUUGAUAAGAAAUGAAAAUUACAACAAAAGCUCUCUUUAAGAGUGGAUAUGCAACUAAUAGCUCAAUAAUGAUUCAAUCAAUGAUGAUUUGCAUUUUGGAAGCUCAAUAUAUGUUGUAUGAUCUUAUAUUUGCUUGCAUUAGUCCUUAGAAUGAAGUUUGAGUUGAGUUUUUAUAGUGAAAGCCCAAAAACUAGCCGUUAUAGGAAAAUUCCGGUGUCCAAGCGGUUAGCCACUUGAUUAUCCGGCUAGCCGCUCAGGAACAGUGAUAUUACCGUUAUUUUUGAAUUUUACUACAGUAAUACUGUUCACUAAAAUUAUACUUUGGCCCAAAACUUUCUAUAAUUAUAUUAUGGCCCAAAACGUCAUAAAACUUUGCAAAUAAGUCCAAUUUAAGAACUUCCUAAGAAUACUUGUCUUUCCUAAACUUUUUGAAAUUAUAAUAUGGCCCCAAAAAUUUUAUUAUUUCACACAAAGGUCCUUUUACCCAUAUUUUUUAAAGUUCUCAAAACCUUUCACUUUAGUCCAAAAUAUUCAUAAAUUAUAGUAUGGCCCAAAACAUUUCAAAUGUUUGUAAAAACAUCCAACUCCGAAAGUUAAUACUUAUUAAAAUCAAAGAUUUCAAAUCUUAGCAUUUAAGUCCAAAUUACUUAAAUCCACAAAAUACUUUACUUUAUAAAAAUAAAACCUUUUAGUUUAUGAAAAGUAUUUAAUUAAAUUAAUCUCUUGACCUUCUCAAAUGCUAAAUCAUGCAUCAAUUAAAUCAUACCAGCUUUACAAGAAUUUAUGGCACUAAUUUGUUCGUUGAGCUCUAAACUAUUUUCUUGAUGUCGCCGUUGUCCGUUGAGUGUCUUCAAUCUUGAUUUCACUUGAUUCACUUGCAUAAAUAUUAUCCUUCAAAAACUAGUAAAAAUGUGAAAUACAAUAUUUAUUAAAUUACUUAAUACACAUGUUUGUUAUCAUCAACAUUACAUUAUGUAUAGCCUUUUAGGCUAACAUACAAAAAGUUUGUUGUUGGCUAUUUCCUAGACUAUAAAUGGUGGAUUCCAAAACUGUAAUGAGUCAAGUACAAGAGCUUCAGAUAAUAUUAUCUGAAAUCCUUGCUGAAGGGAUGAUGUUAAGCGAAACGUUUCAAAUGGUUGCAAUUAUUGAAAAAUUGCCUCUUGCUUCGAAAGAUUUCAAGAGUUAUUUGAAGUAUAAACGCAAGGAAAUGAAUAUUGAAGGGUUGUUUAUGUGGCUAAGGCAAACGUUGUUGAACAUGGACCUAAAAAUAAGAAAAAUAAAAAAUUGGGUCCGAAAGGAGGAAUUUCCAAGAAGCAAACAAAGUUUCAAGGAAAAUAUUUUAAUUGUGAUAAGAUAGGUCACAAGGCUUCGGAUUGCAGGUCGCCUAAAAAGAAGCAAGAGGCAAAUGUGGUGGAAAACAUCACUCAACAUGUUUCAGACAUAAACCUCUCUACAUUGGUUUCAGAAGUGAAUCUGGUUGGCUCUAAUCCGAGAGAAUGGUGGAUUGAUACGGGAGCAACCAGACAUAUUUGCUCGGACAGAGGGUUGUUCACUUCAUUUGAAGUAGUUAGCAAUGGAGAGAAGCUAUUCAUGGGGAAUUCUGCUACAUCUGAGAUUGAGGGUCAAGGGAAGGUGAUUCUGAAGAUGACUUCUAGAAAAGAGCUGACUCUAAACGAUGUGCUUUAUGUGCCAGAAAUUCGGAAGAACUUGGUGUCUGGAUCGCUAUUGAACAAACAUGGUUUCCGAAUGGUGUUUGAGUUAGAUAGGGUAGUUUUGUCAAAGAAUGAGAUGUAUGUGGGAAAGGGUUAUGUUAAUGAUGGGCUAUUUAAGCUCAAUGUAAUGACUCUGAAACCAAAAAUUAAUAAUGAAGCUAGUUCUUCUGCUUAUUUGCUUGAGUCUUCUAAUCUUUGGCAUAGUAGAUUAGGACAUGUUAAUUUUAAUUCAUUGCGUAAAUUAAUUAACAUGAUACAUAUUCCCAAUUUCCAAAUUGAUUUGAAACAUAAGUGUGAAACUUGUGUUGAGGCAAAACUAAGUAGGUCAUCUUUCCAAACAAUUAAAAGAAACAAUGAACCACUUGAUUUAAUACAUAGUGAUAUUUGUGAUUUUAAAUCCAUUCAAAUAAGAGGUGGUAAUAAAUAUUUUAUUACCUUUAUUGAUGAUUGCAUAAAAUAUUGCUAUGUAUAUUUGUUGAAAAGUAAAGAUGAAGCUUUAGAAAAAUCAAAGAAUUAAGGAGUGACCGCGGUGGUGAGUAUGUUAUUCCGUUUGAGUAACUAUAUGAACAAAGUGGAAUCAUACAUCAAGUCACGACUCCAUAUUCACCUCAAUCUAAUGGGAUUGUAGAUCGAAAGAAUUGAGCUUUAAAGGAAAUGAUAAAUGUAAUGUUGAUAAGUUCUGGGUUACCCCAGAAUAUGUGGGGAGAAGCUGUUUUGUCAGCUAAUUAUUUAUUAAAUAAGAUACCCCGAAAGCAAGAAGAUAAAACCCCGUAUGAGCUGUGGAAAGGUAGAGCACCUUCAUAUAAAUUCUUACGAGUGUGGGGGUGUCUUGCUAAAGUAGUGGUUCCUUUAAAUAAAAAAAUGAAAAUAGGACCAAAAACUGUUGACUGCAUUUUCAUUGGUUAUGCACAAAACAGUAGUGCUUAUCAAUUUCUGGUGCAUGAGUCUAAAGUUCUAGAUGUCCACAAAAAUACGAUAAUAGAAUCAAGAAAUGCAUUGUUUUUCGAACUUGUGUUUCCUUGCAAUUCUAGAGUGGAAUCGAGAGAACUAUGACAAUUUCAUGAAACAACAAUUGAAAAUAAAGAAAAUGAUGAAGCUCCAAAAGAAGAAGAAGAACAAGAAGUUGAGGUCAGACGUAGCAAAAGAGCUAGAAUAGAAAAGUCUUUUGGUCCAGACUUUCUGAUGUAUUUGCUAGAAAGUGAACCUCAAAGCUUCAAAGAAACUGUAACUUCACCUGAAGGCCCUUUAUGGAAAGAAGCCAUUAAUAGUGAUUUUGAAUCCAUUUUACAAAAUCAUACCUGAGAGCUUGUAGAUCUUCCUCCAGGAUGUAAACCUUUGGGGUAUAAGUGAAUUUUCAAAAGGAAAAUGAAAGCCGAUGGAUCAAUUGAUAAGUAAAAGGCUAGGCUUGUAAUUAAAUGUUAUAGGCAACGAGAAGGCCUUGAUUACUUUGAUACUUAUUCUCCUGUUACGAGAAUAAAUUCCAUUCGGAUGAUAAUAGUAAUUGCAGCUUUGCGUAAUCUCGAGAUACAUCAAAUGGAUGUAAAGACGGCUUUUGUAAAUGGAGAUUUAAAUGAAGAAAUCUACAUGGAGCACCCUGAAGGUUUUAUAGCUCCAGGACAAGAAAAGAAAGUUUGUAAAUUAGUAAAGUCAUUAUAUGGCUUGAAACAAGAACCAAAACAGUGGCAUGAAAAAUUUGAUCAUACGAUGAUCACAAGUGGAUUUAAGAUCAAUGAGAGUGACAAGUGUGUUUAUGUCAAAGAAACAGAAAAUGACUAUGUCAUUUUAUGUUUAUAUGUUGAUGACAUGCUCAUUGUUGGGAGUGAUGAUGACAUGAUUAAAUCUACCAAGAAUAUGUUGAAGUCUAAGUUUGACAUGAAAGACAUGGGUCUUGUAGAUGUCAUUUUGGGAAUUAAAAUCUCAAGGGCUUCUAAUGGACUUAUUCUAAGUCAAACUCAUUAUGUAGAUCAAAUUCUUGGGAAAUUUAAUAAAGAUGAUAAUACCGUGUCUAAAACUCCAUUAGAUACGAGUAUACAUCUAUCGAAAAACAGAGGAGAAGGUAUUUCUCAAGUAGAAUACGCUAGAAUAAUAGGCAGUCUGAUGUACUUAACAAAUUGUACCAGACCAGAUCUAGCCUAUACAGUAAGUAAACUUAGUAGACAUACAAGUAAUCCAGGAACUAAUCACUGGAAAGCUAUUGUAAGAGUACUCAGGUAUCUUCGAUACACUCGUAAUUAUGGACUGUACUAUACUAGGUAUCCGGAAGUAUUAGAAGGAUAUAGUGAUGCUAACUGGAUAUCUAAUGUAAAAGACUCAAAAUCCACUAGUGGCUAUGUGUUUACACUAACAGGUGUAGCUGUAUCAUGGAGGUCUUCUAAACAGACAGUAAUUGCCAGAUCUACAAUGGAAUAUGAAUUCAUUGCUUUAGAUAAAUGUGGUGAGGAAGUAGAAUGGCUAUGGAAUUUUUUAGAGGGUAUUCCAAAGUGGCCAAAGCCUGUGCCUAUAAUUUGUAUUCAUUACGAUAGUCAAUCAGCUAUCGGUAGGGCACAGAGCAAUAUGUAUAAUGGUAAGUCUAGACACAUACGUCGUAGACAUAAUACCAUUAGACAACUUAUUUCUACUGGAGUUAUUUCUAUUGACUAUGUAAGGUCAAAUGAUAACAUUGCGGAUCCACUAACCAAAGGAUUAAAUAGAAAGCUAGUAGAAAAAUCAUCGAGGGGAAUGAGAUUAAAACCCUUAGAAUGAUUAGUCAAUAACGAAGGAAAACCCAACCUAGUUGACUGGAGAUCCCAAGAUCUAGGUUCAAUGGGACAACCUAAUUGUUAAAGACUAAAGUUGGAUCACUGUGGGGGUCAUUCUCUUGAGAGGAUUACCUCAUUGACCAUUCCUAUGAUGAAACAGUGAUGCUCGUGAGAGAUAAGGUUGAGCUGGGCUCUUACUGAUUCUUAUGCAUCGAAAUUCGAGCGAAGUAAUACGAGUUACUCUUAAUUAAGAUAUCACCUAUGUGAGAGAGAAGUGGGGCCGCUUCAAAGGGAGUUGUUAGGGGUUCAGCUCUUAGAAACUCUGGUAGAACUAGGUAGAUGUUUAAGGCCAAAACGAGCAUAACCAUCAGAACUCAACAGUGUUAAGAGAGAUACCUCUGUGUAGUAUAUGAUCGUUUACACUAACGGCAGAACAGUUCAACGACAUCGCGUCUAUUGAUCAACCAGUAAAGUAAAUAUACUAUCACAAUGGAAGGUUUAAAGGAUAAAACCUACCUAUCCUUUGCUAGGUAUCGAUAUAAUAAACUCGAUCAUUAAGGUCAAAAAUGAUUUUGAUGUCAAAAUUUAGCGGUUUUCUGUUUUACUGCCAAAUUUCAUUCAUGUGGGGGAUUAUUGAAAAAAUAGCAAAUCAAUAUGCUAUUUUGAGGGCACAUUUUGAGUGGGUCCCACUUAGCAAAAGUGGGAAAUCUUGUGAAGUUCAGGUUCUACUCCGUGAAUACUUCGAAAGUGUAUAUUUAUUUACUCAAAAUGGUGCUUGGGUGAAUGAGAAAUUGUCUCUCAAAGUGCACCCUUGAAGUUGAAAAUUUGAAAG